GGACCAUACGGUGAGUCGACCAAAAGACAACUUCUGUCGAAGGAUUCAAUGCAAAACAAAAGCCGCGAGAAGAUGGUGGAAGAAGAAUUUUUAGCGAGGGAGAGCACUGAGUUCGGCAGAGCUCCAGCUCAGUUUCUGACGUCUCUCGGCCUUUGCUCCGACGACAACGGCUCCUUCUACUCAGCUCCUCGCCGUUCGAUCGCUAAAGCUUAGUUCUCUCUCUCUCUUUCUAUGGUUUUCGGCUUUUGGUUCAAUGAAUCGAACUGAGCUCUCUGUUUUUUCUUGAAUUUCCAGAGGAGAGACUUCUUCAUCGACUUUCCUCCUUCUCGGUUUCUGUUGAUGUCCCGGACCUUGGUUGUUGCCGAUGGUAAUAACUGAUGCGAAUCGCUGCUUGAAAAUGGCGUAUAUUAGUUCUUUAACGGGGAGGGGUUUUACCUGUUCGACAGAAUGCCUGACUCAGUCAUAGAUAGUUAAUUCCUAUUGCAUUCUGCUUACCAACGUUUUGAUGUCCCAUUGAAGUUGCACUGCUCGUCUCUUACUGCAUUUCCCGUAUAGAGUUGAUAGAAAUGCGAUUAUGUGUGCUUUUAGUAUGUCAAAUGUGGGUCACGUGCAUUUGAUGUUCGCUGUUCAUGCGUGCAUUUGCUGUGUUAACUGACGUUGAAGAUGUACAUGGUAUUACUCCUCUAUGCUGCUGGACGUGAGAAGUUCUGGUACCGAUGACCUACUUAUGACUUUAUAUACAUAGUCCUUGAGGUGCAUAAAUAUGCAUAGUGAGAUGGGCAUGUGUGGAUAUUGAUGGCUCAUCAAAUUGUCAUCGUUUCCAGCCUUAAAUAUAAUAAGGGUGUUUGCUGGCUGCUUUUGUUCACAUGGGGAUUGUGAGGAUUUCAAUAUCAUUUUGGUAGUGUUCUAGUUGUGUGAACAUAUAGAGAGAUGUCGCAUUGAUGUUACAUUUGUUUUCCAUCAAAUUGGGGCAAUUCAAGGCUUGAAACAUAUAAAAAAUGAUGAUAUUACAUGUUGCCCUGAUUCGAGUCAAGUAAAGCCAUUAGUUGUCUGGUGUUACUUGUGCAUAAUUGGACCUCCUCAGUAUGUGUAUCCAUGUAAGAAAGUGACGUUUUGGAUUCAUUAUGAGUGUGCAGGGGUGAAUUGUCUCAUUGUUAUGCUUGAAGCGUGCUUAAGUUGUCCUAGUAGCUUGCUGUCCGUAUGUAUUUGUGCAGUGAAUGAUAAACUUGCAUUUGUGGCUGGUGGGGUCUUCGUUCGGUUGAAGUGGUUAUUGGCGCUUUCUGUUGGGCCAAUGUGGGUGCCGUUUUUUCUCAUAUAGGACAAUAGUGCAUGGAUGAAAGUUGCUUUCUUUUGAGGUAAAGAAGUUGAGUAUAUUGAGCUAAAUCUUCACUGCAAUAUGUUGACUUCUUCUCAGCUUGCCCAUCAUGCUUUGAGAAUUGUAAAAAUAUNNNNNNNNNNNNNNNNNNNNNNNNNNNNNNNNNNNNNNNNNNNNNNNNNNNNNNNNNNNNNNNNNNNNNNNNNNNNNNNNNNNNNNNNNNNNNNNNNNNNNNNNNNNNNNNNNNNNNNNNNNNNNNNNNNNNNNNNNNNNNNNNNNNNNNNNNNNNNNNNNNNNNNNNNNNNNNNNNNNNNNNNNNNNNNNNNNNNNNNNNNNNNNNNNNNNNNNNNNNNNNNNNNNNNNNNNNNNNNNNNNNNNNNNNNNNNNNNNNNNNNNNNNNNNNNNNNNNNNNNNNNNNNNNNNNNNNNNNNNNNNNNNNNNNNNNNNNNNNNNNNNNNNNNNNNNNNNNNNNNNNNNNNNNNNNNNNNNNNNNNNNNNNNNNNNNNNNNNNNNNNNNNNNNNNNNNNNNNNNNNNNNNNNNNNNNNNNNNNNNNNNNNNNNNNNNNNNNNNNNNNNNNNNNNNNNNNNNNNNNNNNNNNNNNNNNNNNNNNNNNNNNNNNNNNNNNNNNNNNNNNNNNNNNNNNNNNNNNNNNNNNNNNNNNNNNNNNNNNNNNNNNNNNNNNNNNNNNNNNNNNNNNNNNNNNNNNNNNNNNNNNNNNNNNNNNNNNNNNNNNNNNNNNNNNNNNNNNNNNNNNNNNNNNNNNNNNNNNNNNNNNNNNNNNNNNNNNNNNNNNNNNNNNNNNNNNNNNNNNNNNNNNNNNNNNNNNNNNNNNNNNNNNNNNNNNNNNNNNNNNNNNNNNNNNNNNNNNNNNNNNNNNNNNNNNNNNNNNNNNNNNNNNNNNNNNNNNNNNNNNNNNNNNNNNNNNNNNNNNNNNNNNNNNNNNNNNNNNNNNNNNNNNNNNNNNNNNNNNNNNNNNNNNNNNNNNNNNNNNNNNNNNNNNNNNNNNNNNNNNNNNNNNNNNNNNNNNNNNNNNNNNNNNNNNNNNNNNNNNNNNNNNNNNNNNNNNNNNNNNNNNNNNNNNNNNNNNNNNNNNNNNNNNNNNNNNNNNNNNNNNNNNNNNNNNNNNNNNNNNNNNNNNNNNNNNNNNNNNNNNNNNNNNNNNNNNNNNNNNNNNNNNNNNNNNNNNNNNNNNNNNNNNNNNNNNNNNNNNNNNNNCAAAUAUAUGAUUGUGGAAACUACAAAUAUCUGAGGAUUUUGUCCAACAUUACAAGACAAGCACUUGUGGACGCAAAGUACUUUCUAUCAAUUCCUCUAACUACUGAUGUGCAUUCUUGAAAGUCUUGGUCUUUGUUUAUUGUUUUUGGUAGGUGAAAGUCUUGGUCUUCCUAGCUUUUAUGGUUCUCUCUCCCUUAUCUCUUUAUCACUUAGAUUCACCACACCCAUGCCCAUCCUCCUACUCAAUAGUUUUCUCUCUCCCUUAUCUCUUUAUCACUUAGAUUCACCACACCCAUGCCCAUCCUCUUGCUCAAUAGUGUUCUCCUCCUGCUCGUCUGAACCUAGUGCUCGUGCUUGCUGGAUUGCUGCCAUUGAUCUCAUCCCGUUCACCGGUCUGCUCCAAGAAGUCUACUCGGAAAAGGUAAGAGACAUCUAUCUUCUUGCUCUAUUUUUCCCUCAAAUUGAUGCAGCCGCAACUUUGCUAUCUAAAGCAUCUAAUGAGCAUUUAUUACCCGAGAGCAACCACCUAUUCUUUCUGAAAUCUUUCUAUUAUGGAGGCAAAGAAGGGGCAACAGAGCAACAGAAGUUUGGUUCUUAAACCGAUUUCAUGCCUAUCUAUGAUCCUAAUUAAAGUUGAUGUCGAGUUUAAUAACAAAGAAUUGUUGCUUCAAUUUUUGUUAGAUAGUAACAUUAGGACAUUAAGAUUAAUUUUUAAUCUCCUUAUAAUUGAUUUCUUUAGGGCGCGCAUGAUAACCAUUAUGUUUCAUAAAUAAUUUAUGGAACGGAAAUAGAUUUUUCUAUUUCUAUUUCUAGAAGAGUUUCUAAGUAAAAAUAACCGUUUGAUAACGACACAAAAUUUCUUCUUUUCGGAUGACGGCGGAUUGGCGAAUGGCGGCGGGGCCCGGCGGCCAGUGGGCGACCGAUGGACGGUGGUCGGUGGCAACGAAUGAAUGACCAAUUGACGAGCGAUGAGAAAAAAAUUUAUUUCUAAUUUCUAUUCCAGAAAUAUAGAAGUAGAAAAUUUUACUUCCGAUUUCUAUUACAAACCUAUUUUUGGAAUAGAAAUAUAUUCCAGAAAUAGAAAAACGGAAUAAGUUUAUCAAACGGAUUUAUAUUCCAGAAACAGGUUUGAAAUAGAAAAAUUGUUUCUGGAAUAUAAAUUACUGGUUGUCAUGCACCCCCUUACUAAACACACACUAACAUGGAAUGAUUCUACUUGGUACAAGUUUGGGAUUUUACAUGAAAUAAUCACAUAUCUAUUUGGAAUUUUAGUCCAUUAAAUUGGGUAAACAACAAUAAAUAUCGUAAGAGGAUAGCUUCUUUCCUCUUAGAAGAGAUUCAUUCACGUUUACUAUAAUUUCACGGUGCCAAACAAAAUAAAUAACUUUUGUUGUGUCUUUUCAAAUAUUUAUUGUUAUAAUAAGAAGUCCUUGUUAUAUAAAUAUGGUAGAUUUACCAUCAACCGAAAGGGGUAAGGUGAAUUAAUAAGGUGCUUGUGAUUUAGUAUUCUUUUAAGGUGCACCAGUGUAAUCAAUCGAGUUAAGUCAAUUCGCAAAUUAAACUUCACAUGAAGUAGUUUCUACGGAAGCCCCAAGGGUGUUGCAUGUGGACGACUUGUUUUCAUUGUGUGAAAACCAAUGAUAGUUUAGUGCUGGAAAACUUAUCCAUGUAUUUUCUUUCAAGAUAGAGAAAAAUGUGAAGGUGGUUGUGAUAAAAAAAAUUAAAUUUUGAAUUAUGGAAAUUAAAAUUGUGCUUCGUUAAAAAAAGACCACACGAUGACUCAGUGUUUUGUUAGAGAAAAAGGUAUUCUAUGUCGGAAAUUUUUUAGAGAUUGUUCAUCUUUUAUAAUGCGCAUUAAUCUGGUAUUAAACAAACUUCGCAUAUUAUUCAACCCUAAAAACCCAACUUGUCAUUUUAUAUUGUACGCUCCUAAAAGUGAGUAACUUUCUCAUAUUUGUUGACUCCCCCUUUUGAGUUCUAAUUUAUACUAAAGAAUCUUUAGUCGGUCAAUUUUAAUUUUAAUUUUAAUUUUUGAAGGCGUCAAAAAAACUUAUGAUAUUUAAUCAGUUGGUGGGGCUGCGAAGCCAAGAACACAUCACUCCAUGGAUUUUUGCUCUCUCUCUCUCUCUCUCUCUAGAGAGAGGGGGGACCAAUAAUGCUAUGACACCCCCCAACAUCCCCCAAUCCGUUAGGGUCGCCACACUUCUUUCCUCAUCCUAGAUAUCCUUCUUUCUUAUAUCAAUGGACUUCGGAGAAUCCAUAUGGGGGUCUUAUUACACAUUCUUUGGUCCCUACGCAAUGUAUAUGGCGGAAGUGAAUCCAACAACUCCCUUCCUAAACACUGAAAUGAUGCACACUAGAUACACAUAGAUAUCGACCAAGCAUUUUUUUAUUUUUUUUUAUUAACGUAAACUUGAUAGACGUCUUUUGUCGGUACAACAAAAGCCAAAGUUUCCUAUACUUGGCUAUAUGAAAAACUAGACCAACAUUUUCCAUUAGCUACUCACAAGUCGUCUAUCAACAAGUGUCGGUGUCCAAAAUUUCGUUGUUGACCUCAUGUCCUCGAUCACUCUUCAAGAUGACGAACUCCUGAUGCCCGGAACCCAAGGGUAGGCCAGUGUCGAACAUCACUAUCACCCUCACUCAAAUGAAAGUUAGGAUCCUGAUGCUCUGUCUGUUCCCAUUGUAAAUCAAUAGGGAUCCCAUAGAAAGUACCAAGAGGUGCGAGCAGCAGAAACAUCGUCCUUACUCUGAAAUAUGUUAGUCCCCACGAGAAGUGAGUACAACCACUCAGCAGCUAAAGAUCUACUAAACUAUAUUAUGUAGAAUCAUUGUCAUAUGAUUUCAUGCAAAAUCCACAAAACACAUCAAUAAAAGAAUAGAUGCGCAUUAAGUCAAUAAAGCUUUUCAACGAAAUGGCAAGCGCAAUUUAAUAACCAGAACACAUCAUUUCAAUCAUGUGGGUCUUGAUUAUAAGGCCAAAUCGUUAUGACACGUUCUAUACCAUGUCACACAAUUUUAUUCCAUAAUCAGGCGCAACUAUCAAAAUGGCGUAACUCAGCAGCACAAUCAACUUUAAAACUCAAUAGAUUCGUGAUUCACUAUCACCUACUCCCAGAGGACUAGUGUUUGCAUCACUCCAGGCAUUCGCACCCAACUUGGCAUCACGAAAGCCUUCGGUUCAUAUUUCAAUCAUUGGGCAUUCGGAGCGUGUCAUGUCUCACUUCUAGCAUCUCGCACCUAACCUAGCAUCACGACGAUUCAGCAUGGCUCACUAUGUUACUANNNNNNNNNNNNNNNNNNNNNNNNNNNNNNNNNNNNNNNNNNNNNNNNNNNNNNNNNNNNNNNNNNNNNNNNNNNNNNNNNNNNNNNNNNNNNNNNNNNNGUCAUAGCUUACAGAUCCCGACACCCAGGGAACCUCUGGGGCUCACCACAAUAAUGGUGUCCAACAGGCAUCCAGAGCGUGUCAUGUCUCACCUCUAGGCAUCCCAUCUCCUGAGACUUCGUCAUCCUGAGGGUUCGACGGUAGCAAUAAUAUAUCAACCAUGGUGUAGUCAUUUAAAUCAAAUCAAUGCCAAAACAUUUUCAAAGGCACAUCAAUACCACAACAAUAGUUUUUAAAACAUAUGUCAAUCCUAUAUCAAUGAAAUCAAAAGCACGAUACAAAAUCCAUAAGAUUCACUUCCACAGUUAAACCUCUAAUAGGUUUCGAAAUUCACUUAUAAAUCCUCAAGCCGCACUUGCGCCUCACGGCCUGAAUUGAAAAGGUUUAUCAAAACUGUAAGUAAUUUGAAAUCGGCAUAUCGGCAAUUCCAAACCUCACUCCCGACUUCAAGGUUUUUAAAACGGUUCAUGUAAAAGUUUGAGAUUUCUAGGACACCAAACAUUUUUCUUUUCUUUUUAAAACAUUUGUGAGCAGCACCUCGGUACAUAAAAAUUUCAACACAAAUUGGGAGGUUUUCCAAAACAGUUUAUAAGCGGAAUUCUCAAAGCUUUACAAACGCUAAAAUUGAUGCAUAUUUGAAGUCUGAAAUCACAUGUAUUAAUAAAAACUAUAAAGCUUCCUCAAUCAUCUAGCCCCAAACAAUUUCGGUCAUCCUAUAUAUCACCAUUCAACACCAAAUUCAAACAAUCCAACCUAACAAUGCACUUCCUCAGUCAACAACGGCACUACAUUAUAUAGGUUAGUAGACUCCAACUUGCCUUAGGUCCAGUGGCAUUGAUGGUGAGCGGACUGCAAGCUACCAGCUACGGUUGAUGUGAAGAGAAGCAACAACGGCGUGCGGUGAGGCGUGAGCCAAGGCCUCUCGAGUCUUGCUGCGGCAGAGGGGCGGCAACAGAUUUUGAGCUGCGACGCUGGUGGCAGGCGGUGGUCUUCGGCAACAAACCGAAGGUGAAGCGAUGAGACUUCCUGAGGUGGUCGGCUUGGCUAUCUGUGGGUGACUCAACAACGAUGAGGGGGUCGGUGACAGAGUGGUGUGGUGGUGCGACUAGUAGCUAGGUAUGGGAUGGUGAGGAGGCCGAUGGCGUGGGAUACAGCGGUGUGGUGUGGGUGGUUGCCUACCGGUGGCCUAAGAAGCACGGACACUCUCCGGAAAUCUUCGUGUCGUGUCCGACACUUUGACACGUUUUCGACACGCGAUCAAUGAAUGUUGAAAAAUCCGACACUUGGUCAACUCUUCCCAACACGCUCCGACACACGAGUCCAAAAUUUCGACACGUAAUUCCGACAUGCACGGGGUCAAUUUUAAAAUUUUCAAUACUUGAGGGGUCAAAAUAUAAAUAUAUAAAAUAAUGAAAUACAAAAUAAAGAGACCAAAGAAAUUCUCACUCUCAAGUUCUUACUUNNNNNNNNNNNNNNNNNNNNNNNNNNNNNNNNNNNNNNNNNNNNNNNNNNNNNNNNNNNNNNNNNNNNNNNNNNNNNNNNNNNNNNNNNNNNNNNNNNNNNNNNNNNNNNNNNNNNNNNNNNNNNNNNNNNNNNNNNNNNNNNNNNNNNNNNNNNNNNNNNNNNNNNNNNNNNNNNNNNNNNNNNNNNNNNNNNNNNNNNNNNNNNNNNNNNNNNNNNNNNNNNNNNNNNNUUGAGAGUUCUUGUCUUAGAUUUUCAUUUUUCUUAAACCUUGUUUUACAGAGGAGCUCCAAGCCAGUCUAUAUCAUGAACUCCGAACUUUGUCUAGAACUAUAAGAAAUCUCACUAAUUUCUAACGAUUGUAAGAAAACAUGACAUGUUCCUUCAAAUUUACUCUUUUGGGUUUGCAAUUUUUAAAUUUCUUAUUCAAUCUCUAUCAAAUUAAAAUAAUGAAUGAUAUUAACAAAUGUUGAAUUAAUAUUUUUAGUAUAAAUUAAUUAUAUGCUCUUUUUAUUAUUUAUUUUUGUAUUUAUAUAUAAAAAUAUAUAUUUAAUAUAUAACGUGUCAAAACAUGUCGAAAAUCUCUAUUAUUUGAGAAAUAUCGUGUUGUGUCGUAUCGUGUCGUGUCGUGUCUUAUGUCACGUGUCUAUAUCGGUGCUACAUAGUUGGUUACGAUGCCUGAGCUAUGGAAGACCUUCGACUGAGAGUUCGCUGCCAUCAUCAAAGGGGUGGAGAACUAGAGAAAAUGAGGGGAAAGAAACUCGGCUUCACCGGAUGCAAGAGGAAAUCAAUCCCUCUUGGCCGUUGACUCCUUGAGUCACGCGUGCGGUGACAGCGAAGAGGCGAGGACAGCUCGAGCAGAGCGUGGCUGUCCUUGAAGAAUUUUAGUCGCCAUCUGUCCCUUCCCAUGCGUAGACGCGUCUUCCCUUUUGUUGACUGCAUGGGUCAACUAAGCGGGCCUUCGCGGCAGUCAACAGGAGAGGAAAUCCGGUGCCGGUCGAAGGACGUCUUGCAUGUCCAUGCAAGAGACGUGUCCGAUUCCUUGCUCCUGCACUCGGUACGCUGGUCGAAGAAGGAGAGGGGCGUGGCAGCAGCUCGCGUGCAGGAUGUGGGCUUCAAGGAGUCAAAGUCUUCAAAUAGAUGUCCAGUUGAAGAAAUCGUGGCUGCAUGGUCAACCUUGCAUGCAUGCUGGACGUGGCUGCUCCUUCGGUCAAAAUCUUCCAUUUUUGUUGACCGGUUGAACUGCGAGAGAGAAGGGGCUGCAUGGUUCUGUACGUGCAUGGGGGAAAGGCAAUUUAUUUAGGGCUAUUAGGUGGUCAAAUAUCCUCCUUUGUUGACCCCCAAAUGGACGUAUGCAUGGCUAUGCAUGGGCGAGUUCCUCGAUCGCGUGAAGGAGGGGUACCUUGAUGGGGCCACAACUUCGGGAGUCGACGUCUCCGUGUGCUUGAAAACUCGCUUUAAUAAGGUGCAAAUGCGGAAGAAAUGGGUCUCACGGGUGGCCUUACGUGAAAAGAUUCCUAGAUGAGAUGUUAUUGCGAGAAUGUGAUGAAAUGUGACGUUUCGAUGCGGUGAGAGUGGUGACGAAACGGCGACCAAAAGUGGCGCCAACAACAUAGUCCGACGACAAAUCCGUUGACCCAUCACAGAUAGUUACAUAUUCGAGGUCUGGCGAAAUCCGGAUGUCACAUUAAGGGUUUAGUACAUGUUUUAGAUAUAAUUCAUUGAAAAAAAAAGUGUAAAUGAAAAGUAAAUGUUUAUAAUCGUGCAUUCCCGCUACCAGAAAAUAAAAGAUAUGAUGAGAAAAGGGAGAGGGAAAAAAAAUACAAAGUCACCACCUGAAAGAGGUGAAAUGCUCAUACCAAAAAAGAAAAAUCAUAUUGUUAAACAAAUUAAUAUGGUUCUAAUCUCCUUGUGAAUUUUUCAUUAUGAUGUUACCAAAUUAUGGAAGACUUGUCAUUUUUUUUUCUUAAUUGUAGACCAAUAGAAGACAAAAAGAAAAGAGGGACAUUUGCUUUAAUUCAAGGUAAAUAGGAAAUACAUUGUUGAUGGAGAGCACGUAAUGUCUGGGUGAACUUCACACGAUUCAGAAUACAAAAUGUUUAAAGAACGCUUCUAGAGAAAUGCCUUCUUGCUGCACAAAAAGAUGUAGAUAAACAGACGAAAGGCUGGAUGGAAAGCACGUGCUCUCCGAACGAUUCCGCUCAUUGAUCGCAUACUUUGGAUAUGCGAUCAAUAUAGGCUUUAAGUGGCAGUUACAAUGGUAAAACUUCGCAGCAAGAUGAUGACGAUGAUCUGCCGAGGGGUGCUAAGGUAAUAGUUGAUAAUCGGAAUCGCUUGAUAAGAGAACAAUGGAUUGAUGCAUAAAGUAUAAUUUUUAGUAGAUUAUGUAAUGUUAAUUAAUGAUUAUUGACUCCUUCACUAUUUGCAAAGUAAACUAAAGCAACUUGGUUAAUGGAUUAGUUGGUGCACCUGACCUUUUUUCUUGUUUAGCCCAAAGCAUGUGCUUUGUUUUCCUUAUUGAACGGACAAAAUUAGUCACCUUUGAUGUCUUUACAUGGUCAUUCACAUUGAAGGAGGAACCGAUAAUCUUCUCAUAUCUUAAACAUAUGCAAAUUUUCAGUAAUGUAACCGCCACAUAAAAGCCUACAUUGAUCGCAUAUUCAACAAUAAAGCAAAAAAACAAGGACAAUGAAAUCAUAGAGAUUCUAAUAAUAUAUGAAUGUGUGAAAAGCUAACACAACACUCAUAAGUAAUGAAGUUUUUGACGAAAAUAUGUGUGAGCUCUAAGUUGGUAAUAUGAAGAAAAAUCACAUUUAUCCUCUGUUUUGGAUGCCCACAAGAAAAGUCUGGAUCCGAAGAAAAGGGAGAACAAUUGACAAAACAGGCACUCUUGGACAAAAAACUAUUUUAGUUUGAUUUGUCUAAACUUUGGUGUGCAUCCCUUGAAAGUCUUGGUCCUUUUUUUAUUCUUUUUGGUAAGUGGACGUCUUGGUCUUCCUAGAAUUCACAGUUUUCUCUUUCUAUUAGCUCAUUUUACUUUACUUCACCAAAACACUUUGUUGUUCUCGACAGUGAUUGAUUCACCCAUGGCCAUUGGGGAGAUCGUUUUGGGUUCCUUCUUUCAGACCUUGUUUGACAAGUUGAGUUCUUUGGCAUCAGACUAUGUGCAACGGGAAGGAAUUGACACCACCAUCCUUGAUGAUUGGAAGAGGAUGCUAGUCACAAUCAAUGCAGUGGUGGAUGAUGCAGAGGAAAAGCAACUUAGCGGUAAUUGUCUAGUGAAGCUGUGGCUCGAUGAUGUUAGGGACUUGGCCUUUGACAUAGAAGACUUGCUCGAUGAGUUCGACAUCAAAGCCACUCAAGUUAAGUCGGAGGUAGAAUCUAGGACAAGUAGAGGUCAAUGGAAAAGGAAGUUCUUUUCUUUUACAUGAUCAGGCUCACUCAUGUCUGACACUAAGGUCCAAGAUAUCAAUGGUAGGGAUUGUCAAAAGGAGGGAUUAUCUAAGUUUGAGAGACAAUGUUGUGGACAGAUCCAACUACAGCAACAAAAGGGAUCCCACUAGUUCUCUGCCGGAGCCUCGGUUUGUCGGUAGGGAGAAGGAAGAAAUGGAGAUACUCCAACUAUUGAUCUGUGAGGUCAAAAAUUCUGAUGCCACACUAAGCAUAGUUCCCAUAGUUGGGAUGGGCGGUGUUGGAAAGACGGCCUUGGCUCAGCAGCUAUAUAAUGAUGCCAAAGUGAAUAGUUGUUUCAAGAAGAAAGCAUAGGUUUGUGUGUCAGAUGUUUUUGAUGUCCUUGACAUAACAAAAACUAUUUUGCAGUCGAUCACUAGGUCGUCCGAUGACGACAAAGAUCUUAACAAGCUUCAAGUUAAGUUGAAGGAUAAUCUAGCUAGGAAGAAGUUUCUUGUGGUUUUAGAUGAUAUAUGGAAUGAGAAGUAUGAAAAAUGGACCGCCCUCUUAAAGCCAUUUGAAGCGGGGGCUAGCGGAAGCAAGAUCAUCAUCACGACUCGCAACCUUAAUGUUCCAUAACAAGAGCUUCACCAUAUCAUUUGAGGGAAUUGUCCUUUGAUAAUUGUAUAAGCUUAUUGGCAUUUCAUGCUCUUGGAGUAACAGAUUUUGAGAGCCACCCGGCUUUUAAAAUAAUAGGCAAGAAAAUAGCUGAAAGAUGUAAAGGUUUACCUUUGGCGGCAAAGAUGUUGGGCAGUGUCCUACGUACUAAAAGUAAUCCUAAUGAGUGGGAAGAUACCUUAAAUAACAAAAUAUGGGAUCUUCUGAUGGCAGAGAAUGAUGAGGUUGUCCCAAUUUUAAAAUUGAGCUAUGUCCAUCUUCCUUCCUAUUUAAAGAGAUGUUUUGCUUAUUGUGCGGUAUUUCCCAAGGAUUACGAAAUUGAGAGGGAUGAGUUGGUACUCUUAUGGAUAGCAGAGGGACUUUUAGAUGGGCAAAAAGAAAAUGAGAAUAUCUUGAAAUUGGGACGGAAGCAUUUUUUGAUGAGUUAGUAUCCAAGUCAUUUCUUCAACAAUCAAGUAUCGAUGCAUCUAAGUUUUCAAUGCAUGAUCUUUUGAAUGAUCUAGCAAAGUCAAUUUUGGGUGGGACUUGCUUUAGCUCAGGGGGGUCUCAGGUAGUAAGUAAUGAACAUGAUGUAUCAUCUCUUGAAAAAACUCGUUAUGCAUCAUUCAUCCCAUCGUGGUAUGUUACAUCAAAAUACUUGAAACCAUAUCAAGGAAUGAAGGCACUAAGAAGUUUAAUUCUGGUGUGUGAUCGAUCUUGUGGGGGCUCUUUCUUUAUUUCCAACAAGGUGCUACAUGACUUGCUAACAAAAUUGAAGUACUUGAGAGUAUUCUCAUUAUGUCGUUGUAACAUUGUAGAGGUACCGAAUUGUGUUGGUGAUUUAAAACAUCUUCGAUACCUCAAUUUCUCGUACACUCAUAUUGAGAGGCUACCUGAGUCAAUUGGCACCUUGUGCAAAUUACAAGCUUUGAUUUUAAGAGGUUGUCAAAAGCUUUCAAAGUUGCCUCAAGGUAUCACAAAGUUAGUCAGCUUACAGUUUCUUGAUAUUAGAGAUACAAAUAGUCUAAAAGAGAUGCCGUUGAGUAUCAGUAAUUUAAAUAAUCUUAUUAUCUUGUCCAAAUUUGUGGUGGGACUUGAGAAAGGGUCGCAAUUGAAAGAGUUAAAAAACUUGCCACAUCUUGAAGGAGAAUUAUUCAUAUCAAAAUUACAAAAGGUGGAAAAAGUUAUUGAUGCAGUUGAUGCUAAUUUGCUUCGAAAGCUAGGCCUUACCAACUUAUCCUUGCAUUGGAGCGAACAUUUGGGAGAUCUCCAUAAUCAUGAGCACGAAGCACAGGUGCUUGACUCUCUGCGACCUCACACUAAUCUUGAAAAUCUCGCUAUUUUGAACUAUCGUGGUGCAGUAUUCCCAUCAUGGUUAGAUUGUACAUCCUAUUAUAAAAUAGUGUCUUUCUAUUUGUGGGAUUGUCCUAAUGUUAUGUCGCUGUCUAUGAUUGGACAACUACCUUCACUUAAGGAAUUAUCUCUUAAAGGUCUACAUGCAAUAAGAAUGAUAGGCUUUGAAUUUUAUGGAGGUACAAGGCCUUUUUCAUCCUUAACCACUUUGAAGUUUGAAGAGAUGUUGGCAUGGAAGGAUUGGUCUCCUUAUGCUGGGCGCCCAAAAGAAGAAGUCUCAUUCUCCUGUCUUAAGCAUCUUGUUGUUCGGGGCUGUCCUUCGUUGGUCAGGAGAUUGCCUUGUCAACUUGAUCGUCUCACAAAGCUUGAAAUUCAUUCAUGUCCGCAUUUGAAAAACUUAACCAAUGAUGUUUGUCUUCCAUCUCUCCAUGAGUUGUUCCUCGAGGAUUGUAACAAAGAGAUCUUGAAGAGCUUGAUCAACCUAACUUCUUUGACCAUUCUUACAAUUAAGAAUCUUGUAGAGUUUGUUUGCUUUGAUCUUGGGUUUAUGAGCCACUUGAUCAACCUAAAGGAGCUUCAUAUAGGAGGGUGCAACCAGUUAAAAUAUUUGUGGCAAGAUGGAAAUGAAAUGCUAAAUCUUACUUGUCUCCAGGAAUUAACCAUCGUAAGAUGUCCUCAGUUCACAUCAUUCGUGGCAGGAGAAACAGAAAUAGAGCUGCCAUGCAACCUUGAAAAGAUGAAAUUGAGUAAUUGCACCAGUUUAGAAAAGCUUCCGAGCAAGAUGUACACACUCAAUUAUUUGUCUAUUGAACGGUGUCCAAAACUCAUAAUGCCAACCAUUUCUUCAUAUGACCCCACCAGUAACAACCCAAUAUCUCAACUUCAAUCUUCAUGUACAAGUAAAUGUGAUUCUCUGACAUGUUGUCCCUCUACCAGAGAUAGACUUGCUACUCUAAAGACAUUUUAUAUUAAAUACUGCGAAGGAGUGGAAUCACCGGAAGAAAUCACCAUAGAAUCACUUGAAUUUAUGGGAAUUCGCAAUUGUUGGAAUCUAAGAAGCCUACCACAAUUCCUUCACAUGCUCUCCCAUCUCACUGGAUUGAGUAGAAGUGAUUGUUGUUAGAUAGAGGACUUUCCUCCCCUUCCCCUCACUCUAUCAAGCCUUACACUUGAGAGAUGUCCGAAGAUAAAGUCUAUCACCAGUAUCACGAGUUGUAACAAUCUCACUUCUUUGGAUAUAAUUGGGUGUGGGGCAUUGGAAAUAAUAGAUUCCCUUCCCCUUCUCAUCACCCUGUCACAUGUCUCUCUCUCUAAUUGCCCGAAGAUAAAGUCUCUACCAAAGUGGCGUCAUCUUACAUCCCUCCGGAACAUAUCCAUUAGGCAUUGCCAAAAUAUCCAAUGCUUGCCUGAAGGAGGUUUGCCUCCCAAUUUGCAAGCGUUUCAUUGUGUGUGCGAGAAUAUGAAACAACCAGUGAGAGAAUGGGGCUUACCCCUGCUCACAUCCCUCACGUUUCUAGAUAUUAUUGGAAAAAACAUGGGAGGGGAGGGAGAGAAGGUGCAGUUUCCUGAGGAGGAGGAGGAUGAGGAGGAUGCCUGGAGUCUUCUCUUUCCUUCCUCUCUUACCUCUCUUUGGAUUGGCCAUAUGAGGAACGUGGAAAGACUAUCAGAUGGCCUUCACAAGCAUCUCUCCUCUCUCCAGUGUUUAGGGAUUUCAAAUUGCCCGAAGUUGAGGGACUUGCCAAAGGAUGGCCUCCCUCCCUCCCUCCAAGAAUUGUGGAUAGAAGGAUGCAAGAUUCUGAAAAAUUGAUGCUCAAAACACACUGGCGACUAUUGGCCCCUCAUCCAAGAGAUCCCUGACAUCGAGAUUGAUUGGGUUCAGAUUCAAUGAAUUGAUUCAUCCUGGUAUGGUAAGGUUUUUUAGGGUUCGGGUAAGUUUAUGGUUUCGAACGCAUCGAUUUCCCAUUCUGCUUCCUCAAUUUGAUGCAAACUGAUUUUCCCUUCAUGUAGAUGUCUCACAUAAAUUUCUGGGAAAAUCCAAGAAAUCCCUGGCAUGCGCAUUGAUUAGUUUCAAAUCUGGUGAAGCGAAAUUGUUCCACUUUCGCUUUCAUUUGCUAACUGCCACGAUUCAUCCUUCGAUGUGCAGUCAGUUUUCUAGGGUCCAGGUAAGCUUUUUGGUCUUGGAUGCAUCAAUUUCGCUUCUGUUCUUCAAUUCGAUGCUUUGUGCGAAUUAAUUUUUUCCCAUGGAGAAGUGUCGCAUAAGAUUUCCAGAAACCGCCGUAUCGUGAAAUAUAAGUAAAAUUCAGGGGUGAAAGAAUGAUAUUUAGUUGCCUGAAUCCCAGCAAGAGCUUCCUUUAGUCUCCAAUUGCGCUGCUUGAGGAAGUUGAUGAUAUCCUCGUAUGCCACUGCUGCAUCCAUCUCUUCUACUGCCUUGACCUACUUUUUUCUUUAGCCACCGCAAUGCUCUUUCGACCAGCAAGUAAUUCAGCCUCCUCUGCCGGCAACCAUCGCCCCUGUUUCAUUUCUGGCCUCAAUCCCAACGACGGCAUGUUACGUAAGACCCGUCUUAGUUAAUCUUAACAAAACCCAGCUCAGGUUUACUCCAUGCACCGUGCCUUGCAUCAGCCCAAUCAUGACCUAGCUUACAUUUUUACUGGAAACACACUGCAAAACAGCUUUUCUAACCUGUACAAGUGACAGUUUCAGCAUCUGGUGAUUUAUGGGUAAAAGUGAUUGCAUUUUGAGCUUUCCAGAUUUGCCAACAAGUGUAGGCAAUCAUUCUUAGGAGUUAUCACAGCAUACAAAUAAGUCACCAUCGCCGGUGAUUGGUGGUCUCCCAUACUUGUGAGUUAACAUAAUCGCAAGAAUUUUUCAGCAAAAAAAAAAACAGAAAGAAAAUCAUCAAGAGGGUAUCCUUGUUCAUUUUUUGUUGCAGUCAAUUGAGUAUGCCUAUAAUCUUGUUCUGAUCACUCUAAGCAUGAAAGGUAAUUUUUAUUCAGAACUAAUUGAUAGUCCUCUUUCAGAUUUUUGGGUGAGAAAUACGAGGAAUGUGGAAAGAGUAUCAACAGUGGAGGAUGUAAGAAGCAUGGAGUAUUCUGUUUCGCUCAUCUCUACAUCUCUUUGGAUGAGAACUAUGAGGAAUGUGGAAAGAUUAUCAAGUGGUCUUCACAGCCAUCUCUCCACUCUCGAACAACUACAUUUUAUAGGUUAUUGGAACAUGCCAGAGGAUGGCUUCUUUCCCUCCGCCAAGUAUCCGACAUAAUUCAAUUUCAAAUUCUGAAAGAUUGAUGCUCAAAACUCAGUGGCGACUAUGGGCACCUCAUCCAAGAAAUCCCACUCAUCAUAGUCGAUCGAGUUCGGAUCCAAUAAGAAGAUAUCUAUCCAAUUUCUAAUUUUGCUCUUCAGGUAAUGAUUUGGACUUCUUUCUUUCUUGCACACUUGUUUUUUAGUUACCGUUGCUGCUUCAGGAUCCAUUUCUAUUAUGAAUCCUCAAUCCGAUGCUAAAAGGUUCAUGUGGACAAGCUUCACCUAAAUUUCCACAAACCGCUGCUGAAGGUCCAAUGUUGACUUUUGGGUUGCUCUGUUUUGUUUGACAAGGAGGCAAGUAAUGACAUGGUUAUAAUUCUAAUGCGGUACAGCAAGCCAACCAACCAAUGCUUGAUACAAGUGACUAUUCCUCAAAACAAAUAAUACUAACAUGACUUGUUAACAGUGCUGGAAUUAUGAUGCGUAUAUGUGCCUGUCUGUAUUGAUGAUAUAUCUUGAACUGAUUGAUGACCAAACAUUGCUUAUAUCUCCACUUAUGGAAAUACACUACGCUUUGCGUGAGAAUCAUGAAGAAUUGUUGCUCUUAUAUUGUUAUUUUUCCACAACUUUGGUGUUUGUUAUGUUUUCUCUUCCAAAUAUCUUUUUUUUUAAAUUUUCUAUAUCCUAGUUCAGUGACCUGAAUUGUCUCAACUGUGAUUGUUUUGCAGAAUAUCCCACUGUUAUCUUUAUUUGGCAAAAUUUCUCAGGAGAAUCAAAUGUAAACAGUGCCGAGGUAAGCAACUAAUGUGCUUAUGUUCAUCCAUUGCAACUUGACAAAAGAAAAACAAUAAGCUAUUUUUUAUUGGUAGGAGUACUAAUGUGCUUUAAACUGCUUUUUUUUUUUUGUUGGCGACAUGCUCUAAAAAAUUAAUCUGUAUUAUUAUGUCAAUAAUCGAGGUCUAUAUUAAUAGUCAAUCAAAGAAGCUUUCUUACUUCCAAAAGUAGCAGCUACAGUAAAGACCCAAAAAAAAAAGAUUUAAAACAGGUGUUUUCAAGUUGGCAAAUAUGACAACUAAAUUUGAAUGAGGCCUGCAGCAUAAGCCAUUCAUAUCCGAGUUCUUUGUUGAAGUUCAUGGUUCCUCUUUCUUCUAUUCAAAUUCCCACACUAUCUCAAAGCACAUUUUCUUUUUCUUUGUUGUCAGGGAAAGGGGAAAAGGAGUAAUAAGGAAGACUAUGAUCUGUCCAAAUUCUGGAGAUAUUUCUAUGCGAGAUUCUGAAAGAUUGAUGCUCAAAACUCACUGGCGACUAUCGGCCCCUCAUCCAAGAGAUCCCUCUCAUCUACAUCGGUGUUCGGAUCCAGUGAACUGAAAUUGAUCAUACCCGAGCCCUGACAAAGGAUUUAUCUCCGUUGACAACUUUGCCUUCUUCAGGUCUGCCGCAAUUCGUUGUUCCACCUAAAGUCAGCUUUCUGGGAUUAGGGUCAGUCUUUGGGUUGGAAGGCAUCAAUUCGGUUCGAUACUUAAUACGGAUUGAUUUUUCCCGAGGAGAUGUUUCUCAUAGAAUUUCCAGAAACCAGCCACUAGAGGUCAAAGACUGACAUUUGGGUGUGUCAUGUGUGUCCUCGAUGUGGCUUUUUCUUUUUACUCCAGUAACUCACUGUUGAUAUAAGCAAAUGUGAUAAGAAGGAUGGGGGAUGCGGAUGUAGAUCCCAAUCUUGGCAUAGCUACCUAAUGGGCACAAGCAUUUGCCUUUUGUGAAAUACAACUAAAAUUUAGAGCUGCAAAAUGAUCUUUAGCUUCUUGCAUCCCGGCAGGAGCGUCCUUUAGUCUUUAAUUGCACAACUUGGGAAAAUUGAUGAUAUCCUUGUAUACCUCAGCCGCAUUCAGCUCCCCUACUGCCUUGGUUCAGCUUUUUCUUUAGCUACUUCAUUGCUCUUUCGAACAGCAAGUAAUUCAGUUUUCUUUGCAGUUCUAGUUUGCAUUGCGACACCCCUGCAGGUAAUCAUCUCCCCCAUUUCAUCUCUGGCCACUAUCCUAACAACAGCCAUGUUUUGUUCCUUCUAUAAGACCCAUCAUGGUGAAUUUUCACAAAACCUAGCUCAAGUUUACUCUACGUGCCCUGCCUUUGCCUACCCAAUCAUGACUUAUCUCUCUUGCAUUACCGGCAACACAGUCUAAAUGAGCUUCUUCAAAUUUGUGUAAGUGAGUUUCAGGAUCAGGUGAUUUAUGGUUAAAGUUUACUGCAUUUUGAGUGUUCCAGAUAUAACAACAGGUGUAGGCAAUCAUUCUUAAGCAUUGUAAGGCCCUACCAAGUCAUUCGAUCUCCUGACCUCACAUUUGUAGAAUAUCAGCCUGUACCAAUAAGUCACCACCACCGGUGAUCAGUGGUCUCCCAUUCUUGUCAGUUAUCAUAAUCAUAAGAGUUUUUUAGCAAAAGGAAAAACCAUCAAAACUGUCACUAAUUCCUGACAAUAAUAAAGCAAAGUAUCCCUAUUCUUGUCUUGGUUGUUCACUUUUGUUCGAUCACUCUUAUAGUUGUCCAUUGCUCAUGAAAGGUAAUUGUUAUUCAGGACUAAUCGAUUGUCCUGUUCCAGAUUUUUGGACGAGAAAUAUGGGGAAUAUGGAAAGACUAUCAACAGCAGAGGAUGUAUGAUGUAUGGAAUCUUUUUUUCCUUCCUCUCUAAUCUCUCUUUGGAUGAGAAAAUAUGAGUAGAAAGACUAUCAAGUGGUCUUCAUGGCCAUCCCCCAUCUCUCAAACAGUUAUAUUUUGUAAGUAGCUUGAAUUUUGGGUACUUGCCGGAGGAUGGCUUCCCUCCCUCCCUCAAAGUAUUCCGCAUAAUUCAAUGUGAGAUUCUGAAGGAUGGAUCCUCUCUUUUCGGCAACUACUGGCACCUCAUCCAAGAAAUCCCACUGAUUGUGAUUGAUCUAGUUUGGAUCCAACAGGAAGAUUUCUCUCCACUGUCUUGAGUUUUGUUCUUCAGGUAAUGAUUCGGACUUCUUUUCUUUUACACUGGUCAUUUAGCUACUGCUGCACCAGGAUCCAUUUCCAUUCCGCUUCCUCAACUUAAUGCUAAAAUUUUCAUGUUUUUCCAUGGACAUGCUUCACAUGAAUGUCCAUAAACCAGCUGCUGAAGGUCAAAUGUUGACAUUUGGGUUGCUUCUGUUUUGUUUACCAAGGAAGUACAUAAUGAAAUGGUUAUAAUGUUAACGUGGUACAGCCAGUGACUAUUCCUCGAACAAAAAGUACCACAUGGACUUGCUCGUAGUGUCAGAAUUAUGAUGCGUCAAAUGUGCCUGUCUAUAUAGAUUAUAUAUCUGGAUUUUUGUGUGAUGGCCAAAAAUUGCUUAUCUUUGCACUUGGAUGACACAAAGAAUUUGUAAAUGGGAAUGCAUUAUGAUUUGUGUGAGAAUUAUGAAAAAUUGUUGCUCUUAAACUAAUAUUGUUCUGCAAUUUAAUCGUUUGCUGUAUCUUCUCUACCAAAUGUCUGUUUUUUAUGCCCUAGCUCCUUGACCUGAAUGCGUCAAAUGCAAACACUGUUGAGGUAGGCAACUGAUGUAGUUGUUUUCAUCUUUUGCAACUUGACAAAAGCAAAAAAUGAAAAAGCUAUUAAUUUUGGUAGAUGCACCAAUAUGCUCUAUAUGCUCUAUUUUUUAUUUUAUUUUUUGGCAACAUGCUCUAAAUAAGAUUUAUCUGUAUCUUGAUGUUGAUUAUCCUGGUCUAUAUUCAAAGUCUUCUUCCUUUCAAUAACAGGCAUUGUAGAGAUGCAAAAGUAGGGUGUAAACCUUUUUUUCGAGUCGGCAAAUAUGACAACUAAAUUUCAAUGCACGUUGUUGUUAAAGUUCACAGUUCAUCUUUCUUCUAUUUAAAUUCUCACACCAUCUCAGAGGACAUUUUCUUUUUCUUUGUUGUAAAGGAAAGGCGGAGAGGAGCGAUCAGGGAGAUUAUGCUCUGUUGCUCUGUUGAGUCAUCAUGAAAGCCUCGCGUCUGCCACCAAGUAUUUUGAUCUAAAAUUGCGAGAAGAUCGUUAUCCAAAACCACUCGCAACCCAGUUAUCUCAGGUAGGCGAGUCUCAUCACUAUAACCCCACCAAGCUGCCAGAGCUCCUGUCGCGGUUGAGGAAAGAUACGGGCACUACCAUUGCACGUGGAUUAUCCUCAUGACCUCGCAUUUGUGGAAUAUCAGCUUGUACAAUUACGCCACCAUCACAAGUGGUCAACGCUUCCCCAUAGUUCUGCAUUAACAUAAUCGUAAGGGUCAGUUGGGAAAAACAAAAUCAUGAAAAGGGUCGCUCCUUUUUCAGAUUUGGAAGAGGCAGCACCCUAGUUUUUCUUAUUGUUUUUGGUUGCAUUGAGGUGAGUAUAUAUAUAAUUUGUUCGUGUGAUUACUCUCGUAAUUGUUUAUAUGGCAUAAAAAAAUCAAAGUUUAAUGUGGAUUCCACGCAACGGUGCCAAAUCCUAACAUCAUACUUAUUAAAACGUAGAUAGCCCAACUCUUGGGGCUUAAUCCCAAUGGAUGGAAUUGCAAUUAUACUUUGACAUACAAUUCAAGUAAUAAGUUCAAGAAAGUCAUUUGGCUGGGACUACGCUUUAAUUAAUUAUAGAACCAUGCAAUAGGCGAGACCAGAUAGACCAAGUUAGAUAUAAGCAUUAAAAUUCAUAUUUACCCUAAACUAUGAUUUUGGAAUAUAUUAUACUUUAUUCAUGUGAAUAGCAGCGCCGCAGCAAGUUUGAACUCAAAAAGAAAAUUGCUUGCUCAGCUCGUUCAGAUAUUGCUUUGCUAAAUAAUAAAACCAUAUUGGGCAAGCCUUGGUAGCUCCAAGCUCCAAAAGAAUGGUCAUUGGUCAAAGCUCGCCCAUACAUUUCCAACCAUUGAACUGGGUGGAGCUGGGCUCGAUGUGUGCACUUCUUUUUCUUUUCUUUUCCUUUUUUUUUUUUCUUCUCAAGCCUAUUCAAUGAAUGAGUAUUAUUUUGCGUUUGCCGACUAUUUGAAAUAUCCUGUUUCACCCCGAAAGAAAAUACAUGCUAGACGACAUCAGUGUGGGUACAUAUCGCAACCUCAACAUUUAGGGCCUAAAUAGUCAAAAGCCCUCAAUCAAAUAUUGAGAACAAUAAUUAAUCACACUAAUUAGUUAAUGACAAGCUUGUAAUCUUUCUUCUAGUCAAAGUAGUUAUCUUCUAGUCAGCCCAAGGUAGUUGCUUUUAUACAAAGUGUUAUGAAUCUUCUUGUUUUUUUCUUUACAAUAUAUAUUGAUAUUUUAUAUGACUAAGUUAAAUAAUGAAUGUUUCAAGAAUACUUACAUAUUUGGGGCCAAUGAUUUAGAUUGGUUGAUUUUCCCAACAACACUGCUUGAUUAUAUAAGCAGAAUCAUAAGUCAGGGAUAUCAUCUACUAAGGUUAAAAUAACUUUUGAGCAAUUUCCCCUUGUCAAGGAAAAAGAAGGAAAUGGCUUUGUCAAAACUUCAACAUAAAAGCAAUCCGUUGCAAUCAAUUGAUCUUAAUUUUUUUGACAAAAUAAAAAUCUUAAUAUUUGAAGCAGGCUACAAAUAAGAACAAGUCAAUAAUAUCGACAUUUUGCAUGUGAAGCGAUAGUGGUACCUCGGAGCUUAGGCAUUUCCCUUAGUAGAGUUCCUAAUUUAAUACCGAAGAGAAGCAGGCAAAAAAAAAAAGGAGUUCUUAGUUAGUUCCCCGAAUGCCCCUUCUUCAAAUUUUGUAGUAUGAAAUAAAAAUUCAAAUUUUAAAAGAAUAGGAAGAUUUUACGCGUAGAUUUUCAAAAUGUUUUAGGUGCACUCAGUGUUAAAUGCAAAUUCAAACUGAUUUUGACAACUGUAGUAGGAUUAAGCCCUAACACCAUGCUUUUUUUUUUGGAGAAACUAACACCAUGCUUCAAAGGCAUUGAAUGGGCUGCCGUUGGCAUGGUGGGCCUCAAAAGGUAACAGCCCAAACUCUUGGGCCUUAAUCCGAAAAGGAUUGCACUUGGAAUUGACAUACAAUUUGGGUAAUAAGGUGAAAAAAAAGUUGUUCGGCUAGGACAACACUCACUAUUUGUAGAACUAUUGAAUGGGGAGUCUAGACGGACCAAGUCAGAUAUCGACCAUCAAAAUUUUUACCUGGCUCGGCCUAUGAUUUUGUAAACUAUUAUACUUUCUUAGUAUAGAUGACAGUGUUGGGGCAAGCCUGAGCCCAAGAAGAAAUGUGCUUGCCCAAACUCAUUUAGGCUUGGCAUUCGCCAAACAAUAAAACUGUGUUGGGCAAGUCUUGGUAGCUCCAAGGUCUAAAAGAAGAGUCAUUGCCCUCAAGCUUGAAUAGCUGUUUUUCCUUAUAUUUAGGUUAGGUUGAGCCGAGCUUGAUGGGCAAUUCCUUUUUCACUCUCAAGCCUGCUCAAAUGAAUGAAUAUGUUUUGCAUUCAAAUAUAGUGUGUGCUAUUUGAAAUAUCUGAUUCCAUCCCAAGAGAAAAUAUAUGAUCGAUAAUAUACUUGACAUCGAUGUGGCUACUUUUCACAUGAGCUCCAAACUUAGGGCCUAACUAUGUGCAGAAACACACAAUCAAAUAUGGAGAACAGUGAUUUAUAACAAUUGCUUUCUUUAGAUUUAGUUAAUGACAGGCUAUCAAUCUUUGUAAUCCCCUCUCCUUCCUUAUUCUAGCGUAAUAAGAUGAGUCAUCAUCAUCGCCUAACAACAAUUUAAUUGGAACUGCACAGUGACUCGACUAAAAGAAUAUCAGCAUCCAAGGAAAUCCUCAAAAGACAAAACUUAAUUCUCGGUAUUUUCGUCAAAGGAUUUAGUGUGAAAAAAUUGCCGUCGAGCAACACACCACCGUGCAAAACAAAUAACCACCCUCCUAUAAUUUUUUUAUAAAAAGGUAAGAAAAUCACCAACUAUACUCAAACAGAAAAGCCAAGUUCGAGGCUUUAGAGUAUUCUUAUGACAAAAGAAAAAUCCGAUGAUAAUUCAUUUAUACUCAAUCACAUUGUUGUUAAUAUUAAAAAGUCCAACCCAAACAUUGAGCUAAUAGGUGGAGAGAGAUCGGUAUAGGAUACUUCAAUAAUCCCUCGUGAUACUUUAAUACACCCUCUCAUGUGCAAGUUAAAAAUAAAGUGGAUAGAACGUGGCUUCUAUAAUAUAUUAGAAAAUCCAAUUCAAAAACUUAAAAUAAUAAAUGGAGGAAGACAUGUGUACAUAGACAGCAUAUAAAGCAUAUAAACCCAAUUAAACAAAUAAUGUAAGAUACCUUAACAACUUAGAAUUGACCUUACCUACUAUCACGGCAUGGUGGUGGCCGUGGGAAUGGUGGUGCUCUCUCUUGCCCCAUUCCUUCAUUUUUUUUUUCAGUUUUUUUUUUCUUUUUAGCUUUUCUUUUUGCUUUUAUCAAGCUUAUAUUUGAUAAGAUACAUGAAAAUCUAGACAUAAAUCUAAUAGACAAGUACCAUAGAGAUAAAUGAAUGAAUAAUUAAAAUAUGAUUAAACAUGAAAAAAGUUAGACGAACAUUAUUGUUGAUUUUGAGCAAGAGAGCAACUAUUAAUGCUAAUUAUUAAAUAAUAUUUCAUUCAAAUGAAAAGUAAAAAUGUGAAAAGUGAAGUAACAAAGCCAAUUUGCAUCUUGGAAAGUCUUCCUAAGUUUAUGUUAUAUGUGGCAAUGACAGUGCUAAAACAACUUAUUCCUAAUUCUUGUGGAUCAUAUUAAUUUGAUGGCUCCUUUCACAUUUCAUAUGAUAAUUAACAAUGUGGAUGUGGUUCAUCAAUUAUAGUGGUCACUCAUCGAUUAGUGGGUUUCAAUAAGAUAACAGAAAGGUGCAUCACCCGUUGUGCUUUUUUCCCCCUUUUCUUUUCACUUUAGAGAUAAAAUGAUUUAUGAUGCGUUUGGUUCAGCAUUCCCAAAGGGUUUUAAGCUUUUAAAGCCCUUUGAAGAAAUACUUGAUCGUUUGACAACCAUUUUGAAGUAACUUUCAAGUGAAAGUCAACAUCAGAAAGGCUUUCAGUAUUUAGCUAAAUGCCGAAACUCAUUUUUUUCUUCCUAAACUAUCCUCAUUCAUUCUUCAAAUUUUUGAUUUUGCCCUCAUUAUUAUAUUUUUAAAUGCUAAAAUAAUGCUAAAAAUAAAAUAUAUAUAAUUCUUUUUUUAAGAAAUUAUAUAUAUUUGAUUUUUUUAGCACUAUUGUCAAAAUUUAUAUUUAAAAAGUUGCAUAUUUUUUUUUCAAUUUUAAACAAAUAAAAAAUAAAAAAUUCUAACUAAGAGUUUGGUCUUCUUUUUUUAUAAAUAAAUUAGAUAUAUUUAUUUGAUUUUUUUUAGCACUAUUGUUAAAAUUUAUAUUUAAAAAGUUUCAAUUAGUAUUUUUUUUCAAUUUUAAACAAAUAGAAAUUAAAAAAUUCCGACGAAGGUUUUGGUCUUUUUUUAAAAAAAAUUAUAUAAUGCAUUUGAUUUUUUUAGCAUUAUUUUCAAAAUUUAUAUUUAAAAAGUUGCAUUCAUUUGUUAGAAUUUUAAACAAAUAAAAACUAAUAAAACUAAUAUUAUUCACCCAAAGAACUUUUCAAAUGUGUUUUCUACUAAAUAGCAUUUCUCUCGAGAUUACUUCUUAAAGCAUAAUUUACUAAACAACCGUUGCAUUUAACCAACAUAAGAAAUGUCUCCCGGGUUCCACUUGGUCAACUUCUUCCUGGGUUGGUUCUACAAUGUUGAAAGUCAAAUGAGUUUCUUGGGAGCUCCUUCGUGCUAGACUUUAGAAGGGGUUGUUGUGUUUGGUAAGGGUUUUGGGGAAAAUCUCCGGAAAAAUGCAAAAAACGUUUGUUCGAACAAGAGACAAUUGAGAUUUGAGAGAGAGUGAUAGAGAUGACAUGAAUGACGAUGGAAACGAGCGACUGUGGUAGCAUGCACAUCUCUAAGGUUGAGCAUUUGGUGGACUAGCACAUAUCUCAUCUUCUCAUCUCAAAGACUAGUUUUUACCUAACUAUCUUGAUCGUUGUUCACUGACAAUACUGGCUCGAACUGUAGAGCUAUCCCUAAUGAGUUGAGGCAAAGUCUCGUUCAGUGUAUCAAGAUAUUCGUUAUAGUCUGUAGUAAUUUGAACAACACAUUCUACUCUACUUCUAAGAUUAAAAUCAAUAAACUACUUGUUCUACAUGCAUUUUUCACACAAAUAAGGAUCAAUAAUAAACUCAUGGAUCGUUUAAACAAACUAAAUCAAACCGAAAAAGAAAAAUGUUCCAUUUGUACUUGUACUAUGGGUUUCCAAUGCAACAAAUGAGUUCAUCGUACAUAUUGCUUCCGAGUAAAACAACGUUCACGUAACAGAACACACACGGGGGGUGGGCCCCCCACCUUAGCGCUAGCCAGGGUGCCAAUUUUGUAAGGCCCAUUAAAUGAUGCAGUCAAAUUUGGUUGUCCCGACGACAGAUAAUGUAAUGCGGACCAGCACCAGCGGCUAUCUAAUGCCAAUUUGCCCGAUCGUGUCGACAUCAACGUCCUUCGUUACCGGUACAGAUCGUUUCGUUUUCUGAGCCCGAUUGAUGAUGUGUCCGUUUGGGUUCGAGAGUUGCAUUAAACCCGAACUGCCUCGAUCCGGUUUGCCGCUUGUCGAUUAUUGCAUGUCUGCGGUCUUUAAAACUAGGCUUGCAUAGAAAUGCUCGAGGAAUUGGUGCAAGAACGGGUCGUUUCCUAAGUUGAAUUUUGACGACAUGUUUUGAUCGUUUAUUGAGAUUCUUUUCAAGUGCUCAUCCCAAUUUAAGGGAUUUAAGAGUCAUCUUGAGGAGAUAUGAGAUGGGUUGUAUUUAGGAGUAAUGUGUUGUGACCUUACUCUCUUCAAAUCAAACCAAUCACUUGUUGUCAUGUGUUAAAAAGAGAGAGAGAGAGAGAAAUUGAUUGAAUCACGAUCUUCAUAUGGAUCAUAAUUUGUUAUCGUUAUAAUAAUUUCGACGAUGAUUAAUGAUGUACAUUGAUAUCAAUCGGUGGAAUAGAUGAGUUUCCCCCAUGACACUUUCGACGUGACAUGGUCCCAUUAAACAUCAAUGGUUGUAAUUCAAUUGGUUCUCAGUGGAUCGGUUUUCCAGUGAAGGAUUUGCCGGGCCGCACGGUCAUUCAUUAUAUACAAAAACGCACGCCACUGACUCUUCCGGGUUCAUAAUCAAUCGGCAAUGCGCUUUCGUUUCGAAAUAUCAAAAGCAACGACCAAUCAGGAAAAAGGAGUUGCUCGCCCACAUCAGUAGAUUUCCCAGGUGGGCCUCCUGGGGCCUAAAGAGCUAUAUUGGCUUUGCUGUCCGAGCAACUGUAAAUUCCAUAAUUUAAGAAUCCUGUCGUUUGUUGAUCUCUGACAGAUUCUUGCUCCUGAUUUUCACUCUUCCUUUUUUAUUUCCUUCGACAUUGCCCUUGAAUUUGCAGGGAGAACCUAAUAAUCAAAGCAAAAACAUAUUAAUUCCAAAUGAAGAUUUAAAUAUUAUCGAGUUUCGGACACGGGCUAAAUUGCACAAUCAUUCGAGAUGAAACCCUAAAUAUCUCUUAAAGAGAAUCCCACUGGUUCAUUUUCAAAUCGAAUUCAAGAAAACAACAAGAAUUCGCACGCGGCCCUCCAAGUUAUUGAAGGAGGCUGGACUACUGAUGUCUCAGUUCACAGUUGAUGCUUACCUCCGAUCACCGUGAGCGGCUGAAUUGUUGUUUCUCGUUGAUAUAGCUAGUAUAAGUACCUAGAGGGGGGUGAAUAGGUAUAUAAGGAAUUUUCUCGAUAAUUGCACAAUACUAGACAGCUGAUAGAUUUGAGACAAACAAUAAUAAAAGUAAGACUGAGAGAAGAGAAAAUUGAACACACGGUUUAUAGUGGUUCGGCUUAUUUCAAGCCUACGUCCACUCUUCUGCACUGACAGCCUAUUGGCUAGAUUCCAUUAUGAACAAAGAGAUGUUACAGCGUUGUUCUCCCUUGAUUUCUCGGUGUAGAUGAUCUACCACACUCGCUAAAGGUAUCUCUAAGUAUAGACACUCUUUGUGUAUAUAAUUUCGCUCAAAAUGUAUCGACUAAUAAUCAAGGUGCUUCAGACUCUGGAAUUUCUCUAUCGAUCAUGCACUAAAGCAACUAGAAUGUCUUCCUUGGAUACUCCUUUAUGCCAUCAUACCUGUUGGCACUUACCAAAUGAAUUCCUCCAAUCUACCCGUUGGACGGAAUCAAUCAAGAAGAUCAUUCGAGCUAUUAAAGGAACCUGACAAUAGCCCAUCAAUCAUGUUCGCCCAUAUAAUCAGGAUCUUGGUUUCCAAGAAUAGAACCUUCCAAGAAUAUUUCGUCGACCAUCGGAUCUUCAAACGAUCUUGAUUACGAAUAAAAGAAUCCGUUAUAUUUAUCCAGCCAAGAGAUCUUCUCCAGAGAAUAGGACUAAAUCCUCAACCAAAUACUUCGGCUCUGGAUUGCCUUCGUCACUGGAUUAGAAAAAUUGUCAAUGAGAAUAGUCUUGAGUCUUGAGUCUUGAGUCUGGUGAUUUGAAAGUCUUCAGACUUUAAACAGAAGGUCUGUACUUAUCCAGACUAGACUGAUAGAAACGUUUUGUCAGCUCAAAAUNNNNNNNNNNNNNNNNNNNNNNNNNNNNNNNNNNNNNNNNNNNNNNNNNNNNNNNNNNNNNNNNNNNNNNNNNNNNNNNNNNNNNNNNNNNNNNNNNNNNCCAUUGCUUGCAAAUAUUUUUUAAAAUUAAAAUAAAAGGUACCGAAAGGGCGUUAGACUAAUCUAGCGUAACCAUGUCCCCGGACCUAUUGAAUCUCUGGUUCGCAAUAGUAAAGUAUUCUCCCAUACUUUACUUAGGUUUCUAACCAGCCCUAAUUGGUUAGUGGCGGCUUUAAAUUGAAAUUGCAUGUUUAAAUGAGUAGAUUUCUAUCAAGUCGCGAUUGGUAGGACUUGGGAGGGUCCGCGCCAAGUCUUCGGACUUAGUAAUCCAUUAACCUAAACUUUAGGAUUACCCUGAAAAUUUAGGUCGCGACAAUGCAUUUUUCCUUUUUACUAGAUGAUAGUUCUUUUUCUUAAGUAUUUUAUUAAUUCUAUUAAUAUGUUAACCUAGUUAUAAUUUUUAUUUAAAAAAUUAUCAAUGAUAUUCAAUUUUCUAAUAAUUAUAUUUUAGUUAAUUAAAUUUUCUUUGAAUUCUUUAUAUUUUUAUUUUUAUUAAAAAAUCAAGGGUAAAAGAGGAAUUCCUGUAAAUAAUGAUAUGGAAAAGUCACAAAAAUAGAAAGUGAAAACACCUCAAUAAUAAAAAGGGUGAAAUGACAAAAAUUGGUAUAACAUCUAAAUGCUUAAUUGUGCAACAAUAUCAACCCAUGAAGAGCCGAAAUAAAAAAAGUGGGUUGACUCAUAAAAAAAGGAAGAGGAAAUGGUAUCCUUGACUCAUAAAGAUAAAAAAGAUUAGCCGAAAUAUAAAGUGAAUGGAGCGAAAAUUUCGAGAAGCAAACAUUUGUACUGAGAAUAAAAGUGGGUUCAUUGUAAGAAGCUUCUCUUGGGCCAUUUUAUUUUAACCAAUUGAGUUAAUGAAAAGAAAGAAAAGGAAACAUAAGAAAUGUCUCUUUGUGGUCCUUGUGAAGCCACGUCAUGAGGCGACUAAGUACGGUGUUUCUCUUUCGCGACCUUUUUGGGUUGAACGAGAAUUAGAUCCACCGAUGCAAUCGAUGCUGUUGUUGUUGAAGAAAGAACCGCAAUGCCACAAAUUCUCAGCAUCUGCCCAUCCAAUCAAACGUGUAUUCUAUGCCUUGAAUCUUUCCCUUCCUAUGAACCAACCUUCACGAGUUGAAGACACGCAGGAUCUCAGCAUCCUUUAAGGCAUGUUUGGUCGAAUCUAAUUGAGUGCCCCCACUUUUCAUUGCACCCACAGAAAAAUUUAAAGAAAAUGUCUUGCUUUAUGAGAGUCAUAAUUAGCACUGGCUAUGGGCCUUGCCGCGACCGACAUUUUCAUGUGCCCUUAGUACGUCAAAGGAAUUCCUGUGUCCGAGCCGGCACUGCCCAUGGCAAUGACGGGCCAUGCCAGCCCUCAUGCCAAGCUAGGGCAUAUUAUGCUCGGGCUUGGUUUUUAAUUUAAUUUUUUAUAAUUUGUAAAAUAAUUAAAAUACAUUUAGUUAACUAAUGCAUUUUUCUUUUUGUUUGUCAUACUAUAACUCUUAAUUUUAAGACUUUUACUUUACCUCUUUACAAAGUAUGGAAGUCGAAUCCCCAAAACUAAACUUCAUAAUUAUGUUUUAUGAGGAGUAGGGAUUAUUGCAGAAAAAAUAUAGUAGCAGCACCAGCAACAACAAUAAUAACAGUAAUAGGAGGCAAAAUGCAAUAGGUAAGACUCUGACUUAGACAAAAACAUCUCAUUGGAAAUCAAAUUACACCACACAAAUUGCACCAGUUAUAAUAAAAUUACAUAAGGCUCUUACUUAGAGAAAUACAUUUUAUAUAAUAUUACAUUAUGAAAAGAGAAAUACAAAUUUAAAUGAUAUUCCUGUCACCGUGAAUCGAAUGAGAUAUUGUUAUCCUCCUCUCUCUCACACACACACACACACAUAUAUAUAUAUAUAUAUAUAUAUUUGAAUUGGAUCAAUACUUCCAAUUUAAUGAGUAUUAGUAAAGGAUCCAUGAAUAAAUAUAGAAAAGCGCCUCUAACUCAGUACUCUUCUCUGGCUUCACUAUUUCCAUCAAUUAAGAUUGGCCUACGGUGGUCAUCUCCAGAUUCUUGUCGGACAACCUUGAUUGUUAACCCCAAUUAUUCAAUUAGCGCAUCAACAUUCUCGUGGCUAACUUUCUCAAUGUACCCCAAGUCAUCAUUAUCCAUCAUGGACGGAGAAGAGCCAGAGGAACUCAUUUGAACUGCUCUCUUUUCUCUAUAAGAUUCCAAACCAUUUAAUUUAAUUUAAUUUAAUUUGGGGGGGGGGGUUCUUUUUUGCUCGAUAAGGAUAAUGUCUCAGUGCAUGGGGCCGAAUUGCUUGCAACGUAUCCCUAGUGAUUGUCCCGCCAGCUUCACACCAUGGCCAAUAUUCUUGAACAUCGACGGAAUUACGAGUCCCGAAUUCUUUUUAUAUCGUGCAAGUAGUGAUUGUCCAGUCAGCUUCACACCAUGGCCAGUAUUUCUUGAACAUUGAUAGAGUUACGAAUCCCGAAUUAUGAGCCCCUCUAUCUUGAAUCUCGGAUCUAAACACGUUGAUGCCAUACAAAAGAGGAUGAAUUUCCUCGAAGUACUUGAGCAAUUUCUCUUAAUGACAAUAAUGACGAGACCCAAAAAGGCGUCACAUUCUUUAGCUACCCAUUCCUACGAAAUCAAGAAGAGGAAAGACAAAACUCAAUUGGUCGAUGGAUAGUCGCUCACCUCUGUGGCGUCGUUGAACACCUCCAGGAAGUGCUCGAACAGUUUGGCAACCCUUCAAUCAACCUGUAAUAAUGGAAGGAAAACGAGGUCAACACAUCCAUCUAAUCGUAGGCCUUCUGCAACACCAGAUAGGUGGAAUUCCACCUAAUUUUGACAUCUGAGGGAGCUUUUUGGGCUCCCUUCCGCAUUCCGUGAACAUCGUCUCCAUAUCUUGAACCCUUAANNNNNNNNNNNNNNNNNNNNNNNNNNNNNNNNNNNNNNNNNNNNNNNNNNNNNNNNNNNNNNNNNNNNNNNNNNNNNNNNNNNNNNNNNNNNNNNNNNNNNNNNNNNNNNNNNNNNNNNNNNNNNNNNGUAUACCCAAUACGGCCCUUUCUAGCACACAACAAUAGCCACAGGCCUUCAGGUUAGUCCCCAUAUUUGAAGUCAAUGACAUCCAUGGAUAGCAGCUGCACCGACUUUGCUCAAUUCUCCUUGUAUAGACCCUUGGAUUUCCUAGUAUUCGUGGUCCUUGUAAUGCAUUCGUAAUUUGACCGAACGCCACUUGACGAAACUCAACGAACCCUGGAUCUUGGGUGCGCCCAAAUGGUACCUCGGCCUGGAGUCUAUACUGUCCAUUUGGGCAUUGAACCUGAGCAUUGUUGUACUUGAACGGACCACUAUCGUGGCCUGUUGCAACGGUGGUGGACCUCCCCUUGGGCUUGGCCAUUUCAGGGAGAAAUUUCUCUUAGCACGUCUUCAAGUGGCCUGUGUAGCCACUAGAUUUUGCAGGUAAUUUCACACCCCACGCCAUGUAAAUGGCCUUCUUCUCGCCACUUGGGAGUACCUCGAUGCUGAACAUUCGCCAAAUCUUGGACCUUCCAACACGAAGACUGCCCAGUAUUGGUUGGAGUAGGCUACUCUUCGUAGUCGGAGGUCUGGGUCUGGGAAAUUGAGUUGGUUAAUGUAGCUGAGUUGGGUCUGUUGUGUACUCGGAAAUUUGAAAUGUCGUAUGUAGAAUUCGAGAUUUUUUUAGGAAUUGUAAGAGAGUGAUAAGUAAUGAGAAAUGGAUGGAGGCGAUGAUGAAGGAGGAAUUAAAGUUGUAGGAGUUCUUCUUUUCGGUGUGGUCGAACGAUCACAUUCUGUCACAUUCAUUUUGUUUUUCUUAAAGGGUUAAUGUUACAAAAAAAAUCAAAAUUAAUGCACUUGUGACAAAUUUAUAACAAACUAAUUUCUUUUACUACCAAAAACCUUAAAAUUGUUAAAUCCAUGACAAAUUUACCCUCUUUAGUUUCUAUUAAAUUUUAUUGUGAAAUUACUGAGUCGGAUGACAUGUGGCAAUUACUGAGUGUUCCGGUAUAGGGUUUUACUCUCUAUUUGUCACAGGUGUAUUAGUUUGAUAAUUUUUUAUGAUAUUAAUCCAAUUUAAUGAAAAUUGACAGAGUAAAUUUUUCACAAAUUUGUUAUAAAUGCACUAGUUUGGAGUUAUUAAUAAUCAAAAAAUUAGUUUGGUAUAGAUUUAAUGCAUGUGUACCAGUUUUGAAUUUUUCGUCAUAUUAAUGCCUGGGAUCUUUGGAAAAAAUUGGGGUCGUUUCCCUGUUUGGGCCCAAGGGAAUGGACUGGGCCCAACUGCGUCAUAGCCCGACCUAGCACGGCUCCUCACACAGAGAGGCCGUGCACGGGUGCCCUUGGAAGGCGAUGGGCUAUGCUGUGCUUGGGCCAAAACGGUGGAGUGGCCGUUACUGGUCAUAAUACCGUAGUAGAGUUUGUGCUAUCGGGGUCCACUUGGUCAACUUCUUGCCGGGUUGGUUCUACAAUUUUAAAGUCAAACGAGUGCUUUGGGAGCUCCUGCUGCUAGACUUUACAAGGGGUUGUUGUCUUUGGUAAGGGUUAUGAGGAAACUCUAUGGGGAAAUGCAAAAAACGUUUGCUUGAAAGAGAGACGAUUGAGAUUUGAGGGAGAGUGAUAGAGAUGACAUGAAUGACGAUGGAAACGAGGGAUCAUGGUAGCAUGUACAUCUCUAAGGUUGAGCAUUCGGUAGACUAGCCCAUAUCUCGUCUUCUCAUCUCGAAGACUAGUUUUUACCUAACUAUCUUGAUCGCUGUUUACCGAUAAUGUUGACUCGAACUGUAGAGUUAUCUCUAAUGAGUUAACGCAAAGUCUCGUCCAGUGUAUCAAAAUAUUCGUUACAGUUUGCAGCAAUUUGAACUACAUACUCUACUCUACUUCUAAGAUUAAAAUCAAUAAACUACUUGUUAUACAUCCAUUUUUCACACAACUAAGGAUCAAGAAUAAACUCAUGGAUCGUUUAACCAAACUAAAUCAAACCGAAAAGCAAAAAGAAAAAUGUUCCAUUUGUACUUUUACUAUGGGUUUCCAAUGCAACAGACAAGGUCAUCGUACAUAAUGCUUCCGAGUAAAACAACGUUCACGUAACAGAACACACGCAGUGGACAUGAUUAAAGAUAGAGAGUUCAUUUUCAGGAAACGACCUCAAUAAAACAGCAAGAAUUCGCACGCAGUCCUCCAAGUUAUCGAAGGAGGCUGGACUAUUGAUGUCUAAGUUCGCAGUUGAUGCUUACCUCCGAUCACUGUGAGCGUUUGAAUUGUUGUUUCUUGUUACAUAGCUUCAAGUGAUUAACCUCUUCCUUCCUCGUCGGAAACAAAACUUGAGGCGAAAAUCACAAGGCGAAGCUUUUAGCAUGCACAAAACGCCAAGGCUCGGCCCCCCUGCACUUUGAGUUCAACUACAGCUUUUAUUCGGUCGUCCAUGUUUUUAUUUUCCACAAAAGCCAAUCCGCACGAAUGAUAUGUUCAUCUUCUUCCGGUGGAACAAAAGCUGUGGCUGAAAAUACCCAAGAAGAAGCUUUCGCAAAUCUCAAUUAUUUGAUAGUUCAAGAGCUGCACAAUAACACUAUCUUGACCUCUUUUGCAGUUGUUGAUCCACUGGUUUGAUUGGGCUCUGACACAGCCCCCCUCGCUUGAAUCCAAGGCCCAGUUAGCUCGAAGCAGGAUUCAGAAUUCAUAUAUGAAACAGCCUUCACUACUCCGUUUGGUUAUGUGAUUGAAAUGUAAUAACUUAUGGUUUUAAAAAAAUGCCCCUUUAGAAUUUCCAAAUAUGAUAAUGAUAUACUUGAAAACUACGCCCCUUUUUUCAAUAGUGUAUAUAGAUGAUAUAUUAAUAUUUGCAAAAUCUAUAGAAGCAUUUUAAGUAUUUCACUAUUAUUAUCAUUAUUUGGAAUAAUAGAUUAGUAUUUUUAGCACCAAAUAUGAAAUAUACAAACUAAAGUAAGGCUUUUAGGACUUGAUAUAUGUCAAACAACUAUUUAACCUAUUAAUAACUAUAGAAUUCGCAAAUCACUUUCCUGGUGAAAUUAAAGCAAAAAUGCAAUUGCAUAUAUUAUUAGGAUGCCUAAACUAUGUUUUGGAUUUUAUUUCAAGUCUUAAAACCUUAUGUACACCUUUAUGCUUGUAAACGUUGAUGCUUUGAAUAUGGGAUAUGGAGGUGUAUCGAAACAAACAAUAGAUUCAAAUUCUGGCAAAAAUAAAAAUAAAAUAGGUAGAUGAUAUAUGGGAAUUUGGAAUGGUCCUCAAAACAACUAUUCAACUAUUAAAAAUUAGAUGAUAUCCACUAAUCGUGGCGAUCAAAAGUCUCAAGGUGAUAUUUAAAAGAGAAAAAGUCACAAAAAAUCUAAAAUUAUGCUCACUGUGACACAUUUAUCCUAUUUUUUUUUUUACAUAAAAAAUCCGAAAUUAUGCAUACUAUAACAUAUUUACUAUAAACUUUUUCUUUUGAUAUAAAAAGACCCAAACUUGUAAGUAUGUGACAUAUUUACCUCCAUCAAGGUUUCGUUAGAUAAUUUUUCAUCCAAACUAAUGUCGUUUUUAUUUCACUUUAGCCACGUGAGCGUCAUGUCAACAACAUUUGUUUUUGGGAAACUUUCAAAUAAGGAUCCAAAAUUGACCAACUUUUUAGGACCCGAAAUUAACUGUGUCAGAUAAAAACCUAAAGUGGACCAAUUAUCUUAAAUAAGGACUCGAAGUGGUUAAAUCAAUUCCAAAUAAGACUUAAGCUUGCUGGUCAGCCAAAUAUUCGCCGGCUAUCAAGCAUGUGACAUUUCUGACGACUAGAGUUUGGGCAAUUUUGUCCAAAAAAAAUAUAAGGGAAAUUAAAAAAAAUCCUAAAACAAAAAAAAAAACCUUAGGUUUUCUACAGUCUCCUCGUUCCUUGUACCUGUCCUCUACAAAGUCAAAGAUCGAAGUUCUCCCCAUUCCUUAUACUCAUCCUCUGCAGAGUCAAAGACCUAAAUUCUCUACCGGUUGAGGCACAAAUUAAAAAACAAGAAGAAAACCAUGUGCUUCUGACCCAAAUUCUCCGCUGGUCAAGCAAGGCGAGGAGUGACGAGAAUCGAGUCGCGAUGACAACUGGGCAGCGAUUUGGUUGAGGAACAGCUAAGAAUACCCUGAAAAACUCCAAACUAGUACACUUGUGACAAAUUUACCCCAGACUAUUUUUUUGACCACCAAAAACCCCAAACUGGUAUACCUUUGACAAAUUUACCCCAAACUGGUAUACUUGUGGCAAAUUUACCUUAUGUUAGUUUUGGUUAAAUUUUAUUGUCAAAUUAUUAAAUUAAAUGACACGUAACAGUUGACUUGUAUAAUUUUACGUUCCGUUUGUUACAGUUUAAAACUUUUGUGAUUUUUUUGUAAUAUUAAUCCAAUUUAGCAUAGGGUAUAUUUGUCACAAAUUUACCAGUUUAGGAUUUUUUGUGGUCGAAUAAAUUAGUUUGGGGGUAAAGUUGUCAUAAAUGUACCAGUUUAGAGUGUUUUUUUUAAUAAUUAAUCGGGAUAAAUUUGUCACAGAUAUAUUAGUUUGGGGUUUUUCAUGGUCAAAAAAAUAGUUUGGGGUAAAUUUGUCACAAAUGUACCGGUUUAGGAUUUUUUAGGGUAUUAACCCAAAUGAAUAACCUAAACUUAAUUAAUUUAGAAUUUUCCAUUUUUUUUCAAUCACAAAUUUCUAACAAAAUUGCCCCUAUUUUAAUUGAUGGAAAAUGUCUGCCGAUGAGCUAAGAUCCUUAAUAGAGAUUAACUUGAUCACUUUGGGUUCUUAUUUGACACAAAGUUCAUUUUAGGUUUUUAUUUGAAAAAAUAGAUUCACUUCGGAUCCUUAUUUGGAAUUUUCACUUUGUUUUUCCGAGAUCAAUGCAAGUAGAUUUUUAAUGGUCCUCAUUGACACAACAUUGGUGGAAGGUAAAUUCGUCUCAGGAAACUAUUUAGGAUAAAUGUAUCAUAGUUGGCAUAUUGUGAUUUUUUGAUGGUUUUUGCCCUUUUUAAAAUAAUUUUUUAUUAUUUUAUUUUUACAAAUUGAUUGCAAAGCACUAGAAGAAGUUUUGCAAAUAUGUUAAAGAUGGAGCUUGCUAAGAGGUGCAUAGUUGUAGUAAAAAAGGAAUUUUAAAAUUGAUGUCCAUCGAUCUUUGUGUAGAUUUUCUUUAGGAUUAAUAUUUUAAAAAAUCCCAAACUAGUACACUUGUGACAAAUUUACCAAAAACUAAUUUUUUAACCAUAAAAAUUCCAAAUUGGUACAUUUUUGAUAAAUUUAUCCCAAACUGAUACAGUUGUGACACUUAUACAAUUUAUUAAUUUCCGUUAAAUUUUACUAUCAAAUUACUGAAUCGGAUGACACGUAACGGUUGAUUGGUGCACCAUGUGAUUUUACUCUCUGUUUGUCAUAGUUAUAUUAUUUUUGUGAUUUUUUAUAGUAUUAAUUCACUUUAAUUGAGGGUAUAUUUGUCACCAACGUACCGGUUUGGGAUUUUUAGCAGUCGAAUAAAUUAAUUUGGAUUAAAUUUGUCACAAGUGUACCGAUCUAAGGUUUUUUUGUGGUCAUUUUGGGUAAAUUUGUCAGAUGUAUACCAAUUUGAGAUUUUUCGUGGUAAAAAAAUUAGUUUAGGAUAAAUUUAUCAUAGGUAAUACCGGUUUGAAAUUUUUUAGGGUAUUAAUCAUUUUCUUUAUUAGUGUUCGCUAAUGGAUUGUUAAGCCUAGACUUAACUCGGGCUCUCCUAAGCUCAUACCAAUUCGUGACUUAAGUUCAAAUUUCUUAACAUGCAAAUGCAUUUUAUCUAUGAGUUGUCACUAAUCAGUUUACGGUAGGUUGAUUAGACAUCUAAGUAAAAUAAUGAGAUGAUUAUUUUACUCCUACGAACUAAAGAUUUUGGGUAUGGGACUUGGUUACACUAGACUUUUUUAAUGCCAUUUCAGUACUAUUUCUUUUUAUUUUCAAAAAUGUUUUUGCAGGUAGUUUGGAUUAAUUUUAAAUUUAUUUCCCUAACAUGUGAGGUGAUUAUACAUGUGCACAAACCACCAAUUUAACACUCAGAUAAAAAGUAAUGAAUAAAAUGCAAAACUAACCUUAGGGCAACGAAAGCAUAUGCGUUGUUAGAUCAUAAUUCACAUUAACAACCCUAGAUAUAAUUUCUAAUUAACAAGUAAUUUCUUUUUUUGUUUUCACUUAUUUAUUGAGAAUCAUACAAUGCAUGCUACUAAUCUAAGAUGAUAUGACAUGGCAAUAUGACCUAAGCUAUAUGACAUGAGUAAAAUAAUUUCCAAAGAAAUGCAAUAAUUAAAUGUGCAAUCUAAAUUAACCUAAUGACUUAAGUCUAAUGACUGGCAAUUUCUAAUAAAUGAACCUAGCAACAAUUACUAAAUGAUGUGCAUUUCAUGAACCUAAUUCUAUAUGACAUGCACAUGAUUUUUUAUUUUCUCAAUAAGCAUGCAAUCUAUCAUAAUAUGCAAUGACGUGCAAAGAAUGUCAUAAUUCGAAUUUUUUUUAUGAAAUUCGAAAUUAAAAUUGCCAAAUAAUUAAACGUGCAAUUCAAAUUAAAAAAAAAAAUAACAUCCUAAAUGAAUGCAUUUUUUUAUUUUUUAUUUUUAACAAAUUCGAAAUAAAAUCCCUAUUCUAAAUAUGCAAGAUAAUAGGAGAUAUUCUAAAACAAACCUAUUCCUAAUUCAAAUAUUUUUUGGAUUUUUCCUUUUACAAAAGUAAAAUUGAUUCAACCAACAUGAUAGCAAAUCAGAUAAGAUAGGAUUGAUAUCCACAAAUUGGCGAAUCAUAUCUCACGCAUGGGAUCGGGUUGGCCAAUUUUUAAAUAAAUCGCGAAUUGUAUCUCGGGCGUGAGAUUGUAUUGAUGAUUUUGCAUGCGAUUGCGAGUUGGAUUUCGGGUGCGAAAAUCGGACUAUCAAUCUCAAAUUUCAGAGGCAAUCUCAUGUCGGAAUCUCAAUCAUACAUUAGGAAUUAUUCUACUAAAAAAAUAAAUAACAUAAAAAAUAGAAUAAAACAAAUAAAAGAAAAAAGGCUACCUAAUUAGAUUUUCCUUUUCUUUUUUUUUCCUUCCAUGCACAAUUUGGCAACUUCGUGGUGGGUGCGCCAUUGGUCGGGUCGCCAAGGGGGUUGGUCGCCGGUGUUCCGAUGAGGGGCGGCGGCGGGUAUCGAAACUCUAGUGAGGGCGGACCGGAAACGUUGGCAGCAAUAUCGUGGGCGGAUUAGCAGUGAUUGGCAAGAGCUGCUGGACGCUAGAGCGGAAGCGAGGAGCUCGACUGCUGGGCAUCGUUGGUGCUAGAGCAGAGGUGGCAACAUCAAGCUAAGGCGAGGCUUGGAUGGCUACAAGGCAAUGGUCGUGGGUCGGCGGCGGUGGAGAUGCGGUGCAAGGGGUCAUUGCAGAUCGGGACAGCGGCGACUUCAUCGAGCUGGUGGAGCGGAUCGGCAAUAGCAUUGGCUUUGCGGGAGAAGCAGAGAUUGAGGCGCGACGGAGCAGGGGGCUAUUGUUGCGUCGAUCGAAGGUGGAGCAGCACAGGGGCAAUAUAGUCGGGUUGUGGAUCUUGGGUUGUUGGGUGAAGCGACGACGGUGGCACGAGCGCGAGGUGCAGGCAGAGGCGUGGUGACUGGUGGCGAUGAAUGGGUGAGGUAGUGUGGUGUCAGCGCUCGUGGGUCGCCAGCGGAGGCGUUGCUGGUGUGAUGGCCGAUGCAAGUUCUGAGGCUCGGCUAUAGGCAUUGGAUCUGGCGUGGUGGAAGUGGCUCGGUUGGUCGCUUGGUUGAGGAGGUGCAGCGACCGGCUUCAAGCUUGAGCAGAGGUGCUGAGCAGAUCUGGGCGAAGGAGGGGUGCUGGUUUCAGAUUGUAGCUCCAGUGCAGUGGAGAUGGUGGGUAGGAAUCGCAAGCAGGCGGGUCAUGGCAGUGGCUGGCGAUUGGACGCAGGCGGCGCAGACGGAUGGGAUGCAGCGUCGUGGCUGAGUCGCAGCUAAGGGAGAGUAGAAGCGGAGCAAGCGAGCGGCGGAUCCGCUAGAGAAGAAUAAGACUGUUCUUCUCUCUCUCUCUCUCUCUCUCUCUCUCUCUCUCUUUUAAAAUUCAUUCUCUCUCCUCCUAUCUAUCUCACGUCUCUCACGUCACUUCUCUUUGUUCUGCUUCCCCUCUCCCUUCCGCAUGUCCCCUCUCUCACUUUCCUUCACUUUUUGACUUUUUGUGGUUUUUUCCUUCGAACGAAGAGAAGCCCCUUUGUAUGGUCGUAUGUAUCAAUAUGUGCAGCCUGGACGGCUACAGGGCGACCACAACUAGUCAUUAUCGCUAAAUUCUUCUCGUUCCACCUUUUCGUCCUCUUUGAUCUCCCCUUCUUCCUCACUCCAGUUGGUGGCCUCGGCUGAGUACAUUGGAGAAUCAGAAUUGCCUUCAAGAUUGGGAUCCUUGGCAUCCACUACUGAUCCACCCUCAGGAUCCACUAUGCCCUUCCCAAGCGCAAUCUCCAAAACAUAUCGAUGUACAUCAGCCUCCGGCACAUGACCCUCUCUUCGUCUGUCAUGAUAGUGGCGAUAUCAUGACUGGUACCUAUGAGGUACCUUUUCAGGUUUACCCAUGUCAACCUAGACGGUGGACUUUAUCAUUACAUACUCUAAUCCUUUAGGGUGAGGGUGUAUCGGAUUAUGAUAACUUACUUCUGUAACUUCCUUCAGUAUAUCAAAAUGCACGGGAGGAGGGGGAGGUGCUGCUAUCUAGGGACCUGAAAUGUUAUCCCAUAAUGGGUGAGACUACGUCUCGGCAAGUUCUACCCCCCUAAGACCCAAUUAGGAAGCCAAUACGCCUUAAGGGCUGCUUAAGCACAACAUUAGUUAGAGGACUUACCUUGGCCUUAGUUUCACCCUACAAGUCAAUAUCAUUUACAGAUAUCACAAAUCACAUCGAUUCAUAAUAUAAGAUCAAAUCAUUGAUCAAUCGACUUAGUCGAUUACAUGUCAUCACGACCUUCUCAUGAUUGGCCCAUUCAACACUAUCUAUAAGUCUGUCCAUAAUAGGACUUCUCAUUUUAAGCUGAUAAUAGAUAGUAUAGCUAUCGCUAAGCUAAUAAAUAGUGUACCGCUCUCGCUAAGCUAACAUAUCUCCCACGGGCUAAUAUACUACACUAAUAAUGCUCUCUCUAAGCUGACAUAUUGCUCUCGCUAAGCUGAUUAGGUAUACUGCUUUCGCUAAGCUGACAUAUCAGAGCCCGUAGGUUGAUAUAACAUACCGGUAUAUUGCUCGCAAUCUAAGCUGACAUAUCACCUGUAGGCUGAUAUAAUAUACUAUUCAGAUCAUUAAAUCAAUUUUUCAUUUUUAUUAUACUUGAUAAAAGUAGCUGUGUGUGGGUAUACGGUUGGCCUUAGCCAAAAUAUAAUAAUUUCACUUUUUUAAAUAUCCCACCAGUUUCAAUAGCCCAUAACAUAUUUUUGGCACUAUAAACCGACGCUCGGUAAUUUUCUAAUUAAAUACCAAAUUUAAUUAAUUUAGGAAUAAAAUCCUAAAAUUACAAUUAAAUCAGUUCAACAGAAAUUAGAACUCAAAUAAAUAAUCGGACUGCACUACAAUAAUCAACAUAAAAUUCUAAUCGUUGGCUAUCCUAGCCUAAUUUUCAGAAAAUAAAUAAAUAAUUAAAUAAUUACAAAAAUAUUAAAUAAAUAGCAAUAAAUCCAAUUUAGACCCGUAAUGCCUAAUUGGAAGCCGAAACGGACCCAGAAAAAUUUCAAGGUCUGUUCAAUAAAUAAUAAAGCACAUCUACUUGUUAAAUGUACUAACCAUUUUCCUAAUAUGCAUUGAUAAGAUAGUAAUUUAAUUGCUUUACUCUAAUCUAUCCACCUAAUCACACUUAAUUAAAUCUAAACAACCCCUAAGCAUCAUUAGCCUACUAAGCGGGGUUUAGUGAGUAAAACUCACUUGUUUGACGAGUGGGUCGGAUUAAAUCGACGAGAAUGUCAUGGGGGCCACUUCUCUCUAAAGCGGGCCUAAGUUUCAAGGCCUGGAACACCUCCAAAAUGGGCUAAACAGCCGUUGCGAUACCCACUUUUUCAGCUGUUGCUUUGGACCGAGAAAGGGCUGAAACAGUAGUGGGUUAAGGUGAGCAAGGGUCGAGAUGGGCUGAGGAAGUCCUAGCGGUUGACGACGUGGACGUACGGUGGCCGAACGGGGGUGGGGCAGCUCCGACACGGCUGAAACAAGGGUUGAGAUGGCGAAACAGAGGGCUGAAAGUAGCAGGGGCGUCAAGCCGGGUGGUGGCACGGCAGGGCAUGCGUGCGGGGUGGCGGCGUGCACGAAUGGCGUUCCAGUGAUCAUGGCGGCGUGCGGCGUGGAUGGCAACUUCUCUAGUUCCUCUGGUCUUCACACAGCCAUGCAGCCAUGAGAGAGAGAGAGAGAGAGAGAGAGAGAGAGAGAGGAAGGUGUGUCGGCAGCCUUGAGGGAGAGAGAGAUAAGAGGGGCCACCUUAGCCAAAAUUUCCACCACUUUGUCCCCUUGAACUUGUCCACCAAGUUUGGCUGGCUUGCCUAGGAAUUUUCUAGCACUAAUUCCUUCUAGAAGCCUACUUAGAUGGUCCAUAAGUCAUGGUGGUUGGGGAGUUACGAAUUUGAUGGGUUUUGAUGUCAAAUGGAUACUUGUUCUUGCUUGAUUCAAUCCAAUUCGGCCUUAAUAAAUCCUGUUGUCGAGUCUUCAAUCAAAUCGAUAUUUUUCCAUACUAAUACCACCCACUUGCUUCCUCAUUUCGUGAUCAAUAUGAUUCCUGCCUUUUCUUUGAACAAAAACGGCCUUACGAUGACUUUUUCCCAAAAGUCUCGGGUUGCAAAAAAAUCUUCUGAAACCGAGUCAAUGUUUCUAUAAUUUAUUGUGACAUGAAAAAAUCUUCAAUUUCUGAAAUCGGAUUCAACUUCGCGGUUAAUUUCACUAAGGUGUGUUUUUAGCGUGACCUAGGCUAUCGGGUAAUUUCCAAAAAUUUUUAGUGAAAAUGACCCAUGGUCGAUUUUCUUCAAAUCACAAUGAACCCACUCGACACAUUGGCGACUCUCGAUUGCCGUGAAAAUCUCGAGGAUUCAAAUAUGGACACAGGGCGUGGCACCCCUCGACGGCCCCCAAUCCGUUAGGGUCACCACAUUGUUUCCUCUACCUGGAUAUGCCCCCUUUUUUUUUCAAUGGACUUCCGAGAAGUCAUAUGGGGGUUCUUUCAUAUACUUGAUUGGUCCCUGCGCAAAAGUAUGGCGGAAGCGUAUCUAACAACUCUCUUCCCUAUAUUCAGAAAUGAUGCACACCAUCUAAAACACUUUUAUAAGUUAAAGCCGAACACUUUUAUUUACAUAAACUAGAUGGACAUUUUCAGUCGGUACACCAAAAAGCCGUAGUUUUAUAUACCCGGCAAUACUUCAAAAGAUGACCGACAUCUUUUCCAAUAGUCGUAUACUUAAAGUCUAUCGAUCAGUGUCGGCGUCCAAAAGUUCCUUUCUCUGCUAUCCUCCUCCUCGCGAUCAUAUCCAACCACUCGGUCCAUCUGCUAGUGGUAGUGGCAGCAGAGGUAUCUUGUCUAGUCUGAAAUGUUAGUCCCCAAAAGGGGUGAGUACAACCACUCAGCAAUAAAAUAUUCACUAAACUAUAUCGUGUGUAACCAUCAUAAUCAAAUUUCAUGCAAGAUAGACAAAACGUAUAUCUAAAGGAAUGAGUAUGCAUCGAACCAUAAAAUUUUUUAAUGCAAUGACCCAUGCAGUUUCAAAAACCAAGAUGCACUAUUUUUAGUCACAUGAGUCCCGGUUAUAACGACCCAGGCCCCACUGUAUAAUAUUGUCCGCUUUGGACAUUGAGUCCUCACGGCUUUAAAACACGUUAUACAUAUUAAAUGGACUCAAGCCUUUAUAAACUAGCCUAGGACUCCGCCUAAGCGAUGUGGGACGGGAGACAUGCCCUUGGCCUCACCCGCGUACUACCAAGGCGAUGUCAGUCCAUCCCUCUGUACUGCCUCGAGUCUGGGUCGUCACAUUCUCCCCUCUUAAGGCACAGCGCCCUCGCUGUGGCCCCACACGCGAUCAAGAGUCGGCUCUGAUACCAACCACUGUGGCACCCCCGAAUGGCCCCCGAUCCGCUAGGGUCGCCACAGUCCACUUGCCUUUCUCUUGACCUGAUAAUAUAUUACUCUGAUACCAAAGAGUCAUAAUAAGUCUAUAAGUCCUGGGUGUUUAUAUCUUUUAGAUCAGUCCCUGCGCAGUUUACAUAGUGGAAGCACAUCCAUCAACUAUUCCCUGCUCUGAAUUAUAAAGCGAUGCACACCAACUAAAACUUUUAUAAGUUAAAGCCGAACACUUUUAUUUAUAUAACUUGAUGGACAUCAUUAGUCGGUACAUCAAAACACCAAGGUUUUCUAUACUCGGCUAUACUUCAAAGAUGACCGAUAUCUUUUCCAAUAGUUGUAUACUUAAAGUCCAUUGAUCAGUGUCGGCGUUCAAAAGUUCAUUCCUUUGUCGUCCUCCUCCUCGCGGUCAUAUCCAACCACUCGGUUCAUCUGCUGGUGGUAGUGGCAACAGAGGUAUCUCGUCUAGUCUGAAAUGUUAGUCUCCAAAAAGGGGUGAGCACAAUCUAUAUCGUGCGUAGCCAUCACAAUCUAAUUUCAUGCAAGACAGGCAAAACAUGUAUAAUUAAAGGAAAUGAGUGAUGUGCAUCCUUUUCAUAAAACCUCUCAAUGCAAUGACAAGUGCAAUUUCAAAGCAAAGAUGCACCAUUUCAAUCACACGGGUCUUGAUUAUAGAACCAAACUGUUAUGACACGUUCCAUUCCAUGCCACACAAUAUAAUCCUAUAACCAAACCACACACACACACUUAGUAGAGCCAUCGAUUUUAAUAUUCAACCCCCCAGAGGACUAGUGUUUGCGUCCUUCUGGGCAUUCGCACCCAAUCCUGGCAUCGCGAAGUCCUCCGGAAUUAUGCCACUGAGCCACCGGGCAUCCAGAGUGUGUUUACGUAACACCUCUAGACAUCUUGCACCCUACCUAGCAUCACGAGGAACGUCCGGGGUUUGCCAUGAAAAUGAUUACCCCUGCCAUUUGGAAUUACGUACUGACAUACCACCAGGCCUCUCGACACUCCCGGGGAAACCUCUGAGGCUCGCCAUGAAAAUGGUUACCCCGACCCUCUGGAAUUACGUACCGACAUACCACCGAGCAUCCACCGGAAUUACGUACCGAUAUACCACCGGGCAUCCCGACACUCCCGGGCAAUCGUUGACCCGAGGGUCCAACGGCAGCAAUAUCAUCUCAUAUUAUUUCAAUAAAAACACUUUCAAUGCAAUGACAUCAAAUGUUUCAUGAAUAUUUAUCAAAAUUUCGGUACUAAAUGACUUAUCGAAUGCCAAACCAUCUUGCUACAUGAUAACUAAGAUGCAUUCUGUUUCGGAAGUAUACUCAAGUAAAUUGAAAACAAGAACCGCCAAAAUUUUAAUGACAAUAACGUAGAACCUCUUAACCUCUUUGACUAAAAUACAAACUUAAUAAUGUACGUACAAAUGCAUGUCACGCUUUUGCUAAAAACAUAUUGUUCAAACCAAUUCCCAAAAAUUCUAUAAGAAUUUUACUACACACAGAAUUUUCUUCUGGUUUUACCCGCGAACAGCAAACAACACACACCGAAAUUGAUUUUGUAUUCAUUAUACUAAUACAGAAAACCUAGCGUGAAUACAUGUUACAAUCUAGACAAUUCCGCAUAACUCUCAUGAAGAAAUAAAAGCUAAAUUCACGUUAAAACUUCUAAAAACAAGCAUCGUAGCUACUGACUACGUACGAAUUACUCUGGACAGCAUAGAUUCAAGAAAAUCUCAUACCUAUAGCUUGUCUAAUUUACUUCUAGAGUUCAUAAAAUAUAUUGUUAUGAUUCUAGAUUAGAAGACCCUAAAAGAACACAUAGAAAUGCCAAAGUAUCCUCUCGGUUUCUUAGUUCCAAAUUCACUUUCAUCACCAACAAUUCAGUAUUCAACCUUCAUCCCGACAUUUCUCAAAUCUAUUUGCACUACUUCAGACGAUAACAACUUUGCAUUACAUAGAUAGUAGACUUUUACUUGCCUCAGUCCUAAGCGUCGACGCAAGUAAAAACAGGAAGCUCGGGUCACAGACAUGGCUUGGCAACCGCGAACACAAGUGCUGUCGACGGCGGCAGCACACUCGCACGGCAGAGGGCGGUCUCCUUUCCCUCUUCCUUCGCUGCCCUCUCUCGCGGAUCACUCACUCGAUCUCUCUCUCUCUCCCUCGCCGCUGCUCACUCUCUCUCUACUUGCUCGAACACACGAGCACUUUGCCCACCCUAAAUGUUAAUUAAGUUAAUUGAGUUAAUUGUUUGCAUGCAGGUUGUUCGGCGGCUGCACACGCAAGGGGCAGCUGUUGAGGACGUGGCUGCUCAACAGAUCACUCGGCUGCCACCUGAAAUUCCAUGCAAUUGAACGUGUCCCUUCGUGCGCCAUGUCCUUCAUUGCUGUCCAAGAGAAAGGAAUAAACGUGGCAUCACUUGAGGGGCUCAAAGUGUCCUAUUAUUGCAUGAUUUUGACGUAGCUGCACGGUUGACUUCUUCAUGCAAGUGGUGCGGUCAGCAAAGGAGAACGGCGUGGACGUGGGCUUUAAGAAGUCAAGGUCUUCAAGUCUUCAUAAAGGAUAAUAGAGAGACACGGCUGCAUGGCCUUGUACGUGCAGGGGAAAAUGGCAAUUUAUUAAGGCUACUAGCAAGUCAAUUAUCCUCCUUUAUUGACUCCCAAUUGUCGUGGCUUCAAUCGCCGCAUGGAGGAGGGAAUUUUACGUGGCUACAUGGCCGAAAAAUGUGGCCAUUUGUGAGGCCGUUCGUAUGGCCAUCUAAGGAGAAAAAUCGUGCAUGAAGUUGUGAACGUGGACCUUCGGUUGCUUCAUUCUUGCAUGGAGAAAAUGUUGCGGAUGUACGUAUGGCAGUUGCAUGCUACGGCCUUCAGCUCGGUUGAUUUGCCAAGCUGCUCGGAACUAAUAUCGGACGUGUGCUUGGCCGUGCAUGAGAAAUUUCUCUCCGAAAGUUGAUGUUUCGGAACGACGGGUGGUGAUGAAAUGAUGGUCUAAUGCCAUACUGAUGAUGACGAUAACGAAAUAGUGUUCGUAAAUGGUGCCAAUGACGCAGUCCGUCGACACUCCCGUCGACCCGUGACAAGCCGUUACUUAUCCGAGGUUUGACAAAAACCCGGAUGCCACAAUUCUCCCCUCCUCUAUUUCAUAUACUUGAUUGGACUUCCGAGAAGUAAUAUGGGGGUUCUUUCAUAUACUUGAUUGGUCCCUGUGCAAAAGUAUGGCGGGAGCAUAUCCAACAACCCCAUUCCCUAUAUUCAGAAACGAUGCACACCAACUAAAACACUUUUAUAAGUUAAAGCUGAACACUUUUUUUUUUUUUUUUUGGUAAAGAAGCCGAACACUUUUAUUUACAUAAACUAGAUGGACAUUUUCAAUCGGUACACCAAAAAGCCAUAGUUUUAUAUACUUGGCUAUACUUCAAAAGAUGACCGACAUCUUUUCCAACAGUUGUAUACUUAAAGUCCAUCGAUUAGUGUUGGCGUUCAAAAGUUCCUUCCUCUACUAUCCUCCUCCUUGUGGUCAUAUCCAACCACUCGGUCCUGAUGGUAGCAGCAAAGGUAUCUUGUCUAGUAUGAAAUGUUAGUCCCCAAAAGGGGUGAAUACAACCACUCAGCAAUAAAAGAUUCACUAAACUAUAUCGUGCGUAACCAUCAUAAUCAAAUUUCAUGCAAGAUAGACAAAACGUAUAUCCAAAGGAAUGAGUAUGCAUUGAAUCCAUAAAACUUUUUAAUGCAAUGACCCGUGCAGUUUCAAAAACCAAGAUGCACCAUUUUCAGUCACACGAGUCUCGGUUAUAGAAUCAAAUUGUUAUGGCACGUCCCAUUUCAUGUCACACAAUUUAAUCCUAUAACCAGACCACACACACACUUAGUAGUGCCAUCAUUUUUAAUAUUCAAAAGGUUUCACCCCCCAGAGGACCAAUGUUUGUGUCUUUCUAGGCAUUCGCACCCAAUCUUGGCAGCACGAAGUCCUCCAGCAUUACGCCACUAGGCCAUCGGGCAUCCAGAGCGUGUUAUGUUACACCUCCAGGCAUCUCGCACCCCACCUGGUAUCACAAGGAAUUGCCGGGGCACGCCAUGAAAUGGUUCUCCCCUCCUUUGGAAUUAUGUACCAACAUACCACCGGGCCUCUCCCGGAAUUAUGUACCGAUAUACCACCGGGCAUCCCAACACUCCCAGGGAAACCUCCGGGGCUUGCCAUGAGAAUGGUUACCCCGACCCUCCGGAAUUAUGUACCGACAUACCACCGGGCAUCCCCCGGAAUUACGUACCGAUAUACCACCGAGCAUCCUGACACUCCUGAGGCAUCGUUGACUAGAGGGUCCAACGGCAGCAUUUUCAUCUCAUAUUAUUUCAAUAAAAACACUUUCAAUGCAAUGACAUCGGAUGUCCCAUGAGUUUUCAUCAAAUCUCAAUGUUGGAUAAUAUGCUGAAUACCAACACCAUCGUACCAAAUGAUAAAUCAAGAUGCAUUCACCCUUGAGGAAAAUUGAGCAAACUCGAAAUAAAACAGCUCAAACAUCAGAAUGCACAGUUUUAGUAAAAUUUUUGAAAUAACCCCUAAAUGAACUCAGAAAAUUAUAAUAUUUUGAUAUGUUAUAACCAAGACCUAAAGGAAAAAGUUUCAUGAAGAACACUAAGUCAGAUUCAUUAUAUAUCACGAGCAAUAAUUGCUAUAUUCUCUGCUAACAUUCUGUAAUAGCUUCCAGAUUUAACAUUUACAAAGAAAAUAUUUUUACUGACCAAACCAUGUCCAUUUAUUCUCAAAUUUUGAUAUGUUAUUUCUAAGGAAGUGUCCUACAACUUUCAUUAAGAGUUCAAAAUUCAAUUCUAACUAGAUAAUUACAGAAAAUUCACGGAAUCAUCAAAGGUCAUGCUGUUUUCUACGAAACAGUUUACUAGUUAUAAGAGAACUACUUCUACUCAUUCAAAAUCCAACAUCCAACAUCCACAACCCAAACAUCUCCAAGUCUAUCGCACUCCAUCAGACCAUAACAGCAAUGCAUUAUAUAGGUUAGUGAACUUUUACUUGCCUCAAGUCCUACGGCUCAACGGCAAGCAAAAACAGAAAACUCGCGGGUCUCAGGCGUGGCUCAACGGCGGCGAAGUUGAUCGGUGUCGAUGGCAACAGCGCACGAGCACAGGCUGAGGAUGGUCCUUCUCCUCUUUCCUCGCUGCUCACACUUGCGCUCACUACUCUCUCUUUCCCUCUUUCUCUCUACUCGCUCGCUCUACCUCUCUCUUGGUUUUCUGUUUAGUUAGUCUCUCUCUUGCUCACAUUCACGAACCACUUUGUUCCUUCGUUAGUUGACUUUAUGGGUCAACUAAAGAAAGUUCUCAGUGGCUAUUUGGGUGAGCGGCAGCUGGAUUAUACGUGUCCAGGAGCUGAAACUUCUUCUUGGAUGCACGCCACCUUGCUUCUCCAUGCAAGGAACGUGUCCUCAGCAACCGUAUUCUUUCUUGUUGCUGUCCACCGAAGGAAGAGCUACGUGGCUCUUGGUCAAUAAUCACCUUCCCUAGUUGACCAGCCACAUGGAAUCUCCACGAACGUGCAUGGGAGAUGGGUGACGUGAAAGCAUGGCCAUGAGUUCGUGUGGCCGUCUAAAGGGAGGAUGGUGGCGAUGGUGCGCAUAAAUCGAGGUCUUCAACUCAGUUAAUUGGCGAGAUAGCUUGGGAUUCACGUUUGUCAACAAAUUAAUUAGAAUGAACAUCGGUCUAAAUAGUAAUGCUACGUAGGGAAGAUCUUCGACAGUACCAUAACUCAUUUGAUGAUCGGACCAUUUCCAAAGGUAGUGUUUCGAUCCGACGCGGAUGACGAAACGGUGCCCGCAAAUGGUACCAAUGACGCAAUCCGACGAUACUUUCGUCGAUCCAUCACAGACUGUCACAUUUCGAGGUUUGGCAAAAAUCCAGAUGACACACAGGGUACCGAAACGAUAGAAAAAUCAGUCAAGUGCCGAUCGAUGAGAAUUUUCCAAUUUAGUGGUGUCACCCACGAUUAGCCACACAUCUUAGUCGAGUCAACCUAUCUCUGAUCUCAAAUCAAUUUUUAACUGUGCCGUAAUGGCCUCUAAAGAUGAGCAUGGUUGAGAAGCCAAUUUUUGGUUGAAUUCUCAAGUCUAUUGCCUUAAAAUUUCUUAAUGGCUUCCCUAGAUAAUCUAAUUAUCUCGAGAGUGAUCAGCUCUAAGAAUAGCCCUAUAGGCGUGUCAAUGAAAUGCCCGAUAUAUUCAAUAGAAAACGGAAGUGAAAAAUUUAGGAUGUCACAACUUUUCCCCUCUUAUAAACAUUUCGUCCUCGAAAUUUAAACCGUUACAAAACUUCAGCAAAAAGGUGGGGGUAUAACUGUCUCAUCGACUCUUCAGUCUCCCAUAUUGCUCUUUUAGUACCGUGGUGUUGCCAAACCACUUUGACCAACGGGAUGGUCUUUAUACGUAGAACUUGUUUUUUCCGAUCCACUAUCUGGACCGACAUGGUCAUUCAUGUCCAAUUCCUCGAAAUUAAAUAUGUCGGUCGAGUUAGGCUCAUACUUCCUCAACAUUGACACGUGAAAGACGUCGUGCACUUGCGCCAAUCUUGGCGGCAAUGCAAGAUGAUACGCUAAGGUCCCAAUUCUCUCAACAAUUUCAAAUGGACCUACGUACCACGGACUCAGUUUUCCUUUCUUCCCAAAGCGCGAAUGUCGUUACCAAAUUUUCAGGUGUGAAUCACCUAGGGUUUGGCUAAUGGAUUGUUAAGCCUAGACUUAACUCGGGCUCUCCCAAGCCCAUACCAAUUCGCGACUUAGGUUCAAGUCCUUAACAUGCGAUUGAUCUUCAAUUAGGAGUCGCCACUAAUCUAUUUUUGGUGGGUCGAUUAGAAACCCAAGUAAAGUAACGUGAGAUUUACUUUACUCUUAUGAACCAGAGAUUUAUGAGUUCGGGGACUUGGUUACGCUAGAUUUCUCUAACGCCCUUUCGGUAGCUUUCUCUUUUAUUUUGAAAAAUGUUUUUGCAGGCUGCUUGAAUUAAUUUUAAGCUAUUUCCUUAAUAUGUGAGGCGAUCAUGCGGUUGCGCAAUCCACCAAUUUAACACUCAAAUAAACAAUAAAUAAAUUGCAAAAACUUACCUCAUAGCAACGAAAGCAUUGCGUUGUUAGAUCAGAAUUCACAUCAACAACCUAGAUAUGAUUUCUAAUUAACACACAAUUUCUUCUUUUUUUACUUGAUUAAUGAAAAUCAUGCAAUAUGUAAUGCAAUAUUAACUAAAUGAACUAACUCUAAUGAUAUGCAAUUUCUAAUUAAAUGGACCUAGUAACAAUCACUAAAUGACUUGCAUUUCAUGAAUCUAAUCCUAUAUGACAUGCACAUGAUUUUUUGUAUUUUUUUAUUCGUAAUUAAAAAUAACUAACAACAAAAAUCUAACUAAGUGAGAUAUUGUCUAUUUUAAGUUAGGAAAUAGACUUAUCCGAAUCCUAUCUUAACUUAGAAAUUUAUCUCGACAUGCAAUUUAAUCCAAAGAAAUUAUCUAGCCUAGAUACCGUCUAAACAUGCAUUCUAAUGUAACCAGAAAAGAAUCUACUUAUUCUAUCAUGCAAUUCUAUCCAGGAAAUUAAUUCUAAUAUAUAUGAUAUGCAAAUGCAAUCUUUUUUGUAUUUUCGAGAUAAAUAAAGCAAUUAAAAGAUAAACACUAAAUCAUUCAGAAUCAUCAAAGAUAUCAUACAUCGUUCGAAUUAGGGAACAAUAUCCAAAUCAGCUUGAUUAUCUCGCUAAUAAAAUCGAUAAAUUGAUCUUAAGCCUUAAAGAUCAAGAUAUCAAUUUUAUUCCCGCGUGAUUAAUUAUUCCAUCUAAAGCCUUAUAGAUGGAAUAAAAAAUUAUAGGCGGUUGCGAAUUAGGAAAUAAAUCCUAAUUGAAAGUUAUGUCUAUCGCCCAUGGAUAUGAAUAUUAGAUAUUAAUAGACAUAUAUUAGGCAAUAAAAUACCGAAAUCAAGUUCGGAUAAAAUAAUUACCUAAUGUUGCAAGAGUUAUUGCCACAUUUGAGCUUGACAGAUGACCGGGCAUAGCUUGUGGGUGAGGCUCGGCACAGCAGAUGGGUCUCGGGUUGGCACACAACAAGGCAAGGAUGGCUGCUGUUGCUCAACUCGGUGUAGCCUCAGCAAGGUAGCAGCAACUCGGUGACAGCAAGAAACGUCACGGCAGUGCAGUGAUUAUGGAGACGCUGGGCACGGCUCCGCGAGACCUACANNNNNNNNNNNNNNNNNNNNNNNNNNNNNNNNNNNNNNNNNNNNNNNNNNNNNNNNNNNNNNNNNNNNNNNNNNNNNNNNNNNNNNNNNNNNNNNNNNNNCGGAGCAGACACGUAGCCCGUAGCAUGCGUGGGAAGUAAUUCGGCAAUAACUAUUAAUGAUGGCCUUUCUCUAAAAAAUUCAGCAAAAGAGAAUCCUCCUUUCCUUGACCAAAACUCGGGCCUUUUGAUUUUCACUGCUUGGACUCUCGGUGUUGACUUUUCUUCUCAAAAUAGUGUAUUGCCCCCGUGAAGAAACCUAGACUUGGGUGUGACGCGUGGAUGCCCAUGUGCUCCUUCACGAACGUCCUUUGCUUCGUAUUUUGUAGUGGGAGUUGGGCUGGAACUCUCGAUCAGCAAACGACGUUCGGCAGCUUCAUCGUCAGAGGGCUAGUGCAGCAUCAUUGUACUGGACUUCUUAACGGUGCACUGAGCUCGUUGGGCCCGGAUGGCGAUGACUUGAUGGCAAACCACGAACAGCAGCGGCUUGGCGUGGGCAGCUCCGUCAUCAUAGGAGUGGUUGGCUCGUGGCUGAAGGAGGGGUGAUGCAGUAGUGUUGUCGAUGAUGAGGGCACAGUGGUGGUGUCGUGGCACGCCAAGACGAGCGUCUCCGCCAAGGGUUGGCCGAGAGAGCUUCUUCUAUCCCUCUUUUCUCUCUAUUGUGGCUGUAUGUUUUCAAUUGUGUGGCCUCCAAAACUUUGUGAUUGUUGAUCACCGCCAGACGAGGGGGUGCGCGCUGCUACUUUAUCAUCGGAGAGGAUCGCGACAAAGUUGGCCAUUGUCAAUGCAAUGGACGAUUGGCAGCAGGGUCGGCGUCGAGGCAUGGCCACGAACUUGACAAAUUCAUGGCCGUGAAGGGGUUUCAACCGUGACUUGUUCAGCUCUCGCGAGUGUGCCCCUCUCUCAAUCGUCCCUUCUCACGUGUGUCUCUCUAUGCUCUCAUAAUUGUGGCCCUCUCCUUUUGUCUAUAGUGCGCCCAUCUUUUAUAGGUCAAGGAGGUGACCGAAAUUUCCCGGCCUAUAAUUUAUUUCUUUCCUUUCUUUUUUGCUCCAAUGGACGCACAAAAUCCUUUCUGAGAGCAUCCAUGAUAUAUAUUGAAAUUCCUUUUCCUUCCUCACGCUUGCGUAUCAUGCAUUUGUAAGCCAAUUUUUCUUUAUUUCCUGUUUCUUUUCUUUUCCAGCUCACAUAUGAAAUCUACCAUGAAAUAUUUCUUGUCUUGAAACAUUGAAUAUAUCACUCAAGAUAUGCCCCACGUGCGAUAUCCCCUCUUGAUAUUUCAUCCUUAAACUUCCAAUCUUUAGUAAAAUAUAUCACUUAAUGUAUAAAUCAUGUGAGUAUAUGAUAUAUUUACCGAAUAUUAGAAGAAUAAUAUGAAUCAUUUAUGAAAAUAUUGAAUUGUCAAUUCGUAAAAUUGAAGCUCAUCUGCCAAUGAUCAAAUGCAAAAGUGAUAAACAAAUGAAUAAGUGCAAUUAAAAUUAUAUGCUAUGCAAUUAAUAUUUUUUCAGGGAUAAAAUUAACCCCUAAUUUUUUAAUGCAAUAAAUGACUAAACGGGUUGCCAAAAUUUAGGUGUCAACAACGAAGUUCCCCUCAUUGGUGAAACCUUCAGAAAAAACGUGAUCACCAACAUGGAAUUCCAAAGACCUCCGGUGUUUGUUUGCGUAGCUUUUCUGUCUACUCUAAGUGGUCUUUAAUCUGCCUCCGAUCAAUGCCACCGCAUCCACUGAUUGUUGAACCAACUCUGGGCCUGUAAUCUUCUUUUCCCCAACUUCAUCCCAACAUACCGGUGUUUUGCAUACUCUGCCAUACAACGCUUCGAAUGGAGCCAUCUGGAUGCUCUGCUGAUAACUGUUGUUGUAGACAAACUCCACGAGAUGAAGUUGUUCCUCCCAACUUCCUUUAAAAUUCAGUACACAAGCUUGCAACAUGUUUUCGAGGGUUUGAAUCGUCCUCUUAGACUGAUCAUCCAUCCGAGGAUGAUAUGCCGUACUGUAGUACAGCUUGGUACCUAAGGCACUUUGUAAGCUCUUCCAAAAGGUGGCAAUAAACCUCGGGUUUCUAUAUGAAGUUAUUGUAACCGACGCUCCAUGCAGAUGAACCACUUGACGCAUAUACAUAUUUGCGUGUCUAUCUAAGCUAAGGUCCUUUCGAACUGCAAUGAAGUGAGCUGACUUUGUCAGUCUGUCGACUACCGCCCAAAUCGAAUCAUUUCCUCUUUGACUUCUCGGUAGUCCGAUCACGAAAUCCAUCAUGAUAUGCUCCCAUUUCCAUUCUGGGAUCUCGAGAGGUUAUGAAAGUCCUCUCGGCUUGCAAUGCUGAGCUUUGACUUGCUGACACGUCAAACAUUUGGCGACAUGCUUGGCGAUGUUCGCCUUCAUAUCUGAUCACUAAUAGUGUUGACGCAGAUUUUGAUACAUCUUGGUACUACCGGGAUGAAUGCUGUAACUGCUACGGUGCGCUUAUGAUAGAAUAUCCUAUUUAAGCUUCACAUCGUUAGGUACAACCAAACAUCCUCGAAACCUUAGUGUUCCAUUAUCAGAAACUUGAAAGUCAACCUUCCUUUUCUCAGUGUCCUCUUAAAGGAUCUUUUGCACAUCUGGGUCUGUCGAUUGGAGUAACUUGAUUCUGAUUUGGACAUCCGAUUCAAUUCUGAGGGUGGCCAUAAGACUUGAAAUGUGGCCUACCUCAAACUUGAAUACCGAAUCUCGAGCUCUCUCAAUUAGAUUCCACUUCUUAACCAGCAUAUGAGCAAUUGAAGACUAACGACUUAAAGCAUCAGUGACCUUGUUCGCCUUUCUCAGAUGAUAUAGGAUAUCACAGUUGUAGUCCUUCAACAAUUCCAUCUAUCGGUGUUGUCUCAUGUUCAAUUCCUUAUGAGAGAACAGGUACUUGAGACUUUGAUGGUCCGUGAAGAUCUGGAGUUUUUCUCCGCACAACUAGUGUCUCCAAAUUUAGGACAAAAAUAAUCGCCAUGAGGUCUAAGUCAUAUAUCGGGUAGUUCUGUUCAUGAGGCCUCAACUAACGGGAGGUGUAUGCAACAACUCGGUCAUGUUGCAUUAGUACACAACCCAAUCCUCUGAAUGACACAUUACUAUAGAUCUCGAAUCCUCUAGAACCAGAUGGAAUCGUUAGCACGGGCGUGGUAGUUAGCUUUUCCUUAAGUUCUUGGAAACUACUAUUGCACUUGUCUAUCCACACAAAUUUAUCUUCUUUCUUUAGAAGUUUUGUUAGUGGCGAUGCUAACCCUUCCACAAAUUGUCUGUAAUAACCUGCCAAACCCAGAAAACUUAUUAUUUCUAUCACUGUAGUCGGUCUUGGUCAAUUGAUCACGUCUUCAAUCUUGCUUGGGUCCAUAGAGAUUCCUUCGCCUGAAAUCACGUGACCUAAGAAAGCAACACGAGUUAAGCAAAAAUUGUACUUGUUGAACUUGGUGUACAACUAAUGAACUCUCAGUGUCUGCAGCACUAGUCUCAGAUGACUCUCAUGCUCUUCAUCACUCCUCGAAUACACCAGAAUAUCAUUGAUAAAUAUGAUCACGAACUGAUCUAGAUAUUCCUUGAAUAUACGAUUCAUCAAAUUCAUGAAAGCAGCAUGAGCAUUCGUUAACCCGAAUGGCAUCACUGUGAACUCGUAAUGACCAUAUCGAGUACGAAAUGCUAACUUAGGAAUGUCCUCCUUCCUAACUCUCAGCUGAUGAUAUUUUGUCCUUAAGUCGAUCUUCGAAAAUAUCGAUGCUCCUUGCAACUGAUCGAACAAAUCAUUGAUCUUUAGGAGUGGAUACUUAUUCUUGAUUGUUACCUGAUUGAGUUGUUGAUAGUCGAUGCACAGACGCAAUGAUCCAUCUUUCUUCUUCACAAAUAAAACUAGUGCUCCCCAAGGUGAUGCACUGGGACAAAUGAAUCCCUUAUCCAGUAGCUCUUGUAUCUGUACUUUUAGUUCCUUCAACUCAGAUAACGUCAUCCGGUAAGGAGCCUUAGAGAUUGGCUUUGUCCUGAGUGCUAGCUCAAUCACGAACUCAAUUUCUCUCUCUGGUGGCAAUCUCAAUAAUUCUUUUGGAAAGACAUCUGGGAAUUCUAGCACUAUAGCAAUGUCUUCCAUUUUCAGCUCCAUAACUGUCGUAUCCACGACAGUUGCUAGGUAACCUUGACAACCCUCGUCUAAUAGAUGAGUUGCCUCAGGCAACGAUAUUAAGGAAAUCGAGGGUCCUCCUCGAUUCCCAACAAACUCAAAGCUCUCACCCUUUAACGGGUCAAACUGAAUCGUUUUGCGAUAGCAGUUCAUCUUAGCUCGUUGCUUGGUGAGCCAGUCUAUGCCAAUAGUUAAAUCAAAGUCAUACAUGGCUAGGACUAACAAUUCUACAUUCCCCACUCGCUCACCAAUCGCUAACUUGCAACCAGAACAAUCCAAAGUAGCAAUAACUUUAUCCUUCAAUGGUGUAGAUGCAAAUUGCCAACUCCAACAAUAUAGGACUUAAUCCUAACAACCUAACAAUUGCUCGGUAAUAAAGGAAUGAUUUGCUCCUGAGUCAAAUAAGGCGUAAGUAGGAUGAUCGUUUAGUGAAACCAUACCUGUGAUCACGUCAGGCAUAACCUCUGUCUAACCUUGUGUGAUGGCAUACACUGUGCCCUAAAUUGGUGGUCUCAGCUGACCUCCUUAUGGCGUAAUCUGUGGUGCAAACCCUGUAAUUUGUCCCAUAGGUGACAGUGGCGGUAACUGUGCUUGUCCUCUUGGCCUUCUCGAACAAUCUCUAGCCAUGUGACCUUGCUGGCCACACUCAAAACAGGCGCUCGUCCUACAGGGGCACUGAUUCAUAGCAUGUCGUCUUCCAUAAAGGCUCGAUCUGGCUUGGUUCAGACUUGCCAAUUCCACCUAUCCUGUUGGGCGGGAUCUGGAAUCUACUUCCUAGGCAUGGGCCUCUUUCCCUGGCAGAUUCCUUCUUUAAAAGAUUUAAACCUCGAUCUUGAUAAGGCAGCUUGCUCAUUCAAUCCUCUCUCUCUAUCAUUUGAGCUCAACGAUAGACCUCUCAAUAAUCAAUCAAAUCCAACGGUAGUAGAGGUUGUUUCAACUCAGAACAAAGACCACUUCUGAAUUUUUAGGCUUUUUCUUCAGGGUGUUCUAUCAACCUCGGAGCAUACUGUGAGAGUUCUGCAAAUUUGACCCCAUAUUGGUCAACUGUCAUACUCCCUUGGCGAAGACGUUGGAACUCCUCUAUCUUUUGUUCCUGGGCAGUACCCGAGAAGUACUGAUCAUUAAAAGCUCUAAGGAAGGUGUCCCACACCUGGACCACUCCUUCCAGGAAUACAGUGUCCUUGGCGACUCUCCACCAAAUGUUGCUUUGAAGUUGGUACACAACUAGUACCACCUUCUCCUCUUCGUUGCACACUAGAAAUACAAACGCUUUCAUAAGAUCUUGAAUCCAUAGUGAAGCGGCCUCGGGGUCUCCAGUACCCAUAAAUCUUGGUGGGCUCAGCUUCAAAAAUUGCUCGAUGAUCUUAUGGAUCGGCCUUUCUCUCUACACCACAACAUUCUCAUGCUGAACUACGAUGAGUACAACAACAGGUGUGGCGGUUGGAGUGGCCUCAGUAGCGGCAGCAACGGCGAUAGUAGUAGUAGUAGCCUGAGCGACGGCCUCAACAGCAUUUGCAUGAUUCCUUUGAUCCUGGGAUCACUAGGGGCUACUACCCCAGCACCAAUAAGAGGUGGUGCUACACCACUAGUACUGGCCUAUGUCGAUGCCUUAGCUCUGCCUCCUCGGGUACCGACCUUGGUCGGCGUUCUAACCCGAGCUGUAGGCCUAACAGUUCUCUUGCUUGGAGUUCUCUGCUCCGGCUCACUCAUGGUUCAGUCUUUUCUACUUAAGCCUGUCUUCCAAAUCCACACUGGAUUAGAAGAUGCGUGAUCCACACACGCCAAACAAUUGUACCAAUCAACUAUCACUAACAUGCACCGGUCAUGAAUUUAAAGGCAUUCCUACUACUAUCCCAUAUUCAUCGCACCUUAUCACUCCAAUUUCUAACCUUGGCUCUAAUACCACAAAAAGGGGAUGUCACGCCUUGAUCCUCCGAGUACGUGCCCAUCCCUCACUAGUCGAUUUAAUAGCCAUGUCCCAGAACGCAUUUCCGACCCAUUCAUUUUAAUAUAUGCAUACGGAAGCAUAUAUAAAUCACAGAUAAUAAAACAAUGGGAUAGGAAAGCAUGGCCAUAAAAUUUCAAACCACACAACCAUGCUUAUAUACAUACAUACAUACAUAGUAGACUAUGUUAUAUAUUAUACAAGUUUGUCUAGUUUUAUAAAAACAUAUACACCACAGUAGGUUCUCAAACAAGGGGUGGGGGUCAAACGAUCACAACUAGUCAUCAUCACUAAAUUCUUCCUAUUCCACCUCCACGUCCUUUUCGAUCUCCCCUUCUUCCUCGCUCUAGUUGGCGGUCUUAGCUGAGUACACCGGAGAAUUAGAAUCGCUUUCAAAAUUGGGAUCCUUAGCAUCCACUGCUGAUCCACCCUCAGGAUCCGCUGUGCCCUUUCCAAGCGUAGCCUCCAAAACAUACUGAGGUACAUCAGCCUUCGGCAUAGGACCCUCCCUUCACCCAUCAUGAUAGUGGUGAUACCAUGACCGGUACCUAUGAGGCACCUUUUCAGGUUCACUCACGUCAACCCAGACGGUGGACUUUAUCAUUACAUACUCUAAUCCUUCAGGAUGAGGGUGUAUCGGAAUAUGAUAACCUACUUUUGUAACUUCCUCCGGUAUACCAAAAUGCAUGGGAGAAGGGGAAUGUGCCACUAUCUAGGGACCUGAAAUGUUGUCCCACAACGGGGUGAGACUACGUAUCCGCAAGUUCUACCCUCUAAUACCCGAUUAGGAAGCCAAUAUGCCCUAAGGGCUGCCUAAGCACAACAUUAGUUAGAGGACUUACCUUGGCCUCAAUUCCACCGUGCAAGUCAAUAACAUUUACAAAUAUCGCAAAUCACAUCGAUUCAUAACAUCAGAUCAAAUCAUUGAUCAAUCGACUUAGUCGAUUACAUGUCAUCACGACCUUCUCAUGGUCGGCCCAUUCAAUAUUAUCUAUAAGUUCACCCAUAAUAGGAUUACUCACUCUAAGCUGAUAAAUAGAUAAUAUAGCUCUCGCUAAGCUGAUAAAUAGUGUAUUGCUCUCGCUAAGCUGACAUAUCACUCGCAGGCUAAUAUAGUACACUAAUAAUGCUCUCUCUAAGUUGAUCAUAUUGCUCUCGCUAAGCUGAUUAGGUUUACUACUCUAGCUAAGCUGACAUAUUAGAGCCUGUAGGUUGAUAUAACAUAUCGGUAUACUGCUUGCAAUCUAAGCUGAAAUAUCGCCCGUAUGCUAAUAUAGUAUACCAUUCAAACCAUUCGAUCAAUUUUUCAUUUUUAUCAUACUCGAUAAAAAUAGCCGUAUUUGGGUACACGGUCGGCUUUAGCCAAAAUAUAAUAAUUUCAACUUUUUAAAUAUCCCACCAAUUUCAACAGCCCAUAACAUAUUUUUGGCACUGUAAAUCGACACUUGGUAAUUUUCUCAUUAAAUACCAAACUUCAAUUAAUUUAGGAAUAAAAUCAUGAAAUCAUAAUUAAAUCAAUUCAGUACAAAUUAGAACUCAAAUAAAUAAACGGACUACACCACAAUAAUUAGCAUAAAAUUUUGGUCGUUGGCUAUCUCAUCCUAAUUUCCAAAAAUAAUUAAUUAAUUAAAUAAUUACGAAAAAUAUUAAAUAAAUAUCAAUAAAUCCAAUUUAGGCCUGUAAUACCUAAUUGGAAGUCAAAAUAGACCUGAAAAAAUUUCAAAGUUCAUUCAAAAAAUAAUGAAGCGCGUCUACUUGCUAAAUGUACUAACCAUUUGCCUAACAUGCAUUGAUAAUGCACUAAUUUUAUUGCUUUACUCUAAUCUAUCUGCCUAAUCACAGUUAAUUAAUUCUAAACAACCCCUAAGCAUCAUUAGCUUACUAAGCGGGGUUUAGUGAGUAAAACUUACUUGUUCGACGAGUGGGUUGGAUCAAGUCGACGGGAAUGUCGCAGGGGUCGCUUCUCUCCAGAGCGAGCCUAAGUUUCGAGGCCUGGAACACCUCCAAAAUGGGUGGAACAGCCGCUGCGAUACCCACAUUUUUAGCUACUGGUCUGGAUCGAGAAAGGGCCGAAACAGAGGCUGGUUGAGGCAAGCAAGGGCUGAGAUGGGCUGAGGAAGUUCCGGCGAUCGAUGGCGUGGACAUACGGUGGCCGAAUGGGGGUGGGGCAGCUCUGCCACAGAUGAAACAAGGGUUGAGAUGCCGGAACAAAGGGCUGGAAGUAGCAGGGGCAUUGGGUUGGGCGAUGGCACGUCAGGGCACAUGUGCGGGGCGGCGGCAUGUGCGGAAGGCGUUCCGGCGAUCACGGUAGCAUGUGGUGUGGAUGGUAGCUUCUCUGGUUCCUCUGGUCUUCGCACAACCACGAGAGAGAGAGAGAGAGAGAGAGAGAGAGAGAGAGAGAGAGAGAGAGAGAGGAAGGUGUGUUGGCAGCCUUGAGGGAGAGAGAGACAAGAGGGGCCACCUUGGCCAAAAUUUCCACCACUUCGUCCCCUUGAACUUGUCCACCAAGUUUGGCUGGGUUGCCUAGGAAUGUUCCAGCACUAAUUCCUUCUAGAAGCCUACUUAGAUGGUCCAUAAGUCAUGGUGGUGGGGGAGUUACGAAUUUGAUGGGUUUUGACAUCAAAUGGAUAUUUGUUCUUGCUUGAUUAAAUCUAAUUCGGCCUUAAUAAAUCUCGUUGUCGAGUCUUCAAUCAAAUCGAUAUUUUUCCUCACUAAUACCACCCACUUGCUUCCUAAUUUUUUGAUCAAUAGCGAUCCCUGCUUUUUUCUGAACAAAAACAGCCUUAGGACGACUUUUUCCCAAAAAGUCUCGGGUUGCAAAAAAAUCUUCUGAGAUUGCGUCGAUGUUCCUAGAAUUUAUUGUGAUAUGACAGAAUCUUCAAUUUCUGAAAUUGGAUUCAAAUUCGUGGUUAAUUUCACUCAAGCGCGUUUUUAGUGUGACCUAGGCUAUCAGGUAUUUUCAGAAAUUUUUAGUGCAAAUGAUCUGUGGUCGAUUUUCUUUAAACCACAAUGAACCCACUCGACACAUUGGCGACUCUUAGUUGUCGUGAAAAUAUUGAGGAUUCAAAUACGGACAUAGGGUACCAAAACGAUAGAAAAAUCAGUCUAGUGCCUGCCCACGAGAAUUUUCUAAUUUAGUGGUGUCACCCACGAUUAGCCACACAUCUCAGUUGAGUCGACCUAUCUCGAAUAUCAAAUUGAUUUUUAACUAUGCCAUAAUGGCCUCUAAAGAUAAGCAUGAUUGAGAAACCGAUUCCUGGUUGAAUUCUCAAGUCUAUUGCCUUAAAAUUCCUUAAUGGCUUCCCUGGAUAGUCUAGUUAUCUCAAUAGUGAUCAGCUCUGAGAAUAGCCCUAUAGGUGUGUCGAUGAAAUGCCCGAUUUAUUCAAUAGAAAACAGAAGUGAAAAAUCUAGGAUGUCACACCUGCAGUGGCCAACGAGGCUCUGACGAGGCUUGUUGACUGUUGGGCGAGGGCCAUGAAGCCUAUGUCGGCAACUAGCGAGGGUUGUCGUCCUUGCCCAAGGCCAUAGGUGAGGCCAACCUUGCUUUGGCCUUACCAAAGCCUUGUCGGCCACUAUGUGGAUCCAAUGAGGAAGAAGAGCAAAAGGAAAAGGAAAAAAUAAAAGAAAAAAGGAAAAAGAAAAAGAAAAAAUUAUUUUAAAAAUUUGAAAAAUUUAUUAAAAAGUUGUUUUGUUAGCGUUGGUCGAAUGACUGGUGUCCACGUCAAUACUGACUAGCCAAAAUUGGUCGAAUGAGCUGAACUGGUACCAAUGGGAAAAUAUUUAGGACUGAUUUGAUACCGAUGCAAUAGAUUUAAGCAUUUUUUGGUACUUCUAAGAGUCUUGAGCUUCCCAAACUUCAUAGUUUUCUCUCUCCAUUAACUCAUUAUUGCUUUGCUCCAUCAUAACAUUUGUUAUUCUUUACAGUGACUAAUUCAAAUAUGGCCAUUAGAGAUGUUGUUUCAGGUUCCUUCUUGUAGGUCCUUUUUGAUAGGUUUAGUUCUCUGGCAUUGAAUUAUGUGCAACGAGAAGGAAUUAGCACCACCCUCCUUGAUGAGUGGAAGGGGAUGCUAGUCACAAUCAAAGUAAUGCUAGAUGAUGGAGAGGAAAAGCGACUGAGCGGUAAUUGUCAGGUGAAGCCAUGGCUAAACAACUUUAAGGAUUUGGCCAAUAACAUGUAAGACUGGCUCGAUGAGUUCGAGAUGGAACUUGCCCAGGCCAAGUCAGAGGCAGAAUCUAGCACAAGGAAGUUCUUUUUCUUAAGUCGAUCAUGUUUGCUCGUGUUCGACACCAAGGUACAAGGGAUCAAGGGUAGGUUGGAAGUGAUUGUCACCAGGAUGGCUCCUUUAAGCUUGAGAAAGAAUGCUGUGGACAGAUCCAACUACACCAACAAUAGGCUCCCUAGCACUUCUCUGCUAGAGCCUCAGUUUUCUGGUGGGGAGAAGGAAGAAGUGGAAAUACUCAAACUAUUGACUAGUGAAGCCAAAAAUGGCAAUAGUGCGCUAAGCAUAGUCCCCAUAGCUGGGAUGCAUGGUGAUGGAAAGACGACCUUGGCUCAAUUGGUUUUUAAUAAUGCUGGAGUGAAUAAAUGUUACAAGUAGAAGUAUGCUUUGUUGUAAAGGAAAGGCGGAGAAUAGCUGUCAUGACCCCGACUUCAUCUCUAAGGUCAUGAGUGACAAGGGUUAUUUUCGCAACGUCCUAGGUUUGUUGCCGUUCCGAUUCUUUUUAUCUUGUUAUCAUGCACAUGCAGAAACAUGAACAAUUAACUUCCUAGACAAACAACAGCUAAAAGACUAGGACCCACAUCAAGUAGAACAUGCUAAUUUAUAUUAUAAUAGUACUUUUACAAGCCCUUUCUCUAUGGGUCCUCUUUUCUUUUUACAUCACAGUACAAGUUUCCAACAUAGGCCAAAGGAAAUCUUAUCUCCUCUAGCGUGACUGUAGCUCCCAACAUUGACAUGAGACUUCCAUGCUUAUAAGACUGAAAGAUGAGGGAUGAGUUUUGGGGAAAUUCAGUAAGUAAAAUUCCUAGUUCUCCACUAGGAAAGCAUCUCAUCAUUAUUAAAGCCUAGCAAGUACAAUACUAGCAAAUAGUGUUGAUAACAGAUCAAUAGCGAACUUGUUGCUACUCUUGACUACAUGCAAAUGUCCAUCGCAACAUGCUUCAAUGUAUACUUACCUUUAGCUUAUCAAUAAAUAUAUCAAUAUAUCAUACUUAUACAUAUACCGGUACUCAUGCAAAUUCAUUUACCGUCAUCCUGACUCAACCAGGCCCUCCCGGCUUAACUGAGGCAUCUAGCUUCAAGCUAGGCAUCGGCUCAACCAAGGCAUCUUGGUGCUAGCUCUCCAAAGCAUCCGGGCUCAACUCAAACAUCCUGGCUCAACCAGGUUAUCCCGGCUCAAGCGAGACAUCUCCUUCAAAGAACGAGGCAUUGCAGUCAAUGUUGUGCGGCGACGAGCACUUUUUCCUCUUUAAGUGCAUGCAUAAAUGCAUCAAACAAGCCAGUUCUUAUCUUUUCUCUUAGUCGAUACAUGUAUGGCUCGAAGGUGUGCUCAUUCGUUCAUGUGAGUCAUGAAUUCUUAUACUUCUUAAAUACAUAUGUCAAGAAUGAUCUUUGAUCUGUAAGUUGAAUUAGUCACUUAGCACUGAUUCUCGCACCAGACAAAGCUCGGAACAACAAGCCUUAUGCCGAACCAAGACUUUGAGGCUUGGGUGCACCUCGCUUUAGUGAUGAUCCCAAGCUUGACGAACCUUGGCUCAAACCGAUGUGAAUGCACAUCUAUCGAGAAUGACCCUCAGCUUGCGGUUUGAUCCAACGCCAAGCACAAAGUCCCUACAUCCACAUGGAUUAUAGAAAUCAGCAUGCUUGGUGCCUUACCAAGAUCUUGUGGAUUUGGGUGAUUCCUGUACCGAUCAAGACAUAAGAUUGACAUGCCUUAAUGUUGACUUAGAACCUUGCGGCCUUAGGUGAUUCCCGCAUCAAGUGAGGCUUGGACCUGGCUUCCUAUUUAUGUUGAAACCAAGGCUUUAUGGCUUGGGGCGACCUUGCAUUGUGAUGAACUCAACUCGAACAAACCUUGGCCUCAUUCCUAGCAUGAACAACUCAAGCACACGUUCAAGCACAAACAUGAGCAAAACCAUACAAAAGAUCCAACAUCCUACCCACGGCUUAACGGGUGAGCACCUAACUAGACUUGACAAUGGAAACUAUCACCCUAGAGGAGACAUAGGAAUCUUACUUACCUUGGCAAACCUUGAAGACCAACUUAGAUUAACUUGAAGGAUUGAGAAUGCAAGGUUGAGAGAAAGGAAAUGGAGGAGGAGGGUGGGCGUGAAUGGCAAAGUGGGCUAAAGUGGUGGAAAUGAAUGUGAGCCUCUCUUAUUUAUAGGCACCGAGCUAAUUAUCAUUCAUCCAAGAGGUCCAAUCACAUUUCUUAGAGUGACAUGGCUAUGCCAUCAAGGUGGCACGCCUAUUUUGCAAGGUGGCAGAUCUAGGAUCCUAUGAGAACACUUGCCAUCUUCUUAUUGGACCACCUAUUGGCUUGCUCUCCAAGGUUCAACUUAGGCUCAUGAUGUGCCUAUGGUCCUAAGGGACAAAUAAGCCAUUUUGAUGUCUAAUGUCCUCUUCUAAUUGGUUGGCUCUUAUCUUGUUCACCAAGGAAAUAUUUUAGGGUCAUUUUAGCCUAAGAGUCUAGAGAACACCUAAGUAUGCAUUACUAACUUCUUCCCCAAGGCAAAUCUUAAGCCAUCAUUACCAAGCCAAAUGGUCCACUCUAAUUUUUCCAAGUGUCCCACCUAAAGUCCUCAGUUGGCAAGCCUAGUAGUCCAAUAAUUGCACCUAAGGAAUGAGUUGGAUGGCUAAAAGGUCACACUUGGCAAAUCUAGCUUGUAGGCAUCAUUGAUGGUGGCUCGCUUUUUGCUCCUCCAUUGAUCCACCUAUACCCUGUAUUUGAUGUAGUUUGACAUUAAUGAUGCCAUAGUUGCCAACUCGGCAAAUCUAUAAUCUUCGAUCAUUAAUAAGGGGUUCAUGUAUCGUUCUUCGACUGGUCCAAAUGUGUGUCACGUAUUCUAGAAUUUUCAAGAUAUUUUUGACCUCCAUCAUGACCUUUGAAAAGUCAAGGGACACCUCAUCCUCCUUCAUUUAAUGAAGAUAUUCUAGAAUUUUCUCUACUUUAUUCUUUCCUUCCUCAAGAAUGUGGUCUAAAUAAUUCUAUCAUCCAAGUUGAUUCCGGGGUUGAGAAAUGAAUCAUUAGGUACACCUUGAAGAAUCGAAUCCCUGCGCAGAGGUUUGGCCAUUGUACUCCAUGCUUGCCCAAACCGUCUCCUUGGGCAAUCGGUCAGCCUAGAGGGUCAGUCAUUGGUUGACUCCUUGGCUACAUUAGUCUAGGUCCAGGACUGGUCCUCGGGUCAAUCCCUAGCCUAUCGUCAAGCUUGCCGCGAUCGAUUUCCUUUAUUUUCAAUCCUUGGUCCUUUGGUCGAUUCAAUGUCAAUUCUAAGUCUAUCCAUGGCCUAGCACUAAGCCAAGACACUCAUGGACCUUAGAAUUAGUGACGGAAUAGCCGAGUCUAUCCCUGGACUCAUUUCGAUCGACACUCGAUCUACCCAUAUAGUUCAUGGCCAGUGAAUUAUCGAUCCACGAUUGGACAUCACCAAUUCAAGAAUCCUUUCCGAUCACUAAGAAUUAAAUAGGGAAUGGUGUAUUUUUGGCUGAAAGAUGAUUGCAUUUGAUUGCAUCGGAUCAUCCGUGUAUCUGUGCACAACCGAGUGGAACCACCCGCGGUCAGGAACUAUGACCGAUCAUGACUAUCCACCUAUCCGAAAUCAUCCCAUGACCAAUACUUGUAAUCAAAAGGUCAUCUUAUGAGCUGGUGAUUUUAUCCCACCGGUAUGGUCGAUAGAACAUUCAUGGCUGACACCUUGACCAUUUCAUGAUCGAUCAAUCGGUCGGUCGAUUGGACCAUGACUGUUUCUUGAUUCCUUACCAAUCGAACCAAUUGAUCCCAAGGCCAAAGGCCUAUGGUCAAUCCAUUCAGGAUCUUAUGGUUGAUCCUUAUGAGGUUGGAAUCAAGAAUGUUACAAUAGCAAUCGGGGAGACUAUGCUUUGUUGCUUUGUUUAGUAAUCCUAAAAGUCUCAUGUUUGCCAUGAAGUAUUUUCAUUUAAAAUUGCAAGAACGUCGUCAUACAAUACCAUUCACAAUCCACUUAUCUCAGGUAGGCAAGUCUCGUCAUUAUAUCCCCUCCAAGCUGCCAAAGCUCCCGUCACAAUUAAUCUUCACAAAAACUAGUUAGGUUACUCUACAGACCUUGCCUUUCGUCCACCAAUUAUGACUUAGCUCUCUUACAUUUUUAACAAGCAACAGAGUAUAAAAGAGCUUUUUCUAAUCUGUGUAGUGAUAGUUUCAGUAUGGAGUGAUUUAUGCUUAACGGUUAUUGCAUUUCAAGUGUUCCGAUAAACCAACAAGUGUAGGCAAUCAUUCUUAAGCGUUAUCAACCUAUACCAAGUCAUUUGAUCUCCUAACAUCACAUUUGUAGAAUACCAACCUGUACGAAUAAGUGUCUAUCGCCAGUGUCUCCCAUACUUGUUAAUUAACAUAAUCAUAGGAAUUUUCCAGUCAACAAAAAAUAAAAAUCAUCAACAAGGUAUCUCAUUUAAUUUUUUGUUGCAGUCAAUUAGGUGUGCUUAUAAUUUUGUUCAAUCACUCUUGUAAUUCUUCAUUAUGCAUGAAGGAUCAUUUUAUUUAGGACUAAUUGCUCAUCCUGUUUGAGACUUUUGGAUGAGAUAUAUGAGGAUGGUGGAAAGACUAUUAACAGUGGAGGAUGUAAGAAGCAUGGAGUAUUUUGUUUCCUUUGUCUCUAAUUUCUAUUUGGAUGAGAAAUAUGAGGAACAUGGAAAGAUUAUCAAGUGGUCUUCACAAAAUCUCUCCUCUCUCAAACAGCUAUCUUUUAUAGUUACUGGUACUUGCCAAAGGAUGGCUUUGCUUCCUCCUUCAAGUAUUUGGUAUAAUGCAAUGUAAAAUUCUGAAAGAUCAAUGCUCAAAACUUAAUGGCGAAUAUUGGCACCUCAUCCAAGAAAUCACACUCAUUGUAAUUGAUUGAGUUCGGAUUUAAUAAGAAGAUUUCUCUUCAAUAUCUAAUUUUUAUUCUUUUGGUAAUGGUUUGGACUUCUUUCUUUCUUCCACACUUGUCGUUAUGUGUCACGACUUCUCUUUUUCCAUCUGGGGGAAAAGAAAGAAGGUUUAGGGGUAUUUGUUUAAAGAGGCGGACCAACAGCCCUGAAUUAGGCGCAGGCUCUCCCAAGCCCAUACCUUGUGCGACGUUGGAUUUUGUUUUUUAGUUCUUAACAACCUAUGUAUUUCUUAGAGUUGCCACUAGCCUAUUGGGGUUGGCUAGAAACCAAUCAAGACAUGGGAGUGUUGUCUCAAUUCCUACGCAGCCAGAGAUUUUUAGAAACAGGGACUUGUUUAUGCCAAUGUUUCUAUUAGCGCCAUUGCGGUACCACUAACUUGGAACGUUAUUUAUCUAAAUGGCCACACAAUCUUGAUUACCAAUUAUAAUGUUUAUGAAACCACUAAGUGUCUAUGCAAAUGUUUGUGUAGGUUUUUUUUUUUUUUUAAUGUCUAGACUAAUCCUAACAUAAUUUAGAAAAUAAAUUUACACUCAAAUUAUUGAAAUGCAGUGCGGUAAAUAAACAUCCAAGAAAUUGAAAGGACUUGAAAGUAAUGCGGAAAAGAAUGACCCAAUACAAGUCGGGCAAAUAAUAUUACACAGCCUUCACGCCUUGGGACAGGACCCCUGUGAGCGAAAUAGGAAUUUAAAUAUGCAUGAAAUUACUCUAAAUAAUUUUAAUCUACGCAAAAUAGAUUAUUUACAAAAAUGAUUAUAGAAUAUCAAAAUAGCAUCAAGUUAGUACAAUGACUUUAUAAAAUUAGAAAAAUCUCAUAAAUGUCAUUUAUGCCCUACUUGAUAUUAUCUAACAUUUUUUUUUAUAUUUUUUAAAAUUUCAGAUUUUUCUUUCUUUAUUAUUAUUUUUUGUUAAAAAAAUACUAAUAAUAAUUCUUUAAACCGAUCUAUGCUAAUAUGGAAUAACACAACACAUGAAUAUCGCAAUAAUCAAGCUAAAAUCGACCGUUUCAAGAUUGAAACUUGGUUUGGGCAUUUCAUUGAGCAAUUGGUGUACAUCAACCCAUCUUAAGUAAAUUCCCUGAGCCGUAUUCGUGACCUUCAAUCUUGACCCAUAAGCAAUCUUAUGUGGAACUAAAAUAUCAAAAUUAUACUACCACAUGCAAGGAGCACAAUUAGAUAGAAAUCAUAACCUAAAACACACAAGAACUAAGUUGAAAUCGAUCUCAAAUAUGCAGGUUUGAGCUAAUUUUACAAAUUUGGGUUGCAUACCCAUAUUCAAGCCUCGACACUCAUCACUUACGAGAUCUAAGGGAAACAUUACUUGAUUCAAGUGAAAGUGAGUAACAUGGACUUUCAAAUGUAACGAACAUCACGGAGAAUGACCAACCGAACACAUCAAAAUGACCUCUCCAAGAAGCACAUGUGCAAAGUCCACACUAACUAGCCAUGAAUCAAUGUGGAUAGGCUUGAUUUUUUGCCCAAGUUUUGGACGAUCUCAUAAUUCACAUGGAGAUUUAAAGACUAAACCAGCCUGACCUAUGCAUCAUUUGUACUCCCAUAUAACAUUAAUCAAAGUCACAAAGACAAGUAAUGCACGAAAAUGGGGUAUAGUAAAUCAAACAUGCAAGACUUGAAGAGAUUUCAACACUUAGAAAAAUCUUAGCCUUAAAAUUAGUUUUUUGGUGGAAAAAUCUUAGCCUCAAAAUUAGUUUUUUGGACUAGUUUUCCUCUUGAUUUUUCACUAUUAAAACAUGUUCAAACUCAAAUAAAAAUACAUCUAGGAUACUUAUCUUGCUUCCUAGUUUCUUUUGCAAGUGGUUUUUGAUUGAGGAAACCAAGAAAUUAUCCUCGGGGGCACAUGGAAUUUGGCUCCUUCAAACUGGAAAUGAGAUUUGCAGAAAAAAGAAUUAACAACGAAGGUUUUAGUUUACCGCCAAAAUUAGAUUUCAGGACCUUUUUUGUUGGACAAAUUAACACCGAACCAAACUAUAUGUAUUCUAGUUUGGAUUACAAGUCAUGGAUUUCCUCAUUUGUCUUUCAAUUUUCUAAAAAACACUCACAUUCCCUCACUCGUGACCAACCGAGCUCAACACUAGAAAAUUUUUUGGACUUUCUUGGCCCGUCAGGAGGGUACUGUUUCGGGGAGGCUUUAGGAGGCCUUCCCAAUCUCCAUCUGAGAUGUAUAACCUAUGGUUGGAAAGAUAUUUGAGUAAAGUUUUACUCUCUAGUUGAAUGUUUUGGCUAAUUUUGUGACAGCCCAUGCGACGGUGCGCGGGGAGGAGGGAUAAGUGACGAUGCGUUCGCGCCUUGGUCCCCGAACGUGCGCAGGGAAAGGGAAGGGGUCCCUCUCUAGUCCCACAUCGCUUAGGGGAGAGUCCUGGGCUAGUUUAUAAAGGCUUGGGUCUCUCUAAUUUGUGUAACGCGUUUUAAAGUUGUAAAGACUCAGUGUCCAAAGCGAACAAUAUUACACAAUGGGGCCUGGGUCGUUACAAAUGGUAUCAGAGUUGGCUCUCGAUCGUGUAUGGGGCUACAGCGAGGACGCUGUGCUUUUAAGGGUGGAGAGUGUGACAGCCCACCCAAUGGUGCGUGGGGGAGGAGUAAUAAGCAAUGGUGUGUCCGCGCCUCGGUCCCCUGAUGUGUGCAGGGAAGGAGAAGGGGUCCCUCUCUAGUCUCACAUCACUUGGGGAGAGAGUCAUAGGCUAGUUUAUAAAGGCUUGGGUCUUUCUAAUCUAUGUAACACGUUUUAAAGCCAUGAGAAUUCAGUGUCAAAAGCACACAAUAUUACAUAGUGGGGCCUGGGUCGUUACAAAUAGUAUCAGAACCGACUCUAGACCACGUGUGGGGCUACAGUGAGGACGCUAUGCUCCUAAGGGGUGGAGAGUGUGACAGUCCACCUGACGGUGUGCGGGGAGGAGGGAUAAGCGAUGGUGCGUCCGCGUUUUGGUCCCCAAAUGUGCACAGGGAAGGGGAAUGGAUCCCUCUUUAGUCCCACAUCGCUUAGUGGGGAGUCCUGAGCUGGUUUAUAAAGGGUUGGGUCUCUCUAAUCUGUGUAACGCAUUUUAAAGUCGUGAGGACUCAGUGUCCAAAGCAGACAAUAUUACAUAGUGGGGCCCGGGUCGUUACAAAUUUUGGCCACAAGUUUGUGAAAAUUUCACUUUUCUUUGCCAAGGUCGGUUUGAAAUUUUUGGGUUUUGCUUUUCUAGAGUUGCUUUUAAGAGUGUCUUUUAGGAACGAUUGUGAGCUCUCUCGUCUCUCUCUUGUCUCCUACCUUUCAUGCCUUAAAAAAGCUUGCUUCAGUGAUUUUAUCCCUUGAAUUAAAGGAUUUUUGGUCGGUCUUUUGUCCACUUACCAAGCUUGUCAACUGAGCUAGUUCACCCAUUUUUUGACUUAACCAAAAUUUUCAACUUGUGUAGUUGUUGAGUGUGUGGAUUUUGCUGCAAUCUUCAUGUGGUUUCAGCAGCUUAUUCCUGAUCAACUUUUGUCCACUUGCACUACCAUUAAUGAUCUUCCAUCAUGUGCAGAAAUCAGGUUGAUUGGACUGCUGAGUAGGAUAUGGUGGGGUCACAAAGUUGCUUACUCAGCAACUCCGAAUUGAGACUUAAUUGUGGGCUAAGUUUUGGUAGAUGAUUUGAAUGCUUUAAUCCAUCACUUUGGCUGCGGUUUUUUUUAUCAAUUAGCAAGCCCAUGUAUAGAAGUUUAAGAUCUUGACCAUUUUUCACUAUUUUGCAAGAGUCCCUCAAAGUUGACCAUUUUCUUGCUCGGGAAUGCCCAAUUCAAUGUAAUUUGGUCAUUUUUGCCCGAUUCAAUUAAUUAAACCUGACCCAAGUUCAAUUUCAACUCAAUUGGGGACCAAGAUGAUGAUUUAAGGGCUCGGGCUAAAUUUUACAAAAUUUACAAAUUGGUCCCUCAACUUUUGAAAAUUGCAUUUUGGCCCCAACUUGCCAUUUUAAUUCCCAUUUGACUUCCUAGGCUUGGCUAGUCACAUUUAGAUCAUUGGCCCUUACUUUUUUUUUCUUUGUUUUCUUUUUUUUAAAGAAAAACAUCUUCCAUUUAAAUAUAUAAUAAUAAUAAUAAUAAUAAUAAUAAUAAUAAUAAUAAUAAUAAUAAUAAUAAUAAUAAUAAUAAUAAUAAUAAAUACCUAGAUAAUCUAUAUGCAAGAAUUGUACAUGAAAUAUUUUUGUGGAGAAACAAGUUCCCAUUUUUCGGAAAUGAUUUUGGACAAAAAAUUAGGUGUCAACAUUAUGCUAUUGUUGCUACUCAAAAAUCCAUUUCUAUUACGAAUCCUCAACUCGAUGCUAGGAAGUUCAUGUUUGUCCAUGGACAAGCUUUACAUAAUUUGCCACAAACCAGCUAGACUUUUGGGUUGCUCUGUUUUGUUUGAUAAGGAAGCACAUAAUGAAACGGUUAUAAUGCUAACAUGGUCUGGCAAGUCCACCAUUGUUUCAUACGAGUGACUAUUCCUCAAAAAAAAUAAUACUUGCAUGGACUCACUCACAGUGCUGGAAUUGUGAUGCGUGGAUGUGCCUAUCUGGAUUGAUGAUAUAUCUUGAACUUUGUUUGACCUAACUAUUGCUUAUCUAUCCAUUAAUGGAAAUGCACUAUGCUUUGCAUGAGAAUUGUCGACACCUGAUUUUUAGUCGACGUAUCAUUAUAAAAGAUGAGUCCAAAUUAAGGGUUAAUUUUGGGAGAUUCGCUUGGAUGCAUUCUAAUUUGGUCGAUUUGGCGUGUUCAAAUAUCAGAAAGCCCAGCUAAGGUGCUUUAACUUACGUAAUUCGACUUGGCCCAUUUUAGACUAGAGUGCAAUUGAAGUAAUUGAGCUUCAAUUUGGCCGGUUGAGAUUCAAUUGAAGAUGUGAGUCUAGCUUGUGGCCUCGCUUCAAUAAGAUUUCAUUGAAUUUGAAUAUUUUGUGCACAAGUAGUUGACUUGAGAUAGCUCAAUUGCAUCUCAUUUGAACUGAUUCAUAUAGAAAAAUUUGAUUUUGUUUAAAUCGGGCAAAACCAGAAAAAAUAGAAUAAAAUUCGGACAAAAAGUCAACCCGAUCAAUGCUGUUUGCAUUGACCAAAUUUGACUAGUGUUGACUGACGAAUUUUUUCAGAUCUUUUGUCCUGAAACCACCAUUUGCUGGCCCACUUCAUGGCCAAUGCAUCCACGCUCUUAGUUUUCAAAUUUCCAAUUUUGUUCCAGAUUUUACAAAAUUCGCAAAUUGCCCCCUUAUGUUAUGAAAAUUGCAAAAAAAAAAAAAAAAACCCAAUUAGUACAUGAUUGAUCAUCAUCCGUUCAUUAAGAAUGUAUCGCGGCCAUUGAAAUAUACAUGUGCUUAAUUAGGGUGCUCUCAACAAAUUUAACAAACCAAUUAGCUAGGAAGAUCCAACCAUAGUCCUUGGAUUAAUCCAAGGACUAAGAUUUGAUCUUGCCCUAAACUAUAUAACUAACUUCCCUCCAAAAUUGAGGGGGGGGUCAUUUUUUCCAAAUCUGUUUUCUCUGACUAAAAACUCUCUCUCUACAUCUCUCUCUAUUGUUUUCUCCGAACUCGGUCAAGCAAGGAAAGAACGAGGUAAUUUUGAUUUUCUCUCGAGAGGAAUUCUCCAUUAAUCCUCUCUCUUGAAGACUUUUGCGGCGGACUUUUGCAAGUUUUUUGCAGCAAGUUUCCACUCAUUCUCUUUCUCAUUGGGCUGAUUGUGCUUCAUGCAUAUGAACUUGGACAAAGUGGAGUGACUCCACUCAUUCUCUCUCUGAUUGAAUGAGAAAGAAGAUAUGAAGAAGUGGUUCCUCACGAUUUGAUCAAACAAGAUUGUUCGUAAUCGAAGUUUCAAGUCGGGCGAAUACCAAAAAUUGUUAUUCUGUUAGCUGUCAUACCCUAAACCCAUCAUGAAUGGGGGAUGACACGGCCAUCUUUCCACUCAAAAGACACGGCCUCAAAGUUCCCAAAAUCCAACUCCUAAAAGUCCCCACAUCCAUAUUGCUCUCAUACCUACUCAUCGUUAGUCGAGGAACCUAAAAAAAAGAUUGGAAAAUAGAGGGGUGAGUAACCACAUCUUAGUGAGUAGUGCAUCUCUUCUAAGCGGAUCGAGUACCCACUAUGCAUAUUUACAAAAUCAAACUACAACUCUUUUAACUCAAAUCCAGGAUAUAACAAACAUACAGUAAAAUAAUUACAUACACUUCAACAUAGCUAUAUUUAUAGCAGAAAUAAUCAUUUCACAUUAAUAUCAAAAUAAACAUCAAUGGUCUAAUUCAUUGAUCAAUCUCAUUAAUUCACACGUCAAUGGUAUAUUCCAUUGGUUAAUCUCAUACCACAUAUCGAUGGUCUAAUGAAAUUACUCGUCGAUGGUCCAUUCUAAUGACUAAUCUCAAAUCAUAAGCCGAUGGUCCAUUCUAUCGACUAAGCUCAAAUUACAUGUCGAUAGCGCAUUCUAUCGAUGAAACUCAUAUCACAUGCCAAUGGUUUACUCCAUUGACCAAUCCCUUGCUUAAUAUCAAAUCAUGGUCACGAUACAACGCUUGGUGAUGAGACGACCAAGAUCUCCCCCUUGGCAAGGUCUCUACCUACAAUUAGCCGGUAUGUCGGCCCACAAGGAUAUCCUAAACUAGUCUGUGCAUACCCACAAGCCCCUUGCUGGGCACACAUUGAUAUUGAGCAUUAAUAUCAAUCCAGAACAACACCAUCCACGAUUCACAAAACCAAAUCCAUAAAUCAUUUCAUAUAUCACUAAAAGAUUUCGCAACUCAACUCAUUCAUCAAAAAUACUUUUCAUAAAACAUUCUCAAAUAAUUUCAAGACUCGCCUCAUAAAUCAAUUUUACAAACCGAAUCAAAUCAAAUACAUUUUAAAAGCUUAUCACAAACCGAUAUCUAUAUAACAUCCCAUAAACCAUCUCAAAGUUGAGCUUUUUGUAAGAAAGGUUUCACAAAUCCAAAACAUGUAAUAUUUUUCAACUUCACUCAUCAAACAAAGUAUAUAUUUCCACUAAAAAGUUCUCACACUAUUAUCAAAUACCAAAAUGUAGUAAAUACCCAAUUCAAAUUUUAUGCAACAAAUAUGCUUCUUCAUAUCUCGUAAAAUAUCAAAUAUUUGUCAUUUUGAAGACAUGAGUUUCUAAAUAUUUAGAAGAGAUAACACCACUCACCUAGAUAUGCCCCAUACCAAACAAUAAAUAAUACUCGUAUCGUUGAACUUGCGAUCCUAUCAAAUAAGCGAGAAGCAUCAUUACAAUCGAGAAAAACGCUACCUCAACUAGAUUCAACUAAACUAAGCUUGAAUGCUUGCAAAACGAUUCUCAUGCACUAACAAAUCACUCACCCAAAGCAAUUUCUCAAAUCUGUCCAUAGCCCAAAGCUCAAGCACAAAAUUUUUGUCAUGCCAUAACUUUCUCCUCCGAAUCCCGUUCUAAACGUAUUUAUAGUCAAUAGAAAGCUCUUCACACAUACUACAAGAAUCCCAACUUGACCGUCCCAAAUCAAGCCGAAAAUCAACAAAAUAUGGGCGCGAAGCUUCUGGACGCGCACUGUUCACUGUGCCUGGGAAACUUCAAAAUUUGUUUCGAGCAAACCGUAAGCUCAAAUCAUGAUCCGUAAAAUCCUACGGCUCCAUAACACCCUUGUUGCCACCAACUCCUUAGGGGGAGGGAACAUGUUUAGGGGUAUUGCCUAAAGGACGGGCCUAAGGCCCAUGAUUAGGCGUAGGCUUUCCCAAGCCCAUACCUCGUGUGACAUUAGAGUAUUUUCAAAGAUUUUUGCAAUAAGGAGUUACCAUUAGCCUAUUGGGGUUUGCUAGAAACCAAGUGAGAUAUGAGAGUCUAUCUCACUUCCUACGCAACUAGAGAAUCUAGGGUCAGGGACUUGAUUACACUAAUUGACCAAUUAGUGCCCUUUCGAUACCAUAUCUUGUUCAUUUUAAAAGAAAAUAUUUUUUGUUAGUUAGUUUGGAUUGAUUUUACACCUAUCCACUAAUAUGCGAGGUGAUCAUACGGGUGUGCAAUCUUAAAGUAACCAUUUGCAAUCAAAAUCCUAAUUGCAGUAAAUUUUAACACAGGCAAUUAAACAUGAUAAAAUAUGCGAAUUAAGCACGUGAUAUAACCAAUAUACAAGAAAAUAAAAGCCUGAUUACACUAAGAAGGCAAGACAUGACAAUUCUUAACCAAACCCAACACUUUUUAGAUUUUUGAAAUUUUUUAAUUUUUUAAUUAAUUUUUAUUAAUUUUUUAAAAGGAGGUCGAAUUUUUUAAUGUUUUCUGAGUUUUUAAAUUUUUGGAAUUUUUUAUGAAUUUUUAUUAUUUUUUCGAAAUUUUUGAUUUAUUUUUGAAAUUUUGUUUUUUGAAAUUAUAAUAUAUUUUUAGUUUUUAAUAUUAUUUUAUUCUGAAAAAGGGCUCGGACCAGGUAGAUCCAAUCCAGCCAUUGACCCGACCCAAAACCAGAUUCGACCCUAUCGGAUUGGAAAAGAAAAUACGAUUUUUAAUUAAAUUUUUUUAGUUUUCAAACACUUUGUUCUAUUUUUUCCUUCUUCCCUUUUUUGGCUUCUUCUAUGUUUUGUCUUUUUCCUUGCACUGUCCUCUCAUCCAUGCCGCCUUCACCGAAUGUCUGCUUCCCACGUCUUUUCCACCUUUCUAUUUUUUUUUCAUUUCUUUUCAUUAUUCUUUUUCAUUUCUUUAUUUCUUGUUUUUCUUUUAAGCUUUUUUUUUUUUUAGGUUGUCUUCUUCCUUGGUCUUCUUCAGGAUGUCCCCUCUUUGCCCGGAGCUUCCUUAUUCUGCACCAUGCGCAACACCUGUCACACCCUGAUCCUCGGGUGCGUACCCAUCCCUCUAUGGUUGAUAAAAUUUUGCGAUUUCCUAGGAUGAGUUGCCGACCUUUUCAUUUUAUUGCACAUGCGGAAGUAAAUAACAAAUCCUCUGACGGUAACUAUCUCGGGAUAGAAAAGCAGGCAAUAAAUUCAUAAAACAAACAUGCUUUUAUAACACAUUGAGUCAUGUACACAAGUCUAUAACAAAAAUAUUAGUUCUCAAAAAGAGGUUGUCUUAUCUGACCUACUCUUCAGGUCGCCUCAGCUCGGCUCUAGACCCUCCACUCUACGGUUCUGAAAAAUUUAAAUCCACGAUGGGGUGAGAUAUAUGCUUAGAAGCGUCCUAACCAUACAACCACACGAUUAACACAUAGGACUUACCUCGGCCCAGUUUUUUUCCUGCAUGUCAGUACAGUUCACAUCAUAGAUACACACAUCACUUAUACUCAAAUAAUUGGAAUGCCGCAUCAACUCAAUUAACCACAAGAGUUCCAAUUAUAAGGCCAAACUGUUAUGACACGUCCCAUAUCAUGCCACAUAAUUUUGUCUCAUAAUCAGGCGCAUCAAAUUCAAACCAUCACGUGUUCAAAUUGUUAAUUAAGCCCCUCAAGGCACAACCGACUCCCAUGUUUGGUUAUCUACUAGUGUAGCCAGAUAUCAUCUCUUCCCCAUUGAGCACAACUACGUCUGAUUGAUAGCUUUCCCAAAGGAGUAUAGGUCCAGAAUCUAAUGCAACCCACUAUCCUAAUACAUGGGUAACCCGAACAAGGGUUUAGUAACAUCCAGCGUAAUUGCUCGAGACGGGUUCUUUUAACCAAUACACGACCUAUCAAUUUUGGUCCAAGACACCGUGCAUUGCACUCAAAUGCCUCAAUUAAAGUAGUGAUCAUAGCAUAUUUUCUUCGUAUUAACAAUACAUGUUAAAAUAGUCGUGUGUGGGAACACGGUUAGAUUGGAAUUAGAAAAUUCAUAACCUCUAAUUUAAAAUCCCACUGUUUAAAUAUAGUAUAUAAAAUCAUUUUUGGUGUUAAAAUCCAACACCCGGGGUUUUCUGAAUAAAUACCUAAAUUCACAAAUUUUGGAAUUAAAUACUCAAAUUUUCAAUCAGCACUCAAUUUGCACAAAUUAACAUCCAAUUGCAUAAAUUGAACACACUAUUGCAAUCAGCACAAAAUUCUAGUCACCGGUUAUCCCGGUCUAAUUUCCGGAAAAUAAUGAAUAAUUAAAUAAAUUACUGAAAAUUAAAUAAAUUACAAAAUAAAUAAAUUUAAAGCAUUUAAUUAAAUUAACCUAAACUAACUAGGCUAAAUAAUCUACUAAUAAUUAAAUCUAACCAUUAUACCUAAUUCUAUAUAAUUACACUAAUUAUAUUAACUAACUAAUUCCUAUCUACUUACCAAAAAAAAAAAACUAAUUCCUAACUAAAUCCACCUAACUAUACUAAUUAAACUAACUAAAUACUAACUAUAUACUUAAUCUAACUAAACCAUCCUAAGCUUAAUUAAAUUAACUAACAUACUAAUUAGUUAACUAAUCCACAUCUAUGUGUCAUUAGCCCACUAAUUAGGGAUUAGAAUGCAACUCACCGGUUUGCACGAAAAUUGGCUCACGGCAACGGCGGCUGAGAUCCGGUCUCACGGUGAGGCCGAGGGAAGCUCGGGCGGGUUGAAAUUGGCCACAAGCUCGCUGCUGGGCUUGAAAUUUUCAGACGUGAAGCCGGACCGAGUCGUUGAGGCCUCGGUGGAAGGGAACGGCGAGAUGAAAGCUGGGCCGCGGGCGUGAAGGCGCUGGACUGAUUCGGUCUUCGGUUCGGUGGGAAGCUGCUCGGUCUUCGUUGGGUGAAAGUUGACCGAAGAAGAUGGGGCUUGGACGCGUGGGCGCAAGAUGCCGGAGGUGCAGAAGCUUCUUCGGUCAACGUUGGUGGUGGAGGACCUCGAUGGUUGACCAAUGGGGGGAAAAACAAAACUUGGUGGAGGACGUGGCUUGCAGAGGAGAAUUGGUGGUGGUGUGUUGGCGUGAGAGGAGACGGAAAAAUGAAAGCAAAUCCCAGAAAUGAAAGGAAAUGAAACUUCAGGCGUGAGGGAGAGAGACGAUCGUGGGGAUGGCUGUUCGAAUGAAAGAAAAAGACGAGCCGUGACCGAGAGCGAGGGAGAGCGGCAGAAGUUUGCUCAACAAGCUGGAUGAGAGAGAGAAUGGCCAAAAAGUCCACAAUCUUAGCCAAAAACUUAAAUGCUUGGUCCCCCUCUUGGUCUUCAAGCUUAUCACAUUGUCCCCUAUUACUUUCUUACUUAGAGAUCCAUAAAAAUCCAAUUUAAAUGUAAAAAAUGCAGCCCAUCUCUUUUGAUCCGAAUUUCACUUAAUUUAGCUUCAAUUUCUUCAUGAAAUUUCCUAAAUCAAUGUCCACUUUUGUCGAAGAAAAAUCCCACACAUUUCUAUAAGUUCCCAAUGUCCAAUAGCUCAGCUUAGAAGUCAAAAUUCCCUUCAAAUGAGUUAAGCCGAAUUUCCGUUCGUUUUCUGAAUUGUCUGAAUUGAUUUUCCGUAAUAAUCUCGGAAUCUCCGAAAUUUUUUCGGAAGAUGAGUUGAUGUCCUAAAAUGAACUGUGACACGACAGAACUUUCCAUUUCUAAAAUCGAGUUCAAUGUCAUAGUUAAUUUCAAUCUGACGUGAUUUUAGCACGUCACAAUCUACCGGGUAGUUUUUAGGAAUUUUUAUUGCAAUGAAUCCAUGGUCAAUUAUUUUCGAGCCACAUUGUACGUCUUUGACACAUUGGCGACUCUCAGUUGUCAUGAAAAUCUCGAGAUUUCAAAUACAGACACAUGGUACGAAAAUGACAAAAAAAAUCGGUUUAGUGUCGUUCGAUAGAAAUUUUGCAAUUAAGUGGAAUCACCCACGCACUAAUCACAUAUCUCUAUCGAAUCGACCUAUUUCUGGUCUCUGAUCAAUUUUGAUGGUGCCAUAAUGACUCUUGCAGAUUAGCACAGUCGAGUAGUCGAUUCUUGGUCAAAUUCUCAAGGUUAUUGCAUUUAGAUUCCUUAACGGCUUUAUUUGAUAGGCUAGUUAACUCGUGAAUGGCCAACUCAGAGAAAAAGGCUAUAGGCACGUCGAUGAAAAGCUCAUUUCAUCUCAUCGAAAUCAGACUCGAAAAUCAGGAUGUCACAACGCCAACUAGAAUAAGUGGCUUUGACCGUCGGACCAACACUGUCCAUCGGUCAUCCCCCUUGACCAACGUUGGCUACCGCCGGCCACAUAUUCCGAUGACCACUAACUCAUUCUUCGGUGCAACGAAAGACUUUGCCGAUUCGAAUACAUGCAAAUAUUUCACAUAAACCACACAAAAUACAAUGAAUAUCGGGCAAAGCAACAAGGAUUCAGCAAGCAUGGGAGAAAAAAUGAGUUGAUCUUGCAUUAAAACAUACACUGCUCUUUGGUUUUUUAUUAAGGCAUUUCAUCGAACACAUAAGACGCACUAACUAAAGAGGUAAGCGUAGACUCGAUCGGGGCUCAGGUUCAGGCCAAGAUCAUCAUGCAAUACACAAGCACUAUUCUGGAUCGACUCGAGGACAAGUUUAUCAGCAUUUAACUUGAAUUUAAACAAAUAUGACAUGUCUCAGCCAUAACACCAAACACAAACAAAUAUUUGCAUAAAGCACUACAAUAGGCACGCAUAUGCUGUGUGAGGAAUGAACACGAGCACAACGGAAUUUUGGGUGAGAAUCGAGACUGAAGCUCGUGCGAACUGGUCGACCACAAGCUCUAGCUCGAUGCCCCACAAAAUACAAUGAAUAUCGGCAAAGCAACAAGGAUUCAGCAAGCAUGGGAGAAAAAAACAAGUUGAUCUUGCAUUAAAACAUACACUGCUCUUCGGUUUUUAUUAAGGCAUUUCAUUGAACACAUAAGACGCACUAACUAGAGAAGUAAGCGUAGACUCGAUCGGGGCUCAGGUUUAGGCCAAGAUCAUCAUGCGAUACACUAGCACUAUUAUGGAUCGACUCAAGGACAAGUUUAUCAGCAUUUAACUUGAGUUUAAACAAAAAUGACAUGUCUCGGCCAUAACACCAAACACAAACAAAUAUUUGCAUAAAGCACUAUAAUAGGCAUGCAUAUGCUGUGUGAGGAAUGAACACGAGCACAACGGAAUUUCGGGUGACAAUCGAGAUUGAAGCUUGUGCGAACUGGUCGACCACGAGCUCUAGCUCGAUGCCCCACCAAAAACAGGGCAAACGUACUCGGGAAUGACCUACCUGUUUCGAAAGGGAGCGCUGCGGUGGACGAUGGCUCUCAAGCGGAUGACUAGUGAGGGCAAAGCUAUCCUUCAGUCCCUCUCUCUCCCUUUGGCUCGCCCUCUACUCUCUCGAGCUCUCUCCGGUGCUCUCUAUUCUCUGUCGACCAAAAAUAAAAUAAAAAUAAAUACAGUUGAGCCCUCCCUUCUCUUCUCUUUGCUCUCUUUCUUUUAAGCUCGGCCAAUGACAGGCGCGCAUGGCUUCUACCACCGCCAGCCUAUCGCGGCCGCUUGAUCUCCAACCCUGGGAUCACGCCGUCCUCUGCCUUCGUGAUCCUCUGACCUCACGAUCCUUUGCCGUGCCCCUGGCUUGAACGAUUCUCCUUUCCCCUUCUUUUGUAGGAGCAUGGUUGGUGUGAGGGGAGGGAGAAGACUCAUGCAUGGGCUGGGCUGAAAUAAAAGGAGAUGGGCUGGCCCAAGUGCAAAAGAGAGAAAAGGAAAAGAGAUAGGUCAGCGACCCCAUGGACGAAGAAAAGCCCUCUAUUCGGCCUCAUUCAAUUUUCUCCUUUUUCUUCUUUCUUUUUGAUAAAAUAAAAAAAUAAAUUAUCAUUAGUGAUGCAAAUAUUCCUAAUGCUAAAACGCGAUGCAAUUUAGUAAAAAUAGUUUUUUUUUUAAUUUCGAUUUUAUUUUAUUUUAAUUUUUUUGUAAAUUUUUUUGAUAAAUUUUAAAACUAGUGACGCAAAUGCUCCUAAUGUCUAUAUGUGAUGCAAUUUUUUAAUGAUUUUUUUUUGUUAAGGGGUUAGAAAUUAAUCUCUAAUUUUCAAAUGCAAUUAAUAAACACUUAAACAAAUUGCCAAAAUUUAGGUGUCAACAGCUACCCCUUUUUGAAUGGAAGCUCGAAAAGAUUCCUUUCAAAGAUGAGAGACACCUAAAUUUUGUCCAUGGACGAUGACGAUCAGGCACUGCCGAUGUGAAAAGGGGAUGAAGGAAUGACCUUACUUUGUAAGAAAAUAGCCUUCGACUGAGAUGGGAAAGUCUUAUUAUGUGGUAACUAGUUCGAACUGGAAGAGAGGUCUUAUUGUGUAAAAAGGGGUUUCGACUGGAUAUGAUAGUCUCGCCAUGUACAAACGGCUUUCCACUAGAAGAAAGGUCUCACCGUGUACAAAUGAGUUUCAACUGGAUGUGAUAGUCUCACCGUGUACAAACGGGUUUCGAUUGGGAGAAAGGUCUCACUGUGUACAAACGGGUUUCGACUAGGUAUGAUAGUCUCACCGUGUACAAACUGGUUUCGACUUGGAGAAAGGUCUCACUGUGUACAAAUGGAUUUCGACCGAAUGUGAUAGUCUCACCAUGUAAAAACGAGUUUCGACUGGAUAUGAUAGUCUCACUGUGUAUGAACAGGUUUCGAUUGGGAGAAAGGUUUCACCGUGUACAAAUGGGUUUUGAGCGGAUGUGAUAGUCUCAUCGUGUACAAAUAGGUUUCGGCUGAGAGAAAUGUCUCAUCAUGUACAAACGGGUUUCGACCAUAUGUAAUAGUCUCACUGUGUAAAAACGGGUUUCGACUGGGUAUGAUAGUCUCACUAUGUACAAACGGGUUUUGAUUGGGAAAAAGGUCUCACCGUGUACAAAUGGGUUUCGACUAGGUAUGAUAGUCUCACCGUGUAUAAACGAGUUUCGACUGGGAGAAAGGUCACACCGUAUACAAACAGGUUUUGACCAGAUGCGGACAAGCAUAGUUUAUGGAUGAACCCACAAGCCGUGUGGUUUAGGAAAAACCAUCAACCCCAUGGUUUAAGGAUAGACUCACCAACCUUGUGGUUUAAGGAUGACUCACGAGCCGUGUAAUUUAGGAAAAGCCACAAACCCUGUGGUUUUAAGGAUUGACCCACCAACCUUGUGGUUUAAGGAUGACUUACGAACCGUGUGGUUUAGGAAAAGUCACCAACCUCGUGAUUUUAAGGAUAAACCACUGACCUUGUGGUUUAAAGAUGACCAAUGAAUCGUGUGGUUUAUGAAAGCCACCAACCCUGUGGUUUUAAGGAUAGACUCACCAACCUUGUGGUUUAAGGAUAACCCAUGAACCGUGUGGUUUAGGAAAGCCACCAACCCCAUGGUUUUAAGGAUAAACCCACCAACUUUGGAAAUAACAAGGUUUAAGGCUAACCAUGAACCUUUAGAGAUUGCAUGGUUUAAGGCUGACCAUGAACCUUUGAAAAUGGCAUGGUUUAAGGCUAACUAUGAACCUUGUAGUCUUUAGGGAAGCAUUCGCUAAUCCUUUGGAAGCUACAUGGCUUCACUAGGAAAUCCUGUCAAACUAAACUUGAGCAAAAUGUCAUUAGGGACGACAUCAAGAGAUGUAUUGACAAUAUUGCAGUAUUAACUGAACAAGCUAAUCAAGCUAAGUCUGAUUGCCUUGAGAAACAUUCAAUGUCAAUUGUCAUCAUGUGACGCAAAGUUGUCAUCCUGCUCGGAGAUGCAUCAUUAAUCAUCAAAUUCUCUAUGAGACAAGUUCUCAUUAGAAUGACUAUGACUCGUGAAAAAUGCUAAUUAAGCAUGCCAAACUAGAGCUUCUUAGUUAGAAAGGGUUUCUCACACACUCUUGAUAAAACGACUGCUUGAUCCCAUCCAUUCAUGUGGGAGAUAACUGGUUGCUGAGAGUAUCUCGCAUAACCUAUGUUGAAGGUUCGAGAAACAUUCGCGAUGAGCACAAUUUGAUUGAUCAAAAAGGUUUUUUGAAAGGACCGCAAUAUAGGCUCGGUUAGGGCUUACACAAAUGAAUUAGUGCUUUGAGGCCAAUAAAAGAACAUCCACUGCUAUCUUCAUCAGGUUUACAAAUUGAGAACUUGGAAGAUAAGACAAGAUAGAAUUACAUCGACUCCUUCAAACAGUAGCUUCUUUGUGGCAUUCUCAUUUUCACUCAAACCAUCCCAAUCAGAAAAGACUUCGGAAGAGGGUUUCUAAUGUUGGCUUGGGAGAGGCUCGAAAGGCUUAAAAUUUUCAAGAGGGUUUUUAAGAGCCAGUGAUUAUCAUGGCAUCGUGACCGGGUCACUCGAUCUUUCAAAAUCAUUUGGCUUUUGAAACACAACGCAUUUCAAAAGUCCCUUGACUAAUCAUUUAUGCAUGGGAGCUUUGCUCUUUUUUCUAAUUUCCUUUGCACUUGCGAUGUUUUUUAACGCAUGCACUUGGACUUUGAUAAAAAAAUUUCACACAAGAUGUAGCCUUUUGGCUCUUUUUCUUGACAGGCAUUGGCCUUACUUUUACUAGGCACACUACUUUUUCAUGCCCCCCAGUUUGUCGAACUUUUUGUUCUUUUUAAACUUUUGGAGCUCUUAUGACUUUCGAGAUACUUUUCAUGUUUUCUCGUAAAUGCCAAUUGUAUUUGGUCAAUUCUUAUGCCUUACCCCCAGUGAAGGGAGAUGAUCACCACUCGGGGUUCAUAAAUGAAUAAUCAGGCCCAAAUUCGUUAAAGCAAUGGGUAUCAAUGUUUGGGUAGAAAAGGAAAUGCUCUUCUUCACCUUGGGAUGAGUCAAGCUCUGAUGAGAAUUCCUCUGAAGCUAUCACCAGAAGAUUGAUGCAAGUGAAAGUAAUAGAAUCUUUCUCAAUCCUUCGCUCUACAACAUGAUCGUAACCUCCUAUGUUGCCCCAAUGUAGGGUCGUUCUCGAUAGGGGUACUUUGAGGGGUCAUCUUUAUUCAGCCCAAAGAACUAGCAAGAGAUUAGUAUGGUGCUUGGGAUUGAUGAAGGAAAUGCCUUUAUCAUUUCGAUCUUUGUGCUAAAUGCGAAUGAAUCAUGCGUCCUAAGAGAAGGUCGCUUUUCACUCAACUCUUAAAAGUGUUAGAAGGACGUGUUUGGAAAUAGCUUACCUUUCUUCAUCCUAAGCACUUCUUGUUUAGCAUGAUUAACAUUCCUUUUUAGUUUUGUCAAAAUCACUCAUAUGAAAUUCCCCUCACAGAGACACAGUUAACAACAACUGAAUCGACAACAUGCAAGACCCAGGCGCUUUGCUUUUCAUUCAUUCAUCUCUUUCAUCAUUUUCGGGGUUUAUUAUUGUUGUUGAUGUUAUUAUUAUUAUUAUUAUUAUUAUUAUUAUUAUUAUUAUUAUUAUUAUAGGAAAAUGAAUACCCGACUGCCUAUGCAGAGGUUGGGUAGCCAUUUGAAUCGACUUUUCAAGGGCAAUGGUCAAUGUCUUCCAUCCUAUCGUAACUUCAUUGAGUUGGUUGGAUACCUGAAAUACAAAUAAGUAUGCAUGUAUGCAAUGUAUGAAUGAUAUGCAUGAUGCUAUGUGACUCACAUUAUGCACGAAAUGGCUCUACGGCCUUGAUUUCAUUCAUGGGAAAUAUUAUCGAUAGCAUCGGCAUUUACAGGCUUAGACAACUCACGGUCGUCCAUUUCAACUAAAACUAUAUCACCACUCAGGAGGAUCUUCUUAACGACAUAGGGUCCUUCAUAGGUCGGGGUGAACUUGCCACGAGGAUUAGGGAUGAUUGGCGGCACUUUCCUUAGCACCAAGUCAUUGACCUCAAAAUGCCUAGGACGAACCUUCCGAUUGAAGGCCUUCACGACUCGAUCUGAUAGCAUUGACCAUGACAUAUAGCUUUCAACCUCUUCCCAUCAAUCAUGUUUAGUUGCUCAUGCCUUUGCUUUAUCCAUUUGGCUUCAUCAAGCUUCGACUAAGAGAGGACCCUUAAUGAGGGAAUCUCAAACUCUACAAGCAAGACAACCUCCAUUCCAUAUACUAAUGAAAAAUGAGUUGCCCCUGUGGAGGUGCGAAUAGAUGUUCGAUAUGCCAUCAGUGCGUAAGGAAGUCUUUCGUGCCAAUCACAAUAAUUUCCAGCUGCCUUUACCAAGAUCUUCUUUAUGUUCUUGUUUGUUGCUUCAACUGCCCUAUUCAUUUAAGGACAGUAUGGUGAUGAGUUUAAAUGUCGGACUCAAAACUCAUCAAGCAAGUUAUCUACGACUUUGUUGUUUAAGUUGGAUCCAUUGUCAGUGAUGAUCGCCUCUGGCACACCAUAAUGGGCAAUAAUAUCGCGAUGAAUGAACUUGGCCACAUUCUUGGCAUGGACAUUGGCGUGCGAGUUGGCUUCAAUCCACUUCAUAAAGUAGUCGAUUGCCACCAAGAUGAAUUGAUGUCCAUUUGACGCCUUGGGAUUGAUGGGCCCGAUCACGUCGAUUCCCCACAUAGAGAAGGGCCAAGAUUGGGACAUUUGGUGAAGCUCAUUUGGUGGAGCGUUAUCUUAUCCCCAUAAACUUGGCAUUGGUGACAACAUCACACGUGUUGAAUGUAGUCAAAUUCCAUGGUUAGCCAAUAGUAGCCGAGUCGCAUGAUCUUUCUCGCCAAAAGGUGACCAUUCAUGUUGGGGCCACACUCCACUUCGUAUAUUUCCUUCAUCAAACAAUUGGCUUCCUUGGUAUUGACGCAUUCUAGUAAUGUCGAGUCAAAUGAUCUUUUGUAAAGUGCACCUCCAUUGACGAAAAAUUUCGAUGCCAACUUUGUCAGAUAUUUUAUGUCUGCCGCGUCGCACUCUUGGGGAAACUCACCAUUAUGAAGAUAAUCUAAGAUGUAACAAUACCAUGGCUCUCCAUCAGGCUCCUCUUCAAUUAUCAUACAAUAAGCUAGGCGUCUAAGAAUUUCAAUUCUUAACGGUUCAAUAUCCAUGCCUCCAGUUACUUGCAACACUGAAGACAAGGUAGCCAGCGCAUCAGCGAACUGAUUUUGGGACCUUGGUAAGUAUUCGAAUGAUAUUUCUUGGAAUUCCUUCAUCGACUCCCCUAGGAACUCAUGAUACGAAAUCAAUUUAGAAUCCACUGUUCGCCAUUCACUUUAGGUCUAUAAGACGAUAAGGGCCGAAUCACCAUAAACUUGUAGCUCAUGGAUCUUCAUAUCGAUGGCAACUUGGAGGCCAAGAAUGCAUACUGUGUACUUAGCGACGUUAUUUGUACAUGGGAACGUCAGUUUAGCAGCGACAGUGUAGUGUUGUCCAUCUAGAGAGAUAAGAACUAUCCCAGUACUAGACUCGGCUAAGUUAACUGGACCAUCAAAGUACAUCGCCCAUUUAUCGCUUGAUAUAAGUAAAAUUCGCUCAUCCGCGUCACUAUCCUCAUCAGAUGCUCCAAACCCCUUGGAAGUUUCUGCUAACAUGUCUGCUAUGGCGCAGCCUUUAACGGAGCUUUGUCCCAGGCUCUGAAUGUCGAACUCUGAAAUUAAGAUUUGUCACUUAACCAACUUGCCAACCAAUGAUGGCUUCUCUAAGAGAUACCUGAUGGGAUCAUUUUCAGUCAACAGUAAGAUUUGGUGAUGAAGCAUGUAUUGCCGCAGCCUGUGCAAGACCCAAAUCAAAGCCAUGCAAGUUCUCUAAACUUCUGUGCAAUUCAUCUCAGAAAUGGUGAACUUCUUGCUCAAGUAGUAUAUCGCACAUUCUCUCCCGUCAUUUGGUCUUUUAUGUGCCAACAUGGCUCCUAAUGAUUCGUCAUGUAUGGUUAAGCACAAAAUCGGGGGAAUUUUAGGGAGAGGGGGCACUAGGACUGGUGCAUGAGUGAGAUAGUGUCUUAUAUUUCGAAGGCACCCUGGCACUCAGCAUCCCACUCAAUCUUUGCAAUCUUUUUUAGGAGCUUGAAGAAUGGCUUCGUUGUUUCAGAUAACUGACAGAUGAACCUUGCCACAUAAUUGAGUCAUCCCAUCAGGCUGCGAACUUCCCUGGUGGUAAUUGGGGGUCAUAAAUCACAAAUAGCCUUAACAUUUGACGAAUCGAUCUCUAUGCCCUUACUACUAACCAUGAACCCUAAUAGCUUCCCAAAUCUCGCUCCAAAAAUGCAUUUUGCGGGAUUGAGGCGUAGCUUGAAUUUCCGAAGACAUUCGAACAGUUUCCGCAAGACCUCAACAUGGUCCUCGCCUCAUCUUGAUUUCGCGAUCAUAUCAUCCACAUAAACUUCGAUCUCCUCAUGCAUCAUGUCAUGAAACAACGUGACCAUGGCCCUUUGAUACGUUGCCUCGGCAUUCUUUAGACCGAGAGGCAUCACUCUAUAGCAAAAAGUUCCCCAAGGUGUUAUGAACGAUGUUUUGCUCCUAUCUUCCUCUUUCAUACGGAUUUGGUAUCCAGAACAACCGUCCAUGAAGGAGAAUAACUCAAAUCCUGUCGUACUGUUAACUAAGACAUCAAUAUGCGGGAUUGGGAAGUUGUCUUUCAGGCUAGCUCGGUUCAGGUCAUGAUAAUCUACACACACCCUAACCCACCCAUCCUUUUUCAUGAUAGGUACAAUGUUUGCUAUCCAAUCGGAGUAGUGUGACACUUCAAUGAAAUCCACUUUUAACAACUUCAUGACUUCCCCCUCGAUUUUCUUGGACAACUUUGGUUUCGUUCUUCUGAGCCUCUUCUUUUUAGGUGGCACAUUAGGAUCAGUCUGAAGGGCAUGCUCUAUAAUAUCAGGAUCUAACCCCGGCAUGUUAGCAUAAGUCCAGGCAAAUAUAUCAUGAUAUUCUUUAAGGAGAUUAAUCAUUCAUUCCGCUUCUAACUUUGAGAGACAUGCCCCGAUCUUUAUUUCCUUAACAUUCUGUGUAUCGCCUAAAUUUAUGGUGACUGUUUGUUCUUCUGUCAGUGGUUUUGAUCCCUCAUGUCAAUUACAAUCAUGCUCGAUCCCUUUCUAAUCAUCAUCGGCAUCAAAUUCUAAAAGAUCACCUUUAUGUGAAUCCGAGUCACAUGAAUCUUUGUCAUGAUUAUGCAUAAUGUAAUGCCUGAGAUGCGAUGAGAUGAGUUAGAGUGCAUUAAUAACAAACAAAACGCGUGUCAUUUGCAAAUGAUUUUCAAAUAAUUUUCGGAAAACCAUUUAAAGAGCUCGUCCUCAUAUCCUCAUAUUUCCUUGCUCUUGCGAAAUUAUGAAACUAGGGAGCAUGUAGAGGCCCAGCCCUCAGUGACCAUCAUAGAACCAGUUUGGUGUGCUUCCACAUGUCCAUAAUAAAACAUGCAUCUAUUUCAUUGAAAGGAAAAUGAUAAGGCCAUAUUACAACACACACACCACCCCAGACCAACGGCUCAAGGUCAAGGGCUUAAUAAAAUUUACAUCAUAAACGACUCAAACAAGAAAAUUGAAAUAACAACGAGUUCCCACGCAGGGGAAAAAAACAUAAAGUAAAAAGCUACGCUGAGCUAGAACCAUCCUACUCUGAAGGGUCAGUGAUGCUCCCAGAAGAUUCAGCCUCCUCACGAGCUAGGAUGGUGCAUACAAUAUUCUUUUCAAACAUCUCGGCUAUACUGUCAAUAGCUCCAUCUUCUUCCAUCAACAUUUUUGGGGGUCUUGGGAAUGUUUCUUUCAGUGGAGGAGGAAGAACACUUUGGCAACUUUUAUCUUUUAUAAUUCGACCUCUGCGGUCACCUCGGCUCCACGUUCAUCUCAACCUCCUUGAGUGCCUCGACCUCCACAUUCAUUGCGGCCUCCUCUAUUUCCACGGCCUCCACGCUCUUUGACAAACCCUAAGCCUUUUCUCAUUAUAACUCUUCAAGCCCCGAUAGGCUUUUGAAUCCCUUGUCCAUGCAACCCUAGACCACCUCCGGGGUUGUACCCAUUCGCUAGUAUAAUCUUCCUUACUGCCAGGACCGGCUUGGAUAAUUUAGGAAUGCCCACGCAAGAGCCCAUAGGAACGUGGAUCAUAAGCAUCAGCUCGAGAGUUUGAAAGCUUGAUUCUUCUUUGCACUCGGGCUCCAUGUAUGGGAUGGCCAUUUCAUGGUACACCUUGAAGUCUAUUACCCCAUGCAUAGUGAUAAGUCCAUUGCCGACCACAAAUCGUGCCUUUUGGUAGAGGCUAGAGGGAACAAGGCUCGCUAUGUGGAUCUAUGGUCUUCCCAAUAGAAAGUUGAACGCAGUCGGUAUAUCUAAGACUUGGAAUGAUACUAAGAAAAGCACAGAACCGAUAAGUAGUUCCAACUCGAUUUCUCCUAACACCUCUUUUAUCAUCUCAUCAAACACGCACACAAUGGACUUAGUUGGACAUAUCCUUUCCAUCUCAACACCUAAACGGUGGAGUGUAGCUAAUGGACAUAUAUUCAAUACACAGCCAUUGUCAAUCAACACUCUAGAAACAACGGUGCUAUAAUGCUUCACUGAAAUGUGCAGUGCCUUUGUGUGAUCACCACCAUCAACAGGGAGGUCUUCAUCAGUGAAGGAGAUUUGAUCCUUUAGUAAGAUGGUCCCCACGAACUCCUGUAGCUGGAUGUCAUCGAUUGUUUCCAGGAUAUGUACCUCGUCAAGGAUCUUCAACAAAGUGUUUCUAUGCUUUUUAGAGGAUUGAAUUAGCUCCAAGAUGGAGAUCUUAGCCGGUAUUUUCCAUAGUUGAUUUACUACGUUGAAUUUGCUCGUUUUCACCACGGCUAGGAAUUGCCUCGCAUCCUCCUCCGUUACGGCUUUCUUUUUUGUUCCUCUAGUAGACACAUAGCAACGACCUAAUCGAGUGACGGCAUCUACUUCCUUUGUCCCGUAAUCCCAGGGUACUACUUUGGUGUUGAAUUCUAAGGGAGGUUCUAGCAUUAUCACCUCGUCUUUUCCUUGAGGUGAUAGUUCGAUCACGACCGGUGUUAGGCUUUCUUCCAGGAUUUCGAUCAUCGAUAAUUAUUCAACCAUAAGGUCAAUCAUCAUUGGCUCCGUGGUUUCCAUCUCGACAUCACUAGUACGAUCCUCAUCAAGCAAUUCUAUCACCACUAGGGCAAUCAUAGCAACCAUCCCCUCCUCUCUUGGCAUUGGGUCAUCCAUGCCCCCCCCCCCAUCUGUCAGGGAUGAUGUCUUUAGGAUCAUCAAAGAAACUCGAGGUAGGCGAAUAUUUCACUUAGUAGUCAUAUUUUCCGCUUGGUUGACCCAACGCAUGGAACACUUCACCUUUGUCACGCAUCUUCUCUAGGAGAUCAUGGCUCCAAAAGGUUCUCUUAGAAUCCAUUCUCGAGACGUUUUCUAUUACCACUUGUUCAUCCUCCUCUGGGAAAGGAGGCUUAAUUUUCUCGAUUUCACGGUCGCAAGUAGUAUUGUGAGAUGAUGAGCUAAUCACGGACGGUGCCAUCACGAGUAGUGGCCCUUGUUCUCCAUUGACAUUUCGGAAUACCCCGAUGCCUAUCAUUUUACAAAUACAUUCUAAUUUUUCCUCCAUGGUUAUGUCCUCCCCUCUUUCAUAGUGCCCAGCUAGCUCGAGGGCCUCAUAUAGUUUAGGGACAUCCACCAGAAAGAGUCACUCAUUCGCUUGCACUUCCCUAAGAAUCAUAUUCACUCCUUCAGCAUGAUUGGGCAAAGGGUUUUGGGCGUAGCUUCUUUGAAGGUCAACUUUCCUUUAUCCAAUAGGUUCUUAACUCUCCAUUUCAAUGCGAGGCAAUCAUCGACGUCAUGCCCCCUUUCCCUCAUGUGGUAUUCACAUGCCUUAGUCACAUCGAACCCCGGGAAUCUUGGGGGAUUGUCUCUAGGCACCUCUUUGGCUACCAAUCUCUUUUCAAGGAGGAUAGGUAACAAUUUCGCUAGAGGUUAGGGUAGAGGUGUGAAUUCCCUUCAGGGGGAACUUCUUGCUUCCGUCAAAUUUCCGUGACACGUUUCCUUGCAUGACUUUAGGCUUUUGCGAAGGUGUCGACACUGAUUUAGGUGCAUAUGGCUCUUGGAUAAACGUCACUUCGACUGCCAUCUCCUUGUCCUUCCUUGUUGGGAACUUUUUGCUAUUUCCUGUAGAUAUUCUUCCAUCAACUAUCGCCCAUUCAACCCCUCACCAAUUUCCACCAGCUGUGAAAAUGUUUGGCACUCAAAGUACACUAGUCCCUGGAAAUAGUCAGAUGGCAAAGUUUUCAAGAGAAGCUGCCUCAUUUCUUUCUCACUCAGUGGAGGCUUCACUUGUGAUGCCAUCAUUCUCCACCUCUAGGCGAACACUUUAAACAGUGAAUUCCUCCUCUUUUCCAUCCGAACCAGCUAUUCUCUUGUAGGGACAAUCUCAGAGUUGAAUUUAUAUUGCUGUAAAAACUCGUUAAUGAGGUCCUCCCAUCCAGUGAUCUCUUUAAUAUCCAGUGUAAUAAACCAUGACAUGGCAGGGUUGUCUAAGCUAUCUUGAAAUGUAUGUAUGAGGAGCGGGACAUUGUUAGAGUAGCAAGCCAUCGUCCUUAAGUAGUAUUUGAGGUGAGUUUUAGGGCAGCCGGUGCCAUCAUAUUUUCUUGUGAAUUUUGGCUCCUUGAAAGUCUCAAGUACUUUCACUUUAGCAUAUGGGGUUAGCUUGUCCACUCCUUUCAUCUCAUAUCCUUGAAGGACACAAAGUCGCUCCUCCAUUUUAGCCAAGCGUGUUGCACUUUCUUCAUCGAAGCGGAUGGCAGAUCUCUCCUUUAGAGGAGGAUCCAAAUUGACCAUUACAGGUGUAACAAAAGGGGCUUCCUCAAAAGCACCUCUUUCACCAAGAUCGAUGACAUGUGGCUCUCCAACUAAGGGUGGAGUGUGUUCCAACAAAAUGAGAGUAGAGGUUCCAGCUAUGGCCAUGACCGGAGGCUCACUGAUUUUUCGACUUAUCUCAGCCAUCAAGGCAGUAAGUUGAGCCAGUUGGUUCUCCAUGUUGGCCAUGGGUAUGCUGACAUCCUCAUUCUCCAUCUUCGCCUUUGCAUGAGUACGAAUUGGAGAUCUCCUCUUAGUCGUGUUGACAGUUGGACGAAAGUAGACAACCCGUUAGUAGCUGGACAAGGAUAAAUAAGCAUAUAUAAGCAUUGAGUAAUGAUUAGGUGGUCAGCCCAUGACAAAGAUCUAAUUGCCCCAAUUUGUUCAUUUCAUUUGAAAGCAAGGUUGCUCCAUAAUGCAAGAAAAGACAUGAAGGAGAACUCCUAAACAACGAAGCUAUUCUGAAAACAGAAAGACAUGUCUCUUAACUCCCAAUAUUGCGACCCGAGACAAACUCUUUGACAUUGUAAUGUAUGCGGGCAUGGUCCCACUACAUAUCGCACUUGACUCAAUCUAACUAAUGAGAACAGCUUUUGCUUGUGACAGCCCCAAUGACUGGGGUUGACUUCGAGACACGCUUCUCGGCUUCCUUGAGCUCCCUUUUGAGGCACUUGAUCUCGGCUCGGUUGGUGAUCUUUAAUGGCGCGUCAAGAACCCUUAGGCAUAGGCUCUUUGGGAUCUUGUACUUAAGGAUGUACUUCAUCGAGACAUAAUAGGUCUUCUCUUGCCCUUCCAACUCCUCUUUAGGCCAUAUCAGCUUCUGAGGUGGCAUAUAUCCCAUAUCGACUUAACUAGCGCGACAGAGUCUUCGUGGUCUUGGCAUCCAUUGAGGAAGUCUAUCCUAAGCAGGUCUUCUUGAAUGGCCGAUGAAAGUUGUUGACCUUCUUGGAACUGUCGGGCGACCCGAGUCGGAUAAUAUUCAGUGACUCCAAUAAUUCCCUACAAAGGAAUAGGUUUAGUAAGCCCACACACAAAUCGUGCUUCUUGAACUCGGAGCCAUUUGGCAUGCCAUUGGAAAUCUUCAGGUCCAGGGUUGGUCAUGAAAACUAACCACUCAGAGUAAUGAUAAUCGGGGGGCAAACAUUUUCCUAUCUCUAAACUCCAGGAUAGGGUGGCUAGAGUUAGAAAUGUCGUUCAUAGUCAUCAAGCUACCAAGCCCCUUAACAUGACAGAAGAACCAAAUUUGUAAGAUUUCAGGAGGGGCAUGAAAAAAUUUGUUUUUGUUUUCCGCAAAGCAGGUAAGGGAAAGAAAGGUUUCAGUCGGGAUGGCAUUAACAAAACCCCUUCCCAUACAUACCUCACAAACUACCCAUGCCACAGAGGGGUUAAUAGCAUUCUUUCUAUGUAGAAAUAUCACGAACCCAAAUAAAGCUAAUAGGAAGAUCUUAUUCUUUUAGAAAGAUGUGGCAUUCUGAAAAAGCUCUUUUAGGAAUGAAAAUGGGCAAGCUUUACAAUUGGCUUUCAAAACAUUUCUCAUGUCCUCUCCCUUAACUAUAAGAAACUUAGAUAAGGUCAAUGUGUGUUCAAUCCCCACUGGCAAGCUAACUAACUCCGACACUAAGGGCUUCCCAAUGGCAGUGCCAUAUUCCUCUAAGGUUGGAGUGAGCUCGUGGUCACCGAAUAUGAAUGUGAAAGUCUCGAGACACUAGACAUACGCCAACGCUCGUACAACACCAUAAUGAGUUUCUAUUUCCAAGAGAAGAAGUAGUCGUCUGACAUGGGAUUGCACCUAAUCAUGGCCAGUUGGGUCUAGUCUAUCCCACCAUGUGCGGAGCUCGGCUUUUGGGGCGGCAAUGAUGCAAAGCUCGGGUACCCCCAUCGUAUACUCUUGAAGUUAUGAUCAACCUAAUUUGCCAUGGACUGACCAAAAAGGAAAGCGAAUAAGUAAAUUGCGAAGAAAAGAAUUCGAAAAUCUUACCCUAGUCAUUAAGUAGCAAGGCCAAUGACAUAUACAUACGCAUGGACAGUGGUCCGAUUUCUACUCUAAGUGGCUCAAAAUGGAGACAUAGGAUCACCGGACCAAACCAACAAGGUCACGGCUAGGUCGGGUUACCCAUGACUCCAGCUUCGUCAAAGAACCGACACGUGUCGCGUGAUUACAGACUAGGGUAAGGACCUUUGACAUCAGGAAUGAAAUUUCAAGGUUGAGGUGGGCGACUCGUACUACAUGGUUGUAGUUGGAGUGAUAUCCACCUCAAUGCCAUCCUAGGUGAUCCUAUUCAGCCCAGGUCUGGCAGCAGGUAGUGUGUUCUACGGUGUAGUGCAAUGCAGGGGAUGCAGGCAUGACAAUUUAUAAGCAAUCGGCACUUCAUGCAUAAAUAAAUAAAUCAUUCUUACACCCCACUACAAAAUAAGGGUUAGCAAUUACUUCCCCUUAUACCUCCCAUUCAGCAUGAAUAUUAAACAAUUGACCCGUUAGGGAUGUACUUCGGAUCCUCACCACCAAAUAAUAAUAGUUUUGAACAAGAUCAAUUUUGGCCUAAGUCCUAUAAGGUCUAAAAUCGUCCCUAGUGGAGUCGCUAAAUUGUCGCGACCUACCUCUCGGGAGGAGGGAAUAGGUUUAGGGGUAUUGUCUAAAGGACGGGCCUAAGGCCCAUGAUUAGGCACGGGCUUUCCCAAGCUCAUACCUCGCGUAACAUUAGGGUAUUUUCAAAGAUUUUUGCAAUAAGGAGUCGCCACUAGCCUAUCGGGGUCACUAGAAACCAAGUGAGAAUGAGAGUCUAUCUCACUUCCUAUGCAACCAGAGAAUCUAGGAUUGGGGACUUGAUUACAUUAUUGACUAAUUAGUGCAUUUUCAGUACCUAAUCUUGUUCAUUUAAAAUAAUAAUAUUAUUUGUCAGGUAGUUCGGAUUGAUUUUACACUUAUCCACUAACAUGCGAGGUGAUUAUGUGAGUGCGCAAUCAUUAAAGUAACCAUUUGCAAUCAAAAUCCUAAUUGCAGUAAAUUUUAACACAUGCAAUUAAACAUGAUACAAUAUGCGAAUCAAGCACGUGAUAUAACCAAUAUAUGAGCAAAUCAAGGCCUAAUUACACUAAGAAGGCAAGACAUGACAAUUCUUAACCAAACCCUACACUUUUUAGAUUUUCGAAAUUUUAAUUUUUUUUAUUAAUUUUAAAUAAUUAAUUUUUUAUUAUUUUUUAAAGGAGGUCGAAUUUUUUAAUUUUUUCUGAGUUUUUGAAUUUUCACAAAUUUUUUUGAAUUUUUAUUAUUUUUCGAAAUUUUUGAUUUUUUUUGAAAUUUUUAAUAUAUUUUUGGUAUUUAAUAUUAUUUUAUUCAGAAAAAUGGGUCGGACCGGGUAGAUCCGAUCUAGCCAUUGACCCAACCCAAAACCAGAUGUGACCCUAUCGGAAUGGAAAAGAAAUUAAGAUUUUUAAUUGAAUUUUUUUAGUUUUCAAAUAUUUUUUUUCUGUUUUUUCCUUCUUCCCUUUUUUUGGUUUCUUCUAUGUUUUGUCUUUUUCCCUGCAAUGUCCUCUCAUCCACACCGCCUCCACCGAACGUCUGCCUCCCACGUCUUUUCCACCUUUCUAUUUUUUUUUCAUUUCUUUUCAUUAUUCUUUUUAUUUCUUGUUUUUCUUUUAAGCUUUUUUUUUUAGGUCGUCUUCUUCCCUGGUCUUCUUCACGAUGUCCCCUCUCUGCCCGGAGCUUCCUUAUUCUGCACCAUGCACAAUGCCAGCCGGAAUAAGCGGCGUUGACUGUCGGACCAACACCGUCCACUGGUCAUCCCCCUCGACUGACGUUGGCUACCACUGGCCACAUAUUCCAACGACCACUAACUCAUUCUCCGGUGCAAUGAAAGACUUCACCGAUUUGAAUGCAUGCAAAUAUUUUGCAUAAACCACACGGAAAUACAAUGAAUAUAGGCAAAGCAACAAGGAUUGAGCAAGCACGGGAGAAAAAAACGAGUUGAUCUUGCGUUAAAACAUACACUGCUCUUCAGUUUUUUAUUAAGGCAUUUCAUUGAACACAUAAGACGCACUAACUAGAGAGGUAAGCAUAGACUCGAUUGGGGCUUGGGUUCAGGCCAAGAUAAUCACACGAUACACAAGCACUAUUCUGGAUCGACUCAAGGACAAGUUUAUCAGCAUUUAACUUGAGUUUAAACAAAAAUGAUAGGUCUCGACCAUAACACCAAACACAAACAAAUAUUUGCAUAAAGCACUACAAUGAGCAUGCAUAUGCUAUGUGAGGAAUGAACACGAGCACAACGGAAUGUCGGGUGAGGAUCAAGACCGAAGCUCGUGCAAAUUGGUUGACCACGAGCUCCAACCCGACGCCCCACCAAAAACAAGGCAGAUGUACUCGAGAAUGACCUACCUAUUUUGAAGGGGAGCGUUGUGGUAGAUGACGGCUCUCGAGUGGACAACUAGCGAUGGCGAAGCUGUCCUUCAGUCUCACUCUCUCCCUUUGGCUUGCCCUUUACUCUCUCGAGCUCUCUCUAGUGCUCUAUGUUCUCUCUCGACCCAAAAAAAAAAAAAACAGUUGAGCCCUCCCUUCUCUUCUCUUUGCUCUCUUCCUUUUAAGCUCGACCAACGAUAGGCGCGCAUGGCUUCUGCCACCGCCAGCCUGUCGCAGCCGCUUGAUCUCCGACCCUGGGAUCACACCGUCCUCAGCCUUCGCAAUCCUUUGCCUCACCCCUAGCUUGUACGUUUCUCAUUUCCCCUUCUUUUGCAAGAGCGUGGUUGGUGUGAGGGGAGGAAGAAGACUCACAUAUGAGCUAGGCUAAAAUGAAAGGAGAUGGGCAAGCCCAAGUGCAAAAGAGAGAAAAGGAAAAGAGAUAGGUCGGCUAUCACGCCCCAAUCCUCAGGCAUGCACACAUCCCUUACCUUUGGUCGAUUUUAAAUUGCGAUAUCCCAGGACUAUGUAUCACCAACCCUUUCAUUUAUAUAUGCACAUGCGGAAGCAGUUAUAAAUCCCCAGACAAUAAAACAAUGGGAUAGAUUAGGACUAGAAAAUUUAACCUGAAAGUCAACACCCUUAUGUACAUCUGUAAUGACUCAGUCAUACAUGUACAUACACAAACCAUACUAAAAAGGUUGGUUUAUACUCAAUUAGAUUCUACAGCAACAGACAUCAGGAUCCUACUCUGGAUCAUCCUUGGGGUUCUCCUUCAGAUACUCCUCUUCGAGUUCUUUCUCCUCAGGGUUUUCCUCGUCAGGUUCCUCCUCCUUAAGCUCAUCAUCCGGGUCCUAAAAUGGUUAUUUAAUAACCACUGAGACAAUGUUUCAGCAAGUUCUACUCCCUAAGACCCGAUUAGUAAACUAAUACACAUUCGAGCUGCCUAUACACUACAUGAGUCAAAGGACUUACCUUGGCCUCAAAUUCCACCUGCAUAUUAGCACAAAUCAAUAGGCACCCAAACAAUCACAUCACAGAUUGAAGCAUCGAUCAAAUCGACCUAGUCGAUUACACGCCAAUAAGACCACUCACGGUCAUUCCCAUUCAAUCAACCAAUACACAAAAUCAGAUCAAAACAAUGAUCAAUCGACCUAGUCGAUUACAUAUCAUUCGGACCAUCUCUCGAUCACAUCAACACCAUACUUUAUAAUCUCCAUUCGGGUACUCAGUCACAGAGCCAGAUGAAUGCUCUCGGGCGUCUUUUUCGCCAAGGUAACGUACCAAUUACCGAUUACGAUAACCUCCAGCAGUACACUUAGUCACAAAGCCUCAUUAAUGCUCUCGGGCGCUGCUUCCGCCAAGGUGACGUGUAUAAUGGACAGCACUCGUGCGUUCUCUAAGGCGCCGUUUUCACCAGUGAUAUCCUUCAUCACCGAACCACAUAUGUCCAUACUGCUGCAUGUAAUAGACAGCACUCGUGCGUUCUUUAAGGCGCCGUUUUCACCAGUGAUAUCCUUUAAUCACCGAACCACGUAUGUCUCAUUACAUCGUUCCUGAUUGGUUUCAGCCGAGAAUUUCCCCAAUUCACUUUUAUAGUUCCCUCUGCUUUACAGUUCAUUACAGCAUUAUCGAUGCUAAAUAAUAAUACUCGGCCAUCAACCAAUCAAUCAUUCAAUUUCAUUCAAUUUGGGAUAAAUCACUAAAAUUGCACAACCAAAUCAAUUCCACGCAAUGUAGAACUCAAAUAAAUAAACAGACUGUACCACGACAAUCAGCACGAAAUUCUGGUCACCGGCCAUCCCGGUUGAAUUUCCGGAAAAUAAAUAAUUAAAUAAUUAAUUUCGAGAAUUAAAUAAAUAAAUACAAUAAAUUCAAUUUAGCACAAUAUAAAGCUUAAUUAAAUAAACAGUCUGCACCUUGAUCAUCAGCAUAAAAUCCCGGUCACUGGCCAUCCCAGUUGAAUUUCCGGGAAAUAAAUAAUUAAAUAAUUAAUUUCGAAAAUUAAUAUUUAAUUCCUAAAAAUUCCACCUAGGCCCUAUUUGCUUAAUUAACACCCGAUAAGGGACGGGAAAAAUCCCAAGAAGCAUCCAAUAAAUACUAUAGGCAAUUCUCUAUCUAAUUACACUAAUCACACAACUAAUAUGCAAAGCAAUUAACUAAUAAUCACUAAUCAAUUCUAAUCUAACCACCUAAUUACACUUAGUUAACACUAAUAAACCUUUAAGUAUAAUUAGUACACUAAGAAGGCAUUAGUGAGUAAAACUCACUUGGUAAAGCGAAGAUCGAAAACCGCGACGGCGGCCGAAUUCCAAAAUUUCGGCGGCAACAAUAGACACUCGAGCCGGGCCUACAAGCCUCGCAAGCCCAUAGCAAAAGCUGGCCUUGGGCCGAACUUGGGCCGACUUGCUUCACGGGCCCAAGAUGGGCUGAACUUGCUGGGCCUCGUUGAAAUACAAAUGAUGUUGGACUUGAAACUCGGGCUGAGAUGGGCUUGAAACAAAACUGAACUGGCUUCAAGAUAUGGGCUGGACUUCAAUUGCUUUGCUGGAAAUUGGGCUUGGCCAAUUAACUCACGUGGACUGGGCUGGGCUGCAGCUGAAGUAAUUCGACUGGGCUUGAAAUGGCCCUCAGCUGGACUGAAUUUUACUGGGCCCAAAUGACUGAAAGUGUUGGGCUAAGGGCACGCCGCUGGAGAAGACCGAAGACUGCUGGAGCUGGUGUCAUGCGCGGGCUGGGCUGCUGCGGCUGGCCCACGAACUGGAGAAGCAGCUGCUAGCGUGCGUUGGAAUCUUCGAGCUUCGCUGGCAACAAGGGGACGAGAUGCAGCUUCGCUCGGCGGGGGAUUUCUUCGGUCAAUCUUCAGCGGUUUUCAGCUGGGUUUUGACCGGUGAAAUGGACCGAAACGUGGCAGGGGAAGAGAGCUCGGUGGACGGUAGUUCUCGGUGGAACGUGCGGCUUCCUUCGGCGGUCUUCAACUCCGCUUGUUGAACGAAGUAGAUAGAGAAGCUGGCAGAUUGAAGAGGAAUCACGGGCAGGCGUCGCUGACAGAAGCUGGAACGUCUGGUAGCAGCAACGUGGUCUGGCGCGGCCCGCGAAGGAAUCAUCAAGGAGGAAGUGAAGCAGCUGCGUUGGUGGUGACUCGGACGCGUGGAGGAGUCAACAACUCGCUGAGAUAAUCGCCGAGCUGACCGAGGCGUGGGCUGUUGUGGCUUCGCUGGGCUUCAACUGGCGUGGCAAGACCGAAGUGGAGCUGCAGCGUCGACGUGGAGAUGGACGAAGGAAGCAGCUCGCUGGCGUUGGACUCGUUGAAGGUGCAAGGGACUUCGGUGGAACGACAUGAAGAGAGAGGGAUGCUUCGGUGGUGAGCAGGGAUUAGUGGGGCUGAAGCGUGAGUGGGGAACAACUGGUUUUCGGUGGGGGAUUGAACGAAGACGGGGCUGCAGAGAAAGUGAAUUAAAAAUGGGAGCAGCGAAUGCAAAGAGAAAGAAAACAAGGCUGCAGGAAAAAUUGAUGGAGGGGAUGGUCGCUCGAGAGAAAGGAGGGGGGGAAAGUCGGCGAGUGAAACUUGCUCGAGAAGGUGGAAAGGAAUGGAUGAGGAUGGACCCAAAGUCAAAUAAAAUAUCUUCUUACAUAAAUGCUUGGUCCCCAAUACUUUCCCACCAAUUUUCCACCAAUAAAUCUAAUAUUGAUGCCAAAAUAUGCUGCCCUUACCAUAGAUCCGAAUUCUUCAAUUUAAGCUUCAAUUUAUCCACCCAAUCUCCAAAUCGAAGUCCAAUUUCGAUGAAGAUAAAUCCCGUAGAAUUUUCAGUAACUACCCAACACCCAAAGGCUUGGCUUGAAAGUCCAAACUCACUUAAAUUCAAUCCAAACGAAUUUCUGUUAAUUUUCCGCGAUGUCCAAACGAUUUUCCGUAAAAAUCUCGGAAUCUCCGAAAAUUCUUCUGAGACUGAUUCGACGUUCUUAAAAUGACCUGUGACAUGACAAAACUUCUAAUUUCUGAAAUCGAACUUAGACUGGCGGUUAAUUUCACUCGGACGCGCUUUAGUGUGACCUAGACUACCGGGUAGUUUUCAGAACUUUUUUAGGACAUAUGACCCGUGGUCAAUUUUCUUCGAGCCACGACGAACCCACUCAACACAUUGACGAUUCUCGAUUGUCGUGAAAAUCUCUAGGAUUCAAAUAUAGACACAUGGUACCAAAACAAUAGUAAGAUCAAAUUAGUGCCAGUCGACGAGAGUUUUCCAAUUUAGUGGAGUCACCCACGAUCGGUCAUACAUCUCAGUCAAACCGAUCUAUCUUUGAUCUUAAUUCGAUUUUUAACUGUGCCGUAAAGAUCUCUAAAGAUGAGCACGAUCGAGAAAUCGAUUCAUGGCCAAAUUCUCAGUCUAUCUGCCUUAAAGUCCUUAAUAGCAUACCCAACUAAUUUAGUUAUCUUAUGAGUGGCCAACUCAGAGAAAAAUACUGUAGCCGCGUCGAUGAAAUGCCCAAUUUAACCAAUCGAAAUCAGAGCCUGAAAAUCAGGAUGUCACAUCGGCAAGCCCAUGAAUGAAUAAAAAGCCUUCUACUCAGCCUCAUUCGAUUUUCUCCUCCUUUUUUUUCUUUCUUUUCUUUUUUAAAAAAUAAAAUAAAAUAAAUAGAAAUAAAAAAUAUCAUUAGUGAUGCAAAUAUUCCUAAUGCUAAAAUGCAAUGCAAUUUAGUAAAAAUUGUUUUUUUAAUUUCGAAUUUUUUUAUUUUAAUUUUUUUGUAAUUUUUUUUUGAUAAAUUUUAAAACUAGUGACGUAGAUGCUCCUAAUAUCUAUAUGUGAUGCAAUUUUAAUGAAAUUUGUUUGUUAAGGGGUUAGAAAUUAAUCUUUAAUUUUUUAAUGUAAUUAAUAAACACUUAAACAAAUCGCCAAAAUUUAGGUGUCAACAACCCUAAACUAUCAUUUCUAUAAAAAUACGUGGCUCAACGACUCAAAAAUCAUCACUCACCGCUUGAUUUUCCUAAAAUUCUGAAUUUGAGCCCUAAACCCGAAAAAUACUUCAAUUGGACGAAGGAGGGGCGCGAUCACUUACCGGGCAUCGUGUUACAUAGUUGGGGCUUGGCGAGACGUCUGUGAUGAGAAUCCCCUCCCUUUCCUCCUCCUCCUCCUCCUCCUUCUUUUCGUUCAUUUCUCUCCUCCCUUUUCUUUUCCUUCUGCCCAAACGUGCCUCCUUCUUUUCCUUUUAUCCCAUCUUCUUUUUCCUUUUUUUUUCCUUUUCUUUCCUUUCUCUCUCUCUCUCGUUUUUCUUCCUCUCUCCUGAAGACUCUCGAUCUCUCCUCCUCCUCCUUUUUCCUUCUCUUCUUUUCUUUUCUACUUGUGGGCCCUACUCUUUAAACUAAGUCAAAUAUUACAUUUUCUCUUCAAGUCCAACAACUACAGCUCACCAACUCAAUCACCUCCGAGUGCAUGCCUAGAGAAAGGUGAUCGUGAUUUGCAAAAAUAGUAAAUCAAAAUCUAAAAAUCAGUGUUAAAUAGCUCUUGUACUGGAGUUGAACUGGACAUUCUUCACAUUCGGCGAUUCCUGAAGCGAGAUCGAAGCUAGCAGCUUCAUUGUUGUUAAAAGGUGGACAUCUUCGAACGUCAAUUUUUUGCUGGUGCAAUUGAGGUAAGAGUGAUAAAACUCUUUUUAAUAGUGUCUGAUGAGGCAAGAGCAUCUCGUGUCGAAAUACAUGAUCAACAACGAAGAUUUGGGGCCAGGAUGCAUUGCAAAUCUGAUUAGAAUCAAUGCUUGAAUGAUUUGGAGUUGAUUAUAUUUAGAUAUUGUGGAUCUGUGAUUUCGAAUUUGGAUGAACAUGUUUCUGUUAGGUCAGUUUUGAGCUCUUAACACGAGCUUCAAAUCGGUAGGUUGCACACCCCAAUUGAGCAUCGUUUGACGCUCAGAAAACACUCCAAUGAUUAACGAUUCUGCAACAGUUUAGGUCUUUUUCAGUAAUGAUUCUAUUUCGCCUUUUGACUUUGUUAUUUUUGUGCUCACUUUUGUGAUCAUUUUUUGACAAAAUUGUCUGCAUAAGUUUUGUUCCAAAUUGUCUCAUACAUCUUCUAUAAUUUUUUCAUGAUUUUUGGAUGUGUUCAACUAGGUCAAAAAUAACCCAACCUUUCCCCCUUUUCUCUCCUUGUGAUGAUGAGGAAUUCAAGAGUGGCGAGAUUGGGUCACAACAAGAAUUAUGAAGAAUUGUUGCUCUCAAUUGAUAUUUUUUUUUUCUGAAAUAUCAGCUUUUGUCAUGUUUUCUCUUCCAAAUAUCUUUUUUUAGUGCCCUGGCCCAUUGACUUGAAUUCUCUCAACUGUGCUUGUUUUGCAGAAUAUCCCAUUGUCAAAGAUCUUUUCUGAAAUUUCAGCGCUUGUUUUGUUUUAUCUUUCAAAGAUUUUUUUUAAUGCCCUAGCCUCGUAACUUGAAUUCUCUCAAUUGUGUUUGUUUUGCAUAAUAUCCCACUGUAUAUCUUUAUUUGGCAAAAUCUCUAAGGAGGAUCAAAUGCAAAUGCUGUUGAGGUAGGCAAAUGAUGUGCUUUUGUUUUGUUUUUUUUUUUUUGUUUUUUGGUAAAGAUGAUGUGCUUAUGUUUAUCUUCUGCAACUUGACAAAAGAAGACAAAAGGCUAUUUAUUUUGGUAGGUGUACCGAUAUGCUCAAAACUAUUUCUUUUUUUUCUUUUUCUUUGGUGACACGCUUCAAAAGAUUCAUCUAUAUCAUGAUGUCAAUCAUCGAGGUCUAUAUUCAAAGUCAAAUGGAGAAUCUUUCUUACUUUUUUUUUUGGUCGGAGGAGAAUCUUUCUUACUUCCAACAACAACAGCUACUGUAAAGAUGCACAAAAUAGGAUUUAAAACAAGUGUUUUCAAGUUGGUGAAUGUGACAACUAAAUUUGAAUGAACCCUGCAGACUAUAAUUUAUUUAAAUGUGACUUCCUUGUCAAAGUUCAUAGUUUAUGUUCUUCUUCUAUUUAAAUUGCCACACCAUCUCAAAGCGCAUUUAUCUUUUUCUCUGUUAUCAAGGAAAGACAGAGAUGUUCAAUCAAGUAGACUAUGCUCUGUCGGUUUGUUAAGUCAUCAUGAAACCCUCACUUUUGCUACAAUGAAUUUCGAUUUAAGAUUGAGAGAAGGCCAUUCAUCUAGUACCACUUGAAACCAUUUAUCUUGGGUAGGCAAGUCCUAUCACUAUAACCUCGCCAAGCUGCGAGAGCUCCAAUUAUGGACAAGGCAAGAUGUAGGCACUAUCAUCGCUAGUGGGUUAUCCUAGUGACCUCGCGUUGGGGGAAUAUCAGCUUGUACCAGGGGGAGUGAGAAGUGAAAAAGAAUCAAUUUGCGUCCUGCAAAGGCUCUGUCCUUUUCAUUUAAUCUCUUUCGCUUUUACUUCACUAUCUAGUCAUAAUGUACAGUCCAGUCAAGUCACGGUCUUCUUGAGUUUUAUGGUUUAUUUACAUGAACAAAGCACUUGUGGAUAGAAAGCAUCCUUGAAAGUCUUACCCUUUAUUGAAACUUUUUGGUAGGUGAUUCUCUUGGUCUUCCAUGCCUUUAUAGUUUUCUCUCUCCAUUAACUCAUUAUCACUUGGCUUCACCACGACCUAUGCUCAUCCCUCGGCUCAACAGUGUUCUCCUCCUGCUCAUUCGAACCUAGAGCUCAUGCUCAUCAGUGUUCUCCUCUUGCUCGUUCGGGAGCUCAUGCUUGCUAGAUCACUGUAAUUGAUCUAAUCACAUUCACUGGUCUACUCUAGGAAGUCUACUCGGAAUAGGUAAGUAAUAUCUAUCUAUUUGCUCUUUUUUUUGUCCCCAAACUGAUGCAUCUAGAACUUCGCAACCUAAAGCAUAUGGUUGACCCCCUCCCCCCCCAAAAAAAAAACAAACGUCUUUGAAUCCACAUGGUCAUCCUCAUUGAAGGAGGAAUUGGUAAUCUUCUUAUAUCUUAUGUAACAGCCUAUAUUGAUCGCAUACUCACCAAUAAAGCAAAAAAUUAAAAAAUUAAAAAAUUAAAAAGCAUUGAAAUCACAAGGAUACGAACAACAUAUGGAUGCGAAAAAUGUCAACAGAACACUAAUAUGCACUGAAGUUUUGACAAACAUAGGCGUGUGCUCUAAGUCGGUCAUCUAUAGAAAAUUCAAAUUUUAUCCUAUGUUUUGGAUGCCCACAAGAAAAGUCUCGAUAUGAAGAAAAAGGAGAACAAUUGACGAACAAUUGACGAAACAAGUAUCUGUGGACAAAAGCUAUUUUAUUUUGAUUUGUCUAACCUUGGUGUGCAUUCCUCAAAAGUCUUGGUCUUUUUUAUGUUUUUUUUGGCAAAUGAACGUGUUAAUCUUCCUAGACUUCAUAGUUUUCUCUCUCAUUUACUCAUUUUUACCUCACUUCAACAUAACACCCUUGUUGUUCUCUACAGUGACUGAUUCAACCAUGACAAUUGGAGAGAUCAUUUUGGGUUCCUUUAUGGGUUCCUUCUUUCAGGUCCUAUUCGGCAAGUUGACUUCUCUCACAUUAGUCUAUGCACAACAUGAAGGAACUAGCACUGCUCUCCUCAAGGAGUGGAAUGAGAUGCUAGGCAUAAUCAAUGCAGUGAUGACUGAUGCAGAAGACAAGCAACACAGUGUUAACCCUCUAGUGAAGCUGUGGCUAGAUGAUGUUAGGGACUUGGCCUAUGAUAUGGAAGACUUGAUUGAUGAGUUAGCGAUCAAAGUCACUCAGGUUAAGUUGGAGGCAGAAUCCAACACAAGCAAAGGUCUGGAAAAAUGGAAGUUCUCUUUCUUUGGCCGAGAUAAAUCCUUCGGAUCGAAUCCAAACCUGGGCUCGCUCAUGUCUGAAACCAAGGUACAAGAGAUUAGUGGCAGGUUGAAAGUGAUUGUCACUAGGAAGGCUCAUCUAAGCUUAAGAGAGAAUGUUGUGGACAGAUCCAACUACACAAACAAAAAAGACCUAACCACUUCUUUGCCAGAGCCUCAGUUUUAUGGUAGAGAGAAGGAAGAAGCACAAAUACUCAAACUAUUGAUCAGUGAAGUUGAAAAUUCCGAUGCCAUGUUGAGCAUAAUCCCCAUAGUUGGGAUGGGUGGUGUUGGAAAAACGGCCUUGGCUCAACAGUUGUAUAAUGAUGUCAGAGUAUAUAGCUAUUUUGAGAAGAGAGUGUGGGUUUGUGUGUCAGAUGUUUUUGAUGUUCUUCACAUAACAAAGACUAUUUUGCAGUCAAUCACUGGGUUGUCAUGCCAGGGUGAAGAUCUUAACGGGCUUCAAGUUAAGUUGAAGGGCAAACUAUCUGGGAAGAAGUUUCUUGUGGUUUUAGAUGAUAUAUGGAAUGAGAAAUAUGAAAAAUGGACUGCCCUUUUAAAGCCAUUUGAAGCAGGGGCUAAGGGGAGUAAGAUCAUCAUCACAACUCGCAACAUUUCUGUUGUUUCCAUAACUAGAGCAUCACCCUAUCAUUUGAAGGAAUUGUCCCUUGAUAAUUGUACAAGCUUAUUAGCCUUUCAUGCACUUGGAGCAACAAAUUUUGAGAGCCAUCCGGAUUUUAAAACAAUAGGUAAGAAAAUAGCUGAAAGAUGUAAAGGUUUACCUUUGGCGGCGAAGAUGCUAGGCGGUGCCCUACGUAAUAAAAGGAAUCCCAAUGAAUGGGAAGAUACCUUAAAUAACAGAAUAUGGGAUCUUCCGAUGGCAGAGAAUGAUGAGGUUCUCCCUAUCUUGAACUUGAGUUAUGUCCAUCUUCCUUGCCAUUUGAAGAGAUGUUUUGCUUAUUGUGCAGUAUUUCCCAAGGAUUACGAAAUUGAGAGAGAUGAGCUGGUACUCUUAUGGAUAGCCGAGGGCUUUUUAGAUAGACAAAAAGUAAAGGGGAAUAAUUUCAGAUUAGGACGAAAUUACUUUGAUGAGUUAGUAUCCAGAUCAUUUGUUCAACAAUCAAGUGUUGACAAAUCUAAGUUUUCAAUGCAUGAUCUUUUGAAUGAUUUAGCAAAGUCAAUUGCAGGAAGUGCAUACUUUAGCUCUGGGGAGUCUCACUUGGUAGCUAAUGAAGAAGAUACAUCUCUUGGGAAAAUUCGUUAUGCAUCAUUCAUCUCAUCGCAUUUUGCUACAUCAAAAUGCUUAAGAGAAUAUCACCGAAUGAAGGUACUAAGAACUUUAAUGCUAUUGCAUAAUGGAUUUAGAGGGGACACUUUCUCUAUUUCCAACAAGGUGCUACAUGACUUGCUAACGGAAUUGAAGUACUUGAGGGUGCUCUCAAUAUGUCAUUGUGACAUCAUAGAGGUACCGAAUUGCAUUGGUGAUCUAAAACAUCUUAGAUAUCUCAAUUUCUCGUACACUGAUAUCAAAAGGCUACCUGAAUCAAUUGUCAGCUUGUGCAAAUUACAAGUUUUGAUCUUAAGAGGUUGUCAAAAACUUUCAAAGUUGCCUCAAGGCAUCACAAAAUUGGUCGGUUUACAGUUUCUUGAUGUUAGAGAUAUGAGGAGUCUUAAAGAGAUGCCGUUGGGUAUCGGUAAUUUAAAAAAUCUUAUUAUCUUGUCCAAGUUUAUGGUACGACCAGAGAAAGGGUCACGGUUAGAGGAGUUAAAGAAUUUGCCACAUCUUCAAGGAGAAUUAUUCAUAUCAGAAUUGCAAAAGGUGGAAAAGGUUGGAGAUGCAAUUGAUGCUAAUUUGCAUCAAAAGCAAGGCCUUACCAAGUUAUCCUUUCAUUGGGAUGAAAAUUUAAAAAAUCUCCAUAAUCAUGAGCGGGAAGCACAAGUGCUUGACUUUCUACGACCUCACAUUGAUCUUGAAAAUCUUAAUAUUUUGAACUAUGGUGGUGCAAAAUUCCCAACAUGGUUAAGUGGUCCAUCCUAUUCUAAGAUAGUGUCUUUGUGCUUGCGGGGUUGUCCUAAUGUUAUAUCACUUCCCCCGCUUGGACAACUACCUUCACUGAAGGAAUUAUCUCUUGAAGGUCUACACGCAAUAAGAAUGAUAGGCUCUGAAUUUUAUGGAGAUAAAAUGCCUUUCUCAUCCUUAACAACUUUGAAGUUGAAAGAGAUGUUGGCAUGGAAGAAUUGGUCUCCUUAUGUUGGGGGCCCAAAAGAAGAAGUCUCAUUCUCCUGUCUUCAACAUCUUGUUGUCCAGAGCUGUCCUUCAUUAAUCAGGACAUUACCUCGUCAACUUGAUUGUCUCAUAAAACUUGAAAUCCAUUCAUGUCCACAAUUGCAUCAUUCAAUGAAUGAGGUUUGUUUUCCAUCUCUCCGUGAGUUAUACCUUGAGGAUUGUAACAAGGAAAUCUUAAAGAGCUUGGUCAACCUAACUUCUUUGACCAUUCUCAAAAUGAAANNNNNNNNNNNNNNNNNNNNNNNNNNNNNNNNNNNNNNNNNNNNNNNNNNNNNNNNNNNNNNNNNNNNNNNNNNNNNNNNNNNNNNNNNNNNNNNNNNNNNNNNNNNNNNNNNNNNNNNNNNNNNNNNNNNNNNNNNNNNNNNNNNNNNNNNNNNNNNNNNNNNNNNNNNNNNNNNNNNNNNNNNNNNNNNNNNNNNNNNNNNNNNNNNNNNNNNNNNNNNNNNNNNNNNNNNNNNNNNNNNNNNNNNNNNNNNNNNNNNNNNNNNNNNNNNNNNNNNNNNNNNNNNNNNNNNNNNNNNNNNNNNNNNNNNNNNNNNNNNNNNNNNNNNNNNNNNNNNNNNNNNNNNNNNNNNNNNNNNNNNNNNNNNUAUCUGCGGAUUGUAAAUUGCGAUUCUCUCAUAUCUUUUUUGUUUGCCAACGAUAGACUUACUGCUUUGAAGAAACUUUGUAUUUAUGAGUGCAAGGGAGUGGAGUCAGUGGAAAAGAUCACUAUAGAAUCACUCAAAGAAAUGACAAUUGAUGGCUGUCCAAAUCUAGGAAGCCUACCACAGUGCCUUCACACGCUCUCCCAUCUCGCUCAUUUGGAUAUAAGUAAUUGUCCAGCAUUGGAGAUAGAGAAAUUCCCUUCCCUUCCCAUCACCCUAUCGUGUCUUAUAAUUAGUAAUUGUCCGAAGAUAAAGUUUCUACCAAAUCAGUGGCAUCAUCUUACAGCCCUUGAGACGCUAUUCAUCGAGGAUUGCCAAAAUAUCAAAUGCUUCCCCAAAGGAGGUUUGCCUCCCAAUUUGCAUCGCCUUUUAAUAAGAGGGUGCAAGAAUCUGAAGCAGCCAAUGAAAGAAUGGGGCUUACAACUACUCACAUCCCUUCAGUGUAUGUUAAUUGACUUUUGCAUGGGAGGAGAGGGAGAGAAGGUAUGGUUUCCUUCAGAGGACGGGGAUGCGUGGAGUCUUCUCUUUCCUUCCUCUAUAAUGUAUCUUCGCAUUUGCAAUAUGUGGAAUGUUGAAAGACUAUCAAGCGGUCUUCUCAACCAUCUCUCCUCUCUCAAACAUUUAUGGAUUGACUCUUGCCCGAAGCUGAGGUACUUGCCAGAGGAUGGCCUCCCUCCCUCCCUCCAAGAAUUGUACAUAGAGAAAUGUGAUAUUCUGAAAGAUAGAUGCUCAAAACUCAUUGGCGACUAUUGGCCCCUAAUCCAAGAGAUCCCUCUCAUCGAGAUAGAUUGGGUGCGGAUCCAAUGAAUUGAUUCUUCCAUGCACCGCCAGUUUUCUCCGAUUAAGGGUAAGUUUUUGGUUUUGAAGGCAUCAAUUUUUAUUCUGCCUCCUCUAUUCGAUGUGUAAUGCAAAUUGAUAUUUUGUCAUGGAGAUAUUUCCCAUGAAUUUCCAAAAACAACCCACUAAGGUCAACGAAUGACAAUUCAUUGGGGUUUUUUUUGUCCAACAAACAAACUCAGUACUCAUCCAUUACUUCCAAUUUUGACAACACGUCCUCUUCCUAGUAUGCAAAGCUACCCAAUGGGCAUAAACAUUUGCUUUGCACAAAAUACGACUACAAUUUAGAGCUGACAAUUGAUCUUUAGCUGCUUGAAUCCCAGCAGGAGCUUCCUUUAGUCUUUAGUUGUACUGCUUGCGAAAUUUGAUAAUAUCCUUGGAUACCAUAGCUACAUAUAUCUCCACUACAACCUUGGGCCAGCUUCUCUUUUGCCACUGCAAUGCUCUUUCCAACAAAAAGUAAUUCAGCCUCCUCUGCAAAUCUAACUUGCACCACCACACCCCUGCAGGUAACCAUGUCCCCUGCCUAAUUUCUGGCCACAGUGCAUGUUGUUAGUUUGUUCGUAAAACAUAGAAAAAGUGCUUUAGUAAAUAGUUUGUUUCUUAAAGACAAUGUAUUCAUGCUUCAAGUCCAAUUCCGUCUUCCCAACAAUCCCAGCAACAGCAUGUUUCGUUUCUUUAAUGUCAGACCCAUUGCAGUUGAUAUUCACAGAACCUAGCUUAGGUUUUACUACACGCCCUGCCUUUCAUCCACCCAAUGAUGACAUAGCUCUCUUAUAUUCUUGCAGGCAACACACUACAAAAGAGUUUUUCUUAUAUGUAUUAUUGAUGGUCUCAGGAUCUGGUGAUCUAUGGUUAAAAGUUGCUGCAUUCGGAGCUUUCCAGUUACUUCAGGUGAUGGCAAUCAUUCUUAAGAGUUAUCAGCCUGCACUAAUCAUUUGAUCUCAUGACCUCACAUUCGUAGAAUAUCAAGCCUGAACCGAUAAGUCACCAUCACUGGUGAUUAGUGGUCUCCCAUACAUGUGUGCUAACAUAAUCAUAAGAAUUAUUCAGUGAAAACAAAAUCAUCCAAAGGGUCACUAAUUGCUGAGAAAAGGAAAGCGAAGGAUCCUAGCUCUUGUCUUGUCUAUUCAUUUUGUGUUGCUGUUGGGUGGGUAUGCAUAUAAUUCUUUUUGUUUGGAUCACUCUCAUAGUUGUUCAUUAUGCAUGGAAGUAAUUUCUAUUCAGGACUAAUUAAUCGUCCUCUUCCAGGAUUUUGGAUAAGAAAUAUGAAAAAUGUGGAAGAACCAUCAAUAGCGGAGGACAUAAGAUGCGUGGAGCCUCCUAUUUCCUUCCUCUCUAACCUCUCCUUGGAUGAAAGAUAUGAGGAACAUGAAAAGACUAUCAAGUGGGCUUUGCAGGCAUCUCUCCUCUCUCAAACAGUCAUAUAUUUUACAGUUGCCGGAUGUUGAGGUACUUGACAGAGGACAGCUUCCAUCCCUCCCUCCAUGUAUUCCACAUAAUUCAAUGAGAGAUUCUGAAAGAUCGAUGCUCAAAACUCUGCGGCGACUGUUGGCACCUCAUCCAAGAAAUCCCACUCAUCGUAAUUGAUCGAGUUUGGAUUCAAUAAGAAGAUAUCUCUCCAAUGUCUAAUCUUUGUUCUCAAAACAAAUAUUACGGACAUGGACUUGCUCUCAGUGCAGGAAUUAUAAUGCAUGGAUGUGCCUGUCUUUAUUGAUGAUAUAUCUUGAACUUUGUUUCAUGCCCAAAAAUUGCUUAUCUUUCCACUUAUGGAAAUGCACUAUGCUUUGCGUGAGAAUCAUGAAUUGUUGCUCUUGUAUUGAUAUUUUUCUGCAAUAUUGGCGUUUGUUGUAUUUUCUCUUCCAAAUAUCUUUUUCUUAGGCCCUAGCUCAUUGACCUGAUGUCUCUCAACUAUGCUUGCUUUGUAGAAUAUCCCACCGUCUUCUGCAUUUGGCAAAAUCUCUCCCGGUGAUCAAAUGCAAACAUUGUUGAGGUAGGCAACUGAUGUGCUUACGUUCAUCUUUUGCAACUUGACAAAAGAAAAACAAAAAGCUACUAAUUUUGGUAGUUGUACUAAUAUGCUCUAUACUUUUUUAUUUUAUUUUUGGUGACAUGCUCUAAAAGAUUUAUCUGUAUCACGAUGUCAAUUAUCGAGGUCUACAUUCAAAGUCAAACGAAGCAGCUUUCGUACCUCCAACAACAGCAGCGACUGAAGAGAUGCAGAAAUUGGGGUUUUCGAGUUGGCAGAUUACAAUCCAUUUCAAUCUGAUUUCCUUGUUGAAGUUAACAGUUCAUCUUUAUUCUAUUUAACUUCCCACGCCAUCUCAGAGAACAUUUUCUUUUUCUUUGUCGCAAAGGAAAGACCGAGAGGAGCAAUCAAGGAGACUAUGCUCUGUUACCAUUUUGAGUAAUUGUAAAAGUUUCACGUCUGCCUUGAAAUAUUUCAGAUCGCGAGAAGGUCAUCGUCCAAUACCACUCGCAACCUAGUUAUCUCGGGUAGCCAAGUCUCUUCAUCCAACACCAAGCUGCCAGAGCUCCCAUCACGGGAAGGCAAGAUAUAGGCACUGAUGGAUUGACAUCGUGACCUCGCGUUUGUGGAAUAUCAGUUCGUACCGUCAGGCCACCGUCGCUGGUGUUCAGUGGUCCCCUAUAGUUCUGCGUUAACAAAAUCAUGAAGUCUAUUUAGGAUUAGCAAAAUCAUCAAAACAGUUUCAUUUUUACAUGCAAUAAUUGACUUGAACAUGCAUGUUUCGAGAAUACCUAAAUGCCUCUUACCAAUAAACCGCUCUAAGAAAAACAUCUGAAGGAAAUGUUGCCUAUGAAGGUGACUAUAAAGAGCGGUGCUGAUGGCAACGAGUGGGCAGUGGCCGUGGGACGGUGGUGCGCUCUCCCGCCCCAUUCUCGCUUCUUCUUCUUCUUUUUCCCUUUUCAAGUUCUUGCUGUUUUUUAUUUUUAUUUUUGUCUUUGCUUUUUUUUUCUUUUAUUGAACUUAAAUUUGGAAAGAUACAUGAAAUCUAGACAUUAUUCAUUAGACAAGUACUAGAGAGAUUAUUGAAUAAAAAAUCACGGUACGAUUAAGCAAGAAAAGAGUAGGACAAAAAUAAUAGUAACAGUAAAUUUUUAAGCAUGGCAUGUAAUGCAUGGGGAAAUUCUACUAGUAAUGGCAAAACAAAGGCAUUCACAUAGGGAUGAAAGAGGAAGGAUGUGAGAAGUGAUGUAACAAUGUCAAUUUGCAUCCUGCAAACUCUAUCUUUUCAUUUGCUCUCUUUCGCUUCUGCUUCACUUUAUAGACAAACAGGUACAUGAUGUCCAAUAUAGUCUUGGCCUUCUUGAGUUUAUGGUUUAUCUGCAUGAACAAAGUACUUGUGGACAGAAAGCAUCCUUGAAAGUCUUGGUCUCUGUUUAAACUCUUUGGUAGGUGAAAGUCUUGGUCUUCCGGGACUUUAAAGUUGUCUAUCUCCAUCAACUCAUUAUCACUUUGCUUCAACAUAACCCUUGAUUGACUCUACGGUUAUUGAUUCACCCUUAGAGGGCAAGCAUAUCUUCAUAAAUUUUUUUAUCUUACCAAUGUUUUGUUGGUUUUUUAUUUUAUUUUGAGUAUAGUCUUUCACAUGGUAUCCAUAGCGCUAAAAAUUUGCAACAAAAUGGGCAGGAAUGAUCUGUUGAAGGGUGCUGAAGCAAUUGUUGAUGAUCGUGGAGCGCUUGAUAGGAGAAUUGUGGUCCUUUGAAAAGAAAAAGUUAUCGUGGAGCGCUUGAUAGGAGAAUUGUGGUCCUUUGAAAAGAAAAAGUUAACCAAAUCAUUUGCUUCAUGGAUUCAUUGGUGUACCCAACUAUUUUCCUUGUUUAACCCAAAUCAUGUGUUUCUACUCUCAUUAUCGAACGGUCAAAGUUAGUUGUCUUUGAUGACUUACAGAUAUAUAAUUGAAUGUAAGAUGCCAUUGUUAGGUGGAUUGUCUACAUUUAUUUCAAUUGGUGCAAGUUGCACAAAGAUGCUUAUAUGUUAGUCCUAUUAAUUGUGGUCAACUUCAUUCAUCACUAGACAAGAACAAGGGUCUGGCAUCGCCAACUAACAGUGUACAAUCUACUAGAUAUACUCUAGGCAUCACACUUGUGAAUGGUAAAAUCAUGGAAGGGACCAUGAUUCUACUAUCAUGCGGUUUUCGAUCAUCAACUAUUACUUCAGCACCCUUCAAUAGAUCGUUGGUCAGUCCUCCUUGAUGAGCCCUAUCAAUUAUUACUUUCCCUUUCCUAAAAGUUAUCAAUUAAAAAAACAGAAGAUUUAAUCUAAAAUCUAUUAAGAUAUGAACCCAAUUAAUGAGGUCAAAUAAUUAUGAGAUAUGAAAUUAUAUUAGAUUACUAAUAUUCAUACACGUGCUACGCACGGACGAAGACACUGCGCACAUAUUUUCAGAUUACAUGUAAAUUAAAAUUAGGAAUUGGAAUAAAAUGAACUAUUUCUGUGGUUGAUUGUUUCCAAAUAUUACUUAAACCUUAGAACUCAACUUGGCAUACUUGAACCAAAUGUAUUUCCCCACAACAAAAAGAAAAUCGUCAAAUGCGCUAAUCUAAUUUGGUCCCAAGAACGCGUCAUUAGCACUUCAAUACUUUUGACAUGUGUAUAUAACUUUACAACUGGUUUAAUGUUUUUCUUUUCAUUGAGUAGCUUUUUGGGGUAGAGCCUAAUGUUUUUGCAGUGCAUACCUAUGGUUUCUGUGUUCGAACUGGGACACCGACGCUCAUAAAGAAAAUUCUCAUAAUAGAUCUUUAGAUCUUUUGAGACAUCAAUUUUAAAGUUUCUUUUUGACUAAUCCUGUGCCCCUCUUGGCAGGCUCCAUCGUUAACAUAUUGGCAAAACUUCUUUUGGUGCUUUGCAAUCAAUUCAUUAGGAAAAAAAAAACUUGUUUUAAAAAUGACCUUGAAAUUUUUAACGCAACAAUUAAUGGACAUUAUCUUUCUUUUAAUAAUAGAAGAGUUAUUUUGAGGCAUAUUCCAAACUCCGGGAUAUAAUCUACCUACAUUUUUCGUUAGAAUUUGAAUCCAUCAUUUGUUUCAAUACACCUCCAUAUCCCAUAUUCGAAGCAUCGGUGUUUACAAGCAUAAAGGUGUACAUAAGGUUUUAAGACUCUGAAACAUCCUAAGAAUCUCUGCAAUAGAAUUUUUUGCUUUUCAAUAUCACCAGGAAAGUUAUUUGCAAAGUCUAUAGCUUUAUUAAUAGGUUUUAUAGUGUUUUGACAUAUAUCGAGUCCUAAAAAUCUUGCUUUAGUUUACAAUAAUUUCAUACUUGGUGCUAAAAAUACUAAUCUAUCAUACUUAAUAAAAAAAAAAUUGAAAUGCUUAAAAUGCUUCUAUAUGUUUUGAAUAUAUAUAUAUAUAUAUAUAUAUAUAUAUAUCAUCUAUAUAUACUAUUGAAAAAGGGAUACUAUUCUCAAAUAUAUCAUUAACAUGCCGUUCGCGGCAAAAAACAUAGCGAAGGCUGUCUCUUAUUUAUCGUCUGCAUGAAUUUUGAAUCCUGAUCUUUUUUUCUUUUUUCUUUUUUUCGGUUGGUGAAUACUGAUUUAACUUGCAGGAGAUUUGGAGCUUGGAGCUUACCGGGCCUUGGAUUCAAGCGUGGGGGACUGUUUCACAGCCCAAUCACACCUGUUUGUCAACGACUGCAAAAGAAGAGGUGAAGAUAAUUAUUUUGCACCUUACUAGCAAAUAUUUGAAAUUUGUGAAAGCUUUUGUUCGGAUAUUUUCAACAGCAGCUUUUGUUCCACCAGAAGGAGAUUAAUAUAUCAUUCAUGCGAAUAGCCAUCGUCGAAAAUAAAAACAUUGUAAUGAUAAGGACGGGUGGGUCCAAGAUAAGAGCACUUCUCUAAGACAAUUCGUCUUUUCUGUCAUCGCGUCUAGUGCCCAUCUCCUGUCUUCAUCCCUUUAACUGUUCGAUACGUGCUCGUUGUCCACCGAAUGCUCAGACCUUAAGAGAUUUUGCACGCUACCACGGUCGGUCGCCACCAUCGUCAUUCACGUCAUCCCUAUGCCUCUGCUUUAAAUCUCAGCUGUCUCACUCUCAGACGAUCACCUCUCUCCUUCAUCCGCUUUUCUCCACCUCCUUGCCCUCGCUGUCGAGGACAGAUGAACUCCGUCGAUGAUGGCACUGGAGCACAGUGGCCAAUGAUGACUUCGCUAGAGACGACAAUCGAGGCUAUGAUGGAGUCGUAGGAGCUACAAGAAUAAUCUUAAACAUUGGACGAGGGAAAGAUGUUAAAUGAACUCGAAGUGUGUGAGUUCAGCUCACAUCCACUAUUGGGAGGUAGACUCCAUAUGAAAUCCAACUUUUGACGGUGCUUGUGAGAAAUUGUGAAUCCUAAAAAUUCAUUCUUUAUGGUGUAAAUAUCAAGUUAGGUCGGUUAUUAAGUAAAUAAAGGUAAUUGACUCUGAUGGUUGGUGUGACUAGUUGUGCCAGCUGCGACGGUGGUGGUAGCGUUGGAAUGAGUAGUCCCAGCAGUGGUGCUAACAACAAUGGUGUGGUAGUAGCUGUAAGAUCAGUGGCACUCGCUCCUGCAUUUUUUUUUAAAUCUUUUUAGCUUUUCAUUUUUCAUUUUUUAUUAUUUUAAUGAAAUUCAAAAGAUACAUGAAAAUCUAUACAUAAUUUUAACAUAGAAGGAAAAUAGAGACAAAAUGAAUGUAAAAUCACAUAGAUUCAACGUGAAAAGAGUUGGACGAAAAUUAUAGUACUUUUAAUUUUAAGUAAGAAAGUAGCAAUGGAUGAUUAUUGGCAUAAUAUUUCUUUCAAACAAAAUAAAAAUUAGAUCUAAUGUAACGCAUGGAAAUUCAACAAUUAAAAGGAAAAAAAGAUGUUCACAUAUGGAAGUAGAGACAUGUGAAAAGUGAAACAACAAACUCCAAUUUGCGUGUCGCAAAUUGUUGGUCUUCCCGAAAUCUCUUAAGUUUCUUUCCCUUUAGCGCUUUUUCACUUUCGCUUCACUUUCCAAACAAAAAAGCACAUGAUAUCUAAUAAAGUAUGUGGGAAUAUUCUUUAAAUAUUAUGAAACAAGCACUUGUGGACAAAAAGUAUUUUCUUCAGAUUUGUCUAACCUCAUAUGCACAACUAGACCAGUCAAAUGGGUAGAUUAGGUUUGGUUUGGGUCGAGUCGAAAAUGGGUCGACCCAUAUUUGACCAAUUUAACCUAUUUUGACUCAUAUUUAUGUAGUAUAAAUCAAGUAACCUAUAUCAGACCCGACCUAUACCCGAUCUGAUAUGUAUUGCUAAAACCUAUUAAUAUUUUAGGAAAACCCACUUCUACUAUAAGCUAAUUGGAUUAAAACUUCAAAUUAAAUUAAAAAUAGUAAAUAAAAUAAAAUAAAAAAGUUAAGAAAAUCUAUAAAUUGAAAUAUUUAUAAAGAAUUAGACUAUGCACAUGCUUCUCUUAUUUGAAGUGAACAUACCAUUGAAUAACUAAAAACUAUAACAUGAAAUUUUUUUAACUAAACCUAACAAAGCUCAUUUUUAUGAUUUUUUUUAUAUAAAAAAAAAAGUAUUGUUAAAACAUUUUCAUGCAAUACAAAAUUUUUAACAAUUUUUAUGCAAUACAAAUUUAAUGGAAAAUUUUUAUAAUUCUUUUUAAAAUAUUUUUUAAAAAAUCAAAAUUUUAAUUUUUUAAAUAUAAUUUUAAAUAUUUUUAUUUUUUUAAAAUAUAAUUUCUAAUUUUAAUAAUUUUUUUUUCUUUUUCUCUUUUCUCUUUACUUUUAUCUUCUUCUUCGGCCGGCCAUUGGCCACAACGACGACCAACGACCGGCCAUAGGUGAGAUCGAGCUCGCCGGCGUCGGGCGAGGAAGGAAGGAAGAAAAAGAAAGAAAAAAGAAAAGAAAAAAAAGUUGAAAUAUGAAAAAAAUUGAUAUUUCUAUUUUUUAUUAAAAAAAUUUUUAUAAAGUUAAAGAAGGCCAUGGGUUGAAGAUGGGUUUCCUAAUAACUCAUUUAAACUCAUUUCUUUUUAUGCUUUACUUUCUCAUACCCAUUUCUGGCCCAUUUUUAACUUUUACUUGACCCAUAUAUGACUCAUUUAACUAAAAAUGGGUCAUAAUAUGGGUUUAUGACCCAUUUUGGUAGCUCUAUACACAACCUUGGAAGUCUUGGUUUUUGUUUAAAGUCUUUGGUAGGCGAAAGUCUUGAUUAGGGGUGUGCAAAAUACUCGGGAACCGCUCAGACCGCUCGGAACCGACGGUUUUUGAGGGAACUAGUCCGGUUCUCGGUUCCAAUUUUAUGGGAAUCGAUGGAUACUAGUCCGGCUCCCAGUUCCAUGAGCAGAUCCGCCCGCCCGCCUACCCGGACCGGACCGAUUAAUAUUUAUUUAAAAAAAAUACUAAAACAAACCCUAGCGAAACUGGUCCAUUUUCCCCUCACGCGGGCUGCGCCCAAUCCAUUUUUCAUCUUUUUCUCGGUCUGGCCCUCUCCUCUUCUUCUUCCUCCUUCCUUCCUCGUGCUGGAUAGUGGACACCACGCUCGGUGAAGACUAAAGGCAUGCAGGAUGACCUAGGGCAGAGAGAGAGGAGGGUAGACUAGCGACGGAGGGGAUGCCAUGUAGGAGUCAUCAAUGCCGCUGAACAGAGCAGUGCAAGAUUCGGCAAGAAACCGGGACGAAGGGGAUGUCUUGGCGAACGCCUUCGAUGCCGAGCAGGCUUACGCGGAGAAGACAGGCUGAGAUGCCGGUUCAGCCAAGAGGGAGGUCGGUUAGCACGCCCAGGACUGGCAGCGGAAAUGCCUCUGUCGAUUGGACCCUCCAGCCUAUAAAUAGGGCCUCCUGGAGCUCGAUGAAGGGAGGUCGAGUAGAGAUGAUGUGAGAGAGAGAGAGAGAGAGAGAGAGAGAGAUCUGUGAGACGUUGAAAAGAGAGGGGGAGAUCAAGUGAGAUCUGAGAGUUGCGAGUAAGGGUAGAGUGUGAGGGAGAGAACCCCCAUUGACCACCACGCUUGAACCGUAGCCGACGACGCACCCCAACUUCUCUUUUGCGUCAAAAUCAUGGUAGAUUUUGUCCCCCUUUGUUCUCGACUUUUCCGAUAUGGGGUCGGUUUCCUAAGGAUCUCGGCUCGGAGUUGCGCGAGGCGGACGGACGUGGACCGAUCUAUCGAGCUCAUCCACCGCCCGACGUCAAAACCCUAGUGACCCGCAACACCACAGCUCGCCUCCGCGCCAACCACCGUGCCAGCAGUCGCGAGUGCCCUUUGCCCGUUCACCCGUCACUGCGAUGCCACAGCUCGCCUUCGCGUCAAGAUUGGUUCCAUGGAUCCACCCGGGAACCAGACCGAACCGGCCGUUUGGUUCCCGGGUGGAUCUAUGCAACAAACAGGUGGAUCUCGGUUCCAAUUUUUCGGAACCGGUCCUUAGCAGGAGGUUUCUGAUUCUAGGUCAGGAACUGUCCGCCCGGACCAUGCACACCCCUAGUCUUGAUCUUCCCAAACUUCAUAGUUUUUUCCCUCCAUUAGCUCAUUAUCACUAGUUUUCUCUCUCCAUUAGCUCCAUUAUCACUUUGCUUCACCAUAACAUUUGUUGUUUUCUAUAGUGACUAAUUCAACCAUGCCAUUGGAGAAAUCGUUUUGGGUUCCUUCUUUCAAGUCUUGUUUGAUAAGUUGAGUUCUUUGGCAUCAGACUUUGUGCAACGGGAUGGAACUGGCACCACCAUCUUUGAUGAGUGGAAGAGGAUGCUAGUCACAAUCAAUGAAGUGCUGGAUGAUGUAGAGGAAAAGCAACUUAGCGAUAACGAUCAAGUGAUGCUAUGGUUGGACAAUGUCAAGAACUUGGCCUUUGACAUAGAAGACUUGCUUGAGGAGUUCAAGAUCAAAGACACUCAAGCUAAGUUGGAGGUAGAAUCCAGCACAAGUAGAGGUCAAUGGAAAAGGAAGUUCCUUGCUUUUACACAACCGAGCUCACUCGUGUCUGACACCAAGCUCCAAGAGAUCAAUGGUAGGUUGGAAGCGCUUGUCAACAAGAGGGUUGGUCUAAGAUUGAGAGAGAAUGUUAUGGACAAAUCCAACUACAUCAACUGAAGGGAUCCCACUAGUUCUUUGCCGGAGCCUCAAUUUUUGGGUAGGGAGAAGGAAGAGAUGGAGAUACUCGAACUAUUGAUCCGUGAGGUCAAAAAUUCUGAUGCCAGACUAGGCAUAGUCCCCAUAGUGGGGAUGGGUGGUGUUGGAAAGACAGCCUUGGCUCAACGGCUAUAUAAUGUUGCCAAAGUGAAUAGUUGUUUCGAGAAGAAAGCAUGGGUUUGUGUGUUAGAUGUUUUUGAUGUCCUUGACAUAACAAAGACUAUUUUGCAUUCGAUCAUUGGGUUGUCCAAUGAGGGCAAAGAUCUUAACGAGGUUCAAGUUAAGUUGAAUAAAAGUCUAUCCAUGAAGAAGUUUCUUGUGGUUUUAGACGACAUCUGGAAUGAGAAGUACAAAAAAUUGACUGCUCUCUUAAAGCCAUUUGAAGCGGGGGCUAGGGGAAGCAAGAUCAUGAUCACGACUCGCAACCUUGAAGUUGCUUCCAUAAUGGGAGCUUUGUUGUAUCAUUUGAGGGAAUUGUCCUUUGAUAAUUGUAAAAGCUUAUUGGCCUUUCAUGCUCUUGGAGCAACAAAUUUUUAGAGAAACCUGGCCUUUGAAAUAAUAGGCCAGAAAAUAGCUGAAAGAUGUAAAGGUUUACCUUCGGCAGCGAAGAUGUUCGGCGGUGUCCUACGUACUAAAAGAACUCCUGAGGAAUGGCAAGAUACCUUAAAUAACAAAAUAUGGGAUCUUCCGAUGGCAAAGAAUGAUGAGGUUCUCCCAGUUUUAAAAUUGAGCUAUGUCCAUCUUCCUUCCUAUUUGAAGAGGUAUUUUGCUUAUUGUGCGGUAUUUCCUAAGGAUUACAAAAUUGAGAGGGACAAGUUGGUACUCUUGUGGAUAGCAGAGGGAUUUUUAGAUGGACAAGAAGCAAAUAAGAAUAUCUUGAAAUUGGGACAGAGGCACUUUGAUGAGUUAGUAUCUAGGUCAUUUCUUCAACAAUCAAGUAUCGACACAUCUAAGUUUUCAAUGCAUGAUCUUUUGAAUGAUCUAGCAAAGUCAAUUGCAAGAGGGACUUGCUUUAGCUCAGGGGGGUCUCAGGUGGCAAGUAAUGUAAAAACUUGUUAUGCAUCAUUCAUCCCAUCGUGGCAUGUUACAUCAAAAUCAAAAUGCCUGAAGCCAUAUCAAGGAAUGAAGGUGCUAAGAAGUUUAAUUCUAGUGCGUGAUGGAUCUAGUGGGGACUUUUUUUCUAUUUCCAACGUGGCGCUAAAUGACUUGCUAACAAACUUGAAGUACUUGAGAGUAUUCUCGUCAUGUCAUUAUGACAUCAUAGAGGUACCGAAUUGUGUUGGUCAUCUAAAAAAUCUUCGAUAUCUCAAUUUCUCGUACACUUUUAUCAAGAGGCUACCUGAGUCAAUUGUUGGCCUGUGCAAAUUACAAGCUCUGAUAUUAAGAGGUUGUAAUAGUCUUUCAAAGUUGCCUCAAGGUAUCACAAAGUUAGUCAACUUACAAUUUCUUGAUAUUAGAGAUAUAGUGAGUCUAGAAGAAAUUUUGUUUUUUUUAUUAUUAUUAUUAUUUUGUCCAAAUUUGUGGUAGGACGAGAGAAAGGGCCGCAAUUGAAAGAGUUAAAAAACUUGCCACAUCUUGAAGGAGAAUUAUUCAUAUCAGAACUGCAAAAGGUGGAAAAAGUUAUCGAUGCAAUCGAUGCUAUUUUGCUUCGAAAGCUAGACCUUGCCAACUUAUCCUUGCAUUGGGAUGAACAUUUGGGAAAUCUCCAUAAUCAUGAGCAUGAAGCAUAAGUGCUUGACUUUCUGCAACCUCACACUAGUCUUGAAAAUCUCACUAUUUUGAACUAUGGUGGUGCAAGAUUUCCAUCAUGGUUAGAUUGUACAUAUUCUAAAAUAAUGUCUUUAUGCUUGUGGGACUAUCCUAAUAUUGUGUCACUGCCUAUGAUUGGGCAACUACCUUCACUUAAGGAAUUAUCUCUUAAAGGUCUAUAUGCAAUAGGAAGGUUAGGCUCUAAUUUCUAUGGAGGCAAGAGGCAUUUUUCAUCCUUAACAACUUUGAAGUUUGAAGAGAUGUUGACAUGGAGGGAUUGGUCUUGUUAUGCCAAGGGAUUAGAAGAAGAAGAAGUAUCAUUCUUUUGUCUUCAGCAUCUUGUUGUCCGACUUUAUCCUUCGUUGGUCAGGACAUUGCCUGAUCAACUUGGUCGUCUCAUAAAGCUUGAAAUUCAUUCAUGUCCGCAUUUGGAAAACUUAACCAAUGUUUGUCUUCCAUCUCUCCGAGAGUUGUUCCUUGAGGAUUGUAACGAGGAGAUCUUGAAGAGCUUGGUCAACCUAACUUCUUUGACCAUUCUUACAAUUAAGAAUCUUGUAGAGCUUGUUUGCUUUGAUCAUGGUUUUAUGAGCUACUUGAUCAAGCUAAAGGAGCUUCAUAUAGGAGGGUAUGACCAAUUAAAAUACUUGUGGCGAGAUGGAAAUGAAAUGCUAAAUCUCACUUGUCUCCAGGAAUUAACCAUCGUAUGAUAUCCUCACUUCACAUCAUUAGUGGCGGGAGAAAGAGAAAUAGAGCUGCCAUGCAACCUUGAAAAGAUGGAAUUGAGUAAUUGCACCAGUAAGAAUAGCUUCCAAGCAAGAUGUACACACUCAGUUAUUUGUCUAUUCGUUGGUGUCCAAAACUCAUAAGACCAACCAUUUCUUCAUAUGACCCUAACAGCAACAACCCUAAGUCUCAACUUCAAUCUUCAUGUACAAGUAAAUGUGAUUCUCAAACAUCUUUUCCCUUAGCCAAAGGUAGACUUCCUACUCUGAAGAAAUUUUCUAUUCAAGAGUGCAAGGGAGUGGAGUCGUUGGAAGAGAUCACCAUAUAAUUGCUCGAAUAUUUGAGAAUCGACAGUUGUGAGAAUCUAAGAAGCCUACCGCAAUGCCUUCACAUGCUCUCCCAUCUCACUCACUUGUAUAUAAGUGAUUGUCCAGCACUGGAGAUAGAGGACUUUCCUGCCCUUCCCCUCACCCUAUCAGUUCUCAUGCUUGAGAGAUGUUCAAAGAUAAAAUCUAUUGCUAGAUUUAGCAAUCUCUCUAUUUUGAAUAUUUGCGAGUGUCCAGCAUUGGAGAUAAAGAAUUUCCCUCCCCUUCCCAUCACCUUGUCGUCUCUUGAACUUAAUGAUUGUCCGAAGAUAAAGUCUUUGCCAAAUUAGUGGUGUCAUCUUACAUCCCUCGAGUACCUACAUAUUGUACUUUGCCAAAAUUUCAAAUGCUUGCUUGAAGGAGGUUUGCCUCCCAAUUUAGAGACCCUUGUAAUCACUGGGUGCGAGAAUCUGGAGUAGCAAGUGAGAGAAUGGGGCUUACCCCUGUUCAUAUCUGUCACGUUUCUAAAUAUUGACGGAAGAAGCAUGGGAGGAGAGGGAGAGAAGGUGCGGUUUCCUUCGAAGGAGGAGGAGGACAAGGAGGAUGCCUAAAGUCUUUUCUUUCCUUCCACUCUUACCUCUCUUUGGAUUAUCCAUAUGAGGAACAUGGAAAGACUAUAAGAUGGCCUUCAAAACCAUCUCUCCUCUCUCCAAGAGUUAUGGAUUGAAGAUUGCCCGAAGUUGAGGGACUUGCCAGAGGUUGGCCUCCCUCCCUCCCUCCAACAAUUGCACAUAAGUGGAUGUAAGAUUCUACAAGAUCAAUGCUUAAAACACACCGGCGACUAUUGGCCGCUCAUCCAAGAGAUCCCUCUCAUCGACAUGGAUUGCGAUCAGAUUCAUUGAAUUGAUUUGUCCUGGUACGGUCAGGUUUUCUAGGGUUCGGGUAAGUUUAUGGUUUCUAAGGCAUUGAUUUCCCAUCCUGCUUACCCCUGCUCACAUCCCUCAUGUUUCUAAAUAUUGAUUGAAGAAGCAUGGGAUGGGAGGGAGACAAGGUGCGGUUUCCUUCAAAGGAGGAGGAGGAUGAGGUGGAUGCCUGAAGUCUUCUUCCUUUCUCUCUUACCUCUCUUCGGAUUGACCAUAUGAAGAACGUCGAAAGACUAUCAUAUGGCCUUCUCAACCAUCUCUUCUCUCUCCAAGAGUUAUGGAUUCUCAAUUGCCCCAAGUCGAGGCACUUGCCAGAGGAUGGCCUCCCUCCCUCCCUCCAACGAUUGCACAUAAGUGGAUGCGAGAUUCUACAAGAUCGAUGUUCAAAACACACCGACGACUAUUGGCCCCUCAUCCAAGAGAUCCCUCUCAUCGACAUUGAUGGCGAUCGAUCCAAUGAAUUGAUUCAUCCUAGUACGGUAAGGUUUUCUAGGGUUUGGGAAAGUUUAUGGUUUCGAAGACAUCAAUUUUCCAUUUUGCUUACCCCUACUCACAUCCCUCAUGUUUCUGAAUAUUAACAAAAAAAGCACGGGAGGGGAGGAAGAGAAGGUGCGGUUUCCUUCGGAGGAGGAGAAGGACAAGGAGGAUGCUUCGAGUCAUCUCUUUCCUUCCUCUCUUACCUUUUUUCGGAUUAAUCAUAUGAGGAAUGUGGAAAGACUAUCAAAUGGCCUUUGCAACCAUCUCUUUUCUCUCCAAGAGUUAUGAAUUGAAGAUUACCCGAAGUUGAGGGACUUGCUAGAGGAUGGCCUACCUCCCUCCCUCAAAUGAUUGCACAUAAGUGGAUGCGAGAUUCUACAAGAUUGAUGCUCGAAACACAUCGACAACUAUUAGCCCCUCAUCCAAGAGAUCCCUCUCAUCGACAUUGAUGGCGAUUGGAUCCAAUGAAUUGAUUCAUCCUGGUACGGUCAAGUUUUCUAGGGUUUGGGUAAGUUUAUGGUUUCAAAGGCAUCGAUUUCCCAUUCUGCUUACCCCUGCUCACAUCCUCAUGUUUCUAAAUAUUGACGGAAGAACCAUGGGAGGGGAGGGAGAGAAGGUGCGGUUUCCAUCGGACAAGGAGGAUGCCUUGAGUCUUCUCUUUCCUUCCCCUCUUACCUCUCUUUAGAUUGACCAUAUGAGGAACGUGGAAAGACUAUUAGAUGGUCUUCACAACCAUCUCUCCUCUCUCUAAGAGUUAUGGAUUCCCAAUUGCCCGAAGUUGAGGUCCCUCCCUCCAACGAUUACACAUAAGUGGAUGCGAGAUUCUACAAGAUCGAUGCUGAAAAGACAUCGGCGACUAUUGACCCCUCAUCCAAGAGAUCCCUCUCAUCGACAUUGAUGGCGAUCGGAUCCAAUGAAUUGAUUCGUCUUGGGAAGCUCAGGUUUUUUAAGAUUGGGGUAAGUUUAUGGUUUCGAAGCCAUCAAUUUCCCAUUUUACUUAUCCCUACUCACAUCCCUCACAUUUCUAAAUAUUGACAGAAAAAGCAUGGGAGGGGAGAGAGAAAAGGUGCGGUAUCCUUUAGAGGAGGAGGACGAUGAGGAGAAUGCCUGGAGUCUUCUCUUUCCUUCCUCUCUUACCUCUCUUUGGAUUGACCAUAUGAGAAAUGUGGAAAGACUAUCAGAUGGCCUUCUCAACCAUCUCUCCUCUCUCCAAGAGUUAUGGAUUCUCAAUUGCCUAAAGUUGAGGCACUUGCCAGAGGAUGGCCUCCCUCUCUCCCUCCAACGAUUGCACAUAAGUGGAUGCGAGAUUCUACAAGAUCGAUGCUCAAAACACACUGGCGACUAUUGGCCCCUCAUCAAAGAGAUCCCUCUCAUCAACAUUGAUGGCAAUCGGAUCCAAUGAAUUGAUUUUUCUUGGUACGGUCAGGUUUUCUAGGGUUCGGGAAAGUUUAUGGUUUCGAAAGCAUCAAUUUCCCAUUUUGCUUACCCUUGCUCUCAUACCUCACGUUUCUAAAUAUUGACGGAAGAAGCAUGGGAGGGGAGGGAGAGAAGGUGUGGUUUCCUUCGAAGGAGGAGGACAAGGAAAAUGCCUCAAGUCUUCUCUUUCCUUCUCCUCUUGCCUCUCUUUGGAUUGACCAUAUGAGGAACGUAGAAAGACUAUUAGAUGGCCUUCGCAACCAUCUUUCCUCUCUCCAAGAGUUAUGGAUUCUCAAUUGCCCGAAGUUGAGGGACUUGUUAGAGGAUGGCCUCCCUCCCUCCCUCCAACGAUUGCACAUAAGUGGAUGCGAGAUUCUACAAGAUCGAGCUCAAGAUACACUGGCGGUUAUUGACCCCUCAUCCAAGAGAUCCCUCUCAUCGACAUUGAUGGCGAUUGGAUCCAAUGAAUUGAUUCGUCUUGGUACGGUCAGGUUUUCUAGGGUUUGGGUAAGUUUAUAGUUUUGAAGCCAUCAAUUUCCCAUUCUGCUUACCCCUGCUCACAUCCCUCAUGUUUCUAAAUAUUGACGGAAAAAACAUGGGAGGGGAGGGAGAGAUGGUGCGGUUUCCUUCGGAGGAGAAGGACGAGGAGGGUGCCUGGAGUCCUCUCUAUCCUUCCUCUCUCACCUCUCUUUGGAUUGACCAUAUGAGGAACGUGGAAUGACUAUCAGAUGGCAUUCGCAACCAUCUCUCCUCUCUCCAAGAGUUAUGGAUUCUCAAUUGCCCAAAGUUGAGGCACUUGCCAGAGGAUGGCCUCCCUCCCUCCCUUCGAUGAUUGCACAUAAGUGGAUGCGAGAUUCUAUAAGAUCUAUGCUCAAAACACACCGGCGACUAUUGGUCCCUCAUCUAAGAGAUGCCUCUCAUCGACAUUGAUGGCGAUUAGAUCCAAUGAAUUGAUUCGUCCUGGUAUGGUCUGGUUUUCUAGGGUUUGGGUAAGUUUAUGGUUUCGAAGGCAUCGAUUUCCCAUUCUGCUUACCCUUGCUCACAUCCCUCACAUUUCUAAAUAUUGAUGGAAGAAGCAUUGAAGGGGAGGGAGAGAAGGUGCGGUUUCCUUUGGAGGAGGAGGACGAGGAGGAUGCCUCGAGUCUUCUCUUUCCUUCCUCUCUUACCUCUCUUUGGGUUGACCAUAUGAGGAACAUGGAAAGACUAUAAUAUGGCCUUCGCAACCAUCUCUCCUCUCCAAGAGUUAUGGAUUCUCAAUUGCCCGAAGUUGAGGCACUUGCCGAAGGAUGGCCUCCCUCCCUCCCUCCAACGAUUGCACAUAAGUGGAUGUGAGAUUCUACAAGAUCGAUGUUGAAAAGACACUGGCAACUAUUGGCCCCUAAUCCAAGAGAUCCCUCUCACCAACACUGAUGGCGAUCGGAUUCAAUGAAUUGAUUCUUUGUGGUACAGUCAGGUUUUCUAGGGUUCGGGUAAGUUUAUGGUUUCGAAGGCAUUGAUUUCCCAUUCUGCUUACCCCUGCUCACAUCCCUCACGUUUCUAAAUAUUGACAGAAGAAGCAUGGGAAGGGAGGGAGAGAAUGUGUGGUUUCUUUCCGAGGAGGACGAGGACGAGGAAUAUGUCUCGAGUCUUCUCUUUCCUUCGUCUCUUACCUCUGUUUGGAUUAACCAUAUGAGGAACGUGGAAAGACUAUCAAAUGGCCGUCGCAACCAUCUCCCCUCUCUCCAAGAGUUAUGGAUUGAAGAUUGCCCCAAGUUGAGGGACUUGCAAGAGGUUGGCCUCCCUCCCUCCCUCCAACAAUUGCACAUAAGUGGAUGCAAGAUUCUACAAGAUCGAUGCUCAAAACACACCGGCGACUAUUGGCCCCUCAUCCAAGAGAUCCCUAUCAUCGACAUUGAUUGCAAUUGAAUUCAUUGAAUUGAUUCGUCCUGGUACGGUCAGGUUUUCUAGGGUUCGGGUAAAUUUAUGGUUUCUAAGGCAUCGAUUUCCCAUUCUACUUACCCCUGCUCAUAUCCCUCAUGUUUUUAAAUAUUGAUUGAAGAAGCAUGGGAGGGGAGGGAGAGAAGGUGAGGUUUCCUUCAGAUGAGGAGGAGGACAAGGAGGAUGCCUCGAGUCUUCUCUUUCCUUCCUAUCUUACCUCUCUUUGGAUUGACAAUAUGAGGAACAUGGAAAGACUAUCAGAUGGCCUUCGCAAUCAUCUCUCCUCUCUCCAAGAGUUAUGGAUUGAAGAUUGCCCGAAGUUGAGGGACUUGUCAGAGGUUGGCCUCCCUCCCUCCCUCCAACGAUUGCACAUAAGUGGAUGCGAGAUUCUACAAGAUUGAUGCUCAAAACACACCGGCGACUAUUGGCCCCUCAUCCAAGAGAUCCCUCUCAUCGACAUUGAUGGUGAUCCGAUCCAAUGAAUUGAUUCGUCUUGGUACGGUCAGGUUUUCUAGGGUUCGGGUAAGUUUAUGGUUUCAAAGGCAUCAAUUUCCCAUUUUGCUUACCCUUGCUCACAUCCCGCACGUUUCUAAAUAUUGACGGAAGAAGCAUGGGAGGGGAGGGAGAGAAGGUGCGGUUUCCUUCGAAGGAGGAGGAGGAUGAGGAUGAGGAGGAUGCCUCAAGUCUUCUCUUUCCUUCCUCUCUUACCUCUCUUUGGAUUGACCAUAUGAGGACGUGGGAAGGCUUUCGCAACCAUCUCUCCUCUCUCCUAGAGUUAUAGAUUCCCAAAUGCCCGAAGUUGAGGCACUUGCUAGAGGAUGGACUCCUUCCUUCCCUCCAACAUUUGUGGAUAAAAGGACGCGACAUUCUGAAAGAUUGAUACUCAAAACUCAUCGGCGACUAUUGACCCCUCAUCCAAGAGAUCCUAAUCAUCAAGAUUGACUGCGUUCUAAUCCAAUGAAUUGAUUCUUUCAUCUACAGUCAGGUUUUUCUAGGGUUGGGGUAAGGUUUUGGUUUUGAAGGCAUCAAUUUUCAUUCUACUUCCUCAAUUCGAUGCUUACUACAAAUCGAUACUUUCCCCAUGUAGAUGUCUCAAGUAGCUUUCUGGAAGUCCAAGAAAUCCCUGACAUGCGCGUUGAUUGGGUUCGGAUCCAAUGAAGUGAAAUCGAUCCACUUUCGCUUGAAUUUGCUAAAUGCCGCGAUUCAUCCUUCGAUGUGCAGUCAGUUUUCUUAGGAUUUGGGUAAGCUUUUUGGUCUUGAAUGCAUCAAUUUCACUUUUGUUCUUCAAUUCGAUGCUUUAUACGAAUUAAUUUUUUCCAUGGAGAAGUGUCGAAUAGAAUUUCCAGAAACCACCAAUUGAAGGUCAGAGACUGACAUUUGGUUAUUUCGCAUAGAAUUUCCAAAAACCGCCGUAUCGUGAAAGACAACUAAAAUUCAAGGCUGAAAGAAUGAUAUUUAGUUGCUUGAAUCCCAUCAAGAGCUUCCUUUAGUCUCCAAUUGCACUGCUUUUUUGUUUAGCCACUGCAAAGCUCUUUCGACCAGCAAGUAAUUCAGCCUCCUCUCUGCAGGCAACCAUCUCCCCUGUUUCAUUUAUGGCCUUAGUCCCAACUACAGCAAGUUAUGUAAGACCUCGUCUCAGGUUUACUCCACAUACCUUGCCUCACCCAUUCUUGACUUAGCAUUUUUACUGGCAGCAAACUCCAAAAGUGCUUUUCUGACCAAUGCAAGUGAUACUUUUUAGCAUCUGGUUAUUUUUGGGUAAAAGUUACUGCAUUUCGAGCUUUCCUAAUAUACCAACAAGUCUAGGCAAUCAUUCUUAGAAGUUAUCAGCCCGUAUCAAUCAUUCAAUUUUCGUGACCUCACAUUUGUAGAAUAUCAGCCCGUACCAACAAGUCACCGUCGCUGGUGAUGGGUGGUCUCCCAUACUUGUGAGUAACAUAAUCACAAGAUUUUUCAGCAAAAAAAGAAAAAUUCAUCAAGAGGGUAUCCUGGUUCAUUUUUCGUUGCUGUCAAUUGGGCAUGCAUAUAAUUUUGUUCUGAUCACUCUUAUAGUUGUUCAUUAUGCAUUAAAGAUAAUUUUAUCCAGGACUAAUUGAUGGUACUUUUUCAGAUUUUUAAAUGAAAAAUAUGAGGAAUGUGGAAAGAAUAUCAAUGGUGGAGGAUGUAAGAAGUGCGGAGUAUUCUGUUUCCUUUGUCUCUACGUCUCUUUGGAUGAGAAAUAUGAGAAAUGUGGAAAGAUUAUCAAGUGGUCUUCGCGGUCAUCUCUCCACUCUCGAACAGCUACAUUUUAUAGUUUAAUGGAACUUGCCAGAGCAUGGCUUUGUUCCCUCCUCCAAGUAUUCAGCAUCAUUCACUGUGAAAUUAUGAAAGAUUGAUGCUCAAAGCUCGGUGACAACUUUUGGCAGCUUAUCCGAGAAAUCCCACUCAUCAUAGUUGGUUGAGUUCAGAUCCAAUAAGAAGAUAUCUAUCCAAUUUCUAAAUUUUGCUCUUCAGGUAAUGAUUUGGACUUCUUUCUUUCUUGCACACGUGUCUUUUAGCUACUGUUGCUACUUCAGGAUCCACUUAUAUUCUGAAUCCUCAAUUCGAUGCUAAAGAGUUAAUAUUUUUCCAUGGACAAACUUCACCUAAAUUUCCACAAACCAGCUGCGGAAGGUCCAAUGUUGACAUUUGGGUUGCUCUAUUUUGUUUGACAAGGAAACACACAAUGAAAUGGUUAUAAUUCUAAUGUGUGGUACAGCAAGUCAACCAACUAUUGCUUCUUACAAGUGACUAUUCCUCAAAACAAAUUAUACUUAUAUGGACUUGUUCAUACUGCUGGAAUUAUGAUUCGUGUAUGUGCCUCUCUGUAUUGAUGAUAUAUCUUGAACUGUUUGAUGACUAAAAAUUGCUUAUCUUUCCACUUAUGGAGAUGCACUAUGCUUCACGUGAGAAUCAUGAAGAAUUGUUGCUCUUAUAUUGUUAUUUGUCCACAACUUCAGUAUUUGUUAUGUUUUCUCUUCCAAUUAUCUUCUUUUUAAUUUUUUAUAUCCUAGCUCACUAACCUGAAUUCUCUCGACUGUGAUUGUUUUGCUGAAUAUCCCACUGUCAUCUUUAUUUGGCAAAAUUUCUCAGGAGGAUCAAAUGCAAACAGUGCCGAGGUAGGCAACUGAUGUGCUUAUGUUCAUCUGUUGCAACUUGACAAAAGAAGAACAAAAGGCUAUCUAUUAUUGGUAGGAGUACUACUAUGCUCUAAACUGUUUUUUCUUUUGGCGAUGUGCUCUCGAAGAUUAAAUGUAUCACGAUGUCAAUUAUCGAGGUCUAUAUUCAUAGUCAAAGGAAGAAGCUUUCUUACUUCCAACAACAACAGUUUAAAUAGGAUUUAAAACAGGUGUGAUCGAGUUGGCAAAUGUGACAACUAAAUUUGAAUGAACCCUGCAGAUUAUAAGCCUUUGAAAUCUGACUUCCUUGUCAAAGUUCACGGUUCAUCUUUCUAUUCAUACUCCCACGUCAUAUCAGAGCACAUUUUCUUUUUCUUUGUUGUCAAGGAAAGGUGGAAAGGAGCAAUAAGGAAGACUAUGAUCUGUCCAAAUUCUGGAGAUAUCUAUAGGCAAGAUUCCGAAAGAUCAAUGCUCAAAAACCAGCUACUGAAGGUCAGAGACUGACAUUCGGGUAUGUUGUGUGUGUCCUCGAUGGGGUUUUUUCUUUCUAGGCCAGCAGCUCACGGUUGAAAUAAGCAUAUGUGAUAACAAGGGUGCGGGAUGCAGAUGUAGAUCCCAAUUUUGGCAAAGCCACCUAAUGGGCACAAGCAUUUGCUUUUCAUGAAAUACAACUAAAAUUCGGCGAUUCAAAAUGAUCUAUAGCUUUUUGAAUCCCAGUACGAGCAUCCUUUAGUCUCUAACUGCACUGCUUGGGAAAAUUGAUGAUAUCCUUGUAUACCACAGCUCCAUUUAGCUCCACUACUACCUUGGUUCAGCUUUUUGUUUGGCUACUGCAAAGCUUUUUGAGCAGCAAGUGUUUCAGCCUCCUUUGCAGAUCUAGCUUGCACCACAACACCCCUGCAAGCAAUCAUCUCCCCUGUUUCAUCUCUGGCCACAAUGCUAACAACAGCAUGUUUGGUUCCCUCAAUAUAAGACCCAUAACAGUUAAUCUUCACAAAGCCUAACUCAGGUUUACUCUCCACACUUUGCCUUCGUUCACCCAAUCAUGGCUUAGCUUUCUAGCAUUUUUACAAGCUAUACAGUCUAAAGAGCUUUUCUAAAAUGUAAAAGUGACAGUUUCAGGAUUAGGUGAUUUAUUGUUAAAGUUUACUACAUUUCAAGCAUUCCAGAUAUAACAACAAGUGUAGCCAAUAAUUCUUUAGCGUUAUCCGCUCGUACCAAGUCAUUCGACCUCCUGACCUCACAUUCUGUUUCCUUCAUCUCUAAUUUCUCUUUGGAUGAGAAAUAUGAGGAAUGUGGAAAGAUUAAGUCUUCACAGCCAUCUCUCCUCUCUCAAACAGCUAUCUUUUAUAGGUUAUCGGUACUUGCAUAAGAAGAUUUCUCUCCAAUGUCUAAUUUUUAUUCUUCAGGUAAUGGUUCCUACUUCUUUCUUCCGCACUCGUCGUUUAUCUACUGCUGCUACUCCAGGAUCCAUUUCUAUCACGAAUCCUCAACUCAAUGCUAAAAGGUUCAUGUUUUUCCAUGCACAAGCUUCGCGUAAUUUGCCACAAACCAGCUAGACGUUUGGGUUGCUUUGUUUAGUUUGAUAAGGAAGCACACAAUGAAAUGGUUAUAAUGCUAAUAGGGUACAGCUUGUCCACCAUACGAGUGACUAUUCCUAAAAAAAAUGAUACGUACAUGGACUUGCUCACGGUGCUAGAAUUGUGAUGCAUGGAUGUGCCUAUCUGGAUUGAUGAUAUAUCUUGAACUUUGUUUGAUGCCCAACUAUUGCUUAUCUUUCCACUUAUGGAAAUGCCCUAUGCUUUGCAUGAGAACCAAGAAGAAUUGUUGCUCUUAUAUUAAUAUUUUUCUGCAAUUUCAGCAUUUGUUAUGUUUUCUCUUCCAAAUUUCUUUUUUUUAUGCUGUAGCUCAGUGACCUGAAUUCCCUCAAUUGUGCUUGUUUUGCAGAAUUUCCCCCACUGUCAUCUUUAUUUGGCAAAAUCUCUCAGGAGGAUCAAAGGCAAACACUGUAGAGGUAGGCAAAUGAUGUUCUUAUGUUCAUCUUUUGCAACUUGACAAUUUAUUUUGGGAGGUUUAGUGAUAUGCUCUAAACUGUUUUUUUGGAGACCUGCUCCAAAAGAUUAAUCUGUAUCAUUAUGUCAAUUAUUGAGGUCUAUAUUCCAAGUCAGAUGAUGGAGGUUUCUUACUUCCAACAACAGCAACUAUUGUGACGAUGCAAAAAAUUAGGAUUUAAAACAGGAAUUUUCGAGUUGUGAAUAUGGUAAUUAAUUGAAUGAUCUGCUGAUUAUCAUCCAUUUAAAUCUGAUCUCCUUGUCGAAGUUCAUAGUUCAUCUUUCUUCUAUUCAAAUUCCCGCACCAGCUUAGAGCACAUUUUCUUCUUCUUUGUUGUCAAGGAAAGGCGGAGAGGAGCAAUCAGGGAGACUAUGCUUUGGCGCUCUGUUAAUUCAAUAUGAAAUCCUUGUGUUUGCCAUGAUGUAUUUUGAUUUAAGCUUGCGAGAAGAUGGCCAUCCAAGACCAUUCGCAACCCAAUUAUCUUGGGUAGGCAAGUCUUGUCACUAUAAACCCCACCAAAGCUGUCAGAGCUCCCGUCACGGACAAGGCAAGAUGCAGGCGCUGUCAUCGUUAGUGGGUUAUCCUCACGACCUCGUGUAGAGUAUCAGCUUGUACCAUUAGGCCACAAUCACUGGUGAUUAGCUGUCCCCCAUAGUUCUGUAUUAGCGGAAUCGCAAGGGCCAUUCGGAAAAUACAAACUAACCACAACAAUCAAUCGCAUUUUUUAGACUUGGUUUGGGAAGUACCAUGUUAUGUCUUGUUGAUUUUUGGUUUUAGUCGGUUGAGUAUGUAGUUGACUAUGUGUAUAAUUUGUUUGUCUGAUUACUCUUGUAAUUGUUUAUUUCCCAUGACAAAGUAAUUUUUACUGUGGGCUACUAGAUUUGCUCAUCCCAUAAUAUAUUUUUUCGUUCCCAAUUUUCAUCUCACAUGCCACAUAUCUAUCUCUUGAACUUGAAGAGUCCGAUGCAGUGACUGUGAUUCAGUUGGGAUAAUUAUAAUGACGAUUGCGAUCGGCGAAAAUUGAGGCAUUAAAGAAAAUGUCUAAGGCCAUAGUGAGAUGAACUCCAAUUAACGUGAAAAAAAAAAGUGUUACUCUUUCCAUUUUUUAAACUGUUUCGCUUUUUAUGUAAUUAAUAAGCAAUCUUUCUCAAUGAUUUGUAAGAAUUUUAGAUGUCUUCAAAGUACUUAUCUUCUAGUCAACCCAAGUUAGUUGCCUUUAGACGAAGUGUUAUGAAUCUUCUUGUUUUUAUCUUUACAAUAUUUAUUGAUAUUUUAAAGAACUUGGUCAAACUAACUUAUUUGACCAUUCUCAAAAUAAAAAAUUUGGCAGAGCUUGUUUGUUUUGAUCAUGGGUUCAUGAGUUGUUUGGUCAAGUUAAAGGAGCUUCAUAUAGGAUAGUGUGACAAGCUAACAUACUUGUCGCAAGAUGGAAAUGAAAUGCGAAAUCAUACUUGCCUUCAAAGAAUAGUAAUCAAAAUUUGUCCUCAAUUCACAUUUUUUGUGGCAAGAGAAAGAGAAAUAAAGAUGUCCUGCAAUCUUGAAAGGAUGGAAUUGAGGGAUUACACAAGUUUAGAAAAGCUUCCAAGCAAGAUGCAAAACCUCAAAGAUUUGCGGAUACAGAAUUGUCCACAAAUCAAGGGACAAACCAUUCCUCCAUAUAACUUGAUGUCUCAACUUGAAUCUCUUGAGAUAGGUAAAUGUGAUUUUCUAACAUCAUUUCCCUUUGACAAGGAUAGACUUGCUUCUCUCAAGACAUUUUAUAUUUACGAGUGCAAUGGAGUGGAGUCGCUGGAAGAGAUCACCCUAGAAUCACUAAGUUCUCUGACUAUUGAUUGAUGUAAGAAUCUCAAAAGCUUACCACAGUGCCUUCACAUGCUUUCCCAUCUCACUCGUUUGGGAAUAUAUGACUGUUCGGCAUUGGAGAUAGAGAACUUCCCUCUCCUUCCCUCACCCUGUCAUAUUUCUAUGUUUAUAAUUGUCCGAAGAUAAAGUUCCUACCAAAUCAAUGGCAUCAUCUUACAUCCCUCUGGGAGCUAUAUAUUAUUGAUUGCCAAAAUAUAAAAUGCUACCCUAGAGGAGGUUUCCCUUCCAAUUUGCUGCGGCUUACAAUUGUAGGGUGCAAGAAUCUAAAGCAACUCUGAGAAAAUGGGGCUUAUGCCUGCUCACGACCCUCGUGUCUCUCGAACGAGGCAGCUUCCAACCCAAUGACACAUUUUAAUAUGAGAAAAAUAAUUACAAUACCAAAAAACAAUAUAGAAUGUGAUUCUUUUUAAUCAAGAUAUAUAAAUCGGAUAAGAAAUAUGCAGAAAAGAGAACAGUGUAAUUUCUAUGUAUUUUAUGAUGAGGAGUACGUGAGCCUAUUCAUAGAAAUUUACAAAAUGACUAUCUACAGUAGCAAAAUUGAACAAAAGCUUGUUCACAUGAUAUCCAAAUGAUUAAAUUAAUUUUGUGGAUAUACAAUAACGUAUACAUGCAUUGUGGACCGAGAGGGUACUGUUAACUUGUUAUUUAAAGUAGAAUUAAUACUCCGAAAAACCCCAAACCGAUACAUUUGUGACAAAUUUACCCCAAAUUAAUUUUUUGACAAUCAAAAACCCUAAACUGGUAUACCUUGGACAAAUUUACCCCAAACUAGUAUUCUUUUGACAAAUUUACCCUCUAUUAGUUUCCGUUAAAUUUUACUGUCAAAUUAUUAAGUUAAAUGACAGGUGAUAGUUGACUAGUAUACCAAUUUAGGAUUUUACUCCCCGUUUGUCAUAGUUUACAAUUUUUGUGAUUUUUUUGUGGUAUUAAUCCAAUUUAACAUGGGGUAUAUUUGUUACAAAUGUAUGAGUUUAGGAUUUUUGGGGGUCGAAUAAAUUAGUUUGGGAUAAAUUUAUCAUAAAUAUACCAGUUUAUGAUUUUUUAUGGUCGGUCAGGGUAAAUUUGUCACAGGUGUACCAGUGUGGGGUUUUUCAUAGUCAAAAAAAUAGUUUUUGGUAAAUUUGUCAUACAUGUAUCAGUUUGGAGUUUUUUACGGUAUUAACCCUUUCAAGUAAGAAAUUAAAUUAAAUUUUUAUAUGUCUCCUCGAUAGCCUCCUAAGUUCAUAAUUCCAGGUCAACCGAUGUAUGAUUUAGAUUCUUUUUCUCACAAAAAAAAAAUGGACACUUGGGUUGCACCUAAAAGUGAGUCAACUCUCUCGUAUUCGUUGACUCCCCCUUCUAAGUUCUAAUUCGCGACCAAAAAUUUACAUCUCUGACGUGGGGAAAUUGAAGCACUUGGAGCUCCAACUAGAGCAACGCAACGGGAGUAAUGUACCAUGGACAUGGAGUUGAGCAUCAACCUCAUUUGGAGUAUUACGAAGGUUUUACCGCAUCUCAUAUGCUCAAGGAUAGAGAGAGGAGCACCUGUGACGCUAAUACUAAUACCCGAACCUCUAUCAGGUGUAACCACUUGCUAUGAACCUCGAUCAUCUGGUAAAAGUAUUGUGUGCAUUACAACUCAAUUCAUAUAAGAUAGUCAUAUCUAUUUGUUUUAAAUAGGGACUGGAGCUUUGCACCAAUGUUUUCAAACUUGGGCCGAUUAGAGAACCGGUUAGGUUGCCAAUUUGUGGUCCAAGUAGUUGGACCGCCAUGAACCGGUGAUGAUGUCAUGAGCAAAUGAUUAUAGAUAGAUAAUGUUUUCUUGAUUGCACAUACUUUCUUCAGUUUUGGGUGAGAAGAUCAAAGGAAAAGCAAUGGAAUUGGCCAAAAAGUAGGGGGUAGAGCAAUACUUUUUGAUCGAAUGAUUAUAGUCUCCGAAUGUGCUUGAUAUAUGGCCAUCGAAAUCUUUUUGCAACAGCUUGAAAUUAACAAACUAUUUAAUUUUUUUUUUCACAUGAAAUGAAAAAUCUUUAAAAAGAAAUUAUUAAAGUGAGACCAAGCAACGAAACGAGAGGAUGAGUUUAUUGAUUAAAUAACGUGUAAACAAAAGUAUGUUUGAGAUUUGAAUCUAGACCAAUCAUCGCAUGAUAAAUUUUUGGAUAACGACAACAACACACAAGUAUCUAAAUUAUUACCUUUUUUAAUCAAGUAUCCUCAUUUUUUUUUUUUUUUACUUUCAGUCAAUUACCUCAACAUUUCAAAUACAGGUCAAGGCUUCCAUUUAAACCGUGGUCCAAAAAUGUUGAUAUGAUGCGAACACUGUCAAAUAGUCGUUAACUGUCCAUAUGAGCGUCUAAUAUAGUACCUUGAGAUGGUGCGAGGUCAGCUAAGAUUUAUUAGAUGCUAGGACCAUCUAAGUCAGCAUACUUUUUCUCUCCUCAUCACUCAAUAUGUGUGAUAAGGAGUGACAUCAGCUACUAUGUUGUUUAACUUUUGCUAAGUAAACGAGUCACAUCAGUAAAAUCACAUAACAUGACAAGUUAUUUAGCCGAUUUCUCAAAUUGAGAUUCUUGAUUGAAAAAGAAAAAUUCAGGCCCUCGAUUGUAAAUUGAACAAAAGCUUAGGUGCUUGCAAUGUCAUUAUUCUUAACUCUUAAACCAAUCUAAGAAUAAAAUCUCGAGGAAAUGUUGUCUAUGAAGAUGACUAUAAGCAGCAGUGCUGAUGGCAACGGCAUGUCCGUGGCCAUAGGACAGUGGUGCUCUCUCUAGCCUAGUUCUUGCUUCUUCUUUUUUCUUUUUUUUCUUUUUUUAUAGUUCUUGCUGUUUUUCUUUGCUUUUUUUUUUUCCUUUUUUUGAACUUAAAUUUGAAAAUAUACAUGAAAUCCUAGACAUAAUUCUAAUAGACAAGUGCAAGAGAGAUUAUUGAAUGAAAAAUCACAGUACAAUUGAGCAUGAAAAGAAGUGGACGAAAAUUAUAGUAAUAUUCAAUUUUAAGCAUGGCAUGUAACGCGUGGGGAAAUUCUACUAGUAAUGGAAAAACAUAGGCAUUCACAUAGAGAUGGAAGAGGAGGGAUGUGAGAAGUGAAGCAGCAAUGCUAAUUUGCAUCAUGCGAAGUCUCUAUCUUUUCCAUUUGCUCUCUUUCGCCUCUGCUUCACUUUCUAGACAAAAAGUACAUGAAGUUCAGUAAAGUCUUGGUCUUCCUGAGUUUAUGGUUUAUUCACAUGAUAAGAGCACUUGUGGACAGAAAGCAUUCUUGAAAGUCUUGGUCUUCCUGAGUUGAUGGUUUAUUCACAUGAUAAGAGCACUUGUGGACAGAAAGCAUUCUUGAAAGUCUUGGUCUUUGCUUACGCAUUUUGGUAGGUGAAAGUCUUGGUCUUCUUGGACUUUAUCGUUCUCUCUCCAUUAGAUCAUUAUCACUCGGCUUCACCAUUAGUGCCCCUGCUUAAAUAGUAUUCUCCUCCUGCUCAUCUAUACCUAGCGCUCGUGCUUGUUGGAUUGCUGUCAUUGAGCUAAUCCCAUUCAUCGAUCUGCUCCAGGAAGUCUGCUCGAAACAGGUAAGAGACAUCUAUCUACUUGCGCUAUUUUUCCCUCGGACUGAUGCACCCGGAACUUCACUACCGAAAGCAUCUAGUGCGCAUUUAUUACAGAAGAGCAACCAUCUAUUCUUUCCAAAAUCUUUUUAUUAAUGGAGGCAAAAGCAUUAUUUUGAGCAAAAGAAGAGCAGCAGCAGCAGCAAUAUUUUGCUUCUUAAACCGAUUUCCUGUCUAUCUAUUAUCCUGAUUAAAGUUGAUGUCGAGUUCAUUAACAAAAGAAAUGUCAUUAUAAUUUUUGUUAAAAAGUAAGAUUAGGACAUUAAGAUUAUUUUUUUUUUAUAUCUCUAUUACUGUUCUUUUUACUGAACACGCACUGAUGUGAAAUGAUUUUACACGAUUAGCAGCAUCGAGAUCAAAGUAUUCAUUUAUAAUUGAAUUGGAACUUUUAUCCUGCUUGCAAAGUAAUUAUUUUACAGCAUCAAUGUUUUGGAAUUUUAGUCCAUGAAAUUGGGUAAGCAAGAAUCAAUAUCAUAAGAGGAUAGCUUCAUUCCUCUUCAGUAGAGAUUAAUGGGAAAGUCACGUUUGUCAUAAUUUCGCGGUGCGAAACAAAAUAAAUAACUUUUGUUGUGUCUUUUCACAUAUUUGCUCUCACAACAAAAAGUCCUUAUUAUAUAGAUUUAGUGAAUUUACCAUCAACUGGAAGGGGUAAGAUGAAUUAGUAAGGUAUUUGAGAGUUAAUAUUCUUUUGAGGUGUGCCAGUGUAAUCAAUCAAGUAAAGUCAAUACGGGUUGCAAUUUAAACUUCACGUGAAGUAGCUUCUGCCGAAGCCCUAAGGGUGUUAUGUGUGGACAACUAAUUUUUAUAUUGGAGAUAUCGAUGAUGGUUCAGUGCAAGAAUACUACUUCAUGUAUUUUCUUUCAAGACAGAGAAAAAUGUGCAAUUACUCAUGAUAAAUAAUUAAAUUUUGAAUAAUGAAAAAUUAAAAUUGUGCUCUGUUAGAAAAAGACCACGCAUGGACUCGUGUUUGUUAGAAAACUCUUUUAUUUCUACAUCAGAAAAGUUUUUGAGAUUGUUUUUUUUUUUUUUUUUGGUGAAAAAGUUUUUGAGAUUGUUCAUCUUUUAUAAUGUGAAAAAAGAUGAAUGAGAAGAACAUGUUUAUCAUUGUGCAUGCCCCCAACGAAAAAGUAAAAGAUAUGAUAGAGAAAACGGAAUGGGGAAAAGAAUAUAGUGUCACCACCUAGAAGAAGUGAAAUGCUCGGACCACAAAAAAGAAGUGGAAUGCAUUUCCUUAUUUAUUGAACAAACAAAGUUAGCCCUUUUGAUGUCUUUACACGGUCAUCCACAUUGAAGGAGAAAUCUAUAGUCAUCUUAUAUCUUAAACAAAUGUGAGUUUUUAGCACUGCAACCGCCAUAUAAAAAUCUACAUUGAUCUCAUAUUCACAAUAAAGCAGAGAACAAAGAUAUUAAAAUAAUAAAUAUACUAAUAAUAUACGGAAGUGAAAAAAACACUCAAGCAUUUAAACAAAGGAUAAAAGGUGAUUUUUCUCCAACAAAACACUCAAGCAUUGGAAUUUUUUACAAAAAUAUGCAUGCGCUCUAAGUUUAUGGAGAAAAAUGACCUUUUAUCCUUUGUUUAAAUGCUCACAAGAAAAGUCUUGAUUAGAAGAAAAAUGAGAACAAUUGACGAAACGAGCACUCUAGUGGACAUAAACUAUUGUACUUCGAUUUGUCUAACCUUUGGUAUGCAUCCCUUAAAAGACUUGAUCUUUUUUUAAUCUUUUUGGUAUGUGAACAUCCUGGUAUUCCCAGACUUCAUUGUUUUCUCUCUCCAGUAGCUCAUUGUUACUUUGCUUCACCAUAACACCUUUUAUGUUCUCGAUAGUGACCAAUUCACCCAUGGCCAUUGGAGAGAUCGUUUUGGGUUCCUUCUUGGCUUCCUUCUUUCAAGUUCUAUUCGACAAGUUGUCUUCUCUCAUAGUGGCCUAUGCGCAACGAGAAGGAUUCGAUGCUGCCUUGCUCGAGGACUGGAAGGGAAUGUUUUUAACAAUCAAUGCAGUGUUAGUUGAUGCAGAGGACAAGCAACUUAGCAAUAAUCCUCUAGUGAAGCUAUGGCUAGACGAUGUUAGGGACUUGGCCUAUGACAUGGAAGACUUGCUUGAUGAGUUGGCAAUCAAAAUCGCUCAAGUGGAGUUGAAGGCAAAAUCCAGCACAAGCAAAGGUCUAGAGAAUGGAAGUCCUCUUUCUUUGGCCAAGAUAAAUCCUCUGGAUUGAAUCCAAACCUGCACUCGCUUGUGUCGGAAACCAAGGUACAAGAGAUCAAUGGCAGGUUGAAAGCAAUUGUCACUAGGAAGGCUCAUCUAAGCUUGAGAGAGAAUGUCGUGGACAAAUCCAACUACACCAACAAAAGGGAUCCCACCACUUCUUUGUCGGAGCCUCAGUUUUUGGGCAGGGAGAAGGAAGAAGCACAAAUAAUCGAACUAUUGAUAAGUGAGGUAGAAAAUUCCAAUGCCACGCUAAGCAUAGUCCCCAUAGUUGGGAUGGGCGGUGUUGGAAAGAUAGCCUUGGCUCAACGGGUAUAUAAUGAUGCCAAAGUGAAUUGUUGCUUCAAGAAGAGAGCAUGGGUUUGUGUCUCAAAUGUUUUUGAUGUCCUUGACAUAACAAAGACUAUAUUGCAGUCGAUCACUGGGUUGUCCAACGAGGGUGAAGAUCUUAACAAGCUUCAAGUUAAGUUGAAGGAUAGUCUAUCUGGGAAGAAGUGUCUUGUGGUUUUAGAUGAUAUCUGGAAUGAAAAAUACGAAAAAUGGACUGCCUUCUUAAAGCCAUUUGAAGCGGGGGCUAAGGGAAGCAAGAUCAUCAUUACAACUCGCAACCGUAAUGUUGCCUCUAUAACAAGAGCUUCACCAUAUCCUUUGAGAGAAUUGUCCUUUGAUAAUUGUAUAAGCUUAUUAGCCUUUCAUGCUCUUGGAGUAACAAAUUUUGAGACCCACCCGGCUUUUGAAAUGAUAGGCAAGAAAAUAGCUAAAAGAUGUAAAGGUUUACCUUUGGCAGCGAAGAUGUUGGGCGGUGUCCUACGUACUAAAAGUAAUCCCGAUGAAUGGGAAGAUGCCUUAAAUAACAGAAUAUGGGAUCUUCCAAUGGUAGAGAAUGAUGAGGUUCUCCCUGUUUUGAAAUUGAGCUAUGCCCAUCUUCCUUCCUAUUUGAAGAGAUGUUUUGCUUAUUGUGCAAUAUUUCCCAAGGAUUAUGAAAUUGAAAGGGAUGAGCUGGUACUCUUAUGGAUAGCAGAGGGCUUUUUAGAUGGACAAAAAGCAAAGGAAAACAACUUGAGAUUAGGAAGGAAUUACUUCGAUGAGUUAAUAUCCAGAUCAUUUCUUCAACAAUCAAGUGUGGACGCAUCUAAGUUUUCAAUGCAUGAUCUUUUGAAUGAUCUAGCAAAAUCAAUUGCAGGUGGGUCGUGCUUUAGCUCUGGGGAAUCUCAGCUGGCAAUUAAUGAAGAUGAAGCAACUCUUGAGAAAGCUCGUUAUGCAUCAUUCAUCUCGUCGGAAUUUGUUACAUCAAAAUGCUUAAGAGCAUAUCACCGAAUGAAGGCACUAAGAAGUUUAAUGUUACUAGGGGGUGAUUUCUAUAUUUCCAACAAGGUGUUACAUGACUUGCUAAUAGAACUAAAGUACUUGAGGGUGCUCUCAGUGUGUCAUUGUGACAUCGUAGAAGUACCGAAUUGUGUUGGUAAUUUAGAACAUCUUCGAUAUCUCAAUUUCUCGUACACUGAUAUUGAAAGGCUACCUGAAUCAAUUGUCAGCUUGUGUAAAUUACAAGCUUUGAUCUUAAGAGGGUGUCGAAACCUUUCAAAGUUGGCUCAAGGUAUCACAAAGUUGGUUAGCUUACAGUUUCUUGAUGUUAGAGGCACAUGGAAUCUAGAAGAGAUGCCAAUGGGUAUUGGUAAUUUGAAGAAUCUUACUAUCUUGUCCAAGUUUGUAGUAGGACCAGAGAAAGGGUUGCGGUUAAAGGAGCUAAAGAACUUGCCACAUCUUCAAGGAGAAUUAUUCAUAUCAGAAUUGCAAAAGGUGGAGGAAGUUAGAGAUGUAGUUGAUGCCAAUUUGCUUCGAAAGCAAGGCCUUACCAACUUAUCCUUGCAUUGGGAUGAACAUUUGGGAAAUCUCCAUAAUCAUGAGCAUGAAGCACAAGUGGUUGAGUCUUUGCAACCUCACACUAAUCUUGAAAAUCUCACUAUUUUGAACUAUGGUGGUGCAAUAUUCCCGUCAUGGUUAGAUAGUCCAUCCUUUUCUAAGAUGGUGUCCUUGUGCUUGUGGGACUGUCCUAAUGUUAUAUCACUGCCUUCACUUGGACAACUACCAUCACUUAAGGAAUUAUCUCUUGAAGGUUUACAUGCAAUAAGAAUGAUAGGCUCUGAGUUUUACGGAGGUAAAAGGCCUUUCUCAUCCUUAACAACUUUGAAGUUGGCAGAGAUGUUGGCAUGGAAGGAUUGGUCUCCUUAUGCCGGGGACCCAAAAGAAGAAUUUCCGUUCUCUUGUCUCCAACAUCUUGUUGUCUGGAGCUGUCCUUCGUUGGUCGGGACAUUGCCUUGUCAACUUGAUCGUCUUAUAAAGCUUGAAAUUCAUUCAUGCCCGCAUUUGAAUAACUCAACCAAUGUGGCCCGUCUUCCAUCUCUCCGUGAGUUAUACCUUAAAAAUUGUAACAAUGAGAUCUUAAAGAGCUUAGUCAACCUAACUUCUUUGACCAUUCUUAGAAUUGAAAACCUUGCCCAGCUUGUUUGCUUUGAUCAUGAGUUUAUGAGUUACUUGGUCAAGCUAAAGGAGCUUCGUAUAGGAGGGUGUGACAAGCUAAAAUACUUGUGGCAAGAUGGAAAUGAAAUGCUAAAUCUUACUUGCCUCCAUGAAUUAGCCAUUGAAAGAUGUCCUCAAUUCACAUCCUUUGUGGCAGUAGAAGGAGAAAUGGAGCUGCCCUGCAACCUUGAAAGGAUGGAAUUGAGUAAUUGCCCGAGUUUAGAAAAACUUCCAAGCAAGAUGCACACACUCAGACAUUUGGACAUUCAGGAUUGUCCAAAACUCACUGGACAAACCAUUCAUUCAUAUGACCCCAACAGCAAUAACACAAUAUCUCAACUUGAAUAUCUGCGAAUUAUUAGAUGUGAUGCUCUAACAUCCUUUCUAUUUGCCAAGGGUAGACUUGUUGCUCUAAAGAAACUUACAAUUUGGGAGUGCAAGGGGUUGAAGUCAUUGGAAGAGAUCACCAUACAAUCGCUCGAAGAAAUGACAAUUGGCGGCUGUAAGAAUCUGGGAUGUCUACCAAAGUGCCUUUACAUGCUCUCUCAUCUCACUCAUUUGCAAAUAAUAGACUGUCCAACACUAGAGAUAGAGGACUUCCCUCCCCUUCCCAUAACCCUAUCAAGUCUUACACUUUCUAAUUGUCCAAAAAUAAAGUCCAUUGCCAUCUGUAACAAUCUCACUAAAUUAGAAAUGAAAGACUGUCCAGCACUAGAGAUAGAUGACUUCCCUCCUCUACCUAUCACCCUGUCAUAUUUCUUUCUAAAAAAUUGUCCGAAGAUAAAGUCUCUACCAAAUCGGUGGCAUCAUCUUACAUCCCUCCAAUGUUUAGAAAUUAGUAAAUGCCAAAAUAUCAAAUGCUUCCCCAAAGGAGGUUUGCCUCCCAAUUUGCGAGGCCUUUUGAUAAAAGGGUGUGAGAAUAUGAAGCAGCCAGUGAGAGAAUGGAGCUUACCCCUGCUUACAUCCCUCGAGUUUCUAACUAUUGACUUGAGCAUGGGAGGGGAGGGAGAGAAGGAGUGGUUUCCUUCGGAGGAAGACGAGGAGGAUGUUGGAAUCUUCUCUUUCCUUCCUCUCUAAUAGCUCUCCAGAUGAAAAGAAUGAGGAACGUGGAAAGAUUAGCGAGCGGUUUUCGCAACCAGCUCUCUUCUCUCAAACAUUUAGGGUUUGUAGAUUGCCCGAAGUUGAGGAAACUGCCAGAGGAUGGCCUUCCUCCUUCCCUCCAAUCAUUGGAUAUAACAAGAUGCGAGAUUCUGGAAGAUCGAUGCUCAAAACUCAUUGGUGACUAUUGGCCCCUCAUCCAAGAAAUCCCUCACAUUCUCAUUAAUUACAGUCGGAUCCAAUGAAGUGAAAUCGAUCCACUUUCGCUUUCGUUUGCUGGCUACGGCGAUUCAUUCUUCGAUGUACAGUCAGAUUUCUAGGCUUCAGGUAUGUUUUUGGUUUUGAAUGCGUCAAUUUCGUUUCUGUUCUUCAAUUCGAUCCUUAAUUCGAAUUAAUUUUUUCCCAUGUAGAUGUUUCACAUGGUAUUUGCAUAAACCACUGAGUAAAGGUCGAAAGACUGACAUUUGGAUGUUUCACAUAGAUUUUUUAACAACACAUCCUCUUCCUAGUAUGCAAAGCUACCCAAUUCGCACAAACAUUUGCUUCUCAUGAAAUACAACUAAAUUUCAGAGCUGGAAAAUGAUAUUUAGCUGCUUGAAUCGCAGCAAGAGCUUCCUUUAGUCUCCAAUUGCACUUGCGAACGUUGAUGAUAUCCUUGUGUGCCACAGCUGCAUCCAUCUCCACUACUGCCUUGGGCCAGCUUUUCUCUUUAUCCACUACAAUGCUCGUUCCCCUGUUUCAUUUCUGGCCUCAAUCCUACAAUGACAUGUUAUAUAAGACCCGUCUCAGUUAAUCUUCACAAACCUAGCUCAGGUUUACUCUACACACCCUGCCUUUCGUCCACCCAAUCAUGACUGAGCUUACAUUUUUACCGGCAAUACACUCCAAAAGAGCUUUUCUGACCUCUGUGACAGUUCGAGUAUCUGCUAAUUUGUGGGUAAAAGUUACUGCAUUUCGAGCUUUCUAGAUAUACCUACAGGUGUAGACAAUCAUUCUUUGGAGUCAUCAGCACAUACCAAUCAUUCAAUCUCGUGACCUCACUUUUGUAGAGUAUCAGCCCGUACCGGUACGUCACCAUGACUGGCGAUUGUUGGUAUCCCAUACCUGUGAGUUAACAUAAUCACAAGAAUUUUUCAGCAAAAAAAAAAAACAACAAUAGUGCAUCGUGGUUCAUUUUUCGUUGCCAUCAAUUAGCAUGCAUUUAAUUUUGUUCUAAUCACUCUUAUAGUUGUUCAUUAUGCAUGAAAGAUAAUUUUUAUUCGGGACUAAUUGAUAGUCCUGUUUCAGAUUUAUGGAGGAGAGAUAUGAGGAAUGUGGUAAGACUAUCAACAGUGGAGGAUGUAGAAAGCGUGGAGUACUCUGUUUCCUUCAGUCUCUUCCUCUCUUUGGAUGAGAAAUAGGAGGAACGUGCAAAGAUUAUCAAGUGGUCUUCGCAGCCAUCUCUCAACUCUCAAACAGCUACAUUUAUAAGUGACUGGAAAUUGCCAAGAGGAUGGCUCCAUUCCCUCCUCCAAGUAUUCGGUAUAAUUCACUGAGAAAUUCUGAAAGAUUGAUGCUUGAAACUCAGUGGCGACUAUUGGCAACUCAUCCGAGAAAUCCCACUCAUCAUAGUUGAUUGAUUUUGGAUAUGAUAAGAAAAUCUCUCUCCAAUGUCUAUUUUUGUUCUUCAGGUAAUGAUUCGGACUCUUUCUUUCUUGCACAUUUGUCGUUUAGCUAUGGCUGCUGCUUCAGGAUCCAUUUCUAGCUGAUGCUAAAAGCUUCAUGUUUUUCCAUGGACAAGCUUCACCUAAAUUUCCACAAAUCAGCCACUGAAGAUCCAACGUUGACAUUUGGUUUGCUCUGUUUUGUUUGACAAGGAAUCACGCGAUGAAAUGGUUAUAAUGCUGAUGUGGUAUAGCAAGUCAACCAUUGUUUCACGCUAGUGACUAAUCCUCAAAGCAAAUAAUACUUACAUGGACUCGCUCACGCUGCUGGAAUUAUGAUGUGUGGGUGUGUCUGUCUUUAUUAAUCAUAUAACUUGAACUUCGUUUGAUGCCCAAAAAUUGCUUAUCUUCCCACUUACGGAAAUGCACUGUGCUUUGCGUGAGAAUCAUGAAGAAUUGUUGCUCCUAUAUUUUUACUUUUCCACAACUUUAGCGUUUGUUAUAUUUUUUCUUCAAAAUAUCUUCUUUUUUUUUAAUGCCCUAUCUCAGUGACCUGAAUGCUUGUUUUGCAGAAUAUCCUAUGGUCAUCUUUAAUUGGAAAAAUCUCUCAGGAGGAUCAAAUGCUAAUGUUGUUGAGGCAGGCAACUAUUGUGCUUAUGUUCAUCUUUUGAAACUUGACAAAGAAAAACAGAAGGCAAUUUAUUUUGGUAGGUGCACUGAUAUGCUCUGAACUAUUUUUUUUCUUCUUUUUGUGAGGUGCUCUAAAAUAUUAAUCUGUAUCAUACGUCAAUAACCAAAGUCUAUAUCCAAAGUCAAACAAGGAAGCUUUCUUACUGCCAACACUAACAGCUUCUGCAAAGAUGCGAAGGAAUAGGAUUUAAAACAGGUGUUCGAGUUGGCAAAAGUAACAACUAAAUUUGAAUGAACCGUGCAGAUUAUAAGCCAUUUAAAUCUCACUUCCUUGUCAAAGUUCAUGGUUCAUCUUUCUAUUCAAAUUCCCACACCAUCUCAGGGCACAUUUUCUUUUUCUUUGUCAUCAAGGAAAGGCAGAAAGAGCAAUAAGACUAUGAUCUGUCCAAAUUCUGGAGAUAUUUCUAUGCGAGAUUAUGAAAGAGCAAUGCUCAAAACUCAUUGGCAACUAUUGGCCCCUCAUCCAAAAGAUCCCUCUCAUCUACAUUGGUGGCAUUUGGAUAUAAUUAAUUGAAAUUGAUCACACCCCAGCCAUGACAAAAGAUUUAUUUCUGUUGACUACUUUUCCUCUUUAGGUAAUUCUUGUAACUUCUUUCAUUAUUUCGCUUCCAUUUGCUAGCUGCCACAAUUCGUUGUUCCACCUAAAGUCAGCUUUCUGGGGUUGGGGUCAGUUUUUGGGUUUGAAGACAUCAAUAUUGUUAUGUUCUUCAUUUUGAUGCUUAAUACAGAUUGAUUUUUUCGCGUGGAGAUGUUUCUUAUAGAAUUUCCAGAAACCGACCACUGAAGGUCAAGAGACUGACAUUUGGGUGUGUCAUGUGGGUCCUCCAUGGGGAUUUUUCUUUUUACUCCAGCAACUCACGGUUGAAAUAAGCAAAUGUGAUAAGAAGGAUGGAGGAUGCAGAUGCAGAUCCCAAAUUUGGCAAAGCUACCUAAUGGGCACAAGCAUUUGCUUUCCGUGAAAUACAACUAAAAUUCAGAGCUGCAAAAUGAUCUCUAGCCUCUUGAAUCCUAGUAGGAGCGUCCUUUAGUCUUUAAUUGCACUGUUUGGGAAAAUUGAUGAUAUCCUUGUGUACCACAGCUGCAUUCAGCUCCAUUACUACAUUGGUUUAGCUUUUUCUUUAGUUACUGCAAUGCUCUUCCAAACAGCAAGUAAUUCAGCCUCCUUUGCAGAUCUAGCUUGCACCACCACACCCCUACAGGCAAUCAGCUCCCCUGUUUCAUUUCUAGCCAUAAUCCUAACAAUAGCAUGUUUGGUUCCUUCAAUGUAAGAGCCAUCACAGUUAAUCUUCACAAAACCUAGCUCAGGUUUACUCUACACACUUUGCCUUUAGUCCACCCAAUCAUGAUCCAGCUCUCUUUACAUUUUUACAGGAAACACGGUCUAAAAGAGCUUUUUUAACCUGUAUAAUUUCAAGAUCAAGUGAUUUAUGGUCGAAGAUUACUGCAUUUCUAGCAUUCCUAAUAUACCAACAGGUGCAGGCGAUCAUUCUUAAGCGUCAUCAGCCUGUACCAAGUCAUUCGAAUCUCCCAACCUCAUUUUUGUAGAAUAUCAACCCAUACCAGUGAUUAGUCAUCUCCCAUACUCGUUAGUUGACAUCACCAUAAGAGUUUUUUAGUGAGAGGAAAAACCAUCAAAACGGUCACUAAUUCCUGACAAUAAUAAAGCAGUCUCCCGGUUCUUGUCUUGUUUGCUCAUUUUUGGUUGCUGUUGGGUGGGUGUGCAUAUACUUUUAUUUGUCUGAUCACUCUAAUAGUUGUUCAUUAUGCAUGAAAAGCAAUUGUUAUUCAGGAUUAAUUGAUCAUCCCAUUCCAGAAUUUUGGAUGAGAAAUAUGGGGAAUUUGGAAAGACUAUCAACGGUGGAGGAUGUAUGAUGCAUGGAGUCUUCUGUUUCCUUCCUCUCUAUCCUCUCUUUGCAUGAGAAAUAUGGGGAGUGGAAAGACUAUCAACUGGUGCUCACGGCCAUCUCCCCUCCCUCAAACAGUUAUAUUUUCCAUGUUGCUCAAAGCUCGGGUACUUGUCAGAGGAUGGCUUCCCUCCCUCCCUCAAAAGUAUUCCACAUAAUUCAAUGUGAGAUUCCGAAGGAUGGAUCCUCUCUUGCCGGUGACUAUUGGCACCUCAUCCAAAAAAUCCCACUCAUUGUGAUUGAUCUAGUUCGGAUCCAACAAGAAGAUUUCUCUCCACUGUCUUAAGUUUUGUUCAUCGGGUAAUGAUUCGGACUUCUUUCUUUUUUCACACUUGUCAUUUAGCUACUGCUGCUCCAUGAUCCAUUUCCAUUCCGUUUCCUCAACUCAAUGCUAAAAUGUUCAUGUUUUUCCAUGGACAUGCUUCACAUAAAUGUCCACAAACCAGCUGCUAAAGGUCCAAUGUUGACAUUUGGGUUGCUCUGUUUUGUUUACCAGGGAAGUACGCAAUGAAAUGGUUAUAAUACUGACGUGGUACAGCCAGUGACUAUUCCUCGAACAAAUAAUACCUACAAGAACUUGCUCAUAGUGCUGGAAUUAUGAUCUAUCAAAUGUGUCUGUCUAUAUCGAUUAUAUAUCUAGAAUUUUGUGUGAUGGCCAAAAAUUGCUUAUCUUCGCACUUGGAUGACACAUAAAGAAUUUGUAAAUGGAAAUGCACUAUGCUUUACGUGAGAAUCAUGAAAAAUUGUUGCUCUCACAUUGAUAUCGUUCUGCAAUUUCAACAUGAUGUUUAUUAUCGAGGUCUAUAUGCAAAGUCAAAUUAAGAAGCUUUCUUACUUGAAUAACAGCUAUCGGAAGACGCAAAAAUGGGAUCUAGAAUGGGUUUUCAAGUUGGCAAAUAUGACAGCUAAAUUUCAAUGAACACUGCAGAUUAUAAUCUAUUUGUUAAAUUUCACUAUUCAUCUUUCUUCUAUCUAAAUUCUCACACCAUCUCAGAGAACAUUUCAUUUUCUUUGUUGUAAAGGAAAGGCGGAGAGGAGCAAUAAGGGAGACUAUGCUUUGUUUCUCUGUUGAAGAAUCCCAAAAGUCUCACGUUUGCCAUGAAGUAUUUUGAUUGAAAAUUGCAAGAAGGAGCUCCCGUCACAGUUAAUCUUCACAAAACCUUGCUCGGGUUACUCUACAGACCCUGCCUUUGAUCCACCCAAUCGUGACUUAGCUCUCUUACAUUUUUAACAGGCAACACAGUCUAAAAGAGCUUUCCUAAUCUGUGUAGUGAUAGUUCCAGGAUCAAGUGAUUUAUGUUUAAUGGUUAUUGCAUUUCGAGUGUUCCAGAUUAACAUUCUUAAGCGUUAUUGGCCCAUAACAAGUCAUUCGAUCUCCUGACGUCACAUUUGUAGAAUAUCAGGCCGUACCAAUAAGUGUCUAUCGCCAGUGAUUAGCGAUCUCCAAUACUUGUCAGUUAACAUAAUCAUAGGAGUUUUCCAGCCAUCAAAAAAUAAAAAUAAUCGACAGGGUAUCCCAGUUCAUUUUUUGUUGCAGUCAAUUAGGUGUGCAUGUAAUUUUAUUAGAUCACUCUUGUAAUUCUUCAUUAUGCAUGAAAGAUCAUUGUUAUUCAGGACUAAUUUCUCGUCCUAUUUCAGACUUUUGGAUGAGAAAUAUGAGGACUGUGGAAAGACUAUCAACAAUGGAGGAUGUAAGAAGCGUGGAGUAUUCUGUUUCCUUUGUCUCUGAUUUCUCUUUGGAUGACAAAUAUAAGGAACGUGGAAAGAUUAUCAAGUGGUCUUCAUAACCAUCUCUCCUCUCUCAAAUAGCUAUCUUUUAUAGGUUACUGGUGCUUGCCAGGGGAUGGCUUUGCUCCCUCCUUCAAGUAUUCGGCAUAAUGCAAUGUGAAAUUCUGAAAGAUUAGUGCUCAAAAUUCAAUGGGGACUAUUGGCACCUCAUCCAAGAAAUCCCAUUCAUUAUAGUUGAUCGAGUUCGAAUUCGACAAGAAGAUUUCUCUCCAAUGUCUAAUUUUAAUUCUUUAGGUAAUAGUUUGGACUUCUUUCUUUCUUCCACACUUGUCCUACCGCUGCUGCUUCAAGAUCCAAUUCUAUCAUGCAACUUAAUGCUAGAAAGGUCAUGUUUUUCCAUGGACAAGCUUCACCUAAUUUGCCACAAACCAGCUAGACAUUUGGGUUGCUCUCUUUUGUUUGACAGGAAGCACACAAUGAAAUGGUUAUAAUAUGCUAAGGCAGUGCAGCAAGUCCACCAUUGUUUCAUACGAGUGGCUAUUCUUCAAAAUAAAUAAUACUUACAUGGACUUGCUCGCAGCGUUGGAAAUGUGAUGCAUGGAUGUGCCUCUAUGGACUGAUGAUAUAUCUUGGACUUUGUUUGAUGCCCAACUAUUGCUUAUCUUUCCACUUAUGGAGAAUCAUGAAGAAUUGUUGCUCAUAUCUUGAUAUUUUUCUAAAAUUUCAGCGUUUGUUAUGUUUUGUCUUACAAAUAUCUUUUUUUAUGCCCUAGCUCAGUGGCCUGAAUUCUCUCGGCUGUGCUUGUUUUGCAGAAUAUCCCAAUGUCAUCUUUAUUUGGCAAAAUCCUUUAGGAGGAUCGAACGCAAACACUGUUGAGGUGGGCAAAUGUUGUGCUUAAGUUCAGAUUCUGCAACUUGACAAAAGAAAAACGAAAGGCUAUUUAUUUUGGUAGGUACUGAUAUGCUCUAAACUGUUUUUUUUUUUUUUUUAGACAUGCUCUUAAAGAUUAAUCUGUAUCAUGAUGUAAAUUAUCGAGGUUUAUUUUCAAAGUCACACGAAGAAGCCUUCUUACUUCCAACAGCAGUGGUUAUCGUAAGGUUUCUUACUUACCACAGCAACAGCUGUCGUAAAGAUGCAAAGAAUAGGAUUUAAAACGGGCGUUUUCGAGUUGGCAAUUAUGACAACUAAAUUUGAGUGAACCCUGUCGCGACCAAAUUUUUCGGGUGUGAACCACCUAAGGUUUGGCUAAUGGAUUGUUAAGCCUAAACUUAACUCGGGCUCUCCCAAGCCCAUACCAAUUCGUGACUUUCGGUUCAAGUUCUUAACAUGCAAAUUUUUUUAAUUAGGAGUCGCCACUAAUCUAUUUUUGGUGGGUCGAUUAGAAACCCAAUCCUAUGAACCAGAGACUUAUGAGUUCGGGGACUUGGUUAAGCUAGAAUUUUCUAACGCCCAUUCGGUACCUUUCUUUUUAUUUUGAAAAAUGUUUGGCAAGCAGUUUGGAUUGAUUUUAAAUUUAUUUCCCUAACAUGUGAGGUGGUCAUACGGGUGCACAAUCCAUCAAUUUAACACCCAAAUAAACAAUAAAUAAAUUGCAAAAACUUACCCCAAAGUAACGAAAGCAUCUACAAUAUUAAAUUAAAAUCCACAUCAACAACCCUAGAUAUGGUUUCUAAUUAACACGCAAUUUCUUUUUUCUUUUUUUUUCACUUGAUUAAUGAAAAUCAUGCAACAUGCAAUGCAAUAUUAACUAAAUGACCUAAUUCUAAUGACAUGUGAUGUGAUGCAAUGCGAUGACGUACAAAAUUGUUUUAACUAAAAUGGCAUGCGAUAUACAAUUUAAUAUGCGAGCUAUAUGUCACGCGACAUUUAUUAAAUGGCCUAAUCUAAUGAUGGGCAAUCUCUAAUUAAAUGAAUCUAACAACAAUCACUAAAUGACGUGCAUUUUAUGGACCUAAUUCUAUAUGACGUGCGCAUGAUUUUUUAUUAUAAACAAAAUGCAAUCUAUUCUAGAAAUUGCAACUAAUUUAUCCUAAGACAAAUUUUUUUUUUAUGAAAUGCAAGACAUAACUAUCUAGAUUAAAAUUCUAUCUAGCUUAAAUUAAGGAUCAGGUCAGACUAAAUCCUAAUUUAAACCAAGAUAUUAUCUUAACCUAGCAAGCUCUAACCUAAGAUGCAAUCUAUCUAAAUAAAAUUAAACAUGCAAUCAACCUAAUAUGCAAUGAUGUGCCACAGAUACCCUAAUUCUACAUGAUACAUGCAUGAUGAUUUUUUUGUAUUUUUCUUUGUAAAAUUAGAAAUUUAAAAUUGCCAAAUAAUUAAACGUGCCAUUUAAAUUAAAGAAAACUAACAUCCUAAAUGAAAGCAUUUUUUUUUGAUAUUUUUGUUCAAAAAUUCGAAAUAAGAUUGCAAUUCUAAACAUGCAAGGUAACCCUAAGACUAGGAAUAUUCUAAAACGAACCUAAUCCUAAUUCAAAUUUUUUUGGAAUUUUUCUUUUAAGAAAAUAAAAUUGACUCAAACACCAUGACGGCAAAUCAAGCAAGAUAAGGUUAAUAUCCAAAAAUUGACGAACCAUAUCUCGCGCAUGAGAUCAGGUUGGCCAAAUUUAAACAAAAUCGCGAAUCGAAUCUCAGGCGUGAGAUCGGAUUGGCGAUUUUUCCGUACAAUUGCGAGUCAGAUUUAGGGCGCGAAAAUCGGACUGUCAAUCAUAUGCACGUUAUGAAAUUGGGAAAAUUUCCCAGCUUAUAAGGCUACUCGAGACUACAGAUACCUCAGCAUAUCAUCAACAAACAUAUCAAUAAGGAAACAGAAUUUUCGGAAAACAAAAUAGACAAAUUUUUUACCUAUUCCGAAUAUCGACUUCCGAAUUUACGACUUGCGAUUAGUGAGUGAUGGAUGGGCAGUUUAUGGCCAACGGGUCAGAGAAUUCGGCGCAGCAAAGGGGCUGACCAAUGACCUACAAAACAAAACAAAACAAAAAAACUCAUUCGGCCAGCUCGAUCUUAGGACGAGCUCAAUAGUGGUGCAGGAUGUUAUAGAUAAAGCCAAAUAUUUGUUUUUAGGGGCUUUUUUGUCUUUUCUAUUAGAUUUCCUUUUAGGUUAAAAGUGGUACCUAUAUAUUAGCGAUGGCAAAACCCUAGCCGUCAAGACGCUGAAAAAGGAAAUAGAGAGGCAAGAAAAAGAGAGAAGAAAAAAGUGAGUUUUUUCUUGAUGAGAGUUCUCAAUCUCUUUGUGCCCUGAUCUUGAGAGAAGAUCGUCGUUGUAUUCCAACUUUUUCGAAGUCUAGUGGAUUCGCAGAGUGCCUCUGCGCGGAGACGUAGCCCAAGUUUGGGUGAACUUCGAUAACAAAUUUUCUGGCGUGUUCAUCUAAUUCUGCUCUUUUAUUACUAUAUUCUGUCUGGUGAAUUGUUUGUGAGCAUUAUUUUUCUGGAAUCGACGUGCGAUUUCGUAACACAGGAAUCAGCAAGUGCUCGACGGGGCUUGUUGCUGAUGGUGAGAGGUAAGGUGUGGCAGCUGCUCAAUCACGGGCUCCACGGCAAGCUUUCUCAAUAAAGCAUGGGUUCACGAUGGUGCAAGGCUCUACAUUGGCCAUCGAAGUCUGUAAGUUUUCUCAGUGAAGGAGUAGAAUCCGAGAGAGAGUCUUCGUGAUUGACCUCCAGAGAAAUUGCCUCCCUCUCUAUUAGGCCCCACACCUCCCACGACCUCUCUUCCCUGUAUGAUGGUGUGGUGAUGAAGUCUUCCAAGUAAGCGUGCUCUCCUUCAUGUCUUUUCGUUAAUGUGCAGAACUUGUCCUUCACUGUUGGCUCCGUGGUGGAUGAUUCACGGUUGAUAAAUUUGACGGUGGUUCAACAAAGUGCCCGUGGGUAGCAACCAACGAACAGAUCAGCAAAGCAGCGGUAGGCAAUGUCACCACAAACCAGGGGGCGGCUCAACGUCGAGGUGGCACACCUCAGGCAGCAGCAGCGUCACGAAGGACUCGAGCGAGGCAAUGGAACUAUGUCGGCAAGGGUGGCAUCCGAUUUGCGGGACUCGUGGGGGUCUUGGUCGCGCUGCUGAGGUGGUCACGCAAAGACGCUACAACGAAGAUGGAGUCAAGGUCUUGCGGGCAGCGUCGUGGAGAGAGAAUAUUUCGUUCUCUCUCUAGUGCGUGUCGAUCUUCUCGCAGGUUCUCCUUCAAUGCUUUUUCAAUGCUUAGAUGUCCAACUUGCAGAAGAGGGAUUCUCCGUUCGUCUUUUCUGACGGUCGUGGACAAUUUUCAGAGUUGAAGGAUCCGGCUCCUUCUUGCACGAAGACCUCUCUAUUGCCCUUCUUUUCUCUCACGUGUUUACACUGUGUUUUUUAUUGAUUUCUCAAAAGAACGAACGGAAAGCUCCCAAAAUCCAAAGAGAAGCCCCACUCACGUUUUUCUCUCAACGGCCGUAUAUUCAAUGUGCGGCCCCCUUUUUUCUGUACCCCAUCACACCUUUUAUAGGGUAAAAAAUUGAAUCUUUAUUGCAUAUUUCGUUUCCAAUUUUGCUCGUGCAAUAUUCUCUUUUGCAUUUUCUGCAUAUUCCAUCCAAAAAUAAUUCCAUUUUCAGGCAAAAUACACCUCCCAGUGUAUAUUACUUGAAUAUAUGAAAAAUCUGAACGGAAUAUGUGAAAAAUCCUCGUUUCACCGGCGGCCUAAAAUAAAAUAAAAAAUAAAAUGUUUCUAAACUAUAUGCCAUGUGUGUGUGUGUGUUUUUUUUUUUUUAUAGUAAAAAUUAACCCUAAAAAUUAUGCAAAAAUUUAGGUGUCAGCAAACCCUGCCAAUCAUAAUCCAUUUAAAUCUGACUUACUUGUCAAAGUUCAUAAUUCAUCAUUUGGGCAGCUCUGUUUUGUUUGACAAGGAAGUAAAGCAAUGAAAUGGUUAUAAUGCUAAUGUGGUACACGAUGUCAACCAUAGUUUCAUACAAGUGACUAUUCCUCAAAACAAAUAAUACUUGGAUGGACUUGAUCACAGUGCUGGAAUUAUGUUGCAUGGAUGUGCCUGUCUCUAUUGAUGAUGAUGAUAUAUCUAGAACUUUGUGUGAUGACCAAAAAGUUGCUUUUCUUUCCACUUGUGGAAUUGGGAAGCAUCAAAUGUGGCGGUCUAUAUUGAUGAUAUAUCUAGAACUUUGUGUGAUGCCCAAAAAUUGUUUAUUAUGCACUUGGAUGACACUCCAAAGAAAUUGUAAAUGGAAAUGUGUACUAUGCUUUGUGUGAGAAUCAUGAAGAAUCAAUGCUCUUAUAUUGAUAUUUUUCUGCAAUUUCAGUGUUUGUUGUAUUCUCUUGCAAAUAUUUUUUUUUCUUAUGCCCUAGACAGUGAGCUAAAUUCGCUCUAUUAUGCCUGUCUUGCAGAAUAUCCUACUGUCAUCUGUAGUUGGCAAAAUCUCUCGGGAGGAUCAAAUGCACGCAAUGUUGAGGUAAGCAUUUGAUUAUGUUUUUUCUUUUUUUUGGUAAAUGUAAGAAUUAUAUUGAGGUUAAACCAAACUAUACAAGAGGCAAAAAGAAAAACAAUAGACUAUUUAUUUUGGUAGGUGUACCGAUAUGCUCUAAAAAAUUUUAUGUUAACAUGUUCUAAAAGAUUAAUCUAUAUUAUGAUGUCAAUUAUCGAGAUCUAUAUUCAAAGUCAACCUAAGAAGCUUUCUUACUUCCAGGAUCAGCACUGUGAAGAUACCAAAAUAGGAUUUAAAACAGGUGUUUUCGAGUUGGCGAAUAUGACAACUAAAUUUGAAUGAACCCUGCAGAUUAUAAUCCGAUUAAAUCUGACUUCGUUGUAAAAGUUCAUAGUCCAUCUUUCUUCUAUUUAAAUUCCCACACCAUCUCAAAGCACAUUUUCUUUUUCUUUGUUGUCAAGGAAAGGCGGAGAGAAGCAAUCGGGGAGAACUAUGCUCUGUCGUCCUGUUAAGUCAUCAUGAAUGCCUCACAUUUGCCACAAUGUAUUUUGAUUUAAGAUUGUGAGAAGGCCGUCAUUCAAUACCACUCGCAACCAUCUAUCUUGGAUGGGCAAGUCUUGUCAUUAUAACCCCACCAAGCUGCCAAAGCUUCCGUCACAGAGAAGACAAGAAACGAGCAGCAUCAUCACUACUGGUUUAUCCUCAAGACCUCACGUUAGUGGAAUAUUAGCUAGUAUUAUUAGGCCACCAUCAUUGGCGAUUAGCGGUCCGCCAUAGUUCUGCAUUAAGAGAAUAAGAAGGCCAUUCAGGAAAGACAGUCAUCAAAAGAAUCGCAUUUUUUAGACUUGGAAUGGGAAAUACCCUGGUAUGUCUUCUUGUUGAAUUUCGGUUGCAGUCGAGUAUGUGUAUAAUUUGUAUAUUUGAUUACUCCUGUAGUUGUCUAUUUCGCACGACAAAGUAAUAUGGACGGGGGCUAUCUGAUUUUCUCAUCCUAUUUUCAUUUUUUCUUUUUAUUCCCAUUUUCAUUUCACGUUCCAUAUACCAAUCUUUUGGUCGAACUUGAAGAAUUCAAUACAAUGACUGUGAUUCAAUCAAAAUAAUUAUAUUGACGAAAGAUGGGGCAAUUAAAGAAAAUAUCUAGGGCCUUAGUAAGAUGAAUUCCGAUUAACGUAAAAAAAAAAAAAGUCAUUCUUUUCGUUUUCUUUUAUUUGUCUCUCUUUUUCAGCAUUUUUUUUUUUUUGGGGUUGAAUCUUUUUAUGCAAUUAAUACGCAAUCUUUUCUCGACUAUUUGUAAGAAUUUUAGAAGUCUUUAAAGCACUUAUCUUCAUCUAGUCAACGCAAAUUAGUUGCCUUCAUAAAAAGUGUGGUGAAUCCUGUUAUUUUUUCUUUACAAUAUGUAUUAAUACUUUACAUGAUUGAGUUGAAUAAUAUUUGUCUCCAAUGGCUUAAAUUGAUUGAUUUUUCUAACAACACUACGUGAUAUACUAAUUUAUAAAUGUAAAUCAAUGAUAUAAGGAUAUUCAUAAAUUAGGAAUAUCAUUUGCUAAGGUUAAAAUAACUUUUGAAAAAUUUUCCCCGUGUCAAAAAAGAAAAAAGGCUUUUGCGGAACUUUAAAAUAUGCGAAUGUCAAAACAUAAUGACAAGUCAACCUUCCAUUAUCAUAAUACUCCCAAAAAAAUUGACAUAACAUAAGGGUGGUUCAUCGCAAUCAACUGAUCUUAAUACUUGAAGCAGGCUCCAAAUAAGUAAAGGCCUCUAAUAUCGAGAUUUCGCAUAUGAAGUGAUAUUUGAUACCUUGGAGCUUAUAUAUUUGCCUUAAUGGAGUUCCUAGCUUAAUACCCUAAAAAAGUGGGGGAAAAGAGUUCCUAGUUAGUUCCCUGAAACAUAUUCUUCUUCAAAUUUUGUAAUAUGAAAUAAAAAUAAAAAUUUGAAAGAAUAGGAAGAUUUUAUACAUAAAUUUACCAGUUGAUUCUAUGUAAUUCAAAAUGUUUCGGGUGCUCAUAGUUAAAUGCAGAUUCCACCAGAUUUUGACAAUUGUAAGAGUAGGUAGCCCUAACACCGUGCUUCAGACUUCAGAGGCAAGAAGUGGGCCAUCAUUAGACUUGACAUAUGAUUUGGGUAAUUAGUUCAAAAGAGUUUUGGCUGCAACUACACUUUAAUUAUGUAUAGAACUAUUCAAUGGGCAAGCCAGGACGGACCAAGUCGGGAAUCGAGCAAUAAAAUUCAUGCCACCCUGGAGUAUAAUUUUUUUCUUUGGAAAAUGUUAUGCUUUCUUCACAUGAAUAAUAGCGCCCGAGCAAGCCUCAGCUCAGAGAAAGAAAUUGCUUGUCCUUACUCAUUUAGGUCGUGCUUUUGCCUAACAAUAAAAUCAUGUGGAAAGAUUUAGUCUUGGUUGCUCCAGGCUCUAAGAGAAGAGUCAUUGCCUCUGCUUCGUUCUUCAGCAAAGAUUCACCGGAAAGUCAUGUUUGCCAUAAUUUCACGUUGCCAAACAAAUAAUCCAUUUUUUUUCUUUAUUCUUUGCCACAGCUUAUUGACAGUGACGUUAGCCUCGCAGCAUAAUAUAAUAAUUUUAUGAUUAAUACGAGAAUUAGCUGCAUCAUAGACACAUUCUUCUAAUUAAGAGGGGGAAAACACUAGAAGUGCCAAAACUUUCGUACGGCACUUACUUAAGUGUCAAAACUUUUUUUUUUUUGCUCACUUGAGUGCCACAUCAGAGUAAAAUCGUUUACUUAAGUGCUACUUCCAACCAAACGUCCUACGUAGAAUUUUUAAUUUUUUUUAAUUUUUAAAUUUUUUAAAUUUUUAAUUUUUAAAUUUUUUAAAUUUUUAAUUUUUAAUUUUUGGCUUUUUUUUCUUUAGGGCCAACAAGGGUCACCGCCAACAGCUUUGCCUGUAGCCAGCGAGAUCGCAAUGCCCUUGCUAGCUCUAGGUGGUGUUGCUUGUGGCCAACAAGGCCACAAUGCCCUUAAUUAGGGCCUUCGCAGUGAGGGCAAGGCUGCCCUCACCUAAAUCUAUCGUGAAGGCCAUGGGUGGGGGUAUGUGACCUCGAUUGCCUUGGCAAGGCAAUGUCACCUAUAGCUGCUCAAAGUUGGUGAGGGCCCUCGUGGCCUCACCAGCUGCCGAUGAGGCCCCAACAACCUCACCUAGGGCCUUCAUGGCUGAGGGCAAGGCGGCCCUCACCCAAUCUAGGCAAGAGUUUCACAGCCGACAAGGGUCAUCAAUGACCCUCACCAACCCUAAAGAAAAAAAAAAGCCAAAUAAUAAUAAUAAUAAUAAUAAUAAUAAUAGAAAAUUCAAAAAUAAUAAUAAUAAUAAUAAUAAUAAUAGAAAAUUCAAAAAUAAUAAUUAAUAUUUAUAAUAUUAAAUAUUGUUCACAUCACGCUGGCAAAAACAUGUCGAACAACCUACGUCAUCACGUUACACAAUUGGCAUCCACAUUGGAUUUUUCGGCAAGUUAAUCGGAGUUGACACUUAACUAAUUAACUAAUUGAUUUUUCAAAUUCAUGGCACUAAAGUGAGCGAAAAAAAAUUUGGCACUCAAGUGAGCGUCAUACGAAUAUUUUGACGCUUCUAGUGUUCUUCUCCAAUUAAGAGAAAUGCAAAGAAUAAUGUCAUGGAAGUAGGCAUUUUUGUAAUUGUACUUAGAAGGCAUCAUCCGAUGACAUGAAAAUUUUUACAGAGGAUAUUUUCAACAAAAUGAACAACAUUUGCCAUGAGUUUUCACUUAUUCACUCAUACAACAGAAUGUCGUACAACAUAUAUUGAUUUAUGAAAAUCAAUUUUGUUAGAAAAAGAACACUCAUGGGCUCGUGUCUUGUCGGAAAGAUAAAUUUCCGCAUGGAGAAAGUAUUUCAGAUUGUUCAUAUUUUAGAAUGCGCGUUAAUCUCGCAUCAAACAGACUUUACCUAUUACUCAAUGUAUUGCGGACCAAAUUAUGUAAAGAGCAUAAUUUUUUUAUUUUUUUUGGUCGAAAAAUAACAUAAUUUACGCGGUGCCAAUUAUCCUCUUUCAUAUUCAUCGGCUCUAAAUUACUAGAAGGAUGUACACAGAUUAUGUUUGACUCUAUGGGAUAAUUAGCUUCGAAUCCAGAAUAAUAAUAAUUUCGUCCAUGGUCAAUUUCAAAAUUGACAAAUUUCCCAAUCAAAGUUAGCCAAAGAAUAACUACUUUAGGUUAGCAAGUUUAUUCAGAAAAGCAUGAUAGACAAUAUAAUUUAAAGUUCCGCAAAAAAAUAAAUAAUAAAAACAAUUUUAAGCGUUGCAAGAAAUAAAAUAUUAUUUAAUCAUGUAAUUGUCCUUCUAAGAAAUGCUUCAGAUUGCUAAUUAAUGACGACUAAUCUCGUUGAUUUGUGCUUUUACUUUUUUCAUUGUGAGCGCUGAAACUAANNNNNNNNNNNNNNNNNNNNNNNNNNNNNNNNNNNNNNNNNNNNNNNNNNNNNNNNNNNNNNNNNNNNNNNNNNNNNNNNNNNNNNNNNNNNNNNNNNNNUUAUGCACGUAUAAUUGGGCUGAUUACAUUAUUACGUGGGCGGUGUCGAAUCAACUUAAUUUUGCCAAGAACGGACCGCAUAUUAAUUCAUGUCAUGUUAUUACUUUUUUUCUUAUUCUAAUUCACCGAUAGAAAAUCUUUUCUUUGUCCUUUCAUAAAAGAAAAAUUACCACAAAGACACGUGGCAAUUUUAUUUCACAGUUGUGAGUUGUGAAAAUCAUGAGCUGGAUUAUGCUCAUAGUUAAUUGCUCUACGAUCCAAUAUAUGUUAUGGCUAAAUACGCAAUUUAGAGGGGAGUGAACAGGCGGAUAAACAAGAUUUGAUAAAUUUUGUGAAAUUAUUAGAAUGUAGUUUGAUGUAUGCAAGGAUAGUUUAAUAUAUGCAAGAAUAAAUUAAUGAUAUCAAGUGCAGUAAACUUCUAUCAAACAAAUACGAAGAUGAAUAGCAGGAGAUAGAAGAGUGGCAUGAAGAUAUCAUAGUAGUUCAGUUUACACUAAACCUACAUUCAUUCUUACUAACGAUCGGUCAUCAACAAACUAGAUUCCACUUAUAAAUCUUUGAGAGGUUAUACUUUAGCCCAUGCUACUUCUGUCCGAAGCUGAUAGAUCACACUGCCAAUCCCAAGUAAGAUUGCAACACAUGUACACUUCUAAAAAGAAAUUGCAAUCGUGAAUCACUCUCGGUAAAAUAAAUUGUUCGCUCAAUAAGAACAAUGCAUAUGAAUUAGAGAAUAAAAGAAAUGAGCACAAAGGGCCAUUUCUUUUAUUUUUUAAAAAUUUGGACUAAGCAUAUCUAAUUUGGCAUAUUAGAUAUGCUUAGUCCAAAUCAUAUAAAUAAAUAAAAAAGUAGGAAGAUAAUAAGUGGACAAGAUUUUUGAAAACAUGGCUGAUUACACGAUGCCCCUUCUGGUUUAUAUAAUAUUAAAAGUGGGUUCAUUGUAAGGAGAUUCUGUUGGGCCUUUUGGUUACCCUAUUGAGGAAUGAAAAGGAAAAAAUAAAAGAAAUGGCCCUUUGUGGUCAUUGUGAAGCUAGCUCAUAAUGCAAUUACAUGCGACAUUUUUCUUUCGAUUUUUCUUUUGCUGUUGAAGAACCGCAUGUCACGAUCUCAGCAUCCUUAAAGGCACGUUUGGUAUAAUCCAAUCAAGUAUCCACUUUCCAUUACACCCACAAAAAAUAAAACAAAGGGUUAAUAACUUAAUUUCACAAAAACCCCUGAUACACUAAUCAUAAAUUUACCUUCAAUUAAUUUUUUGAUCAUUGCCACGACCUCUUUUUUCGACACCCGAUUAGGGCAGGCACUUGUAGAGACUAAUGGUUUAGCUAGAUCUAUUAGGCUUAGACAAGCUCUUCCAUGCCCAUCAUUUCAUGACUUUGCAUAUAAUUUAAUUUUAAAAUAGAAUCGCCACUAAUCGAUUGGGGUGGGUCAGUUAGAAACCAAGUGAAAUAUUAAGAGAAAUAUUCGCUUAUGCGCAAUCAGAGAAAUUAGGAUUGAAGACAAGGAUUUUCCAUGCAUUUGUGGAAAAUGCAUUUUUUAGACUUCUUUCGCAUUUUUUGGACAUAAAAGGGUUCUUUUCAUUUUUUGUUCUUUUUUGAAAAUAUAAAUAUUAUUUUUGGCUUUUUCUGACUUUUUGGCUUUUUUAGAAAAUAUGAGACAUUUUUUAUUUUAUUUUUAUUUUUUGGAAAAUAAAUUAUUUUUUAUUUUUUAUUAAAAUAUAAUUUUUCAAUUAACUAUACUAUUAAAAUAUUAAAAAAAGACCCAGGUCGGGUUCCCAGGUUGGGACCGACCCGGAUCGUCGACCCAAGCCCGGGAUUUUUUCCUUUUAAACGUAAAAGCCCAAACCAAUUUUUGGCCCGUUUUCACAAAAUAUUACAGCCCAACGGCUACCCGGCCUAGGCAGAACCCUACCCGAACGACGACCCGGGUCCGACCCAACUCAGUAGCCGCGACCCGAAUCCUGAAAACCCUACGCGGAUCCGACCCGCUUGACGACCCGGUUCGUAAAAACCCUACCCGGAUAACGAUCCGGCCUUCGGGACCUCCUCUGGUCGGCUCGUUCGGCGUCUUCUCCUCCGGCCGCCCUUCCUCCGACCGCGAGCUUUUGGAUAGGCUUGCGAGCGUUCGGGCCUCCCCUGAAGUCUCUCGGGGGAGGGUUUCGAAGCUCGCCUGCUUACGAUCUUUACUCGCGUCGUUGGUGCCUUUGCCUUCCCCUCCGGUGCCCUAUUUUUAGGCGCAGAGGGGCCGGUCGGCGGUGGCUAGGCCGGCGGUCCUUGGUGCGCCGACCGGCCUUCCUCCACCGGUCGAACCGGCGUCAGUUCUUCCCCAUCCACGGAGGCGUGCUCGCCUUCAAUGCCGCGUCCUCUCAGCCACCGGCCUAGGCUCCUCUCUCUGCCCUAGCUCCGUAGCUCAUCCUUCGCGUGUGAGUUGCAGAGGCGCAGGGGAGGAAGAAGGAGAGAGGCGGCUGGGCCGGGUCGCGCGGGCCGGGCCGUGGGGGCCCGCGCGAGAGGAAAGAAAGGAGAAGAGUGGCUGCUUUUUUUGUUUUUGUUUACUUUUUGUUGUUUUUAUUGUUAUUAUUAUCUAAAAAAGGCCUAAUUAAAAAACUAAUCAAAAUUUUAGGCGUCAACAAUAAUUAAAAACUUUAAAUUGAUAAAUUUAUGAUAAAUUUAUCAUUCAUUAUUUUUUAUUAAAUUUUAUCAUUAAAUUGUUAAGUUAAAUGACUCGUGAUAAUUGACAAGUGUAAUAGUUUAUGAUUUUACAUUUUUUUAUCAUAUGUGUACCAAUUUGUAAUUUUUCAUAGUAUUAAUCUAGUUUACAUAUACUAACAGAUGAUAAAUUUGUCACAAAUGUAAUAGUUUCGAAUUUUUGUGGCCAAAAAAUUAAUUUGUGAUAAAUUUUGUCAUUGAUGUAUUAAUUUAGUUUUUUUGGUGAUAUAAACCCUAAAUCAAAAUAAUAUAAAAUUAAAUUCUUUUUUAAUAAGUGUCAUAAUUAGUAAUGGCCAUAGGCCUAGUGUGGGCCAACCCACGUGAAAUCUUCGACACAGGAUGGAAGAAAUUUUUUUGAAUGAACUCAAAGCAUGUGAGCCUAUCUCACAUCCACUAUCGAAUGAUAUGAUUUCCACAUUGAACUAAAUUUUUGGUGAGGCACCUGAGAAAUUGUAAACCCUAGAAAUCAUUCUUUCCAUUGUGAGUAAACAUAUAAAUUAAGUAAGGUCAGUCAUUAGGUAAUUAAAUAUAAUUGGUUGUGAUGAUUAGUUCGGCUAGCAACGCCAACUAUGAUGGCAGCCAAAGGAUUGGAAUGAGUCAUCCUACGGCGAUUCCGAUGACAAUGGCGUGGUGGUGGCCGUGGGAUGGGCAGCACUCUUUAUGUCACCCCAUUCCUGAUUUUUUUUCCCUUUUUAGUUUUUUACUAUUUUUUCUUAUUUGCUUUUCUUUUUGCCUUUUUUCUUUUAUCUAACUUAAACUUGUAAAUGAAAACCUAGACAUAAUUCUAAUAGACAAGUACAAUAGAAAUUAAUGAUUGAAAAACCCAAUAUGAUUAAUAGUGAAAAGGGUUGGACGAAAGUUACAGUAUUCUCAAUUUUACAUGUAAGGCGUGGAAAUUCUACAACAUUAGGAAAGGAGACAUUCACAUAGGGAUGGACAGAGGACGUAAAAAGUGAAUGAACAAAGUCAAUUUGUAUCUUGCAAAGUCUUGGUCUUCCUGGAAUUGAUUAAAGUUUCUCUCCCAUUAUCACUUUAUUUUGUAAAGUCUUGGUCUUCUUGGAAUUGAUUAAAGUUUCUCUCCCAUUAUCGCUUUAUUUUGCAAAGUCUUGGUCUUCCUGAAAUUGAUUAAAGUUUCCUGCCCUUUAUCACUUUAUUUUGCAAAGUCUUGGUCUUCUUGGAAUUAAUUAAAUUUUCUCUCCCUUUAUCACUUUUUCUUAAAAGUGCUUCACUUUUUUUUUUUCAUAUCUAAUGCUUGGAAAUUCUCUACUUUUGCUUCCCUUUUUAGAUAAAAAAAGGACAUGAUAUCCAACAAAGUCUUUGGGGGAUGUUCUCUAAAUAUUACGAAACAAGCAGUUGUGGACAAAAAACAUUUUAUCUUGAUUUCUCUAACCUCUUGUAUGCAUCUUUCAAAGUCUUGGUCUUUGUUUAAUCUUGUUGGUAGGUGAAAGUCUUGGUCUUCUUGGAGUUUAUAGUCUUCUCUCUCCAUUAGCACAUCAUCAUUUAGCUUCACCACAACCUUUGUUGUUCUCUUCAAUGACUAAUUCACUCGUGACCAUUGGAGAGAUCUUUCGGGUUCCUUACUUCCUUCUUAUACUAAUUUCUACUAUUGUUAAUUUUAAGCAAGACACGUAACAUGUGGAAAAUCUACUAGUACUAGAAAAGAGACAUAGGGAUGGAAGAAGAGUGAUGUGAAAAGUGAAGCAAUGAAACCAUUUUGAGUCCCGCAAAAUCUUAAUCUUCCUGGAUGUGAAAGUGGAUGAGUUCCAGUAAAGUCUUGGUCUUCCUAAUAUGCCAAGAAGUGUGAGUUAGAUCGAAGACGUAUGUUUAAUGCUCAUUAUGUCCUUGAGUUAGACCGAAGACUUUAGAUUGUCCUCGAGUUAGAUUAGGCAAUUCUUAUGCCAAGAAAUGUUGAAACUCAUAGAUCCCACAAAAUUGCAUGGAAAGUAGUAUGCUCAUCACAAAAAGGAUGAAGGACUAGGCCUACUCGAUCUGAAACUCUGGAAUAAAGUAUUCAUGGGCCACAUGUUUUGGGACCUCAUCAAUCAUCCGUCAUCAUCCCUAUGUUUUGGCAAUGUAUUCUCAAGCUAAGACUUAUUCUAAUAUCUAUAAUCUUUAGCCAAACAUAUUUUUGCAAAGAGAUAUACAAGGAAUUUAGAUAGGAGGUAUUGGCUAUGGACAAUUAAUUUGGACUAGCGAUAUUAGCAAGCAUAAUUUUAUUGGCAAAAUGACAUUUGGGGUUUCGUAGGAGGUUGGAAUUUGGAACUUCAAUAGAUGAUUGGGGCCACCAAGGACAAAAACUUGGGGAUGAGACUCCUCAAGCUAUCUUUCUUAGUGACUAUCUAUUGUAUUUGGAUGGAACACAGCUGUAGAUGGUUUCAAAACAAGUCAAUUGAGUCUCAUCUUCUAUUGGGUAGGAUUCGAAAAGUUGUACGAGGAAGGGUGUCACUCUACCAACAAUGUAGGCCUCCCCAAACAAAUGUCUUAUGGCUAGUCUUCCUUCCUCCAUCGUCUCGUAUAAUUACUCUCUUUGAAAUGCUAAGGGAUUCCCCUAAGCUUUUGUACCUUAUCUUAUUAAUGAUAUUCACAUUCCUCCCCUAAGCUUAUGUACCUCAUCUUAUUAACGAUAUUCACAUUCUUACUUUGAAAGGAAAAAAAGAAAAAAGACUUUGGACGUAGUUUGAAACAGAGGCCUAUUCUUUUCGCCAAAGCACUUGAUCUUGUUUUCCUUAUCAAAUAGACAAACUUAGCCUAUUAUUGAUGAGUAGUAGAUGUAUGACUGAAAUAAGAUGCCAUUGUUGGUUGUAUCCUCGGUAAUUUGCUUUUAAAAAACAAACAUAAUGGCAAUUCUUUGAUGCAAUUUUGGCCCCCUGAUUUUCAAGGAGCUGCUUGGGAGGCAAAAAUCAGCACGAGAUGGCUAGCUACAAAAUCCUCCAUGACAUGUACCAUGUCAUGGUGGAGUUUGACAUAAUUUCAAGCCUUCGGACAUAGAUGUCCAGAUUCAAAUUCAUUAUACAGUCUAAAUUCGAGUCCCCAAUUAUUUGUGUACAAGCUUUUGAUAGUGCAAAAUUGUGAAUUCUUUGGAAUCAUUAUAAUUAGCAUAAAUACUUCACAUAUUAACGAGGCAUGGUACAAAUAUAUAUAAAGUAAUAAUAGAUGAAAGGUAUAAUACUAAUACUUGCAUUCACUCAAAAUAAGUAGGUUGAAUUGUUCCCAAAAUUCUAAAAUAGUAGUUAAUCUUGAUCCGUUGUGAAGAAAAAUUUCAACAUCGAAUUGGUUGUCUUCCCACUCAAAAAAGAGAAUCAUAUCUUGCUUUAAGAAAGCAAGAUCGAGCAAGAUCGAGCAAAGUAUCUUUGCUUUAAGAAAGCAAGAUCGUGCAAGAAUCCAACUUAACGUGAUGUGAUGGCUCUCUUUCUUUCUCUCUCUCUCUCUCUUUCACGCCCACAAGUUUGUAAGGGGGAAAAACCUCUCUCUCUUUCUCACGCCCACAGGUUCGUAAGGGGGCAAAACCUCUCUCUCUCUCUCUCUCUCUCUCUCACGCCCACAAGUUCGUAAGGGGGUAAAACCCCUCGAGAUGUCCCGUGUCCUCACGCACCAUGUGGUCUGCAUGUGCAUAAUUAGAUUCUCAACUCUUGCUGAUUCUUAUAACUUAUGAUGUCUAAAACAUGAUUGGUAUAAGUAUUCAAAAUAACAUGCGUUAAUUUUAUAAUAACAGUUAGUAGUACCAUAUAGGUCUUAAGUGCUCUUCAUUUCGAAUAAAAAACGGUGAACAUUUUCAUUCGAGUCAAGUAAGAGGAUAUGAUUGUAUUAACCGUGUGUAGCUUCUCAGCCUUUAAAAAUUGGCGGAUGAAAUGCAAUUUAGUGCAAUAGUGGGGGGCUCGGUCCUCAGAGGGGUCAAGUCCUUAAUCCUAUGCUUGAUUGGACACGAUGACAAAAAAGGCCAACGCAAGGUUUCCCAGAUCCAUCAUUGUGUUUAAACAUAUAUGGGAUCGAUCUUUGGUCCCUAUUGGUGAACAUGAUCCAAUAAUUGUUUUAGUAUAUACAUAGCCUCCAUGAUACCUUAGAUACUUGGGUAAACUAAGGUUAUGCCAAGCACUAAUGACAAAAAUUAUCCAAUCUAUCCAAUUGUGAAAUUUGGUUGGACUCUAAAAAUUUCUCUCCAUCAUUCUUAAGUCUAGCCAAUAUGGGUUUCUACUCUUUACCGUGUAAAAUGCAAGAACAUAAAAACUUUAAAUACUUUAACUACUUUGAUAGAACAAGAGGAAUGUAAUGGAAAAUCUAGGUAUACAGAUAUUAAUAUCCAAACCUGCAUUGCCAUUCCUAUGCUAAGAGAGGUGAAACGUGGGCAAUACGCAAGCGAUUACAGCCACGUCCAGGAGGCAUCAUUCAACCAUCCCACACCUCCUAAAAUUAAGGAACCUCGAGUUACCAAAGCAAGUAUAAAUAGCUCGGAAAUAAUCAUUUGAUAGUUAAAACUUGUUGAUAUCUAAAUUUUGCUCUAAGGUCGUUUUCAUAUAUUUUUGGAAAAAAUGGAAUCAGUUUUCCUCCAAAUUUUUUUUUUAUUGCAAUUAAAGGUAAAGCAUCUUAUAAGCAUAUACUGGAAUUUUGACAAACGGCGUUAGGUUCCUUCGAAUUUAUUUUUCAAAGGAAAAAAGAGUAAAAUAAAAGGAAAAGAAAAAUGGGAACCUCUAAGAAAAAAACACACACGGCAGAAUCCGUCUUGGUUCUCCUUCUCUUUUCCUUAAAGCCACACCGCCCCACUUUUUCUUCAACCACCAUCAUCAUCAGCAUCAAACUCACGCCCGCAGUCUCCACUUUCAUCCAGGUCACUUCUUGCAUGCGUGUUGAUUGUCGCCAAUCACCACCAUCUCCGAUCUGUUCAAUCCCCUACAAACCUCUUCUAGUCGGAGCUCCAACGAUAUUGUCAUUCGUCAUUGCAAGCGCUAGCCACGCAUUCCCGUAGCUGAAUUCACGCGCUUUCACCGUGAACCGUCGAACAGUGUUCUCUUCCUCCUCAUCCAAAACUAGCGCUCCUGCUCACGGGAUUGCUGUCGUUGAUCUGAACGCCAUUCACCUGGUCUGCUCCAGGAAGUCUGCACGGAAUAGGUAAGAGACAUCUAUCUACUUGCUCUCUUUUUCCCUCAAACUGAUGCAACAGCAACAAUCUUUUGGUUCUUAAAUCGAUUUCAUGCUUAUCUAUAAUCGGACUAAAGUUGAUGUCAAAUACUCGAUGUCGAGUUUAAUAAAAAGUUUAUUAACAAAAAAUUGUUAUUUUAUUUUUUGGUAGAUAGUAAUAUUGGGACAUCAUGAUUAAUUUUUGAUCUCUCUUACAUUGUUAUUUUUACUAAACACACACUAACUUGAAAUGAUUUAUACGAUCAGCACUCCCGAGAUUGAAGUAUUCAUAAUGGAAUCGGUAAUUUUAUCCUGCUCGCUGAGUGAUUAUUUUACACCGUCAACGUAUGGGAAUUUCAGUUUAUGAAAUUGGGUUUUGCAAAAAUGGAUAUUUUAAGAAGAUAGUUUAAUUCCUCUUAAGCAAAAAUUCACGGGACGUUUGCCAAAAUUUUGCCUUGUCAAACAAAACAAAUCACUUUUGUCGUGUCUUUUCACAUAUCCACUUUUAUAGUAAAAAAAUUCCUUGUCAUAUAGAUAUAGUGGAUUUACCAUCAACCAAAGGGGCGCAGAUGAUCUAAUAAGGUGUUUGAAAUUUAGUAUUCUCUUAAGGUGUACGAAUGUAAUCAAUCAAGUCAAGUCAAUGGGGUCGCAAUCCAAACUUUGUGUGAAGUAGUUCCUUCCGAAGCCCCAAGGAUGUUGCAUGUGGAUGGCCUGCUUUCGUUGUGCGAAAACUGAUGAUAGUUCAGCGCGGAAAAACUAAUACAUGUAUUUUCAUUCAAGACAGAGAAAAAUGUGUAGCUAUUCGCAACAAAGAAUUAAACUUUGAGUUACAAAAAUCAAAUUUAUGAUUUGUUAGAAAAAGAACACGCAUAGACUGGUGUUUGUUUGAAAAAAAAAAAAGAUAUUUGUACAUCAGAAUUUUUUUUGAGAUUAUUCAUCUUUUAUAAUGCACAUUAAUCUGUUAUUAAACAGACUUCGCAUAUUAUUCAACCCUAAAAGCCUCAACUUGUCAUUUUAUAUUGUACACUCUUAAAAGUGUGUAACUUUCUUAUAUUUGUUGACUCCCCCUUUUAAGUUCUAAUGUAUACUAAAGAAUCUUUAGUCGGCCAUUUUUAAUUUUAAUUUUUCAAGGCGUCAAAAACAUUUAUGAUAUAUGAUCAAUUGGUGGGGCUAUGAAGCCAAGAACCAUCACGUCUUUGAAUAUAUUUCCAUUUGAGCCUGAGAGAAGGGAACCAAUAAUGCAUGUAAUCGGCGAAUUAAGGGUUUAGUAGAUGUUUUAGAAAUAAUUCAUUAAAAAAAAGUGUGAAUGAAAAGUAAAUGUUUAUUAUCGUGCAUUCCCGCUACCAGAAAGUAAAAGAUAUGAUAGAGAGAAGGGAGAGGGAAAAAAAAAUACAAAGUCACCACCUGAAAGAAGUGAAAUGCUCGGACCAAAUGAAAAAGUCAUUUUGUUAUACAGAUAAAUAUGGCUCUGAUCUCCUUGUGAAUUUUUCAUAAUGAUAUUAUAAAAUUGUGGAAAACUCGUCAUUUUUUUUAAUCGUAGACCAAUAGAAGACAAUAAGAAAAGAGGGACAUUUGCUUUCAUCCAAGGUAAAUAGGAUAUACAUUGUUGGAAGCAACCUUCUUGUUUGUUCCAUCUUUCAUACUUAUCAGAAUCAUCAGAUCACCAUUGCCUGUAAUGGGGAGCACGAGAUGUCUGGGUGAACUUCAUGCCUUUCUGAAUGAUUCAGAAUACAAAAUGUUAAAGAAUGCUUCUAGAGAGGAUGCCUUCUUGCUGCACAAAAAGAUGUAGAUAAACAGACGAAAGGCUGGAUGGAGAGCACAUGCUCUCCGAACGAUUCUGCUCAUUGAUCGCAUAUUCUGGAUAUGUGAUCAAUGUAUGCUUUCAGUGGCAGUUACAGUGUUAAAACCUUGUAGCAAGAGUGCUGAGGUAAUAGUUGAUAAUCGGAAUCGCUUGAUAAGAGAAUCAUGGUCCUCUGAACACAAUUUUUCUGUUCAUCAGUAUGAUGCAUAAAGUAUAAUUUUCAGUAGAUUAUAUAAUGUUAGCUGGUGAUUUUUUCACUCCUUCACUAUUUGCAAAGCGAACUAAACCAACUUGGUUAAUGGAUUAGUGAUGUGCCUGACCCUUUUUUUCUUGUUUAGGCAUGUGCUUUAUUUUCCUUAUUGAACAGACAAAAUUAGCUGCCUUUGAUCUCUUCACAUGGUCAUUCACGUUGAAGGAGGAAUCAGUAAUCUUAUCAUAUCUUAAACAUAUGCAAAUUUUCAGCACUGUAACUGUCAAGUAAAAGCCUAUUCACCAAUAAAGCAGAAAAAAAAGACAAUGAAUCAUAAAGAUUCUAACAAUAUAUGAAUGCGAGAAAAGCCAACACAUCAGUCGUAAGCAAUGAAGUUUUUGAUGAAAAUAUGUGUGCGCUCUAAGUUGGUCAUGUGUAGAAAAAUCACAUUUUAUCCUCUAUUUGGAUAACCACAAGAAAAGUCUCGAUCUGAAGAAAAAGGGAGAACAAUCGACAAAAAAAGCACUCUUGGGCAAAAAACUAUUUAUUUUGAUUUGUCUAACCUUUUGUAUGUGUCUCUUAAAAGUCUUGGUCUGUUUUUUUAUUCUCUUUGGUCAGUGAACGUCUUGGUCUUCCUAUAAUUCAUAGUUUUCGCUCUCCACUAGCUCAUUUUAACUUUGCUUCAUCAUAACACCUUUGUUGUUCUCUACAGUGACCGAUUCACCCAUGGCCAUUGGAGAGAUCGUUUUGGGUUCCUUCUUUCAGGUCUUGUUUGACAAGUUGAGUUCUUUGGCAUCAGACUAUGCGCAACAGGAAGGAACUGACACCACCAUCCUUGAUGACUGGAAGAGGAUGCUAGUCACAAUCAAUGCAGUGGUGGAUGAUGCAGAGGAAAAGCAACUUAGCGGUAAUUGUCUAGUGAAGCUGUGGCUCGAUGAUGUUAGGGACUUGGCCUUUGACAUAGAAGACUUGCUCGAUGAGUUCAACAUCAAAGCCACUCAAGUUAAGUCGGAGUUAGAAUCCAAAACAAGUAGAGGUCAAUGGAAAAGGAAGUUCUUUCCUUUUACACAACCAGGCUCACUCGUGUCUGACACUAAGGUCCAAGACAUCAAUGGUAGGUUGGAAGCGAUCGUCAAAAGGAGGGGUUAUCUAAGCUUGAGAGACAAUGUUGUGGACAAAUCCAACUUCAUCAACAGAAGGGAUCCCACUAGUUCUCUGCCGGAGCCUCGAUUUUUUGGCAGGGAGAAUGAAGAAAUGGAGAUACUCAAACUAUUGAUCCAUGAGGUCAAAAAUUAUGAUGCCACACUAAGCAUAGUCCCCAUAGUUGGGAUGGGCGGUGUUGGAAAGACGGCCUUGGCUCAGCGGCUAUAUAAUAAUGCCAAAGUGAAUAGUUGUUUCGAGAAGAAAGCAUGGGUUUGUGUCUCGGAUGUUUUUGAUGUCUUUGACAUAACAAAGACUAUUUUGCGGUCGAUCACCGGAUUGUCCAACCGGGGUGAUCUUAAUGAGCUUCAAGUUAAGUUGAAGGAUAGUCUAGCUGGGAAGAAGUUUCUUGUGGUUUUAGAUGAUAUAUGGAAUGAGAAGUAUGAAAAAUGGACUACUCUCUUAAAGCCAUUUGAAGUGGGGGCUAAGGGAAGCAAGAUCAUCAUCACGACUCGCAACCUUAAUGUUGUUUCCAUAACAAGAGCUUCGCCAUAUCCUUUGAGGGAAUUGUCAUUUGAUAAUUGUGUAAGCUUAUUAGCCUUUCAUGCUCUUGGAGCAACAAAUUUUGAGAGCCACCCCGCUUUUAAAAUAAUAGGGAAGAAAAUAGCUGAAAGAUGUAAAGGUUUACCUUUGGCGGCAAAGAUGUUGGGCGGUGUCCUACGCACUAAAAGUAAUCUUGAUGAAUGGGAAGAUACCUUAAAUAACAAAAUAUGGGAUCUUCUGACAGUAGAGAAUGAUGAGGUUCUCCCAGUUUUAAAAUUGAGUUAUGUCCAUCUUCCUUCCUAUUUGAAGAGAUGUUUUGCUUAUUGUGCGGUAUUUCCCAAGGAUCACGAAAUUGAGAGGGAUGAGUUGGUACUCUUAUGGUUAGCAGAGGGACUUUUAGAUGGGCAAAAAGGAAAUGAGAAUAUUUUGAAAUUGGGACGGAAGCACUUUGAUGAGUUAGUAUCCAGGUCAUUUCUUCAACAAUCAAGUAUCGACCCAUCUAAGUUUUCGAUGCAUGAUCUUUUGAAUGAUCUAGCAAAGUCAAUUUUGGGUGGGACUUGCUUUAGCUCAGGGGGGUCUCAGGUGGCAAGUAAUGAACAUGAUGUAUCAUCUCUUGAAAAAACCCGUUAUGCAUCAUUCAUUCCAUCGUGGUUUGUUACAUCAAAAUGCUUGAGACCAUAUCAAGGAAUGAAGGCACUAAGAAGUUUAAUUAUAGUGCGUGGUGGAUCUAGUAGGGGCCAUUUCUCUAUUCUUAACAUGGUGCUGCAUGACUUGCUAAUAAACUUGAAGUACUUGAGAGUAUUCUCGUUAUGUCAUUGUAAUAUCGUAGAGGUACCGAAUUGUGUUGGUGAUCUAAAACAUCUUCGAUAUCUCAAUUUCUCAUACACUCAUAUUGAGAGGCUACCUGAGUCAAUUAGUGCCUUGUGCAAAUUACAAGCUCUGAUCUUAAGAGGCUGUAAUAAGCUUUCAAAGUUGACUCAAGGUAUCACAGAGUUAGUCAGCUUACAGUUUCUUGAUAUUAGAGAUACAGUGAGUCUAAAAGAGAUGCCGUUGGGUAUCAGUAAUUUAAAGAAUCUUAUUAUCUUGUCCAAAUUUGUGGUAGGACAAGAGAAAGGGUCGCGGUUGAAAGAGUUAAAGAACUUGUCACAUCUUGAAGGAGAAUUUUUCAUAUCAGAAUUGCAAAAGGUGGAAAAGGUUAUAGAUGCAGCCGAUGCUAAUUUGCUUCAAAAGCAAGACCUUGCCAACUUAUCCUUGCAGUGGGAUAAACAUGUGGGAAAUCGCCAUAAUCAUGAGCUUGAAGCACAAGUGCUUGACUUUCUGCGACCUCACAUUAAUCUUAAAAAUCUCACUAUUUUGAACUAUGGUGGUGCAAGAUUUCCAUCAUGGUUAGAUUGUACGUAUUCUAAAAUAGUGUCUUUAUGCUUGUGGGAUUGUCCUAAUGUUGUGUCGUUGCCUAUGAUUGGACAACUACCUUCACUUAAGGAAUUAUCUCUUAAAGGUCUAGAUGCAAUAGAAAUGUUAGGCUCUGAAUUCUAUGGAGGUAAGAUGCCUUUUUCAUCAUUAACAACUUUGACGUUCGAAGAGAUGUCGACAUAGAGGGAUUGGUCUCCUUAUGUCGAGGGCCCAGAAGAAGAAGUUUCAUUCUUCCGUCUUAUGUAUCUUGUUGUCCGGGGCUGUCCUCUGUUGGUCGGGACAUUACCUUAUCGACUUGAUCAUCUCACAAAGCUUGGAAUUCAUUCAUGUCCACUUUUGAAAAACUCAACCAAUGAUGUUUGCCUUCCAUCUCUCCGUGAGUUGUUCCUUGAGGAUUGUGACAAAGAGAUCUUGAAGAGCUUGGUCAACCUAACUUCUUUGACCAUUCUUACAAUUAUGAAGCUUGCAGAGCUUGUUUGCUUUGAUCAUGGGUUUAUGAGCCACUUGAUCAAGCUAAAGAAGCUUCAUAUAGGAGGGUGUGACCAAUUAAAAUACUUGUGGGAAGAUGGAAAUGAAAUGCUAAAUCUCACUUGUCUUCAGGAAUUAACCAUCAUAAGUUGUCCUCAGUUCACAUCAUUUGUGCCGAGAGAAAGAGAAGUAGAGCUGCCGUGCAACCUUGAAAAGAUGGAAUUGAGUAAUUGCACCAAUUUAGAAAAGCUUCCAAGCAAGAUGUACACACUCAGUUAUUUAUCUAUUGAACAGUGUCCAAAACUCAUAAGACCAACCAUUUCUUCAUAUGACCCCAACAACAACAACCCGAUGUCUCAACUUCAAUCUUCAUGUACAAGUAAAUGUGAUUCUCUGACAUCUUUUCCCUUAGCCAAAGGUAGACUUGCUACUCUAAAGGAAUUUUCUAUUCGAGAGUGCAAGGGAGUGGACUCGUUGGAAGAGAUCACCGUAGAAUCGCUCGAAUAUAUGAGAAUUGGCAAUUGUGAGAAUCUAAGAAGCCUACCGCAAUGCCUUCACACGUUCUCCCAUCUUACUUGCUUGUAUAUAAGUGACUGUCCAGCACUGGAGAUAGAGGACUUUCCUACCCUUCCCCUCACCCUAUCAGUUCUCAUGCUUGAGAGAUGUUCGAAGAUAAAAUCUAUUGCUGGAUUUAGUAAUCUCACUAGUUUGGGAAUAAGGAAGUGUCCAGCAUUGGAGAUAGAGAAUUUCCCUCCCCUACCCAUAACCUUGUCUUCUCUUACACUUGUCGAUUGUUCGAAGAUAAAGUCACUGCCAAAUCGCUGGCGUCAUCUUACAUCCCUCAAGUACAUAUGGAUUGCAUGUUGCCAAAAUAUCAAAUGUUUGCCCGAAGGAGGUUUGCCUUCCAAUUUAACGACCCUCGGUAUUUAUGAGUGCGAGAAUCUGGAGCCAGAGCUAGUGAGAGAAUGGGGCUUUCACCAGCUCACGUCCCUCAGGUUUCUAAAUAUUGACGGAAGAAUCAUGGAAGGGGAGGGAGAGAAGGCGCGGUUUCCUUCGGGGGACGAGGACGAGGAGGAUGCGUGGCGUCUUCUCUAUCCUUCCUCUCUAACACAUCUUUAUAUAAGAAAUAUGAGGAACGUGGAAAGAUUAUCAGGCGGUCUUCGCAACCAUCUCUUUUCUCUCCAAUAUUUAGAGAUUGUAGAUUGCCCGAAGUUGAGGGACUUGCCAGAGGAUGGCCUCCCUCCCUCCCUCCCUCCAAUAUUUGUUCAUAAGAGGAUGCGAGAUUCUGAAAGAUCGAUGCUCAAAACACACCGGCGACUAUUGGCCCCUCAUCCAAGACAUCCCUUCCAUCUCCAUUGAUGGCUCUUGGAUCCGAUAAAUUGAUUCGUCCUGCUCCGGUCAGGUUUUCUAGGGUUCGGGUAAGCUUCUGGUUUCGAAGGCAUCGAUUUCCCGUUCUGCUUCCUCAACUCGAUGCUCAAUACAAAUCGAUACUUUCCCAUGUAGAUGUUUCACGUAACUUUCUGGAAGUCCGAGAAAUCCCUAACAUACGCAUUGAUUGGGUUCGGAUCCAAUGAAGUGAGAUCGAUCCGCUUUCGCUUUCAUUUGCCAAAUGCCGCGAUUCAUCCUUCGAUGUGCAGUCAGUUUUCUUGCGGUUAGGGUAAGUUUCUCGGUCUUGAAUGCAUCAAUUUCGCUUCUGUUCUUCAAUUCGAUGCUUUAUGCGAAUUAAUUUUUUCCCAUGGCAAAGUGUCGAAUGGAAUCUCCAGUUGCACUGCUUGCGGAAGUUGAUGAUAUUCUUGUAUGCCACUGCAGCAUCAUCUCAUCUACUGCGUUGGGCCUGCCUUUUCUCUUCAGUCCACUGCAAUGCAACUUUCCGAACAGCAAGUNNNNNNNNNNNNNNNNNNNNNNNNNNNNNNNNNNNNNNNNNNNNNNNNNNNNNNNNNNNNNNNNNNNNNNNNNNNNNNNNNNNNNNNNNNNNNNNNNNNNNNNNNNNNNNNNNNNNNNNNNNNNNNNNNNNNNNNNNNNNNNNNNNNNNNNNNNNNNNNNNNNCCAUUUUUACUGGAACACACUUCGAAAGAGCUUUUUUGACCUGUGCAAGUGAUAGUUUUUAGUAUCUGGUGAUUUAAGGGUAAAAGUUACUAUAUUUUGAGCUUUCCAGAUAUACCAACAGGUCUAGGCAAUCAUUCCUAGGAGUUAUUAAGCAUACAAAUGAGUCGCCAUCACUAGUGAUUGGUGGUCUCCCAUAUUUGUGAGUUAACAAAUCACAAUAAUUUUUCAAUGAAAAAAAACAAAUAGAAAAUCAUCAAGAGGGUAUCCCAGUUCAUUUUUCAUUGCUGUGAAUUGGGUAUGCAUAUAAUUUUGUUCUGAUCACUCUACGCAUGAAAGGUAAUUUUUAUUCAGGACUAAUUGCUUUGUCUUGUUUCAGAUUUUUGGCUGAGAAACAUGAGGGAUGUGGAAAGACUAUCAACUGUGGACGAUGUAACAAGCGUGGAGUAUUCUGUUUCCUUCGUCUCUACAUCUCUUUGGAUGAGAACUAUGAGGAAUGUGGAAAUAUUAUCAAGUGAUCUUCACAGCUAUCUCUCCAUUCUCGAAUGGCUACAUUUUAUGGGUACUGGAACUUGCCAGAGGAUGGCUUCUUUCCCUCCUCCAAGUAUUCGGCACAAUGCAAUUUCAAAUUCUGAAAGAUUGAUGCUCAAAACUCAGUGGUGAUUGGCACCUCAUCCAAGAUAUCCAGCUCAUCGUAGUUGAUUGAGUUCGGGUAAUAUAAGAAGAUAUCUCUCCAAUGUCUAAUUUUUGUCCUUCAGGUAAUGAUUCAGACUUCCUUUCUUUCUUGCACACUCGUCAUCUAGCUACUGUUGCUGCUGCAGGAUCCAUUGCUAUUCUGAAUCGUCAACUCGAUACUAAAAAGUUCAUGUUAUUCAAUGGACGAGCUUCGCCUAAAUUUCCACAAACCAGAUACCGAAGGUCCAACAUUGACAUUUAGGUUGCUCUGUUUUGUUUAACAAGGAAGUACGCAAUGAAAUGGUUAAAAUGCUUGCAUCAUACAGCGAGUCAACCAUUGUUUUAUACAAGUGACUAUUCCUCAAAACAAAUAAUACUUGCAUGGAUUUGCUCACAGUGCUGGAAUUAUGAUGUGUGGAUGUGCCUGUUUGAUGUUAUAUUUUGAACUUUUUUCAUUCCCAAAACUUGUUUAUCUUUCCACUCAUGCAAAUGCACUAUGCUUUGCGUGAGAAUCAUGAAGAAUUGUUGCUUUUAUAUUGAUAUUUCUCUGCAAUUUCAGCGUUUGUUGUAUUUUCUCUUCCAAAUAUCUUCUUUUUUAUGCUCUAGCUCAGUGACCUGAAUUAUCUCUACUGUGCUUGUUGGGCAAAACAUCCCACUGUCAUCUUUGCUUGGCAAAAUCUCUCAGUAGGAUCAAAUGCAAACACUGUCAAGUUAGGCAACUAAUGUGCUUACAUUUAUCUUUUGCAACUUUACAAAAAAAAAAACAAAAACAAAAACAAAAACAAAAGGCUAUUUAUUUUGGUAGGUGUACUGAUAUGCUCUAAACUGUUUUUUUUUUUUUAAGUGAUAGGAUUUAAAACAGGUGUUUUCAAGUUGGUGAAUAUGACAACAAAAUUUGAUUGAGCCCUGCAGUAUAAGCCAUUUAAAUCUGAGUUCCUUGUUAAAGUUCAUCAUUCAUCUUUCUCCUAUUCAACUUCCCACACCAUCUCAGAGCACAUUUUCUUUUUCUUUAUUGUUGGGAAAAGGUGGAAAGGAGCAAUAAGGAAGACUAUGAUUUGUCCAAAUUCUGGGAUAUUUCUAUGCAAGAUUCUGAAAGAUCAAUGCUCAAAACUCGCUGGCAACUAUUGGCCCCUCAUCCAAGAGAUCCCUCCCUUCUACAUUGAUGGUGUUCAAAUCCAAUGAAUUGAAAUUGAUCACACCCAAGCCAUGACAAGUGAUUUAUCUCCAUUGACUACUUUUCCUUCUUCAGGUAAUUCUUAUAACUUCUUCCAUUCUUUUGCUUCCAUUUGCUAUCUGCCGCAAUUCGUUGUUCCACCUAAAGUCAGCUUUCUGGGGUUGGGGUCAAUAUUUUGGGUUUGAAGGUAUCAAUUUCUAUUAUGUUCUUCAGUUUGAUGCUUAAUACGGAUUGAUUUUUUCCCGUGGAGAUGUUUCUCAUAGAAUUUUCAAAAACCAGCCACUGAAGGUCAGAGACUGACAUUUGGGUGUGUCGUGUGUGUCCUCGAUGGGGUCUUUUCUUUCUAGGCCAGCAACGCACGGUUGAAAUAAGCCAAAUGUGAUAAGAAGGAUGGGGGAUAUAGAUUUUGGUCCCAGUUUUGGCAAAGCUACCUAAUGGACACAAGCAUUUGGUUUUCGUGAAAUACAACUAAAAUUUGGGGCUGCAAAAUGAUCUUUAGCUUCUUGAAUCCCAUCAGGCACGUCCUUUAGUCUUUAAUUGCACUGUUUGGGAAAAUUGAUAAUAUCCUUGUAUACCACAGCUGCAUUCAGCUCCACUACUACCUUGAUUCAGGUUUUUCUUUAGCUACUGCAAUGCUCUUUCGAACAGCAAGUAAUUCAGCCUCCUUUGCAGAUCUAGCUUGCACUACCACACCUCUGUAGGCAAUCAUCUUCCCUGUUUCAUUUCUGACCAUAAUCCCAAUGACAGCAUGUUUAGUUCCUCCAACGUAAGAGCCAUCACAGUUAAUCUUCACAAAACCUAGCUCAGGUUUACUCUACACACCUUGCCUUUCGUCCACCCAAUCAUGACCCAGCUCUCCUACAUUUUUACAAGAAACGCAGUUUGAAAGUGCUUUUUUAAUCUGUAGGAGUGACAGUUUCAGGAUCAAGUGAUUUAUGGUCGAAGAUUACUGCAUUUCUAGCAUUCCGGAUAUACCAACUGGUGUAGGCAAUCAUUCUUAAGCGUUAUCAGCCUGUACCAAGUCAUUCGAAUCUCCUAGCCUCACAUUUGUAGAAUAUCAACCCAUACCAAUAAGUCACCAUCGCUAGUGAUUAGCAGUCUCCCAUACUUGUUAGUUAACAUAGCCAUAAGGGUUUUUUAGCAAACGGAAAAACCAUUCAAAAGGGUCACUUUUGGGUGGGUAUGCAUAUGAUUUUGUUUGUUGGAUCACUCUUAUAGUUGUUCAUUAAGCAUGAAAGGCAACUGUUAUUCAGGACUAAUUGAUCAUCCCAUUCCAGGUUUUUGGAUGAGAAAUAUGGGGAAUGUGGAAAGACCAUCAACGGUGGAGGAUGUAUGAUGCAUGGAGUCUUCUGUUUCAUUCCUCUCUAACCUCUCUUUGGAUGAGAAAUAUGAGGAGUGGAAAGACUAUCAAGUGGUGUUCACGGUCAUCUCUCCUCCCUCAAACAGUUAUAAAUUCUAUGUUGCUCGAAGUUUGGGUACUUGCCAGAGGAUGGCUUUCCUCCCUCCCUCAACGUAUUCCACAUAAUUCAAUGUGAGAUUUUGAAGGAUGGAUCCUCUUUUGCGGGCAACUACCAGCACCUCAUCCAAGAAAUCCCACUCAUUGUGAUUAAUCUAGUUCGGAUCCAACAGGAAGAUUUCUCUCCAGUGUCUUAAGUUUUGCUCUUCAGGUAAUGAUUCGGACUUCUUUCUUCCACACUUGUCAUUUAGCUACUGCUGCUCCAGGAUCCAUUUUCAUUAUGCUUCCUCAACUCAAUGCUAAAAUGUUAAUUUUUUUCCAUGGACGUGCUUCACAUAAAUGUCCACAAACCAGCUGCUGAAUGUCCAAUGUUGACAUUUGGGUUGCCCUGUUUUGUUUACCGAGGAAGUACACAAUGAAAUGGUUAUAGUACUAAUGUGGUACAGCCAAUGACAAUUCCUCGAACAAAUAAUACCUCCAUGGACUUGCUCAUGGUGCUGGAAUUAUGAUGCGUCAAAUGUGCCUGUUUAUAUCGAUUAUAUAUCUAGAAUUUUGUGUGAUGACCAAAAAUUGUUUAUCUCUGCACUUGGAUGACACAAAGAAUUUGCAAAUGGAAAUGCACCAUGCAUUGCGUGAGAAUUAUGAAAAAUUGUCACUCUCAUAUCGAAAUUUUUCUGCAAUUUCAGCAUUUGCUGUAUUUUCUCUUCCAAAUAUCUGUUUCUUCUGCCCUAGCUCACUGACCCGAAUUCUCUCGACUGUGCUUCUCUUGCAGAAGAUCCCACUGUCAUCUGUGUCUGGCAAAAUCUCUUGGGCUGAUCAAAUGCAAAUACCGUUGAGGUAGGCAACUGAUGUACUUAUGUUCAUCUUUUGCAACCUGACAAAAGAUAAAAAAGCUAUUAAUUUUGGUAGGUGCAUCGAUAUGCUUUAAUUUUUUUUUUCUUUUUGUGACAAGGUCUAAAUAAGAUUAAUCUUUAUCAUGAUGUUGAUUAUCAAGGUCUAUAAUCAAAGUUAAAUUAAGAAGCUUUAUUACUUUGAAUAACAGCUAUUGUAAAGAUGCAAAAAUGGGAUCUAUAACGGGUUCUCAACUUGGCAAAUACGACAACUAAAUUUCAAUGAACCUGCAGAUUAUAAUCUAUUUAAAUCUGACUUUCUCAUUAAACUUCACAAUUCUUCUUUCUUCUAUUUAAAUCUUACACCAUCUCAAAGAACUUUUUCAUUUUCUUUGUUGUAAAGGAAAGGCGGGGAGGAGUAAUCAGGGAGACUAUACUUUGUUGUUCUGUUGAGUAAUCCUAAAAUUCCCACGUCUGCCACGAAGUAUUGUGAUUUAAAAUUGCAAGAAGGUCGUCAUCCAAUACCACUCACAACCCAAUUAUCUUGGGUAGGCAAGUCUUAUCAUUAUCCUACUAAGCUGCCAGAGCUCCAGUUAAUCUUCACAAAACCUAGUUCAGGUUACUCUACAGACCCUGCCUUUCGUUCACCAAUCAUGACAGUGAUUUAUGUAGUGACAGUUCCGGGAUCAAGUGAUUUAUGUUUUUAAUGGUUACUGCAUUUCGAGCGUUCCAGAUAUACCAACAGGCGUAGGCUAUCAUUCUUAAGAGUUAUCAGCUCGUACCAAGUUAUUCGAUCUCCUGACCUCACAUUUGCAAAAUAUCAGCCCGUAUGAAAAAGUCUCUAUCACCAGUGAUUAGUGGUCUCCCAUACUUGUUUGUUAACACAAUCAUAAUAUUUUUCCAGCAAUUAAUAUAUAUAUAUAUCUAUCAGCAAGGUAUCCUGGUUCACUUUUUGUUGCAGUCAAUUAGGUGUGUAUAUAAUUUUGUUCUGAUCACUCUUGUAGUUGUUCACUGUGCAUGAAAGACAAUUUUUAUUCAGGACUAAUUGCUCGUCCUGUUUCAGACUUUUGGAUGAGAAAUAUGAGGACUGUGGAAAGACUAUCAAUGGUGAAGGAUGUCAAAAGUGUGGAGUAUUCUGUUUCCCUUGUCUCUAAUUUCUCCUUGGAUGAGAAAUAUGAGGAGCAUGGAAAGAUUAUCAAGUGGUCUCUCUCUCCUCUCUCAAACAGCUCUCUUCUGUAGGUUACUGGUACUUGCCAAAGGAUGGCUUCGCUCCCUGCUCCAAGUAUUCAUCAUAAUGCAAUGUAAAAUUCUGAAAGAUUGAUGCUCAAAACUCGUAGUGGUGACUGUUGGCACCCCAUCCAAGAAAUCCCUUUCAUUGUAGUUGAUUGAGUUUGGAUUCAACAAGAAGAUUUCUCUGCAAUGUCUAAUUUCUAUUCUUCAAGUGAUGCUUUGGACUUCUUUCUUCUUCCACGCUUGUCAUAUAGCUACUGCUCCUGCUCCAGGAUCCAUUUCUAUUACGAAUCCUCAAUUUGAUGCUAAAAAGUUCACGUUUUUCCAUGGACAAGCUUCACAUAAUUUGCCUCAAACUAGCUAGACAUUUAGGUUGCUCUGUGUUGUUUGAUAAGGAAGCACACAAUGAAAUGGUUAUAAUGCUGAGGGGGUACAGCUAGUCCACCUUUGUUUCAUACAAGUGACUAUUCCUCAAAACAAAUAACACUUCAUGGGCUAGCUCACAGUGCUGGAAUAGUGAUGCGUCAAUGUGCUUGUCUGGAUUGAUGAUAUAUCUUGAACUUUUUGUUCGGUGCCCAAUUAUGGCUUAUCUUUCCACUUAUGGAAAUGCACUAUGCUUUGCGUGAGAAUCAUGAAGACUUGUUGCUCUUAUACCGAUAUUUUUCUGCAAUUUCAGCAUUUGUUGUAUUUUCUCUUCCAAAUAUCUUUUUUUUAUGCCCCAACUCAGUGACCUGAUUCUUCUCAACUGUGCUUGUUUUGCAGAAUAUCUCACUGUCUUUUAUUUGGGAAAAUCUCUCGGGAGGAUCAAAUGCAAACACUGUUGAGGUAGGCAAGUAUGUGCUUUAAACUGUUUUUUGGGUGACAUGCUCAAAAAGAUUAAUCUGUAUCAUGAUGAUUAUUGAGGUCAAUAUUCAAAGUCAAAUGAAUAAGCUUUCCUACUUCCAACAACAGUAGCUAUUGUUAAGAUGCAAAAAAUAGGAUUUAAAACAGGUGUUUUCGAUUUGGUGAAUAUGACAAUUAAAUUUGAAUGAAUCCUGCAGAUAAUCCAUUAAAUCUGACUUCCUUGUCAAAGUUCAAAGUUCAUCUUUCUACUAUUCAAAUUCCUACACCAGCUCAGAGCCCAUUUUCUUUUUUCUUCGUUUCAAGGAAAGGCAAAGAGGAGCAAUCAGGGAGACUAUGUUUUGCCACUCUGUUAAGUCAUCAUGAAAGCCUCACGUUUGCCACGAUGUAUUUUAGUAUAAGAUUCUGAGAAGACCGUUAUCCAAUACUACUCACAACCAUUUGUAUAUGGUAGGCAAGUUUCAUUACUAAGACCCUACCAAGCUGCCUGAGCUCCCAUCACGGAUAAGACAAGAUCAUGCGCCAUCAUCGCUAGGGGGUUAUCCUUGUUUUCUCGCGUUCGUGAAAUAUCAGCUUGUGCCAAUAGGCCACGAUCACUGGUGAUCGGCGAACCCUCAUAGUUUUGCAUUAGCAUUAUCAUUAGGGGUCAUUCAGGAAAAACAAAAUCAUCAAAACAAUCACAUUUUUUAGGCUUGCGAUGGGAAGUACCCUGGUAUGUCUUGUAGAUUUUUGGUUGAAGUUGGGUGAGUAUGUGUAUAAUGUGUAUGUCUAAUUACUCUUGUAAUUGUUUAUUUCACACGACAAAGUAACUUUUACUGUGGGCUACUUGAUUUUCUCAUCCCAUGAUUUUUUUUUGUUCCCAUUUUCAUCUCACACGCCAUAUUUUAAUCUUUUAGUUAAACUUGAAGAGUAUGGUACACUGAUUGUGAUUAUAUCGAGAUAAUUAUAUUGAUGAUUGCGAUCGACGAAAGUUGGGGCAUUAAAGAAAUGUCUAGGGCCUUAGUGAGGUGAACUCCUAUUAAUGAAAAAAAAUGUUCCUUUUGUUUUUUUAUCCGUUUCACUUUUUAUGCAAUUAAAAAGCAAUUUUUUCUCAACGAUUUAUAAGAAUUUAAGAUGUCUUCAAAACACUUAUCUUCAUCUGGUCAACCCGAGUUAGAUGCCUUCAUACGAAGUGUUGCAAAUCUUCUUGUUUUUUGUUUACGACAUAUGUUAAUACUUCACAUGAUUGAGUUGAAUAAAGAAUGUUUCAAGAGUACCUAAAUAUCUGUCGCUGAUGAAUUAGAUUUAUUGAUUUUUCGAACAACACUGUGUGAUAUACUAAUUUGUAGAUGUAAAUAAUGAUAUAAGCAUGUAUAUAAGUCGUNNNNNNNNNNNNNNNNNNNNNNNNNNNNNNNNNNNNNNNNNNNNNNNNNNNNNNNNNNNNNNNNNNNNNNNNNNNNNNNNNNNNNNNNNNNNNNNNNNNNNNNNNNNNNNNNNNNNNNNNNNNNNNNNNNNNNNNNNNNNNNNNNNNNNNNNNNNNNNNNNNNNNNNNNNNNNNNNNNNNNNNNNNNNNNNNNNNNNNNNNNNNNNNNNNNNNNNNNNNNNNNNNNNNNNNNNNNNNNNNNNNNNNNNNNNNNNNNNNNNNNNNNNNNNNNNNNNNNNNNNNNNNNNNNNNNNNNNNNNNNNNNNNNNNUAAUAUGACAUUUUGCACGUAAAGCGAUAUUAACACCUCAGAGUGUAUAUAUUUCCCUUAAUAGAAUGCCUAGUUUAAUACCAAAGAGAAGCAAAAAAAAAAAAAAAAAAACAAAAAGACAAAAAGAAUUCCUAGUUAGUUCCUCGAAACAAGCCCCUUCUUCAAAUUCUGUAAUGUGAAAUAAAAGUUAAAAUUUAAUAGAAAAAAGAAAGAUUGUAUACAUAUAUUUUCGAAAUGUUUCUAGUGCUCAAGUGCUAAAUGGGGAUUCAACUUGAAUUUAACAAUUGCAAUAGUAUUAAGCCCUAACACCGUGCUGCAAAGGCAUUGUAUGGGCCGUCGUUGGCAUGUUGGGCCUAGAAAGAUAGAUAGCCCCAACUCUUGGGCCUUGAUCCAAAAAUGGAUCUGAUUUUACUGGGACUUGACGUACAAUUCGGGUAAUAAGGUAAAGAAGGUUGUUCAGCUGUGACAACACUCACUAAUUGUAGAACUAUUGAAUGGGCGAGCCUAGACGGACCAAGUUGGAAAUCGACCAUCAAAAUUUCUUACCCAUUCAGCUCUAAGAUUUUGGAAAUUAUUAUACUUUGUUCAUGUAAAUAACAGCAUCAAGGUGAGCUAUUGCCCAUGAAAAAAGUUGAUUGCCCAGACUCGCUCAAGUUGUGCAUUCGGCAAACAAAAAAACCAUGUCGGGCGAGUCUUGGUAGCUCCGAGCUCUAAGAGAAGAGUCAUGGCCCCAGGCUUGCCCAAUUGUUUUCCCUUAUUUGGGCUAGGUCGAGCUAAGCUUGAUGGGUGAUUCUUUUUUAGCUCUCGAGUCUACUCAAAUGAACGAGUAUGUUUUGCAUUCAAAUACAUUGAGGGCUUUUCGAAAUAUCCAGUUUCAUCUUGAGAAAAAAAAAUGAUAGAUAAUAUACUUGAUAUCAACGUGGGCUCACAUGAGCUCGAAACUUAUGGCCUAAUUAUGUGCGAAAACACACAAUCAGGUAUGGAGAACGAUGAGUUAUUACAAUGGCUCUCUUUAGAUUUAGUUAAUGACAGGCUACGUAAUCUUUAUAAUUCCCUCUCCUUCCAAAUUCUAGCGUGAUAACGAUGAGUCAUCAUCAUCACCUAACAACAAUUUAUGGGACCACAUGGUGAGUCGACCAAAAGACAACUUCUGUCGAAGGAUUCAGUGCAAAACAAAAGCCGCCAGAAGAUGGUGGAAGAAGAAUUUUUAGCGAGGGAGAGCACUGAGUUAGGCAGAGCUCCAGCUCAGUUUCUGACGUCUCGGCCUUUGCUCCCACGACAACGGCUCCUUCUACUCGGCUCCUCGCCGUUCGAUCGCUAAAGCUUAGUCCUCUCGCUCUCUCUUUCUAUGGCUUUCGGCUUUCGGUUCAAUGAAUCGAGCUGAGCUCUCUGUUUUUUCUUGAAUUUCCAGAGGAGAGGCUUCUUCAUCGACUUUCCUCCUUCUCGGUUUCUGUUGAUGUCCUGGACCUUG
rnacentral:lncRNA from 1 species